ACCCGAAGCCAUCAGGAUCAGGUCGGGUUUGUUGUCCUUGGAAUCAUCCGAGAUCGCGUAUGCGCCGAGCUGGACAUUGUCGAUGGAGGUUCCGGGCAAGUUGGGCAGUUUUUGUCGCGACAAAGCCAAGGUCGAUGGUCUCUUCCUGUUCAGCACUGCCACCUUGUAAGCUCCCGAGGUCUCGUUUCCGUCCGCAGGCCUCAGCAUCAACAUGUUGGGCAUGGCCCUAAAGCUGGCCAAAUGCUCAAUGGGCUGAUGGGUGGGACCAUCCUCUCCCAAACCAAUCGAGUCGUGGGUCAUCACGUAGAUCACACCAGCCUCGGCCAAGGCGGAAAUCCUCAUCGCCGCCCUCAAGUAGUCAGUGAAAAUGAAGAAUGUGGCGCAGUACGGGAUCAGACCACUCAAGUGCUGCAGCAUUCCGUUACAGAUAGCUCCCAUGGCGUGCUCCCUCACUCCAAACCUCACGUUGCGCUCAGCCGGGGUGCUCUUCUGGAAAUCUCCGAACAUCUUCAUCAGGGUCAUGUUCGAUGACGCCAAAUCGGCACUGCCACCGAUCAGCCCUGGAAGGGUCCUGGCCAAGGCGUUCAAACAUCUCUGGGACAAGUUGCGGGUGGCGUCACCAGCGUCCUCGGGGGUGAAAGACUGCAUCACACCCACAAAUUCCAUUACUCUCGAUAAAGUACCAUCAACAGCCUGUUCAGACACCAAUUACAAUUUCACUUCCACUCACAUUGCACAGGCACAUAAUCGCAAACCUACCCAGUAUCGCAAAUGUUAGAUCUUGCCAGACUUAACAGACCACAACUGUUGAAAUCUUGCACUACCAAGCAGUCUGAUUUACUUACAGGAAGAGCCUUGUCCCAGCCUUCGGGCAAUUCACCGCUGAUCAACUGCUUGAACUCGGCACCUUCUUCAGGGUACUUCUGUGCGUACUCCUCCACAGCAGCUUCCCACUCGCUCUGGUACUUGGUUCCCAGGUCAGUGUGCUUGCUCCAGUGGCUGCCACAAAGAAAAACAUGCAGAGACAUGUGAGACACCCUGCGUUCUAAUGUUACACCUUUGACACAUCGCUACAUCUGCUCAAGAAAUUUACUGCAAUGGAACUACAAUCGACGACUUACGGUAAACACUCUAGAACAGCCCACCCCCUGCAAUCAUCGUCCACAGAGCCACAUUACAACCACGUGCUCGGGAAAAACAUCCGCAAUUACACUCACCUCUUGACUUCAUCGGGCACGUGGAAGGGCUCAUAUGGCCACCCCAGGUUCUGCCGAGUCGCCUCCACCUCCUUGCCUCCCAACGCCGCACCGUGCACAGCAUACGAGUUCGCCUUAUUCGGCGAUCCGAAACCGAUGGUGGUCGUCACCUUAAUCAUCGUUGGCUUGUCUGUCACGGACUUAGCCUCUUCGAUUGCGGCACGGAUCUCGUCGUAGCCGGUGUUGCCAUUCUUCACCCAGAUCGUGUGCCAUCCCAAAGCCUCAAAACGAGCAUCCACGUUCUCCGUGAAAGCGAUCUCGGUGUCUCCGUCGAUCGAGAUAUGGUUGUCAUCAUACAAACAGAUCAACUUGCCGAGUCCCCAGUGACCCGCCAGCGAAGCCGCCUCGUUAGAGAUACCCUCCAUGUUGCAACCGUCUCCCAGAAUACAGUAACUGCAUUGAGAAAACAAUCCACAUUGGUCAUCGUUCGAUUCAGCAAUCCUCUUCAGCGCUGUAACACAAGUCAGCCUCUAACAUUAUAUGAGCGGAAUUAGAGCAAGUUACGCCACAACAAUCCAGGGGAUACCCGGAUUAUACCGCCUUUCACACUAGUGCUAGCGCAGCCAGCAAUGCAAUGUGUCUCUUACGUGUAGUGGUCCACGAUCUUGGCGUCAGGCUUGUUGAAACGGGCAGCCAAGUGGGCUUCGGCCAAGGCCAAACCAACGGCGUUAGCGAUACCCUGGCCGAGAGGACCGGUGGUCACCUCAAUACCGGGGGUCUCAAAAUUCUCGGGGUGCCCAGGGGUUCUGCUUCCCCACUGCCUAAACUGCUUUAAGUCUUCUUCCUGAGAACACAACACACAGCGCCAAUCAACACACUUUCACGAACCGCACAAUCAGUCCUUUCCGGCAGACAGUGUCUAACUGUAAGACGUUGCUUUUCGGAAAAUCUAGGACCACUCCUUUUCAGCUUAAUACCUUGUACCCAUCUGAAGGAAACAUCCUGUUCGACACUGUUCAAAACGGAUUCGGUUCGAAGUCCCCAUGUACUGGUGCGAAUUCGGAAUACGGAAGCCUCAAAAACUCUCAAAUACCUCAUCUGAACAGAUUGUAAUCAGCCUAAAGUUGGCGCUAAAAAAAAUUCCCAAGUCUAUGCUUCCCCUUGUCCAAAAGGCAGCAGUCAAAGAGUACAUACAUAUAUUUACAAAAAACCUGAGACGCUGUACACCAGUCUCGGUAGGUCAAUGAGUUCGUAAACAUACCUGAACACUGUCGUACCCAGCGAGGUGGAGGAGAGCGUACUGGAGCAUGCAUCCUGCCGGGCCAAUACGCAUUGUCAGUCAGUGACAAAUCUACGGCAUUGAGAGUUCAAUUGGGUUCCUUCAAUUUUCACAUGCGGCUAGCGACAUUCAAAUUUGAAAUAGCAGUGAUUAAUUCAGAUCCCAGAUCAUGAAUGAAAUGAUAUUAGCCGCAAUUGCUCACCGUGGCCAGCAGACAACACGAAGCGGUCCCUGUUAAACCAGUAGGGAUUCUUCGGAUUGUACUUCAUCACCUCAUCGUACAAAAUGUGCCCCAUGGGAGCGCACCCCAUAGGCAGACCAGGGUGACCAGAAUUCGCCUUCUCCACGGCGUCGAUAGCCAAAAAUCGGAUGGUGUUAACCGACUUCUCCACCAAGGCGUUAUCAGUCUUCUGAGCGGUCUCCACAGAGGCAGUGGCGCGCACGGACACCUUCUUCCCCUUGCGUGCAUUCCGAGCUGGCACGGCAGCGUCACUGCUCACGCCCUUGGAAGCAAUCCUCAAUCCAGCAAACUUGUUCAAUCCCAAUCCCUGCACGGAAGCUCCCAGGCGUUCACCCUGAGCAGUUCCGCGCACGGCAGCAGGCGCCACAGCGCCUGCAACCGCAGCCACAUUACACCUCGCCGCUGCCAUGAUUCCCAGCGCUCCUGAACCCAAGAUCUAAGCAAAGAAGAACAACUAAUCUCAGGGAAACGCGACGUGACGAGGGAACCGGGAGCCAGCCCCGACGCAGGUGACGAAGCUAAGGAGAGAGGGGGGCAAGAGGCAGGGUUAAAAGGAUUAGCAGGCGAGGGGGAGGGGACAGGGAUUGAUGCGGAGCAAAGCAGUGCUGGGGUAGGAGUGGGAUGAUGGGCGAACGGGAUCCAACGGGUCGUCGCGGCGUAGCCGCGAAACGGGGGAGCGCGACACAGAGGGCGUGAGGGUGAGGCCAGGUGAGGCUGGUGGGUGAGGAUAGGGCACUCUUUUUUGCGAAUGCCCGGAUGGGUGGGUGGAACGAGUGGCUGCUGGUCCGCGGUGAAGGUGGUCCAUGGCUGUGGCCGCUCCCCCGGUGACCGCCCGUGCCUUCCCCGGCCCCCAUUCGCUCUCGCGUUAUCCUCCUCCCCUCCUCUGUCUCCGCAUCGCCCUCCCCCUCUCUCACUCUCUCUGCCCCUCUUUCUCUAUGUGUGUGCAUGACUGUGAGUCUUUCACAUGUGUUUCUGUACAUUUGGUUGGGAAAUAUCUCUCACAUGUUCUUGUGUUGUUCAAGGUUGGAACCUCGGCGACGCAUCUUGGUUGUGCAUCUGCCCUGCCACUUGCCUGUCAUUUUGCUAUAGAUGCUGGUUUUGCCAUUUACUGCACCUCAGCGAGUGAGAUAACGAGUCAUGUGGUUAGCCAAAACCCUUCUGAUGUUUCUAAGCAUCUUGUGUGCGUACAAGAAGGAAAAUUAGUAUUUCCACUGUUUUUUCCACAUUUGUUCCUAAAAUAUAAGUUGCAAUAUGUGCAGUUUAAUUGAUUUGUCAUUGUCAUCAAUUGUGUUUAGUUUUCAUUUAUGUGAUUGUACUUAGGCAUUUGUCAAUUACUAAUUCUUCCCUUCUGCUUUAAAUAUCACCAAGGUCAUAAUUCAUGAAUAAAAGUUAUGUAUAUAUAUAUAUAUAUAUAUAUAUACAUAAAGAAAUUCUCUACGUGAAUGUUGCGACAUAAUAUUUUGAAGUAUAAAAAUAAGAAAUCAAGAAUACCACAUCUCACAAAUACUUUUAGUAUGUAAAAUAAAUAAAUAUAUAUAUAUAUAUAUAUAUAUAUGCUAAUGCCUAGAUCAACUUAUUUAUUCUGCAAUCUGACUUGAUUUAUUUAUUUUCUUAAGAAAAUGCUCUUUGAAAAUCUCUCUUGAAAUUGGAAUAUAAACAAAAAAAAAGGUAAUCAAAGCACCUAACUAAGGUGUAUAUAAAAUUCCGAAACUAAAGUAGAAUUCAGGAUUUCAACAUAUUAAAUUAUUAUAUUUACAAUGAUAUUUUGUUUUUAGAUUUCAAUGAAAUUUAUAAAUAUUAAAAAAACAACAUAAAUAAUAAUAUUAAAAAAUUUACGAUUAAAAUUAAAUUCAUCUAUACAAAUAUUUUUUUUAAUUUUAUAUUUUAAUAAAUACAUAUCAACACAUAUGUAUAUAUAUAAUGAACUUAAAUGAACUAAAUCAAUAUUACAUCACAUAAUGUUGUGAACUAGGUCUUAGAAUACUUGUUAAAAACAAUUAUAUGAAAUUGGUCAAAAAAAACUAAUGCAUAAGUCUUAAUUUGUUUUGGAAGAUUUAAAUAUUCUUAAAAUAUGUGACAAAAAAUCCAUGUAAAAAAUAGUUAAUUAAAAAAAAAACAAAAAAAAAAAAACAAAAAAAAACAAAAAAAAACAAAAAAAAACAAAAAAAAAUGAUUUGACAUAAAACACUGAAAUUAAAUAUUGUAGAUGCUUAAAAAUUAAUUUUUUGGGUCUUAAAAAUAAUAAAUAAAUAAAUAAAUAAUGAUAAGAUUUACAGCAACUUUUCCUUUAUGAAUUUAUUAUAUUUUUAAGAUGAAAAUAACACGAAUUUGUUUUUUUAUUAUAAAGUAUUUAUAAAAUAAAAUAAAAUUUAUUUAUUUAUUUAUUUAUUAUAUAAUAAAAAGAAAAAAAUUAUACUUGAGAUGAUGAAAUCUAUAAAUUGAUUAUAAACUUGGUUUAGAUAGAUUAUUUUUCUAAAAUUUGGAGCUUUUCCUUCUAAUUGAUGUUGUUGUCUAAUCAAUUUUUUAAAGUUAUGCUUUUAUAAUCAAAAUAACAACGACCUAACUAAAAUUCCAAACAUAUAAAUUACAAAGUGAUUUUUAAAUAUUACCAAAUCUUUAAUAGUAAUGUUAUUUAACUAUAAAGAAUUAAGGAUACAUAAACAACAUAUACAUGAUUUAUUAUUAAACAAUGAUAAUAGAAUGUGCACUAUAAACCUCAAACUCUAAAGGAAUUUUGACAGGGCAUGUAUGGUUUACAAAACACAAUAAAUAAGUAUGUUAUUUGUAAGCAUAACUUAAGAAUAAAAUAAAAAGUUGGCCAUUUGUAAGUAUUCAUUUUUUUUAAAAGUAUAAUUAAUUAUAAAACCUAUUUGAUUGUUCUUAUAUAAAUCCUAAAAACUACAGUUCCAUAUAUUAUAAUGAUCCAGAUACAACUUAAAUAUAAAAAAAAGUAUUCUAAUAAAUAUUGUCUAAAAAAAAAUUAAUUACUACAAUACUUAUUUUUUUUUAAAGAAAAAAGAAAAAAGAUACUUAUGCUUGUUAAAAAAUAAUAAAAAAAAUCUUUGGUUGUAACCAGUAAUUAAUAAGUAUAACACUUUUUUUUUUUUUAAAUGAAAUGAUACUUUCAAAUAAAUAAUAUUGAAAUAAAAAAAAGUGUUUGACUUUAAUGCUAUUGUAAUUCUAGGAUACAAAGAACAAACUGUUUAUAUUUUAAGUAUACGUAUAUUUUUUUUUCUUUUCUUAAUGUAGCAUUUUUUAAACAUUUGUAUAUUGUUUGAAUGUUAAUUGGCUUAUUAUUUGUACAAAUCAAACAUUAUUUUUUUAAUAAAACCACAUUGUUUAUAAUAAUAAAUACAGGUUAUAUAUAGGUUAUAUAUUUUUUUCUUUCACUUCUAAUGAUAUAUAUAUAUAUAUAUAUAUAUAUGUAUAUGUAUGUAUGUAUGUAUAUGUAUGUAUGUAUAUGUAUGUAUGUAUAUGUAUGUAUGUAUGUAUGUAUGUAUGUGUGUGUGUGUGUGUGUGUGUGUGUAUGUGUGUGAGAUACUAUUAUCUCUUUCAAAGUUUAAAAUCCUUGAAAAAAAUAUUUCUUGUCACAUUGGUGUAUGAGGAGCCUAUGGAAAUAAAUAUACAAUAAUUAUAAUAUCUAUGUAAAAUAGUUUAUUUUUUAUAUUUAUAGUUGUAUAUAUUAGUGAAUUAUUAUUGAUGAAUAAAAAUUACCAAUCCUUGAAUGCUUUUAAAGUUAAGACACAAAAUUAUUUUAUAUAUAUAUAUAUAUAGUAAAAUACUAAAUAGAAUGUAUUAUCGUAUUUAUUAUUAUAUUAAAUUAUUUUUUACAUUAACAUAUCUUUAAAAAAUUAUUUAUAAAAAUUUAUAGCUUAUAUUAAAACAAAUAAGAUAUGUGUAUAAAUAAGUAUAGUUAUAUUUGAUUUUUGCAGAAAUCUAUCAAUAUUAUUUCUUUAAAUAAUAAAUUUUAUUAGUACAUUUUUUAUGUUUAUUUUUUUUUAUUAAUUUAAAAACCUUUUUGUGAUAUUUAUCAAAGAAAUUCAUACUCAAAUAUUUUUUUCAUAGAAAAUCUAAAUAUUCACUAAAAUAACACAAGAUAAAAAAUUUUAAAACAUGAUGCUAAGUUGGUAGUUAAAAUGAAUGUACGUAUAUAUAUAUAUAUAUAUAUAUAUAUAUAAAUUAAAUUUUCAGAAUAUCAUAAUGAUAAAAAUAAAAUAUAUUAAUAAAUUGAUAACAAAAGUAUUCAUAUUUUUAUUUCUUUCCAUAGUUACUUAAAGAUAAAAGCUAUAUUCUGAAACUAAAAUAUUCCAUCAAAUAAAUAAACCAAAUUUUAUUUGCUGCUGAUUAAAAAUACUCUAUACAUAAAUUUACAUUUAAUAUACANNNNNNNNNNNNNNNNNNNNNNNNNNNNNNNNNNNNNNNNNNNNNNNNNNNNNNNNNNNNNNNNNNNNNNNNNNNNNNNNNNNNNNNNNNNNNNNNNNNNUGAUAUUUCUAGGAUCACUCAAAAUAUCAAAUCCAAAUAUUACCAUUCAAACUUUAUUAUUCCUUGAUAUUUUGAUUUCAAAAUCACCCACCUCACAAGAUAGGUGAUUUGGUGAAGUAUCAAGUGAUAUUUCAAAAUAUCACUAGAUACUUUGAGCAAAUAUCAUGGAUUACAUAUUAUCCAAAAAGGCCAUGUUUGAAACCCUCUAAUGUGUUGAAAUUUUUGUAACAUAGGACAAUGACACAAAUAUCUUUAGCAAGUUUGAAGCUUGCAAAUUUCGGACUUAUUGAAAGCUAGCAUUGAGAUUGUCGACAUUGUUCAUUCACAUGUUAACGUCACUUGCUACCUGUAGAAUUAACUUGAGAGAGAUUAAUUGAUGGAGUUCGUAAAAUCAUCUGUCAUUCACAAAUGAGAAUCCUAGAACUCUGGUUCAUUUUGUCUUUAUGAGAGAUUAUGAAUUUAAAGUGGGUACUGCUUACAGAAUUCUAAGCAUCCCCAGAUUCUCAUGGCCACCGAACAGCAAACUCCAACAUCCAUAGAACCGAUCCUUAGAACCGAGGUGGAGUGCAGAUGAGCAGGUUUUCAGGUUCAGAAUAUAAGGGAAGCAGAGACUCGGGGGCCCCCUUAAAUUUUUUUGUGUGCCAUUUACCUUUGUGUCCGUCACUGAACCUCUCUCUCACUCACAUAUAUAUAUAUAUAUAUAUCUAAAUGUGUUCAAAUAAAACUGAGAUACACACAAUGUGUAUUAGAUAAUGACACCCUCAACCAUACAGCGUGGGUACAGCUUAGAAGGUAGGAAUUAAGCUGUCACUGCCUCUAUCAAAAGUGUAGUUUCAGCAGACAAGUUAAAUAUAGUCCUGGUUAAUGACAUGCAUCCAAGUAAAGGUAUUUUCUCAAGUUGGGCAAGACUUGUCAGAACUACCCCACACAGUAAUCAAAGCUAAACGCACAAAAAAAGACAAAAAAAAAAUAAACUCUUAACCACUACAUGUAAGAGAUACUACAGCAUACAUGACAAAGCAGGUACAUAAAAGAAGCUGAGUCACGGGCCCAAAACAAGGCACUCAACCACACAAGAUGGUCAUUGAAUUUCUAAGCACAAUAUGCUGCUCUCAUUACUACAUGCUAAGUAGACAAAACAAAAAUGAAAAAAAUGAAAAAAAUGAAAAAAAAAAAAAAAUGUUGGAUUUAAGUUCCUACCUACCAGGAUUGUUGGACCAAUAGACAUUACUAUUUGGACCAGGAGUCAUCAUGCCCGGACGAAUGGCUCCAGGCUGCAUAUAAACAGGCUGUGGAGGAUUACUGUAGCAAGGGAUUCCUGUCACUAUACUAGGACCAUUCACGGGCCAUUGACCAACAGGUCCCCUACCAUCACUACCUGGAUGCACUGAGCCUUGCACUUGUCCCUGUCCUUGUGACUGUUGCAUUUGCCCUUGUCCUAGUUGCAUUUGUGUUUGUUGCAUUUGGUUAACUUGUGAAUUUCUAGUAUACUGUGCUGGUGGAAUGAAAACUCCAGUCCCAACAGGCUGAUGUGGAGGUGCAUACAUACCCAUUUGCUGGGGAAGAGGAUAAGAGGCUAUGGGUACCAUAUUAACCCUUGCUUGAUACAUACCUUCUGGAUGUUGGUAAUCACCUGCACGAUUGCACACCGCUGCCAGUAAGAAUUACGAAUAAGAACUCAAAAUUACAAACGAAUCUGAAGCACCCAUAGUGUGUAACAUUAAAGAGUUCAUGACAGCAGCUGCAUCUAUCCAAUAAAAUAGAGCAAGAAGAAAGCGCGAACCUCGACUUAACGGUAGAUGCACACCAGAAUACAAACCUGCUGCUUGAUGAGACCAUCGAACAUUGGAACCUAGAUAUGGAGCAGACUGAACUUGGUGAACCUGAGGAACCUCCCCGUGAAGUGGUCCACUUGAAGGGCCCCAGUGUGGAGGACCACCUGACCUUUGUGGUGAAAUUUGUGGAGGCUGCUGCUGGAUAGGCCUUACCCCAGAAAUAAAAUCGUGAUGUGGAGACUGAUAAGGCAGGGGCUGGCGCUCAUUGUAAUUAAUCAUAGAAGACCUAAGGUCAGGAACCUGGGAGUAAUUCAUGUCAGAACGAGGGGACCUAUUCCAGGAGUUUUGCCUGUCUGGGGAAGGAUGGAAUUGUCCUCUAUGAUGUUCACCACCAGGUCCCUUGUCUCUAGUAAAGUCUCGAGAAAACACUGGUGACCCUAAAGAGUUGCUCCUCUGAUGCCCCCUUCCAGCGGCACGUGCCUUGAUUGCAUCGUCAACUUCAAUCUGCACAUCAUGUGCAAACCAUGUGUUUGGAUUUGUCACCUUGAGAAAAUCGAGAUCGAAUUUCACGUUCUUCCUAACUAACUUCUCAAAGAGAAAACAUUUUUCGAAGUAAUGGAAGAUUCAAACCCAUUUGAACAUCCAAACUGUAUCCAGAAACGUUCCUCAAAGUCCAAAUUACAACGGCAUCAAAACUACCAACACGAACUUCUGCUGCAGUAAUCAACAUGCAUGCUUACCAUGCUAGCAGAGUCACUUCUUGAAAAUCUACCUCUGCCACCUCCUCUACCUCUGCUAUUACGUCCACCUCCAGGCUUGUGUCGAUUACCACCACCUCGACCCCCGCCCCAUCCGGCAUCGCCGCCCACCCCGGCUUGAUGACCCUGCUUAGCAGCUUGCUUCUUCAUCCUUUUCGCCUCUUCCUCCUUCUCAUCAUCAGAAAACUCCUCAUCGUCUGAUAAUUCCUCGUCAUGCUGCCCGGAAGCGUCAUACCCUUUCUUCCUCAACUCUGUGUCAUCUUUAAGAACAAAGUUCGCAAAUUCUUGCACAAAUCCAACCGUCACGCCUCGUGAAGCUUUGUCCGGCACAUCGGCCGCCUUGUUGUAUCGGAUGACGUAGUAGGGUUUCUUAACGGGUCCGAAUACUUCAUCUACUAUCCCUAAAGGUUUUCGCUGUUCACUUAGCCACAAAAUUGAGCCUUCGUUCAAUACCAUCUCGUGUUCAACGGCUUCCACAAUAACUUGUUUGUCCAUGAUCUGUCAUUGAGAGUGCAGAGUGUAAGACGAACUUUUGCAAGUCGCAACACAUGCAGAAUACGUAAAGACGAAGUCGGCGUCGUUGGUUCUCCUAUUGAAAUAUCUGACAUUUUUAACACACACCCACGGCAAGGCUCCAUUCUAACUCUAGACUGUAACGAUAUGUUGAAAGAAUACAUUUUUUAACAGUUACAAUGGUCGAUCUAAAUGUGCUAAAACGUUGACCGCAACAUAAGCUCAAUUGUCAUGUAGCGUCUUUUCACCCGUUCGUUACUAGAGGUGGGGAAGUAAAACUAAACGAGGAGCUGCUUUACUUUCCAACAAAGGGCAUUGAUGCAGUAAAACUAAACAGAAGUCUAGGGAAGUUUUCUAAUCUCGCACAAGAUCAGACUCACAAACAAACCGUCGCUACUGCGACUUUUUCUCCUGACUCUAAUCUAGCCCUCAAUCUCAAGCCCCGGCGGCGUCAAGCUUUUAAAAUUAUUACGCUUCAGUAAAUGCGACAAAUUAUUUGCGAAAGACUUACAGAGGAGACAACGCCAACUUCACGUGGAACUUGAUUAGGCUCCAAGACUGCAUCAAUUUCUGACACAGGAGGCAAGUCCUGCAUCCCAACCCCAUUCACCACCAAGACCUUCAAUUCAAGCCCUAGAUCUCAUGAAUCCCGAUCCAGAACUUCUAAGAGACCAAUGUAUGUUACGCAAAACAAGUCAAGGAAUAGAGUAUGAGUAUUCCCCAGAGCAGGCAACAGGUCAGGUGCUCAUCAGUCCUGGACCUCAAAACAAGAAAUCACUUAAGCUCAAAGUCAUGAAGAACACCGUCACUUCGUUUGCAGUGCGGGGAGGCUCUGAGGAAUCAUCUUCCUCGUCACUAUCCGCCUCAUUUGCUCGCCGAACCAUCUUCUCCAGAUGCUCAGAGUUCUCUAUAAAACGUUUCUGCAUAUCAGCAGCAUUCACAUCGUCUUCCUCGUCGCUGGAUGCGUCCGACGACUCGCCACUGUCCACAAGCGGAUCACUAUCUUCUUCCACCAUACCCUUACCAUUUUUGCCGGCUCCCUCCUCAUCCUCACUCUCAUUCUCCUCCUCGCAUCCUUUCGCAACCCCGUGGCCGUUUCCAUGAACUGGGGUCUGACUGAAAGCCUCAGCAGCUUCUGCAGCAAGAAGCACAUCCUGUGGAAUACAACCAUCUAUGUCGCCCGUAAGCAGCACCUGCUGGCUGAUCUGCAUAUUGGACUCUCCUUCCUCCUCUUUGCUGCAUCCAGUGCGUUCCUCCAGUGCUUUCCUACUAGUGAUCCCAACGUCACCCCGCGAUCCCGUGUCCGACAUCCUCCCACCUCCGUUCGAUCCCAGCAUUUCUAUGUCAUAUGUCUCCAUAACUAUCUCCCCCGCCUCCACCUCCAUCUCCGAUCCCCCCUUCCCCUCCCCCGCCAUCAUUCCUUAUCACGCGUCUACCCUGCCUACUCCUUUUUUUUUUCACAACCUCCCCUGGCCAACCUAAACGCCCACCACUCCCUUUGCACAAAAGCCGUCCAUCUGCUCUCAAACCAAACCUUCACAACCCUUGACUUCCCACACUAACUCCCUUGCUCCGCUACUCCAAAACCCCCGGCGCUUCCGACACUUCCCUCCCUUCACGCACUAAUCAUUCCCGUGCCACGCCUGCCAAAUCACCCACACUCGCCUCCGCCACCGGAGCUGCGUGAUGAACUCACUCUGUUUCGCUGUGCCAACUCUCGUCUCGCUCUCGUCUACCGAUCUCGUCUCCCCAGCUUUGCAUUUUUUUUCUUUUUUAUUUUUCGUUCCUGUGCAGCAACAUCCGUCGCCUGCCCCAGCUUCCCUUUCGCAUACUGUAACUCAUGCCUUCCAAUCUUAACUUAAUCAUCCCUGUCGUCAACUCUGCUUCUGUCGUCAUUAUCAAGGUCGCCCUCCCCUUCCGUGCGUGGGGCCACUCCCGUCUGCUCCCCUCCAUAAUGAAGGUCCCCAAACCCCGUGAUUGUCUUUCCCCCUUUCCCCCCUCUCUCACUCUCUCUCACUCAGUCGCCCUCUCUUUCCUUGUCUCUCCUCUCGCAGCAACACUGCAUCUACACAGCACCCAUACUCUAUUCCCAGCAUGUAAACCUUUUCUACAUUUUUCCUUCACGGCCUUGGGGCCAGAUCGACCAAACCGACUAUGCCUUUGCAUCAUCGCUGCGUCAUGGUUGUAGGAGAGCACCGCGAAAAGCAAGGGCUUUCUUUACAUAGGAAAACAUAUCCUCAUGUUUCCCGUCAUACUCGUCCUUUCUCCCGUUAAUUUAUCAAUUUUUGACGCUAUUAUGCUUCGGCAUCAUUAAAGUGUCAGGGGGCUACUUUUGCGUUUGGUAGCAUUGGCGUAUCGAGUCGAGGCUUCAAGCUCACGCUUGAAUGCAUGCUUAGCAGUCGAUGGACGCUCUCCGUGUCGUCCGGUCACGCCUUCUUUGCAUUUAGUGAAGAUUCGGGAAGGGUUGAGCUCCACAUGGCGAGGUGAUUUGGAGGGCUUCCAUGGACAGGUCACUGUUGCCACAAUGAACCGGUCUGUCCAUUAAAAAUACCCUCGAUUUCAAUAAUGGAAACACUUCCGCAUGGGUUGCGAUCUGUUGGGUGAGAGACACGCCCACAUUGGAACACUCCAAUGAUACCGAUGCGGUCAAACGAUUUUUUUUUUUUUUUUCUCACAAACUGUCGAGAUCAUUUCCCGACAUUCGGGACGCCCGAGCGGGUCUCUUCCGCAACAGGUUUCGGCUCAAGUGUACGGUGACUGCAGUGAGGUGCAUGUUUCUGGAGACGAACUUAUCCAGCGAUGCAUGGUACUUUGCAGCCCCUCUGUUGCCGCAUUUAUGGAACCACUCAAGCCUUUGCACAACUAGAUAUUCAAUACGUUUUGGAAUUAUGUUUCCUCUCUCUCGUUAGACGCAACUUUCACAGUCAUCAUGUCCGAAAAGCGUUCCAUUUGCAUGAUCCAGCUAAUCUGACAGUGCAGAACGGUUCCCCAGUAGACUAGACAUUCAUGUACCAUUAGGGGGAAUACCAAACGUGUUGAAAACCGUAGACAGGCGCAUCAGAGAAAAUAUCAAACCUGCACAGCGAAGCUCUCUGAGUUCCUGCUCAAGAUGCACGCGCUUUGGUUCACGGCGAUCAUCACCGUAUUAAUUCAAUUUUGCUCAUUCACGACAGGAAGAACCGUUUGGUACGUAUCGACUUGGCGCUUUAUGUCUUAUUUCUUCAAAUGUUCUUAACGACUGGGUCUUAAAUUAUGACUUCCACAUCCUCACAUUGGGCAGCUCAUGCUAAGCUUUUGCUGAUGCCUUAGAGUUCUGACAGUGAUGCUCUUGUUAAGCUACUUUCGUUACAGAACUUUACCAACGUAGGAAAUAGGCAGGCUCUUUUCCUUAGACACGUAUCUGACAACCUUCGGUUGUCUACUUCGUAUAGCCUACAUCUGCGUGGCAUUGUCUUGCAAGUGUUUAUUGACUGGUAAUGAAGAGUACUCAAAUAAAGCCCGCUGCAGAGUCAAAAAUAGAAAUCCUUCUAUUGCGACAGGGGUCGCAUACUGCACAACCUACUCCACAUGGUCAGAUGUUUUCGGAGAAACCCUUGCUGGAUGCACUGUUACACUCACUAUUUCCGGCUGGAUUGUGGCUGGAUUGUAACACCAUUAAGGAAUGUCAAUAUUGUUGUGCAACAGAGGUCACCGAAUGUUUAUCUGUACAGGAUUCAACAAGAAUCCAUUUGAACUUCUCCAUAAAUUGUUAAAUUCAAAAAAAAAGGUACAUGAGGAUGCAGCUAGACUCGGUAGUGAAAAACUGCAUCCGCUGCAUUCCUGAGAUACGAAGUCAUUUUCAUUCGAAUCGAAAGAAUUCGAUUCGUUCACACCACCACCAGCAUUCAGUAUACAGUAGUACUGAUCACUGCAGCAAUGACUGGCUUACGCAGGGGAGGCGCUUAGUCAGAAGAGAAUAGAUUUAUAUAAACAAUUUGAGUCCUACUACUAGCCCUGUACAGUCCCUAGCAAGGGGACUCAAGGCUCGACAUGGACUGGCAACAGUGGCUCUCAAACGCAACCUAAGCUAUGUUCAAACAAACGCGAAAGACUAUCCACUGUCCACUCUGAGCCCUCCCAGACCGAUGCUCUCUUACAGCACUCAUGGCUGGGGCACCUCAUGUAAUCACUUACUGUGCAAACAACUGAAGCUGCAACUCGUAAUGGUAAUGCUCUAAUCGUACUCCAGCUUUUCUACAGUCAUUACGUUCUUAGGAUAUACAGAUUUGAACUCAAGCCUUGAAACUCUUAUCAGCUAUAACCUGAGAUGACCCUGCAGGUCACCUACGGAAGUCAGUGAACUGCCAAUCUUCAUUGGUAAGCUAUCAUUCGUAAGCUUCAAUUACAGCAGCAAGGUACAUGCGCAAGGUCCUUUUUAACUCGAGCGUCCAAUUUGAGAGGAUCAAUGAGAAAAAUUAAAAACAAGUUUACCGGCACUCCUUCAAUAAAUACAUGGAUGGACUGAAUUGCUCACAGCCACCUCCUCCCACCAUGAGGGUAUCCUCCCCUCCCACAUUCAAACCUAGUGCCGAUGCUCCUCGUACUGGAGUCCCGGUAAUUCCAUGCUCUGGUGAAGGCUGCAACAAUGAUUGACAGUUCAAAUCAGUUCAUAACAAGGGCGGGAACACUUUCAAGGUCACAGGAUCAAAGAAGAACAAAAGAUAACUUCCAAUGUGUUAUCAAUGUGAUGCAAUUCUUACCAAGAGCCAACUAACUAGGGCUGAUGCAGUUCCGUCGCUCUCAACCAAGCUUCUCCUGUUCUCCUUCAUACUAUGCCCCUUGCGACUUGAACUAGUCCGCAAGCGAUAUAGAGGAGAAGGCAUGGGCUGAACUGGAGGCUGUUUGGCAAGCACUUCUUCCGCUUCACUGUAGGCAGGGGUGUUGUGUUCAUUACUCUGCCGCAUUAAGCCUAACGCAUCGUCCACUCCAUCUUCCGGAGGAACUUCCAAGCCCUGCUCAAGAAAAUACAUUCAAUAAUUAAUACCUUAACCAUGUGAUGAUUUUCAAUUGCAGUGUCAAGAUCAAGAAAGGACAAAAUUCACUAAGUCUCGUUUGGUCGGCACCCAGUGGGACCAGAUGCAACGUUCUAAUGGAGGCGCUCUUAAAGUGAAAACAGAAGGUGCUUUACAACAAGAAGAGAAAAGAGAUUACGAUGAACAAGUAACUUACGUCCAUGAAAGCCAAGGCUCCCUCCUUCUGAGCUGACGGAAGCGGGUCUAGCCUCCAUGGUGACCUCCAUAAUGGAGAUGCAAAUCUAGGCGAAGGAAAUCUAGGGGAUGCAAAUCUGGAAUCACGAAGAAUUACACCACCAUUACUGAGAACACCAACGACGAUAUCGCUAUAUACAAAGCAACCACAUUUCAAAGUCGAAUACAAUAGCAUAGACGCUGACCCAGAAUUCAGGUCAGGUAUGCUCACAUAUUAGUGGUGUCGAAAUCUUGUAGCCAAUCUUUUCCAGGUGUGUGCUGGAGAAUUGUAACACCAGGGCUGAAGCAGGCUGCCAUAGCACAGGUAACAGAUCCCCAAGAACUGAGCGUGGCUGCAUUCCCAGGAGACAUGAGCUCCCAUUUAUUCGAGACUUUAACAGAAAUGGAACCUCCAACGCUGUCUCCAGAACCGACAGCACUGGUGUCGCAUGACUGUCUUAACUCCCCACGUCCAUGUUUACCUAGAACCAUAGCACCCCCGUGAUUUUCUGAGCUAUUCGGAUGCCCUUGCCCAUUCUGUCCGUUCUGUUGCUGCUCUGUGAGUACUGAACCUUCCUGCUGAAUCCAAGACACUAUCAGUGGUGCUGUCACAACUUCACAGACGAAAAAUAUAGUGCUAGACACGGCGAGUAGUUCGGACGAACCCUACGCCACAAAAUAUGGCACACAACGAAGCUUUGCGCAGGCUGCACUGUCAAAAGUGAACAACACCAACCUGAGAUUUGAAACCAAAGUGCGAUUCUCUAGCACCCGCCCUAAAUCCUUACCUUGGAUGUUUGCGCCCCAUUCUCCCAUCUAGAACCAGUGCUAUACUCGAGGUUUGAUCCAUGGGAUCUGCCUCUCUUGUUAAAUUUUCCACCGGCAUUUUCACGAAGAGCAUUACCAGAGACGGAUCCCUCCCUGCUAACUCGCGCAGAGAAAGUUGCGCCACAGCCCUCACCACCGCCAUUACUACCCGUAGUGCAGUCCUGAGACUGGUUACCGGUAUUUCUAGUAACUUCAGAAUCAACCCUGUUCGACAAUUUGCUUGCAGGAGAAACAAACAGAGCAGUCCUUGCUAGACAAGUUUGAUGCAAACCAGCUGGUUUGGAUGAUUUACCAACUAAGGUCCCCUGAGAAGCUUCAGCUGUCUUAAGGUUAUUACCACAUGCACCAGCAGCAUCCACGUUAUCUGCAGUGGUCUGGGCUUCCUUGAACUUCGCGUCUAGCUUUUCGCCAGAAGUUCCGGUUUUCAAGGGUAUUAAAAUCUGACGUGGCCUCUUGCGCAAGAUUGAAGGCGACCCACUGAAGCUCCUGGCGGCACUACGUAGUUUAGACUGUGGACUCUUGCCUUGGAAAGGUGACUGAAGGUAAUUGGGAGGCGUGAUGCAGUUGCCAGCAGGCAUUAUCAUAUGGCGUACACCCAGGGGACUGUACGCCUGAAGCGAACUCACCAAAUCGUAACUCAUAAAAGGAGAAUCGGCGAUUCGAGGAGGCUCAUAGAAUAAGCCAUCGCUUCGUUCCAGGACUUUACUUUUGUCUUCCAGGUCUUCUUCCGUAACCAUGGGGGAUUGUAACUGGAACUCGUCCACUGCUUCACUAGCAGCUCGAAGGAGAUCGUCAGAUGAAAACUCGGACAACUCUUGGUCCAUAGCUUGCUCCAGAGCUUGUCCCAUAGGCUCCUCAUGCUGAGAUUCACAGGGAACAGAGGCUCCGGAAUCUUCAACAGCGGUAUCAGCCUCAGUAGCUUGACUGAGAGGAAGGUUGCACCUACUCAACUGCUCGUAGCUGGGCAUGGAACCCGUCAUGGCCAAAGUCUCUCCACCAGAUGAUACCAUUCUGCCACUGAAAGAAGUCAUUGGCUGCAUGUUACUGAGAGGCUCCAUGGACAUGUGACUGGAUGCGAAAAAUGAACCCAAGUUCGGCAGCGGAACAGGCAUUGCUGAGCUCAUGUAAGAAUGCGAACCAGACUCAGGCGCUGGAUUAAGAGAGAAGGAGUUCGAGAAGGAAGGUAUCCGAGUGAGCUCAGCAUUAGACAAAGAUCGCUUAUUUUGCAUCGAUGUGACCAACUGAUUGGUAAUGGAAUUUGAUUGAGAUGAUGAACCAACAGGAGGAACUCUAGAAAAUCCUCCAGAGUACAUCGGGGCUUGCCCAGAUGACCAACCCGAGAACCCUUGCGUCUGCCCAUUUGGGUCAUUCUGAGACUCCUCUUUCUUCGGUUGCAGAUGACUCGCAUUCCUCUGUUGAUCCUUCCCACGAUUCGAAUACAUAUCAAAAUGAGGAGGAGGAGGAGGUGCCGAACCGGUCGAUUUCGUAUCUUGCUCUCCGUAGUGGGAUGUGCGCCCCACAGCAUGAGCAUUCGAAUUAUGUCUGCUUGGGCCGGAAGAUGUGGUAGCCUCACUCAUGGGUGGACCAGGUCUUCCUCCGAUGCUUCCAGAGUCGGCUUGCCCCGCCCCAGCACCAGAGUUCAUGGACUGUUCUUGCUGUGCUUGAUAGACAGCCAGCGCUUUAGAGAUUGGAUCAUUUGCCGUCAAGGGAUCCACUUUCUUCUUCAUUGUGCUGUUCCAGUGAUUUUUUAUCGAAUUGUCCGUACUGCAAAAGUCCGGAUGGGUACAACAAAAAUUAUAGUAAGGAUCAAUGAUAAGUGUCCGCCAAUUUAGACUUCGGCUGUGCAUGGAAGUGGAAGAACAAAAUCUAUUUCUCAGGUAGGAAAAAAUCAAAUAAUUACCGCCCCGGCAAAUAUUUGGCGAUUUCAGCCCACUUGUUUCCAUAUAGUUGAUGAGCACGGAUCAAUGCCAAAUCCUCUUGUUGAGUCCAAGCCUCGCGCUUUAUACUGGGAUUGAGAUGAUUGUGCCACCUGAAUCAUUCAACGAACUGCAGUCAGACAGGCUACAUAAGGUCAACCGUGCGACAAAACAAGAAACCCUGAGGACAGUUUUGAUAAUAGAACCCACAAUUUAGGUCCUCGUGAGCCCACCUUUCUCGACAUUGUUUUCCAAUUCGACCGGGUAGGUUCUGAGCAAUCACAGACCAUUUUUUCGCUCCAUAUUUGUUCACAAGUUCCAUGAUACGAUCGUCUUCCUCUUUAGUCCAGGCGCCCUUAACCAAAUCCGGAUUAAGAACCUUCUGCCAUCGAUGCAGGCAUUGCACAUCUGUUCGAUCCGUGAAGAAUUCCGCUGCAAAAUGAGGAAAUUCAAGGUUGGUGGUUCUUUCCCAGGUUAGGAGGGCGUUGGACUGGGAAACAUCGAAAUCACACGAAAGUUGUGCAGAGUGUAUGACAAUUGAGAUUUACAGCAGACAACUCACCAAUUUUCUUCCAAUUUUUCCCAUUGAAGCACUGUACGGCUCGCCUCAAAGUCUCGUCCUGCAGAGUCACAUAGCACGGUUUAGGAAUGGAACAACCUUAACCUCUAAAGAGUGAUCCUUCGGAUGUGAAUUAUGUAGGCGCAUGUAUGGUACUAGCUCGCUACCUUUCAUAAUCAGGUCUGUGACAUACAUAUGUUCAGAUUGGUGAAAAUGGUCCAGUGGCGAGAAUAAGACACUAUGCAUGAAAUUGUGAUGAAUUUUCUGUUGUUGGCGGAUAUAAGGGGAACAGGAAAAAAAUGUUUCUCACUCGUCACAAGAAGGGCCUACCUCUUCUGGUGUCCACCCCCCCUUUGAGGAUCUUCGAGUUGGACCUCCUGUUCGACUGUCAUGUGAACACAUUCAGGUCAGAGGCGAAGGCCAUGUCCGAAACAACUAUCACAGGACAUCACAUACUGUUCGCAACAUCCUCCAAAUCUCAUUCCCAUUAUAAAAUUACAAUUCCGAGUGUAUUACGGCUUGAGCAAAGGACCCAAGUAGGCCAUGUCAAACAUAAGCUUCCCAAAUCAUCGAACAUAAUUGGCGGCACGGUAGCACUCAUUCUGAGGGCCAAGAGUACAGAACGAUCUAACAAUUAUUUUGUUGGGAUACUUGAACAAAGUUUAACCUGGCUUAGGAGAUUGCGGUGGUUUUAUCAGACAUAUUUAAAAAAUAAAUAUAUCUGUAGGCGACGUCAGGGCCCAACUGACAUUGUCAUCUUUCAAAUUGGAGUACACGGUUAAGAUGUCGAAAUUGAUUCCCGCAUUGAGUAAAACACAAGCAUUAAACCUCUCUCUCCACAAGCCCGGACAAUACCACUGUCUCAUCUUAUCGGAUUCCUACAUAUAUCGGCGACACGCUCCAUUGAACGCAUUGCGAAACACCAGUUCAACUUUAAAAACAUUGAAGAUGAAGACAGCUCAAUGAAAGCGUCGCCGAUAGUAGGUUAAGGCACAUUGGUACGCUAGAAGUUACCAGGUCCUCUGAUACUAAGCUUAAAUGCACAUGUUUUGCAAACGCCCAUGUGCUUCGCGUUCUAAGCUUUCUCAAAGUAUGUUGUGAGAGAACCGCUACAGAAGUGAAGACAGGGCGGCGAAGGAGAAAGAGAGUGAACAUGGAAGAAGUGGAAACAGAGUUUGAGAGACAGGAAGGAGUUUGACUCAGGGCGCAUGCGCUUAGGUACCCAUGAACAGGAGGAAGGUGGUGGGAGGUAUCCUCGUCCGAUUCUGGGGCAGAUGUGCAGGCUGAGGACCUCUGCUGCAUAUUCUCAUUGCUACUAGAACUCUUCCCCUUCACAGUCAAGCUCGCCAUCCUCCCUGCACUACCCUAAUCCUCCGUGCAGUGAGCACAACAAUCCGUCACCCGCUGGCGCCACCACGACGCGCAACACCCUCUCCUCUCCUUCGCAUCAGCACCCUCCUAACCCCCUUUCUCUUUCUCCCCUCUCUCCUCCUCCAUCCUUCGCCAAAUUCAUUCAAUACAUGACAUCCAAAAACAAAUUGGUGAUUCCAACCCAACACCUGCGUUUGCACUCAAUCAAGCUUCCAUCAUACACAUAUACACUUGUGCGCUGCCCCGUUCCCAAUGUCGCAACACUCCAUCAUUGCAACUACACCAAAACUCACGCGCCUGUCGCCUCGCAAAACCGAAAACCAGAAACGAGGCUGGGCUGAAAGCCAGUAAUGACAGAACAACGCACCAGAAACCAGCGUCCACCCCUUACUGAGCCUUUCUAUCACUCAGUCUCCUUUUUGAAAAAGCUCCUUCACUACGACCGGUCGCCCACCCCUUACAAGGCGGCAUCCACCUCCGACCCCCAGACGCCAUAACCUCCCGCCCAGUGGGACUACCAGGGCGCUUUCCAAACGGUCGAAUGUGGAGAUGACCUAAUUGGGCGUGUAACCGCGACUCAACUCUCAGCCACCGAGUCCCGCCCGCUCUCACACCCCAUCUCGCAUUUCCUCUUCUGGCGGGGCUCCCCGCAUUUGGCAGGACUAGGCAGGUCAGGGCAGGGCAGGGGCUGUGAGAUUCAAUUGGCCCCUGGUGCGGCCCACCCCAAAUCUGUUUCGAACUUAGUUACUGCGGAAGAACCGUUUCAAAACCCUUGCAUCCUUCCCUCAUUUUGAAUUUUCACUGUGUCAGAAUCCUAUGGAGACCUCGUCAGCACCUACACAGGUCCUCCCCCUCUACUUCCCGUUUCCGUAGGGGUCUACUCACCUCUCCCUUGCAGCCCGCUCCUUCACUUCCGCUUGCUAAUUGCUCCUCUAUCAGUAUCUUGUAUUUGCCAUUUUUGCUGUAUCUCCCCGUUAUUUUAUGAUUUCACAGCGUCGCCAUUAUUUUUGGGCACCAAAGCGCAGACCAUUGGCCACCCGGAACGAUGCCGGUGCCGGUCACAUCAACGUUGCUCGGUUAUAGGACUCUUGUCUUCCCUCAAGCACCUGAACUUCCUUGUUAUUUCUGACUACUUGAAUUCCGUAGAACCGAAUCCAUUCCACUGUUACUCGAGCAGCCUACAUGCAUUCAAGAAAGUGUGGAUCACGACCACGAGGUGUUUACUUUCGAAGCUUUCCCUCUCUGACGUCUCCGUUGCUUUUCCCAGAGUUUGAAUGUGACGAUGAAGUCUUUUCUCCUCCUUUUUUUUCCCAUGUCAUGCCCUCUCUCACAGACCACGUCAUUUCAUUGCAUAUCAUCCCUUGCUUUUGCCUUUUCAUGACGUGUGCAGGAUUUCAAAUAUGGACUAGGUGGCAUGGUGCAGAAAAGCAUAAUCCAACUCGAGGCUUGUUGGAGGAGGUUUGUAGCAACUCUUUCUUUCUUAAAAUUUUCAUGUCUCAGCGAAGCUUCUGCAUCGAUCGCCUCAUGUCUUCAGCAAUAUUGGAUUUGUUGCAGACAUUGCAACUGGUGCUCACUCACAUGACAAUCUGGAUUGGAUAUCUUUCCAGAUGUCCAUUACUCUCUCCAGCAAACGCCAAGUUGGGUUUUUGCUAUUGCUAUUUUCAUUGUAUAUGUGUCGAUCUAUCUUGUUAGAUUUUUUUAGUCUAUUCAUAAGUGUGGAAUAAAAUGUGUGUGUGUGCAGAAAAUAGUGACAACGAUGUGUAGGCUACCAUAUGAGCAAUGUCAUUACUAAUUUGAGUACGAAUUUGUUCUAGAUUUGUGAUUAUGUAUCAUGGUUAAAUUAAUAAUGGUUCUCAUUUUUUAGAUGUUUUAAGUUUCUAUUAACAAAAAGUAUAAUGCUGAAUAUCGUACAACAUGGUAAGUUUUCUUCGCUUUGGAAUGAAUUUUUAUAUUUUUAAUCCCCUUUGUCAUCUCAUUGAUACUACGCAAUACUGUUUGAGAAAGACAAACAUGCUGCAAUAUGCUGCAUCGUUAGUUAUAAUAAUUUUGAGUACUUCAGAAAUCAAUAGGAUUUUUGUAGAAGACCCAGCACUGUACCCAGCAAACCAUGAAAAAAGAAAGUAGACAAAAAUAUACUGGUCAAAACCAAAAUCCAAAUGUGAAAAGCUGAAUUCUCCGAGGGAUGUUUUUUUCCACGGUGGAUCUGCAAAAGGCCACCAGCAGUGGAAACCAUGGAACUGUCUUCCUCCGCAACUGUUCCCAAGGCUUGACAUCAAUUGACCCCCACCCCACCCCACCCCUUUGUGGAUGGAAUUGUUGUGCCCUCCCACAAGCCAUCCGAAAUGCAACGACUCCCGGCCCUUCCCUCCUUUCAAAAGGACUCUAGUGUGAACAGAGGACCCCCUUCUCAACCCACAUGAAUAGGCACCUGCUUCAGUGUUUUCCAUUCAAACUUUCAAAUUUCCUUGACCUUGGGGAAUACAAUUACCCCGUGGUCCGCAUCAUCAUCCAUUUACCCCUCCGAUUAGGGUGAGAGGAGGGCCCAUGGUAAACACGUGUUUCAACGUCGAACCCAACUGAGAAAGGCUUUCGGGAACGUGCACAACAUUCACCGACUGAUGGGUGUUGAUGGAUGAAUGUACCGGAAACUGGGGGUUGAAGCCGAAUGUCCGAAUUUAGAUGAAGUACCCUGUGCUUCUACCAUUCCGGGUUCCAAACUGUAGAGCACAAGUAAUGCCAUGUGGCAAGACAGUGAGAGAGAAUACAUUGCUUUUGUGGGGAACUUGUUUGGGCCGAAAUAAUGUGGCUCGAGAGUUUCGAAUUUUGAAUUUGGAGGGCAGAGGUUUGGUGCCUCGGUUUUCACGGUGACUGUCCAGGCACUGCUUGGGGGUGUCUUAUCAUUUUCAUUUAAUGUUAUUAUAUAAAAUAUAUAUAUUUUUAAAUUGGUGGGUAUCAUUCUCUCACAGCCACACACACACACACGAAUGUAUUUGUAUGUUUGUAUACAUAUAUAUAUAUAUAUAUAUAUAUAUAUAUAUAUGUCAAAUGACACAUCCAAUCUCAUUGGUGCUUAAAAGAAUGGUUCCAAGUAACAAAAGGAUGAAUGCAAAACAUUGACUUAUUAUUUGUGCUAAUCAUCCAAUUUUAUUCAACAUCAAAAUUAAUUCAACUGUAUGAUUGCAAUGGAAUGUGGUGUAAGUCGCUGUGGAAUUAUCAAUUGGUUUUUAUUGUGAUAAAUGAUGAUCUCACUAUGUUAAAAUUCAAAAAUAUCUCCCUCCCGGGAAGAAUGUGGUUUGAAAGUUGUGGAGUCAUGCUUGACCUCUCGUUGCACUUUAAUAUUAUUUCCGAAAAUUGUAUUUGACUUUCAGUAAUAACUUCUCGAGUCUGAUUUUAACAGGGCAGUCAAUGAAAAAUGAUAAUUUUCAACCACUGCUGUCUUCAAACUUGGUCUUUGAUUGGUUUUAUGAAGCCGAUGAGCCCAUUAAUUCACAAUUGGUUGAUUGUGUUCACAGACAACAGAAUUUUGUAGAAAACUAAGUGCAUUUGUAAAAACUUGAUCAGUAUACACAAACAACUUGUAGAAACCUUUUUCUAUUUUUUGCUGUUUUAAAAACAGAAUAUCUACCUAUCUAUUUUAUUUCAUUUUACACCUUCUUGGUGCUCUAAGUCCUGAAUGAGAGUGUUCCAAAAACAGCUAGUCUUCAUUAAAGUUUCAUCUGGUUAAGUAGUAUUCUCAUGAUUUAAUGUGUUCAACCCUAAUUUUGAAUCCUGCUGUAAUUCAAAGCAUAUGAAAUGAAGACUUAAAAUCUAAUGCUUGCAGUUUGUGGUGUGGGCUCUCUAACAAUAGGAAUAAGUUUCAUAUCUUCUAUGAUGUUUUCUGCUCCAAUUCCUCAUUCAUGUAGGUGGAUGAAGUUUUUGGUUUUCCAAUGAAGUGUGGAGUAUUCAAAUUCCCAAAAACAACAACAAAUCCACUGUUACGUUACAAUAAUACUUAAAGUAUAAUAGUAAUAUGAUAGUAGAUUGGUAGUGUAAUGCUCUGACAUUCACAUUUCCACAGUUUUCUUUUCAUCAAUAUACACUCACAUGAAGGACUAUGUUUUGGUUUUACAAAUAAUGUGUUCAAGAAAGUUCUUAAUGUGUAAUAAUGGACCAUACAUUAAUGAAUGUUGUCCAUACAGUGUAUCCAAAAACUAUACGGAAAGCUUACUAAGCAAAUGAAAAAGAAAAAGAAAACACAAACAGAACAAGUAAUGAAUAAAGAACAAAUAAUCAAAACAACACAUAUGCAUGAAUCUGAUGGUUUCAAUUUGUACUGUAUUCUUGAAAAUUUUAUUAAAAGUAUACACUGUGAAUUUUUUUAGUGCAGUAAUAAUAGCAUGUGUAUUUUCUGCACUUAUAUAUAGAAAUCAACUUUUUGCCUUUAAUUAUUAAUAAAAAAUCAAUUUUAAAAUGUAUUCAAAAUAAUUUAAUAAUAUUAAAAUUUUUAUUCAAAAUUUUAUUAUUUUUUCAAAACAUUAUUCUAAAUUGUAUUCAAUAAUUAUUUGAAAUAAAUUCAUUAUUUUUUCAAAUUUUAUAUCUUAUAUAAAUAAAUAUACGUAAAUUAAAUUGUAAUUUAUAUAAAAAUUAAAAAAAUUGCAUCUUAGAACUAUGCAUAUAAAAAUAUCAACUUAACAAUAUUUCAUUUAUUAACCAAAUGUUUUAAAAAAUUACAACAUGAUGUAAAGUAAUUUUAAUUGAGUUUUAACACUUCUUCAAUGCACUAGUUUUAGUUCAAUGUAAUAGUCUUGUUAGUAUAAUUUCUUACAAAUUCCACUCCUAAGAAAUAUAAGAACUUUAUCUAAUGACUCAUCUCAUAUUAAUUUUCUAAGUUUGCUUUCAAGAAAUUCAUUUUCUUCAAAGUGUAGAUCAAGAUGAUUAAAUCAUCAAUAUAGAACACAAAAAUCAAUAAGAAUUCUUUUGAUUGCAUCAUAUAUAUGAAAUGAUUAGCAUCACUUCUUAUAAAUAUCAUAUUUACAAAGAAUGUGUCGAUACUUUAAUACCAUGCUUUGAUAAUUUCUUGAAAUUAUAUAAAAAUUUCUUCAACUUAUAAAUAAGGUAUUGUUUUUCUUCUUUAACAUUUCCUUGAGGUUGAUUUAUGUAGAUGUCUUCUUCUAACUUUCCAUUCAAAAAAACCAUCUUUACAUCCAUUUGAUGCAUAUCUAAAUCCUUUGCAAUCUUAAUUGCUAGAAUAAUUCUAAUGGUGGUGAAUUUGGCUACAGAAGCAUAUGUCUUAUUGAAAUCAACACCAACAACUUAAAACUAGCCUUUAGCAACCAAUCAUAUUUUAUAUUUUAUAACAACAUCCAUUGCAUCUUUUUUGAUUCUAAACAUUGACUAUAUUUAAUUGUCAAUCAAUUAAAUAUCAAUUUGAUAGAAAUUGAAAUAAUUACUAUGUUUUAUUGUCCAUAAAGAAUUAAUAUACCUUUUUUAUGGUUUUUUUUACUUCAUAAUACUUGUGGAUUUCAUAAUAUUAUACAAAUUUAAUGGAUAAAAAAGAAAUUUAAUAGUGACAUGUUUUUGAUUUAUUUGAUAAAAGUUGUAAUUCUUCCAUUAUUCAUUAAGUAGUCUUUUUUUUUUUUUUUUUUUUUUUUUUUCUUAUAGAAUAUGUCAUUUCAUUUGAAAAAGAUUUGCCUUAAUGUAUUCAAUUGUCUCUUUUAAACUUCUUUUCUUUUUAAGCUUGUCUUUUUUCAUUCAAGGAUUGAUAUUCUUUAUCAUUGUCAUCUUCAACAUCUUUAUUUUCUUUAUUAUUAGUCCAAAUAAUUGUAGAAACUAUGCUUUCUAUCUUUCUAGGCUCUUCAUCUUGUUUCACAUUUUCAACAUCUUCAUUUCUUGUUCCUUGCUAAAAUUAAAGAUAUAUCCACAAAUUUAUUAUUAUUUUUAUUAUAAAAUAUCUUCAAGUGCUCACAAAUAUUUUUAAGGAUCUUCUUCAUAUUUAAACACAUCAACCUAUUAUGAAGGACAUAAAUCAUAACAAAACUUUAAAGAAGCAAUUUACCUCUUAUAGCACUUAAAAAAAAAAAGUUGAAUAAAUCAAUAAUAGAUAUAAAACAAAAAACAAAUUGAUUAUUGAUAAAUAUAAAGAGACUAGAGAUUCUUAAGUUAAGACAAGAAUACAAAAUAGGUAUUGACAAAAAUAAGAAAGGUCUCACAUUUAUUCCAUAUAUACAAUCAAAUUAUAAUAUUAUGUGACAAAUUUUUAUAGGUCAUCUAAUAUACAUCCAAAUAGAGAGACAUAUGUCUAAUUUAUUAGAUAAGUCUCCAAUGUCUUUAUUACAUGGCCAACUUUUAUCACAAGUAGUUAACAUUUGCUACCUAUGACCAACUUGUAAAACUUGUGGUCAAUAUAUGUCACACAUGGCUAAUUUAUUGGCUAAAUUUUCAACCUAUUAAUUACAUAUAAAUAAUAAUAAAGUCAAAUUUACAUUAACAAAUCUAUUAAGAAGACUUUUUUAAAGCUAUUAUGAAAUUUAAUUAUUUUUAUUUCUACCUAAUUCUUUUUAUUCUUCUAAUUACUAAUACCAAUAUUCAUAUCUCUGAUACUUUAUAUGCCUUAAUACCUUUAUAAUAUCCAAAAAAUAAUAAUUUUGUAUUUUUUGCAUCAAAUUUUAACCUCAUAAAAUCUAAAAUAUUUGCAAAAGCAAUGCAUCAAAAAAGUCUACAUGUAUAAAAUAUAAAGUUUUCUUCUAUUCCAUUUUUUUUUAUAGUCAUUGAUGUAAGUGUAGUUAUAGAGCACCUAUUCCUUAUAUUUAGUACAUUUACUACAACUUCCAUCUAAAAGUCAUAUCCAAAGUUUUAAUCAUGAAGCACACUCCUUGCCAUCCCAAUAAUGGUUCAAAUUUUUCUUUAAGCAACUCCAUUUUUUUGUAGAGUGUAAAGAAUUGAUAUUUUUUUGAAAAUAUUUUUAAUUUUUGAGAAAUCAUAAAAAAUCUUUAAUAAAUACUUAUAAGUACUAUUUGUAUACAACAUCUUAAUCUUGUAUUUGUAUUGCUUCUUUGCAAGUGUCAUAAAUUCCUUCUAUCUUAAGAAAUACUUAUUUUUAUUUUUAAGAAUGAUAAUCUAUUCAAUUCUUUAAAAAUUAUUAAUAUAUUUGAUAAAUUAUCUUAUUUUUCUUAUUGAUGGCAUCUUUAUUGGUCAACUAACAUCCAAAUGCACAAUUUUUGAUAACUUAUCUAUAUGGAUUGCAACUCUAUUUAGACAUGAAGCAUUUUUUUAUUUGGCUUAAAUCAAGCCUUUACAAUAAGAAUCAUUAUAUUAAUGGAUGAUUAAAUAGGAUCCAAACUAUUUAUUAUAGAUUGAAGAUCUUUCAUCUUUUCUUCAUUCAAAUGACAAAGGUAUCAAUUAAAAAUACCAAAUUUAUCUUGAUCUUGUGGAAACCUAGCAAUUACAUCUAUUUCAAUUGUAUUCACCUUCUUUCAAUAGAUAAAGUAAAAUUUUUCAUCUCUUAAAGUUAUGGAAAAAUUAUCACAACAUAAUGUCUUUACAAAAUACCUAUUUGUAUUAAAAUGCACCUUAAAACCAUUUAAAACAAGUUUGUUCAUUAAAAAGAAGUUUUUCUUUAUAUUGAACAUAUGUAAAACGUCUUUCAAUCUGAUCUUCUUAGUUUGGUCUUUUACAAAAAUCUCCACCAUAAGAAAGUACAUUUUAAUGGCUUAGACCAUGCCAUUGUUUUCCAUCAAAAUUCUUGUUUCUAAAAUUUCUUUAUAAGCAACAAACAUAUAGUUUUAUAUUAUUAUGUCCUUGGUGGCAUCCAUAUCAACAAUCUACUUUGAUGUAACAGCUAUGGAGAUGCCUUUACUUGCCAUUAAUAAAUAUUUAUUUUAUCUAUAUUUAUAACAUAUAUUUUACUAUUUUUUCUAAUUUAUUUCUUAACUAUGUAGUAAUUUUAAGUAAAAUGAUAUAACUUUCUACAAAUAAAAAAGCUCCUAUAUUACUACAUUAGUUGAAAUAGAAUUCUUUUUUUUAUCUUAAAAAGAUAGUCAAAUCUUAAUUUGAUUUUUUUUUUUUUUUUUUCCACCUUAGUCACUAUAUAGAGAAGUCUAAUUAUCUAUCAAAGACAAGAACAUGAUAAAGAAAAUUAAACAAGUGAGACUGCUUUCAUACAAAGAUGAAAAAAUAGAAAUAACUUUAUAUAUAUAUAUAUAUAUAUAUAUAUAUAUAUAUAUAUAUUAAGAAAGAAACUGGAAUGGCUAUUGCCAAAAGCCAAGAAAACUAGAGACCCUUGAAACUAGACUGGAAGCAAGAAAGGAGUUGACAAGAAUGAAGAAGGCUUCACUCUUACCUCUAUAUAUUCUAUCUAACUAAAGCUACGUGGCGACAUUCUAUAGGACCUUCAAUAUGUGUUGACUUUGUAGGACACAUGCCUUGACUUACAAGGCAAGUUUUUUUACAUGUGGGCCACAUAGUUAGCUUGGUAUUCAAGCUAACAAUAUGUGUGGCACAUGGCCAACUUGUUGACCACGUUUGUAAUCCCAAAAAGUCAAUUAAAGACACCUAUAAAGUCAAAGCAGCAUCUAUAAAGCUUUUGGGAAGCUUCCAUAUCAAAUACUAUAUAAAUAACUUACUUUUAUCUAUUUCUAUUUACUUCUACUUAUUUAUACAUAUAAUUAUUGGCUUACAUGUAUAUAUCCAUGAUAUUACCCUCCUUCUAGGGACGAGUUCCGCGAGGAGCGGUAAUCAUAUGUUGGAGAAAUCGAUGAUGCGACAAAUUAUAUUUGCCACAUACUCUGAUCUUUCUUCUCUUUGAAGAUGAUUGAUAGGGCCUCUCAACCUUAGAUGGUCUUCCCACCUUAGUAAAAUCACCAAACAUCAAAAGUUCCUUCCAAGGUCGUGAUACCAAACGUGUUGUAACUUGCCAUCUAUGCGACAAAGAACAUGUCAUUCUUGAAGAUCUUCAUCUCGAUUGCAUCAUCUUGAAGAUUGUGACAAUUGUAAUAUCUCGUCCGGCAGAUCAGUAAAUGAAGGCUCUUGAGUCGAAUCCGCUGGUUAUUAGUUCUCUAUUUCUUGAGCGUCACAAUUAGAAAGAAGCUACAAACAAGGAUUGAAAGUAGAAUGUUAUUUUGCCUAGAUCUUAUUUUUUUUAUAAGAAAUGUUUUAAUCUUGAUUUUGAUGGAUGUCAUCGAUGAAAAGCCUCCACUUCCUUUGUUGCAUUUGUAAGAUUCUUUACUGGCUCCUAUGUCUGUUCACUAAUAUCAUAUUUGCGCCAAUGGACAAGAUAUUCCAAUUUAUUUUGACUCCGCCUUGAAUCUAAGACUUCUUCCAAUUCAAACUUUUAAUUAUUAUCCACUUCUAUAGAAGGAGGUGGAGCUUGUCUUCUUCUUAGUAUGUCCACUGUCUUCUAUGGUUCAAGAAGAGAUACAUAGAAUACUGGAUGGAUUUUUAUUGAUUCCAGUAGAUAGAAACAAUAUGCGACUGGAUUCAUGCAUACAAAAAUAGAAAAUGAUCCAAGCCUUCGUUAGUCCAACUUAUCAAAAAGACGAGUGGUCUUGAUAUUGCGAUGAAGUAACCAUACCUUAUUAUCGAUGUGGAAUGGUGGUUGUUCAUUUCGAUAGACAUCCGCAUUGAACUUUUAUUGUUCUUGAGCUUCUUUUAAUUGUGCCUUUAUCGUUGCAUGUAGCUCUAACAAAUGAAGUGCCAAAUCUUUCGCAGCAGGAUUAUCAACUUUUGAAAAGUCAAAAGUAUCAAGUUGUGGAUGAUAACCAUAAUUAGGAAAAAAAAGGUGUUUGUUUUGUAGAAGAACGUACCAUGUUAUAGUAAGCAAACUCUGCCAAUGGCAAAAGAGUUGUCCAAUCAUCUUGUUAGUAGUUAAUGGUACAUCUUAAAUACUGCUCGAAAACUUGAUUAACAUGCUCCGUUUAUCCAUUAGUUUGAGGAUGGAAUGUCAAAGAUAGUUUUAUAUCCACUUUUAAAAUCAUGAAAAGAGUGUGUCAAAAUCUUGAUACAAAUUGAGUUCUCUUAUCUCAUAAUAUCAUUGAAUAAUCUAUGAUAGCAAUAGAUAUUGUCAAGAAAGAGCUUAGUUGUUUCUUCACACGUGAUAGAUUUUGUACAUAGUAAAAAAUGUAUCAUCUUGGUAAAAUGAUCUACUAUCACGAAUAUAGAGUCAUAAGAACUUGAGAUUGGAAGAUCCAUGAUGAAAUCUAUAGAAAUAGAAGACUAUAGUUGUUCUGGAAUGGGUAAUGGCUGAAGAAGUUCGUAAGGUCUAUGAUGAGGAGUUUUUGAUCUUAAGCAAACAUCACAAGAUUGUACAAAAUCUUUGAUUGCUUUCCACAUUUGUGGCUACCAAAAGUCCCUGGAUUUUAGUUCCAUAGUUUUAUUGUAUCCAAAAAGUCCUCCCGCUGGAAAGUCAAGACAAGCUUGAAGAACACUUAUUGAGCUUUACCUUCUAGAAUAUAUAUGCGUCUCUCAAAAUAUAUUAGAUUCUUCUUGAAUUCAAAUUUGGAAGUAUCAUGAGACUUUGAAGGAUUUUUCUUAGUAUCACGGAUAAGAGGAUCAGAAGAUAUACUUGACUGAACUUGCUUAAUGAAAGUUGAAUCAAGAGUUAAUAUUGAUUUCAUUGCUCGAAGAUGAAGAUGCUUUGGCUUCAAGAAAAUUAUCCAUUGUUGAUCAAAAGUAGCAUCUCAUUCCUUUGGUACAAGAUAAGAUCGUCUAGAGAGUACAUCUAACAAACCUUGUUGUUUUCUUAGUUUAUAAGUGAUCUUGAAUUUGAAUCUUGACAAAGACAUACUUCAACGAGCUUGGCGACCAUUCAAAAUACGUACUAACGUAAAAUAUUCAAGGUUCUUGUGAUAUAUAUACAUUGUGACUGGCUAGAAGCACCUUCUAGAUAACGGUGCCAUUCUUGAAACGAAUUUAUAAUUGCAAGAAGUUCUUUGUCCUAGAUCACGUAGUUAAUCUCGGUUGUUGAAAAUUUGCUAGAAUGAAAAGCUAUUGGGUGAAGUUUAUCAUGUGUUCCCAUUUGUGACAAUACGGCAUGCAAAGCAAAGUCUAAUGCAUCUGUUUCCAUAAAAAAUGGCUUAGAAAAAUCGAUGCGAUACACGAUUAGUGCAUAAAUAAAGGCCGUCUUUAGAACUUCAAAUGCUACUUCUGCUUCUUGAUUCCAUUGAAGUUUGUCUUUGCAAGUCAAACGUGUAAGUGGAGCUGCAACUUGAAAGAAGUCUUUGAUGAAGAUCCAAUAGUAGUUGGCAAAUCCCAAAAAGCAUUGGAUAUCUGUUACCAUUUUUGGGAUCUUCCAAUCCAUAAUAGUUUGAACUUUCUUAGGUUCCGUCAUAAGUCCAUCAGUUGAAAUGAUGUAUCUUAAGAAGUUGACUUGAGUAAUAUGAAAUACACACUUUUUUAUCUUGGCAUAGAAUCCUGCAUCUCUUAGUCUUUGUAAUACUUGGAAAAUAUGAAGUUCAUAUUCUUCUGGGUUUUGAGAAUAGAUUAAGAUGUCGUCUAUGUAACAGACAACAAAAUCAUCAAAAAACUCCCAAAAGACAUCGUCCAUUAGAUGUUGGAAUAUUGCUCGUGCAUUUGUAAGUCCAAAAGGUAUGACGUUGAAUUUGAAAUGUUUGUACUUUGUUCGAAACGCAAUCUUCCAUUCAUCUCAUUCUUUGAUGCGUACCAAAUUGUAUGCUCUCUAUAGAUCUAUUUUUGUAUAGAUCUUAACUUGAUUCAACUGAUCAAGAAGUCUAGAUAUCAAAGGUAGUGGGUACUUGUUACUUGAUAGUGUUUUUGUUGAGUCCUCAAUAAUCAACACACAUCUGCAAUGAUCCAUCUUUUUUCUUUACAAAUAAAAUUAGAACUAGUGCUGGAGAUUUGAAAUGGCAUACGAAAUUCUUAGCCAAAUUCUCUUGAAUAUACUCCUUGAGUUCAGCUAACCCAUUUUGAGAUAAAUUGUAGAUUGGUCCAAAUGGUGAUUGUGCUCUUUCUUGAAGGUCAAUUGAGCACUCACAAGAACAAUAUUCUGGAAGAGUAUGCACAUUCUUUUUCUCAAAUACAUCUUGAAAAUCUUGAUAUUGGCUUAAUAUGAAACUUGAAGUCUUUCCACUAGUAGAAAUAGGUGUGGCAUAAAUGACAAAAGGUGAUCCUUCUUUUGCAGCAUGCAUGAAAGUACUUGCACCAACAAAUAUAUGUUUAAUUACACUAGAGUUAUGACUUUUUACUUGAUUAAUUACACUCUUAGUUAUACUUUUAGAAAAGUCAAGACUAUGAGAAGUCUAAUCUAUUUUAGGGUUAUAUUUUACUAGCCAUGAUAAAUCUAAAAUGACUAGAUUAAAAAGAGAUCUAAUGAUAUUAAAUAUUACAAAGCUACUAGGACCAUUAGUUGCUAUUUCUAUAGAAAGGAUUUUUUGAGUAACAUCUCUUAAAGGCAAUCGACGACCAUCUAUGACUUCUACACGAACAAGUUUAGUUUUCUUUAUUAAAAAUAUGAUAUGUCUUUUAUCAAAUUUUUCAUCUAAGAAACAUGUUGAGGCUCCUGAAUCUAGCAAGGUUGAGGGUUUGAGAUGUUUAGGUCCUAGAAUUACAUUUAUCGUAAAACAUGGAAAGGGUUCUGAGGAGAGGAUAGGACCUUCAUUAGGCAUUGUAUAAGGUUCUAGGUGCACGGUCCCUAUUGUAGUUGGACAAAUUCACUUUCCGACAUGCUAUCUCUUUUGAUUGUCGUACUCCUCAUUUUAUGGUUGCGUCGCUUCUUUAGACAAUGUUGAGUAGUGUGCUUAGGUUCUCUGUAAUAUAAGCACAAUUCUUCCUAAUGACGACAAGUCUUUACUUGUUCAGUGAGAGGUUUGAAACGUACUGCAUCAUUUGCAUAUUCUCUACUUCUGAAUAUAUGUAUUGAAGAGAUGUUGGUGUUGCUAUUGAAUUAUAGUAAUGUUGAGGUUCACUUGUACGGUUCUCAGAUCGAAAUUCAAAAAGGUAAUUGUUACACUUCACAACAAAGUCAAUUGUUUGAUUUAAUGUUUGAGGAUCUGGUAAGUUGAGCAUUAAUUUUUUUACCUCAUAUUAUAAUCUAUAGAGAAAUUGACUAAUAAGUGGAGCAUCAUUCCACUUGAUAUUAAUUACAAGUUGUCAAAAUUGUAAAGCAUAUAAUAUUACUGAUCGAUUGUCUUGUUAUAAAAUACGGUUGCAAUACGAAUUGUAUCAUGUUCUCCAUACAAGGAUCAAAACUCUGCCAAAAAAGCCUCUAGAUUAUCCAAUAUUCGAUCUCGUCAUUCAAAAAAAGAUAAAAAUCAUGAUAAGGUUGAACUUGAAAGAAGCGUACCAAUGAAUUUAACUUGUGAUCUUGAAGUUGUAUAGCUUUGGGAUUGAAGUUCAAUCACAAGUUAUACUUGAUUAAUAAAUCAUCUAAACUUUGAUCUAGUGCCAUCAAACUUCUUGAGUAGGACAAUUCUUGGUUCUCUAAUAUUGGAAGGAUAUUCCACCAUAAGAGAAGGAAUAUGAUUUGGUGUAGAUGUUGAAGUAGCUCUAAUCAUUUCUACAUCUUCACUUUCUGCCAGUCUUGUUGCUCCCUAUAGUGGUAAAUUGAGUUGAUGCAUCGUAAGCAUUAACUCCCUCAAUUGCUCUUGCAUUUGUGCCAUUGCAUUCUUCAUUUCAAUAAGUUCUGCUAUGAUAAUACUUAGAAAAGAGAAGAUGUCUAAUAUUGUUCAAGACAAAUAGAAGAGAGGACUUGAGAACAAAGAAAAUACUAAGGAUAAUAUAAGUUUAGAAGAGGGUAAUCCGCAACUUCUAAUAUGCUUAUGUCUUAUCAAGAAAAAUAGAUAAUCCACUCUUAAUCAAGAUUAGACAAAGCUCUGAUAUUGUAAGUAUACUCUUAUCAAUCUGUGAAGGACAAGAACAUGAUAAAGACAAAUAAACAAGUGAGACUUCUCUCAAAGAAAGAUGACAAAAUAGAAAUAACUUGAUAUAUAUUUAUUAAGAAAGAAACUGAAAUGGCUAUUGCCAAAAGUCAAGAAAACUAUAGACCCUUGAAACUAGAUUGGAAGCAAGAAAGGAGUUGAUAAGAGUGAAGAAGGCUUCACUCUUGUCUCUAUAUAUACAUUCUAAGUAAGGGCUAUGUGGCGACGUUCUGUAAGACCUCUAGUAUGUAUUGACUUUAUAGGACACAUGCCUUAACUUACAAGGCAAGUUUUUCUAUAUGUGGGUCAGAUAAUUAGUUUCGUAUUCAAGCUAAUAACAUGUGUGGCACAUGGCCAACUUGUUGACUAUGUUUCUAAUCCCAAAAAGUCAAUUAAAGACACCUAUAAAGUCAAAGCAACGUCUAUGAAGCUUCUGAGAAGCUUCCAUAUCAAAUACUAUUGAAUUAACUUACUUUUAUUUACUUUUACUUACUUCUACCUAUUUAUACAUGUAAUUAUUUACUUACAUGCAUAUAUCCGUGACACUAUCACAUAGUACAUUGUGAUUUUUUUAAAUUUAAUAGACUUUAUUGCUUCAAAGAGGUCAUUGUAGAACUUUAAAACACUCAUAAGCAAGGUCAUGAUAAUAUCACAAGUCAUCUAAAGCCUUCUUAAUAAUUACUUAUUAUUUUGCAAUAGCCUUAAGCUUGUUGACAUGAGACAUAAUAUAUAUAUAUAUAUAUAUAUAUAUAUAUAUAUACAUAUAUAUAUAAAUAUCUUUCUCAUUGUAAAAAGUAUGAUAGAUUCUUUUUUUUUUUUUUUUUUUUUUUUUUAAGUAUUAGAAAGAGUCUUCUGUGCUAUUGUUGGUCCUUUAUAAAAGAUGAAAUUAGCAAAAUUGGCUUCAUCCAAAUUGAUAGCAAUCAAGCCAAAAAUCUUCUUUUUAUGUUAUUAAAAAUUAUUUCUUUUAUUUAUAUUAACAUGCAUACUUGAAGGAUAUUCACUUUCAUCAAUACUAUCCUACAAAUCCAAUAAAGCCAACAAAUCUUCUAUUUUUAUUUUUUAAUCGUAAAACUUUUUUUUCCUAAAGCUCUUAAAAUUAGCAAAAAGAUGUUGCUUCAAAUGUUAGAAUUUGCUCUUUGUAAACAAAUUAGUGUUUUUUAUUUUCAAAUAACAUUCAACAUCAUGUUUAAGAAUUCACACAAGUUCUAUAAGUAAUAUCAACAUUUCAAACAUUUCAGAUUAGUCACUUAUAGAUCACUUCUUUGCAUAUAAAUCAUCUCUUAUUAUAGUAAUCUAAAACAUCAUUUUAUUUGGAUUUAGAUUCUUAAGUAAUAUUCGAUGUUAUUAAUACAUUUUUAUUUGUAUAUAUUUUUUAAAAUAAACAUUAAUAAUAUUUUAAAUAUAACUUAAACAUGUGAGUUCUAAAUAAUCAGUUAAAUUUAACUUUAUUUUUGCCACUAUUAUAGGUAUAUGUAUAUAUAAAUAUAGAAAGAAAGAGAGCCAAAGAGAGAGGUUUUAUUUAUUUACUUUUUAUUAAAAUUUUAUUUAUUAUUACAACUCUUACAAGAAAUAAAUGCAGAUUAUAUAUAUAUAUAUAUAUAUGAAAUUUUUUUUUAUUUUUAUUUUUAUUUUUAAACUUAUUAAAUUUCAUUUGUUUUGCUUUAAAUUAAAUGAAAAUUUUUCUCUUCUUGACAUAGAAUUUUUUUAUUUGAAAUAAUAUUUAUGAUUCAAAUAUUAUGUUUUCUUUUGAAUUUUGUGUAAAAUACUUGUAUUAUAAAAUUUCUUUUAACAGAAUAAUCCUUUUCUAUUAAUUAUUUUAUUAAAUUUAUUUUCUAUUUGUACUUUUAAGUAGCUUGUAUAUAAAUUACACAUCAUAAUGUAUUUUAAUGUUGAAAACAGUUUUGGAUUUUUAUUUUUCUUAAAACAAAAAUAUUUGAAAUCAUUCAGAUUGCUUAGUUUAAAAUGUGAAUAUUUAGACUUAAAAAAUUAUUAAAAAAUUAAGUAAUUGUCCGUGAUUUUAAAAAAAAAUCUCCUUAUUCUAUAAUUAAAUUUUUAGAUUCUUUAUAACCAUUACAAAUUAAUUGUAGAAAUUUAUAAAAUUUAUAUGUACUCAAGAUCAUGAGUGUUUCUUUAAUGAAUUCAUUUAAAAAUACCUUCCAUAUUUAUUAGAUAAUUUUAGAAAAUCCAACAUAUUCUUUGAUAAAACAGCUACAAAGAUAGAAAAAGAUAGAAAAAGGAAUAAAAUGAAAACCGGACUUCUCUAAAUCAUUUUUUAAAAAUAUUUUCUAUUUAAAUUUAAAAAUUAUAUACUUAAGUUUUCUAAAUAUUAUUACCACAGCCUUAAACAACCUCUGAUUUUUUAAUAAUAUAAAUAUUCACCAGAAAAACAUAUUUUAAAUGGUCGCAAUUGAAAUCCUGACUACAAAAUAUCAACCUUCUUUGAAUGAUUCUAAUUCAAAUAUGUGACAUUUUGUUGCAUGAGGAUAAAGGAAAAGAAAAAUGAGGAAAAUGCACCAUCAAUAAUAAAAUAAUUGUCUUGUUUUGUUUUUCUCUUAUAUUUUUGCAUUUAAUAUCAUAUCCGCUUUAUUACUAAACUAUCCCAGAUCAUCAAAAUAAACACUUUAAUACAAUUGUACUUUGAAAUAAAUGUAUUUUAAAAUUAAAAUUUAAAAUGAGAUAUUAAAAAGUGUCAUGCUACUAAAUCUCUUCAAAGUAAGAAUUUACCAAGGAAAAUAUCUCGCCACUCUUUGCCUAACUUGUAGGAACUCAAAUCAACUCGCAACACAACACCAGCAAAUGCUGGACUUAAUGCACAAAGUUGUGCAAGUUGCUUUUAAUCUGGUGAGCACACUGUGCCUCUGUGCAAGUUCGGGAGCGCCACCACCGACCCACCCACCACUCCUACAGGUCAGCUAAACUUUCACUUUCCCAUCCAGAAAGGCCGUGCAUGUUUAUAUUAUUCAUCCAAUUUCGAUGACGUUCAUCUAGAAUUCAUCCAACUGGACAGUUUCUUCGUAAUUGAGGUCCCCAUCUCGGUGGGCUGCAGUAACAAACGGUCAUCUGCAUCAUGCUCUAGGAUCCACCUCCACGUUACGCUUUGAAAUAGUUGACGAAUUCUGCCGUUGUUUGCUGGUGGUAAGCCGCAUCCGAUUCCCAUCGCUGCAAUUUUCUCGGCAUUUUAUAAUUGGGUAGGAUUGUCCUUUUUGACCUUGUUCGAGACUUUCCACAAGGGAUAUUUUUUAGUGGUGGAAUUAGGGUUUGUAUCUGGAACGGAAGUUACCACUUGCGACAAAUCGAAUUGGGUGUGGGAGAGAUUGAGGUCAGAGGGUGGGGAUGGGAAAUGAAUUGGGUCUUAACGAGAUAAAGCUUUUUAGUAAGAGGGGCCAAAGAUGUUGGGGGUGUUUGGCUCUGUUGGCCACGUUGCAUGUAUUGGGUGGAGGGAUUGCCUCUACUGGGACAGCCAGGACUUGGCCUGACAGUGGGCGAAGAAUAAUCUGUCAGGUAGGUACGCUUGAUCGGACCUGUUAGUGAAAGUUGUGGAAAAAUUGAUGCGUUUUAGUUGUACACGGGUAGAUGGUGGGAGUCACCUAUUGAGCGGGGAGGUUGGAUAGUAUUCAUUUCACAUGAAUGCUGGGAAUGAUGGCUCCAGAAAGCCUUGAAUGCGCAUGUAGGAGGAGUGAUAGACAUGGCGACAUCUCAAAGAGGUUUGGAGAGCUCUUGAUAUGAAACGGUGAGUGAGCGUUUUGCUGCGUUAAUGCACUAUGUUGGAGUCAUUGUCACAUGGAAGUGGCUUUCUCUGGGUACUCACGUAGGGGGAGUGGUUUGUAAUGUUGCAGCAUGAAGUAAGUUCUUCCAGGUUGUCCGAAAGUUCAGUCAUUUUGCAGUGUAUGUCUCGGUGCAGGUCUGAAUCACUGCUGUCCAGUGUCAUGGUUGCUUAGGUGUGCGGCUUCGAGUCAAUUACUGGAAUAUGUUUUUGAAAAGAGGUUUGCAACAAUCACCUCUAUUGGGAUCGCGCGGGGGUUGUGUCGUCAUCCUUGACCCCAAUUGUGUCAAACGUGCCUCUCGCUUUCAUCUUAGGGGAAGACACAGAAUGCUUUUGUUUAAGCAUAUGAAGCACUGAAGAUGCCGGUCGAAGGAUGGACAAUGCAGAUUGUACCGCUGUGGCCUGGGAACAACAUUUGCGACCAUCCCGGGAUGAUCCAGGUAUGUGGAGUGGUGGAUGGGCGCAAGGAGUGUGGGGUUUUGGGGAGUGGGUUUAGAUGUGUAGAGUUUGGUAUUGAAGGUUGGAGGGAGUGGAAUUCAUGUUGCUAGGACGCAGUGGGCGGAAAUAAUUGUGCAUCCGAAGUUGAUGAAUGCGCGCGUGGGUAUUGCAGAUGUUUUUGGGACACAGCGGGGUCACUACACGGAGGGGAACGAGCUGCCACGGCUGGUGUAUGUGUCUCUAGAGAAACGACUCGGGUUCAAGUAUCACAAGAAGGCCGGUGCCACGAACGCGUUGGUGCGGGUGCCUGCGGUGCUAACGAAGGCGACUUUCAUCCUGAGUCUGGAUUGUGAUCAUUACAUCAACAACUGCAAGGCGCUCCGGGAAGAUAUGUGCCCUUUGAUGGAUCCCAUCGUGGGAGGAAGAGGGUGUGCUACGUUCAGUUUCCUCAGCGGUUAGAUGGCGUUGACAGGAACGAUCGAAAUGCCAAUCACAACACCGUUUUCUUCGACGUAAGUGUAGAAGACAGCGUGAAUUCCGACAUGGACAGUCGUGAGGGCGGGAGUGUGCUGCAUGUUGUGGAUAUGUCCCGUGGUUGUGAAAUAUGGUUUGAGAACGCGGUGGCGGUGCAAGGUUGAGGUGGGGUUCAAGUCAAGGGGUGUGAGCUCUCACAGGGGCAUGUACAAGGUCAUAAGGCGUAGAACGCUCAUUUCGAAUUCUCAAAACCUCCUAAGCACUGGUGUAAUCGAUCUGGCGUACUGUCGCAUCUUGCUUUCCCAAAAUUUUGACCUUUACGCCUCACCAGCUGCGAUGGAUUCACUACAGAUGAGAUCACAGAGAUUACGAAAAAAUGAAGUUAUAAAAUUUUGCUCUUUACUUUUCAUCAAUGUCAUUUGAUGUAGAAACUUACCAGGGUAUCAUGUGACGAGUGUUCGCGAAGUUCAUGUGGGCUUCGAGCAAUCUUUCCACAUGCCAAACCAGAAACGGGCUUUGCAUUUCAAUCUUCAGUCAUGUGAUUAAAAGUCGAUUCAAAAGCACCAACGUUGUUGAGAUUUACGAAUGUGCAGGUACUCACAAACUUGGUGAGUAAUGCAAUUAAGUUCACUGAGCGAGGCGACACAAAGAGCACAUGGAAGCGCGUCAAUGAAAUGAUUGUAUGAGCAGACCAGGAUAAUCCAGUUGUGGUGCAAGCAACUAAUGUUCUUUGCUGACCAAGUGCGUAAAAGUGAGAUGACCUAACGUUGUUGGAUGUAUCCUCCAAGUGAGUGUGACCAGCACAGGUUGAGAAAGGUUUUCUGUUUCUCAUAUAAUGGCUUCUUUGAAGCGCACAGGGGCAUUUAGAAGAUGAUAAGGCCCAGAAAGUUCAUUUCGCAUUCCCAAAACCUCCUGUGCACUCCGAUACUGGGUUAUCACAUUUCUUAAGUGCUUUGAGUGGGGUUUUGGGUUUUUGGUUCAGUGGCUUUCCCUUAGUUUUGGAGUACUGAGCGGAGAUGGUUUCCGAGGCGGUGGUCGGUGUGGCCCUUGUGGCACAGGUGGACCUUGUUACCCUUCGCACCAAUCUCAAAAAAUCCGUGGCCAGAUUCACUCUGUUUAUUCCUUUGUCUCCCUUUUAGUUUUUCAGCUCCUAAGUCGUGUUCACUGCAGCACGUGAAAUAUCCCUGCACAAUUUUCUUCUUCCCUUUUCUUUUCAGAGGCAAAUCUGUGUUUCCGUUUUCUGAAGCAACUGUGCAGGGUGUGAAGUGCUCAGGGUAAUUCUCUGGUACACCGUUGCACUACAACAUUGUAUGUUUUGCAUGACUGCCGUGAUUUAUACGUGUUUUUGCAGCUCCAUAAACGUCGAUUAUCGAUCUGAAUCUUUGGGUAACAUUGUGAAGACAACAUUAGCUGUUGACCCUGAAGUACACUACUCUUGAUGGUGCUUACUGUUCAUGGAUGUAAUCUAUACGUGGCUUUUGAGAUCUAUGCAGAAGGCAUAGUCUGGGAAGUAUUAGUGGAUUGCAAUGCGUACUUUUGGAUUAGGCAAGGUUCUAUCUGCGAAUUGUACAUCUCUCAUUCUUGGUCAAAGCAUUCCUUAUGCUUAACAUUUGUUACAUUUGCUUUACAGUUGCAACCAGACAAGGUUCAAAGGGAAAUGUCAGUUCAAGGGGUUCGUGAUCAGUUUGAGUGAUGGUGCAUCUUGCUGCUUUACAGUGCGUGGGACUUAUACUGGGUGGGUGUUUUCGAGUAUUCAUGUUCGAGACCUUGAUGGCGAGUCAGUAUUUGAAUUGAACACAAGUUUGUGAAGAACGUCGGUUUGCAAAUGUAGAAACUCUUCAUGUGCCCUUUCUCAAGCGGUGAAAUAGAAUCAAGUGUCUCUCUACAAGAGGAAAUGUGCCACGAUCUCAACUUCCUUUGAGGAGAGAUGCACGACAUGAACAUGUUGGACCAUUAUGAGGAAAACGUGGGUUCCGGAGUGGUUUGGCAGUUUCGGGAGCAAUGAAACUGACACUCUCUCCAUCUGAUCAGAAACUCUAGAAUCUAUCACAAAAGAUGUUCUUUCAACACCUUUGUGAAAUGAAAAUUCUCUCAAAUGAAAAUUUUAGAAAAUCAUAGACAGCGUGGUUCCAACUGAAGUUCACCUUUAGCUUGUGUAAUAUUAUUAUUCAUUAACGAACUUUACUCCACCCGUUGUUACUUCGUGUCAAAUACGCUAGUUUAUCGUAUUACAAAAUUGUGCAUUUAGACACUUUUGCUUAAAUUAUAUUACUUUGGAAAGGUGCAGAGCUGAAGCCUCUUCAUUGAAGAAGAUUCUAGGAAUUCCUAAUCUUUAUCGCACUCUCCUCUGGCAACUUCACACAUAGCAAUCACAGGCGGCAGGAGGUACCACCUCGAACCCAUUUGUGCCAAGUCGAUUGGCUUCGAUCAAAAAUAUCGAACAUCUGGUUGACGUGGCUAUGCCACGACGGACGGCGGGGAAGAUUCUCAGCUUUGUGUGCCAACCAUGCUGCCGGGAGCCUGCUAUUCGCCGAUCCGGUGUUGGCUUCCAUCAUGCUUCCAAUCCUAGAAGCCGGAAGCUAUUGGACGCACAUCAUCUGGACGGAUGGAGAUCCCGGUCUGCGCGACGGAAGCACAGCACCUCAACUCUGGCGACACAGACCACAGAGUAAAAGUUUGUUUGGCUUUGUGGGGGGAAACCAUUGCUUUUCAGCCGUGAUGCUCUGUUUAAUGGAUUGGAAUGAACUGGUAAGCAGGUUCGUGUAACCUUGCCCGAUCGAUGGGAGCCGUCGGGGUUGUAGAGGUCGUUGACAUGAGACCGUCGGAUAUGGAUUUUCUCUGACAAUCAUCUGGACUUAUCACUGCCUGUGGGUCAGUUGGUUUGCAAGAGGAUGCUGCGGAGGAGCUGUAAUUAGCAGUCGAGGUCUUCACACGCGCCGUAGAAAAGUGUCCUUAUCCAAUUCGUGCCACGUGAGUCUAGUUGGGGGAGUUCGCAUGCUUGGCUACAGCAUUGAGCCGUCUCAUUCGCCGACGGUUUCUACAUAAGGGAAGUGCACAUGCUGACUGAUUAGAGUUCUCUCACUUACAGCUUCGUCGAGAAUUGCAUCUCUAUUGGAGUAGCCUGUUGUUUGUUUCGGGAGGUCGAUUCUUGGGUAUUCGUUGCAGAUUUGGAGUGCAAGAGGUUCGCGUCUCGGCUUGAGAUCCAGAGAAUUUUGGAAGGCAAUCGGAAAGGUUUGUUGCUUUAAGGUAUUCAUGGCUUUGAUAAUGCAAGCGUUCGGGUGCUCGUCAACCUUCACUAGUGGAGCGCCAUUGGUAGGAGUGCGAAGAUCGCCUUCCGUGUGCAAGCGAGCUGGAACUUUGUCUCCACGAAGCUCUCUUGUUUUGCCGGUACCUAGCGUCCUCCUGGAACAGAUGUCUGUAGUCGUACAUGCAUUGUGAUUACGCAGGUUGAUGUGUGCUAUGAAGAUCACAGGAUUUGAUCAUUUUUCAAUGUGAGUUUUAGAGAAGUAGGUUGAUUGUUGAAGUUCUCAUUUAUAUAAUGUGAUUAAGCAGGGUGGGGACGAGUGCUACUUGUCACGAGUGGACUACGAAGACGUUUCCAAUCAGUGGCUUUCAGCAGAUUUCUUAGACCUGCGGUUGCGAUCUUCAGGGUAUUUUCUCUUCUGUAGCUUUGCAUUUCGGAGUACCGUAACUUACCAUCAAUAUAUCACCAACUUUUCGUGAGUCAUUUAUAUUCCUUUCUAACUCCGCCUGAAAAUACGUCAGGUUGAUUUGCAAUGAGGCCGUUCAAGCUCUUCAAAAGCAUUUCCAAAAGAAGGGCGUGAAGCAACCCGGUGUUCACGAAGCGAGCGUCGCAUCAAGCAAUACCAAUCAGCAAAUUCUGGUAUGCCCUACUAACACUCCUUCCCUCCUCUGCUACACGCAUUGUCACCAUAAUAAUCUGUUGCCGCCCUUCGCUUUGCCCCUAAUGUACAUGUUCGUCGUGCUGCAAGAGCAGGCCUCGUCGUCGGCAUGCCAAGUGAAGGCUCCUGCUAUACCCCGGGUGGUUGUAUUCGACGAAGCUCUUUUCGCUCAACUGUACAACCCCAGCACCAUAUACACCACGACGUGCAGCAUUUUGGACGAAACAUUCUGUUGAUCGACACCAGCGAGUUCGACGCACCUCGAGGCGCAGCCCUAACCUGCACCGUUGACAACAAUGGGUGCAGGGAAGCUGUUAUGACCUCGACGUGGCUUGAUCACGCACUCUGUACAAAUGAAAAAUUGUGCUGCCAUGCCUCUACAUUGCGAGGUUGUAACAUAUGUUUAUAGAGGUCAGAUCUUCCUGUAUAAAACUGUCGUGCUUAUCAACUGCAUUUUCUCAACCUGCUUGCUGCAUGUGGACUAUCAGUGACGGAAACGGAAGGCUACUGACGAUCAUAGCUAUUAGAGUUUUAGGUUCAACAGGCUUGGCGUCGGUUCGAGGCAUACCUUUGUGCUCGUUUCACUGGGAUGGGCACUUUAACUGCAAGGCUAGAGACUAUUUAGGGUUUUACUUUAACCUUUUCCCCCUCCAUGUAGCAACACAGAUGAGCAUUUCGUCAAUAAGAAUGCAUUUCUAAGCACCUUUUGAAGGAUUUGCUGCAACACCUUUAAUGGUUUGUUUUUGUGGCCCUCAGCAUUGUUGAUUGUUGUGAUGCUAUUGCACUGGGUGAUGACUCAUUAGCCACAUGUUCCCAAGAUUUUAAGCCCAGAUUUUGUUAACGAGACGCCCUUCUGUCUAGGUUUCCUAUCUAUUGUGUCGGGUAUGUACUUGUAGUCUGGGUAUCAAUUUUGGACGUCGAUAACUUUUUUUUGUGUAAGAGAGUUGGACUCUCCUUUUCUCAGCAGUAAAGAUUGAAGGCUCCUGUAGUGGAGAAGUUGAGUCAUUGUAGAAUGUUUGUUUUCUUUUCUUGGUUCUCUUAUUUCACUAUAGAGCUCUGUUGUGUUAUGAUACUAUUAUUACUUGGUAUGCUUAAUAUGGUAUCAGAGCGGACAACUUAGUAGAGAGAGUCACGACAUGAAUAACUUGUAUGAACAGAGAUGUGCACAAUAGACCUAGUGAUAGCACAAUCAAAAAUGCGAGCUGGACCAGAGAAGUACGAGUCAUGGAAGAGCACAAUUCAAAGUGUAUCAGAGAGAGGAUUUAUGGGAGGUAGUUGCCCUGAUUAAAACCAUUUCACAGAGACAAAGCACAUGGCAAGCAGUGUCUAACAACGAAGCCUCACCAAACACGACAACGAUAAAGCAUGAGCUGGAGGAAACAGUCACACUUGAAGCAGUCGACAACAUCACCACGCCUUAAACAUCUCAUGAACAAGAGCAUCUUAGAAGGAGGAAAACGAGAGCUAUAGGCUUCCUGAAGCUGUCACUGAUUGACAUGAUAGAAUUAUUCAUCUUAAUCACAACCGAUCCUGCAAUUGCAUGGAAAAUUCUUGCUAAUGUUUACUCAACGCAGACAAUUGCGGAUGUCAUGAAAACUCUUAAUAAAUGGGAGAACCUUAGGAUGAUGGAUGGAAUGAUGGUAUCUGUUUUUGUAAAAUACGUAUACAACCUCAAACAAUUUGAGAGAAAUCAAUGAACUCCCAUCAGAUAUAGUGGUAGUUCAAAAAGUGCUGAAAAUUCUUCCAGCAAAAUUUGAAACCUUUGUAAGAGUGUUGCGAUCUGAGGACACACCGAUCCUAGCAAAUCUGGCAAGCCGUUUGCACAUGGAGGAAAUGACAAUAAAUCCGGGCAAAGAGCAGAACGGAGAAGCACUUGUAUUGAACUUUAGCAAGAAUGGGUUAUUGAUAAUGGCGCAUGAAGGCACUUUUCAAGAAAUCAGAAUGUAUUUUCAAAUAUGUAAUUACCGUCUCAACAUAGUGCAGAGGCCACGACGGAUGGCAAAUCGCACAAUGUGAGAGGACGAGGAAAUGUGGAUAUAAUUGUUUAAAACGAAGAAAAAAACUGCCUCCAAGAUGUCCUUUACGUGCCAAGUCUGAAACAAAACUUGCUAUCAGUUGGAGAGUAUGUACAAAAUACUAAUCAGUUGAUCAUAUUUUGGAAGGAACAAUGCUUGCUCUUACUCAAACAAAUCCGCCAAAGAUAGUGAUAUAGGGCUAUUGAGACGAGAAAUCAUGACUGUACAAGGUCAAUAAUCAGAAGAACCUGUAGUUGGCAGUCUUCGUGAAUCAAAAUCGAACGCUAAAACCAAAAUAGUCUGAGCAUCAAAUCAUGUAUACUUUGCAGACUUCGGAUCAAUUUACUCAAUUAUGGCAUUGCCCCCUUGGGCACGUGGAAAAAUCAACAAUCAUUUGAUAAACUUAGAGCUUACUCCUACAUUUACUGCAACUCCAAUUGUGUGUUAGUACUGCCUUGAAGGAAAGCAGACCCACGAAUCAAUAACCAAAAAUGGAGCUAACAGAUCCAAAAAAAUACUAGAAUUAAUACAUGCAAAUUUGUGCGGUCCAUUGCCAGUUAUGUUAUCAUGUACAAGAUUUUUUUUUCUCUUUGUUGAUGACCACUCUAGAAAAAUGAGUAUUUGCUUUCUUAAAAAUAAGAGCCAAACUUUUGGUAAAUUUGUUGAAUUUAAAACCAUGAUUGAAAGGCAAACAAUCAUGGUUCAAUCAUGGUUUGAACAUAGAAACAAAUCAAGCAAAUAAGGACGAAUAAUAGAAGAGAAUUUACAUCACAAGAAUUUUUGAAAUAUUGCUUGAAAUAUGGUAUUACAUGACAAUAUAUGCAACCACAUAUACCCCAACAAAAUAGAGUAGUAGAAAGAAGAAAUCCUACCAUCAUAUAAAAGAUUUGAAACAUGUUAUUAUACAAAAAAUUACCUAUUUAUAGCAUGAAGCAGCAAAAAUGGAAAUAUAUUAUUAAAUAUACUACCAAUGCAUAUGAACUAUCAAAAUAAAUUACCAAAAGAGACUUUUUGAGGUAACAAACCUCAACUCAAUCAUCUAAGGAUUUUUGGUUGCUUAUUUUACAUACAUAUAAGUUGUCAUUUAAGAAAUAAAUUACAAUCAAGAUUAAUAGUUGGCAAUUUUAUAGGCUAUGACAAGUAAAUUAAAGCAUAUAUGAUAUAUCUACACCAUUCAUGUAAAGUUAUACUGUUUAAAGACAAUGUUUUUGAGAAAUCAAUUUUUUUGAAUUAUGAAAAAUCUAAGUAGAACAAUGAGCUAGAACAUUCUUCAUAAGAGUACCUUGAUCCUAAAAACUAUGAUAAAACAACAUUAGAAACUAGCACCAUACUAGAUUUGUUAGAAAAAUCAUCGUCUCACCAUAUUAUUGCUAAAAAUAUAAAAAAUGGAAAACAUGUUGUCUUAUUCAGAUCUACUCCAUUGACGAGAAUCUUAUGAUGAUUGGAAAAGGCACUGCUUUAUCUUUAGAUCCUCUUCCAAUAAUAUAAAAAAUCAUAUCGUCUUCAUCAUUAGCAUCUCUAUACUAGGCCAAACCUACAUGGUUGGCAACAAAAAUAGAAAAAACUUUGCUAUCCAUAAGAUUCAACAAAGUAGAAGACCCCAAUAUUUUGAAAAAGAAAAUUCAAAGAAUUUUUUUGUUUUUACCUCAAAGAAGAGAUAAAUGAAUGAUCCAUCUUUGAAAUAAAUAAUGACAUAUCAUCCUCUAAAGAAUCUAAUUUACUCAAUUCUAGCAAUAAUUUGUCAAUUCUAGCAUGAACAACUCCUAUUGUGAUAGGAGUUGAUAGAUUAAUCCAAUAUCCAAGUUGGCUAUGUAACUAUUUUGUAGAAUUUAUGUAGAAUCUAAAUUUAGAACCAAUAUCAUAUUACAAAGUUUCAAGACAACAAAGAUAGAUGCAAACAAUGAUAGAAGAAAUAAAUUCUACAUAUAAAAAUGAAAUGUGGCAUUUUGCAAAUCUUUUGCAAGAUAAAACUACUAAUUCUACAAAAUGGAUUUACAAAGAAAAAUUAAAUACAAAUGGAUCACUAUAAAAAUACAAAGUCAAAUUAAUAGCUCAAGGCUUUGAGUAAAAGAAAGAAAUUGACUAUAAAAAAAAAUAUUUGCACUAGUAAUAAAAUGGACAAUAAUUAGAGCUGUGAUAUUAAUUGUAGUUCAAAAAAUUUAAAAAUUAUGUCAUAUGGAUGUCAAAUUUACAUUCUUUCAUAGAGAAUUAAAAGAAGAAGUUUAUGCAAUCCAACUUCAAGAUUUUGAAGUAUGAGAAAAAGAACAAAUGGUCUGUAGAUUACAAAAGGUAUUAUAUGGAGUUUGACAAACACCUCAAGCAUGGUAUGAAAAAAUAAACUCUUACCUAAAGAAGUAGGCUUUUAAUAAAGUACAAAAGAUCACAAUCUAUACUCAAGACUAUUACAUGGAAAAAUCAUUCUUCUUGCCUUUUAUGUAGAUGACCUUCUCAUGAUUGGUAACUUUAAAAAAAUAUUGGUGAAAUUCAAAAAAAUAAUCACAUGAAAAAUUAUAAAUGUCAAAUUAUUAGAAAGAAAAGUUACUCCAUAUUUAAAAUAAAAAUACAUGUAAAUAAAAAAAGAUAUUUAUGAUACAAAAAGAAUAUAUUCAAAAUAUAUUAACAAAUUUUGGAAUUAAAUAAACCAUUACCAAUACUUCUCUUUUUGUGGUACUAUAAUUUCUUUCAGCCUUGAUUUAGUAAUAAAUAUGCAUAAUAAAUGAAUGAAUCUAAUUAUGCAAUAAAAUUGCCAAAAGACUAUCAAUUGCUUUAUUUGUAGUAUCGCAAUAUUCAUGAAAUGUUUUAUUUCAAUAUGGAGUAAUUGAAAUUGAAAUAAAUAAAUAUAUAUAUAUAUAUAUAUAUAUAUAUAUAUAUUUUUAAAGCCUUAAAAGCUUUUGAUAUUUAAUGAUCCAUAUAUACUUAAUACUAUAUUUUUUAAAGUUUUUUAGAAGUUAUGAUUUAUUUGCAAAAUAUUAUACAAAUCUUUGGUGAUAACUAGUAGAAUCUAUAAAUUUUUACAUUCUUUUAAAAUUCUUUUGUGGUGAUAAAACCAUUAUAACUUAUAUCUUGGUGGAUCUAUUAGUAGUCCUUCUUUAUCAAUAAUAUGACUCAAUAAUUCACCUAAAAUAAAUGAAAGGUGCAUUUUUUUGAAUUAAAAUUAAUUCCAUAUUCUUAAUAUCUUUGAAGGCACUUUUGUAAAGACUCCAAAUAUUUGAUUUGAAUUCCAUACAUACUAAAAUUGUCAGGAAAAACUUGCAUAAAAUCAUUCAAAUAUUCUAUUAAGGCAUGCAUAACUAUUCUUUGAAAUAUAUCAAGUACAUUUUUCAAAUCAAAGGAUAUUAUUCAAUAUGCAAAUGGUUCUUAUUUUGUAAUAAAAUAAGUUUUAAGCUGAUUUUUUUUAUAGCCAUUGGAAUUUGAUUAUAAUCAUUGAAUCUAUCAAACAUAAAAUACAAUUUUUAUCCAAUCACUAUUUUAAAUUAUUACACUAGUAAAAUAUAAUCGAAAAGGAUCUAAUUUUUGUGACUUCAUUAAGUUUUUUAUAAACAAUAUAAACUUGGAUCUUGCUAUUAUUUUUAAAAAUAAUAACUAUUAGAAAUAAUCAUUAUAUUUGAUCCACAUGAUAAAUAAAUCCUAUCUUAAGUAAUUUAUCAAAUUAUUCUUUUAUUUUAACAGCAUAAGUUAGAUCCAUUCAAUAUAUUAUUCCUUUUUUUUUUUUUUUUUUUUUUUUUUAAGCAUUAAGUUCAAAUUCAAUUCAAUGUUCACAAAUAUAAAUAGAUAUUUAUUUUAAAUCUUCAUAAUUCCAUGAAAAAUUAUCUUUGUAUUUUUUAAUUUUUUUAUUAUUUCUUUAUUAUAACCUUCAUGAUUUUGUUUUUUUUUUUGUUUUUUUUUUUUUUUUUUUUAUCUUUAUUGUUCUUGGUUGAGCUUCAAUGUUUAGAUUUACUUCAUCUAUUUAGUAUUUAAUGCUGAUAGUCAAACUUAUGAUAUAUUUUUCUUUAACGACCACUAUUGCUAGACUUGUAUCUAAUUCUCUUGCUUCCAUUCUUAUUCUAUUUUUUAAAAAAUUAUUAAAGUAUUAUUAGUCCAAUCUUGAUUAGACCUUACUUUUUUAAGCUAUAGUCGACCUAAUAAUAUAGAAUAGCUUUAAUUUUUUCUAUUUUUAGAAAUAUCAUUAUAAUUUUGUAAAUAAAUUUUCUUACUUGCAUUCAUAAAUCUUUGAUAAUCUCGAUUGGAGUUAUUUUUUAUUAAUUAGUUGUUUUUAUUAUCAAAGAUAUUGAUUCAAUCUUAUUAUAAAUUAGCUUUUUAUACAAUUCACUUGAGAUAAUAUUUAUUCCUAAAUCUCUAUCUAAUAAAACAUCUUUUAUAAUUUGAUGUUUAAUUUUUACAAUUAUUAUAGACAUUUUUGUAUCAUGAUCUUGAUUUAUAAUAUAAACGUUUGAUAUACUAGAUUCAAAAUUACUUUAAAAAAAAAUGCCUCUAUAAUCUUUUUUUUGCAAUAUAGAGCUAACUUCAAUAAUUGUCCUUUAGAUAUAUUUUCUUUUAUUUAUUGAAAUAAAUAUCCUAUUAUUCUUUCAAUUUUUUCACUUUUUUUACUUUUUUUCUCUCAAUAUUUUUACUUACUAAUUCUUCUUUAGCCUCUUUAAGUGAACAUGUUUUUAAAAUUAAAAUUUCUCCAAAUUUCUUUUGUAAUUAUUGUACUUCUUUAGUUAUAUCUUUGUGUAUCCUUCUCUCACUUUUUCAUUCUUAAGAAGCUUUUUUCUAUAAUUUAUUUGAGUUAAUAAAAUCAAGUUAGUUUCUAUUUCUAACUUUUUCUUCUUCAUUACUACAACUAUUAUUUGGUACUUCAUUCUCAAUUCCAUUCUUAUUACUUUGAACUUGGAUUAUCACUCAAAAUUUUGAGAUUAUUUUAUUUGUGGCUACAAUAGGAUGUUUACAUGUUUGUGCCUCUCUAGCCUCUUUGGGUAUUUGAGCCAUAAUUAACAAUCUACUUUUAUAUGUCUAUUUUAAUGGCAAUAAUAACAUUGAAGCUUGUCACCUCCUUGUGCUUAAUUCACAUAGCCUCUUCUUGAUGAAUUUAUAUUCUUGUCUCUUAUAUAUCUUCUUUCAUAUCUUGGCCAUAAUUUAUCUUCAUAAUAAUUGGAUCUAUAUUUUUUUUUAUAAGAAUAUAUAUAUAUUUUUCUAAAAUAAUAUUAUUCUUUAUAAUAUCUUUAUUCUUAUAAUAUUGUUGAUUUAUAGGUCUUUGACUUCUAUCUUGAUUUGAUAUAUAUUUCUUUUUAUUAAUUUUAUUCUUUUUAUAUUAUUUAAUUAUGAUUAUACUUAAAAAAUUUCUAAACUUUUAUCUUUAUAAUAUCAAUUAUAAGCACAAUCAUUAGUUUGAUGUAUGAAUUUUUGUAUUAUAUAUCUUCUUGUUUGAGAAUGCACUGGACACUUGGCUAUAGAAGGUGAAGUUGUAUAUUGCAAUUAUCUAAGAAACUCUAAUAGGUUUCAACCAUUAAGAAAUAAGUAAUUUUAAUUUUAAUGUAAAAAUAUUUAAAGUCAAUGAAAAGUUUUCAAAAAUAUUAUUUUUAAUUACCUCAAGAAAAUACAAUUCUAAUUGUCUUAUUAUUAUUAUUUUUUUACAAUUUCCAUUUUUUUUUUAAAUCCUAAUCUUAGGCAAUGAGCUUCAAUAAGCUAUAAUACAUAAUUUAAUUUUUUAGUUGAUGCAAAUUUUUUCGUACUAGUGAAAUAAUACGUCUUUUACAUGCUUAAUAAAUUUCAACCUAAUUCAGCUUACAAAUCAUGAAAAAAUUGCAAAAGAAUCAUGUUGGUGUCCCUUGACUAUCAACUUGAAGGUUAAUGACAAAGUUUGAGCUACAAUUUCUUUGUCUCUAACUGUUAACUUUAAUUCCAAAUUGAUAUUUAGCUUGAUAUGUUAGUCUAUUAAAAACACACCAUUUUUUUUUAGUUCCAACAAGUAGAUCUUUAGAUAUUGCAAAAAUCCUACUUAACCCUAAACUACCAAAUUUUAGUAUCUCCUUGUAUUAAUAACUAAGUAUCUCUCAAUUACAUCAUUAAAAUAAUAUAUAAGUUUAUACACAAUUAGCACAUCCAUUCAACUAUUUAUAAAUAAAAUUUGAACUAUAGAAGUCAUAUGCAUUUCAUAAACUAGCCAAUAGUGCUAGUCCUAAUUUUUUUGCAAAAAUCCAAAGUCACCAAUAUAAAUCAUAACUUUGCACAACAAUUGCAAAGUCAUCUCAAAACCUAUGAAAAAAAUUUUACAACUUUAUAAUGAGCUUAAAGCCAAUUCUCCAAUUUAACUCUUUGAUCUCAAAAAUCUCCCUUACUUUGUCCUAAGCAGCCAUUUUAGAGGCUAGAGGUUUGACUUCAACCCUGACCUACAAACAAUCAUUUCUUGAGUAUCAAUCCAACCUUUUCUAAGAGUCUUUUAGAAUGACACUAUUCUUAAAUUUAUCUUAGAAUUGACCAUACUAAAUAUUUAUCUAAUGUAUUUUAUUUUUAUUGAUUUGUGGCAUUUUAAAGAUACUAGAAGAAUUUUUUAUAACCUAAAAGAUAAAAUUUGAACCAACCUUUAAUCUAUUAGCUAUUAAAAUAAGAAAAUAAUAUAAGAAAAUAAAAUAAGAAGAUUUUAUAAAAGCCUUGUUUAAAUAUCUAUAAUUAUUAUUAAAUCAAAAUAAUAAAAUAUAAAUCAUAAUAUUAUUUUUGUUUACAUUUUUAUCAUAUAAUCAUGUUACAACUUAAUAGCGUGUUAUUAUUUAUAUAAAAUUUCAUAUGAUAUUCAAAAGAAGAAUGCCUUUUAUUAUUAUAUUUCUUACAAAAAACAUAUAUUCUAAAUUUCUUUGAUUUAAUACUUAAUUAAAAUAUCUCUUUUUUUAAUUUUCUUAAAUUUUCUUUAAUUAUCUUUUUUUUCUUGAAUUUUUUAUUUCUUUUCUUUUUCAUUUAAAUCUUCAUUCAAAUCUUUUGAAUUUGUACCAUAAGUUUUUUCAUCCCUAUAUAUACUUAGUUCAAUCUUUCUUGUUGAUUGUAGAGCUUCUUUUCAUGUAUCUAUUGGUAAUAAAGCUACAUACUUGCCUAUUUUUCUUUUUAUCCUAUUUAAGAAUAAUUUUUUUAAAAAUAGGUUAUAAAAUUGAAGAAUAAGUUUAUUAUUUUCUUAUAUUAUUCUUUCAAAUAAUUCUUUUAUAUGCUCAUCUUUCUUUUACUUGAGAUAUAAAAGACUCUAUUACUCUUCUUUUCUUUGAAAUGAAUAGUGAGUGCAUUUCUAUGUUCUUUCUAUAAAAAAAAAAUCUUAUAGGAUAUUGAGCAUACUAUUCAAAUGUCCUCUUUUUAAGUAUUACUAGAAAAAAUAUUAAUUUGUUUUUAUCUACUAUUUCUUUUUCAGCUUAAGAAAUUAUUAGAUUUAUUAAUAUAUAUAUAUAUAUAUAUAUAUAUAUAUAUAUAUGUUAGUAAAUUUAAAAUUAUCUUUAGGUAGUUAUAAAGUAAUUACUGAGAAGUUAUAAUUAUUUUUUUCUACAAGAUAUUAUAGAAGGCUUUUAUCAUUAUAAUGUAAUCAAAUUAUUUUAUUAAUAUACUUCAUGCUUAUUUUAUUAUUUUUAGUAUUUUUUCUCUUAUAUAAUAUGAGAGCACUAAUUUUCUUUCAUUUUCUUUAAUGUAAGUAGAAAACUCCAUCCACUAAAACUUCUCAUAAUUCUUUUCUUACUCCAAUACUACCUUCAUUUUUUGCAAAUAAUUAUUGCAUUUGGAGUAUUAAAGUGGAGGCUCUCUUAAAUCAAGUAGAAUUAUGGAAAAUAAUUAAUGGCUUUGAAAUUGCAUCCAAUACAAGUAAUUUGGUGCAACAUUAUGCGUGAAAUUUAAAAGAUGUCAAAGCUCAUGCAAAAAUAUUUAUGCAUUGUGGAGUUAAGAAAAUUAUGAUAUUACACAAAUUACCUAUAUUAAAGACAGUUUGAGAUUAUAUCAAGCAUAUUUACAAACAAUCUAAUAAAGUUUCUUAGAUACAUUUGCACAAGAAGCCUUAUUAUUUAACUAUGGACAAAAAUGAAGGUCUUUAUUAUACUUCCGUAUGGCAAUAUAUGUUGAUAUUCUUGAUCAUCUAUGGUAUCUAAAUUUUGAAGCUAGUAACCACAUGUCUACUUUGAGAGACCUUUUUAAUAACUAUAUUCUACUUACUACACCAAAAUUUAUUUUAUUAAAAAAUAAUUAUUUUUAUACUAUUUAAGGCAUUAAAUUUAUUAUUUUAUAAUUUAAAUUUGAUCAAUAAAUAUAAAUUUUAAAUAUCUUAUUUUGACUCUUGCCUAAGCCAGUAUGGCUUAAGUUAGCAAGGCCAAGGCAUACAUGAUCUUAACUAGCAUGGUUUAAGCCAAUGCAGCCCAAGGCCACAUGGUCGCGUUUUUUUAUCAGUAUGACUUAGCUCGGCAUGGUCCAUGACCACAAAAUUCAAGUGAGUGGAGCUCAAGCAUGCAUGGCUUAAGCCAAAGAGGUCCUAAAGAGGCCAGAGAGUGCUCAGAGUGUUGUUACUUAGAAUAGACCAACCUUAGACAAUAGCCAAUAGUAUUAUACUCACUCCAUUUUCAGUUCAAAUACUAUUAUGAUACUCUGGCAUCAUUAUUUGAAACAUCUUAAUUACUUCAAUAUAUAACAUAUGGUAUGCCAUCAAUUUAUUUUUAAAUUAUCUUUAUCAUCAAAUAAUUUAUUCUUUAUAAAAAUUAUAUUUAUAAUAAAUAUAAUAAAAUGCCUUCAUUCAAAUCACUUACCACACAUGCCACAAUAUUUUUUAUCUUGGUUCAUUCCAAUCAUUAUGGUCUUAUGGCUACUUCUUCUUUUAGAAAAGCAUAUUAUUUCUUCUUAUUUUUGGAUGAUUAUUCAUGCUUUAUUACAAUCUUUUCUCUCAAAUUAAAAUCCAUUUUUUUUUUUUUUUUUUUUUUUUUUCAAAAAUAUCAUCACCAUAUUAUUAUUCAAUUUGAAUUAUCUUUAUUAAUCUUUUGAAUGGAUAAUAAUUAUAAAUUUACAAAUAAAAUAUUUUUAAUUUAUUUUGAGCUUCAUGGUGUUAAUCAACAUUUUACAACUUCUUAUAUUCCUUUUCAAAAUUGUAUAGUUGAAUAUAAAAAUUAGUCUCUUAUCAAUUUGGCUUAUACCAUGUUAGAUGUGGCAAAUUUCAAUACUAGUUAUUGGGCCAAAGUAAUUUUUACUGCUUGUUAUUUACAAAAUCUAUCUUAUAAUUUUUUUUGCUAUAUAUUCCUCCCUAUGAAUGAUGGACUGAUAUUAAAUCAAACUUCCAUCACUUAUAACUUUUUGGAUGUUUAGCUUUUGCUAAAUUAUCCAAUACUAAACAAAUACUCACUUAUCAAUGCUUGUUUCUUGGCUAUGUCAAACUUCUUCACAUUAAAGAUUAUUGGAUUUAUGAUUUAGAAAUCCAUAAGAUCUUUAUAAGGUUGAGAUGUGAUUUUGAAUAGAGAUUCUAUAUUCAAAUCUAUUUCUACUACAAAGUUCUUUUUCCUCUUAAAAGAUGUGAAUGAUUCCAUUCUACCUAAUAAAGAAUACAUGGUGCUAUCUAAUCUAUUAAAGUUAUCAUAGAUACUUUAUAUACCAUCUACAACACCAAAUGUGACUCUUGUGGUUAGUUCAUUUUUAUUGGUAGCUCCAUUGAAUCAAUAAGUUAUGCCUUCUUAUUUACAUGAUUUGGAUACUUCAUUUGAAUAAAAAAUAUAAUCUUUUCGUUUUUAUUUGGAUGAAUCUAUUUCAUGGCUAAUUUUUAAUUUUAAACUUCCAUUCUUUGUAGAUCAUGGUGGUCAGGAAGAGACUACCUCAAUAGACAAGCUCAAAGUUUCUUUAUCACUCUCUCUUAUAUCUCUCUUAUCCAAUAAUAAGGUCAUUGGCACUUCUAGUUUUAUGCCUUCUUUCUCUAUUAUUUCUUCCAUUGACUUCUCAUAAGAUUUUUCAAAAGACAAAUCACUUUGACAAUCCAUAAAAAUCACUUAUGGGACUUAAAAAGAAUCCAAGAUUAAUGACACUACUUUGUAUGUUGAUAAAAUUUUAACCACCUUAGCAGAUCUACUUUCAAUUUAUGAAGUACCUCCAAGUAGAGAUGCUUUUUUUAGCAUUUAGCUAUAAAAAGAGAAUAUAAUUUUUUAAUCAAGAAUGAUACAUAGGAAUUAAUACAUCUUGCUUCUAAUUACUCUAUUGUGAAUAUUAAAUAGCUAUUCUAUUAGAAAUAUAAUUUCAACAAUUUUUUAAUAUUCUUUAAAGCAUAGUUUAUUGCUCAAGGUUUCUUGUAAUAAGAAGGCCUUGAUUAUCAUGAGAUUUUUUCUCUCGUCAUCAAAAUGACAUUUCUUUGCCUUUUCUUUAAUUUAGCUACUUAUUAUGACUUUUAUAUUCAACAAAUAGAUGUCACUACGGCCUUCUUAAAUGGAUUCUUAAAGAAGAAAUUUACAUCACUCAACUUGAAGGCUUUAUUAUACCAUGUCAUGUAAAUAAGAUAAGUCAUUUAUUUAAAUCCUUAUAUGAAUUAAAACAAAUUCAUUGCAUAUGGUAUAAUCUAUUUGAUGACUUCUUAGUCACUAAUAGAUUUUUAAAAUAAAUUUUGGAUAUAAAUAUUUAUUAUAAAUGCUUAUUUACAUCCGUUUACAUACCUUUGACUUUAUAUUGAUGAUUUUUUUUAAUUUCAAAUGAUUUAUUUUAUCUCAUUUUGAUUAAAUAAUAUAUAUAUAUAUAUAUAUAUAUAUUUUUUAAUAUUUUUUUAAUAAAAAAAACAACAUAAUUGAAUACAUCUUAGGUAUUUAAAUUUUUCAUAAUUAUGCCACCCUCACUUUAAUUCUCUCUCAAGACAAUUAUAUAUUGGAUAUUUUAAAUUAUUUUUCUAUAAAAAAUUAUCAUACUAUUUUUAUUCUUUUUAAAGUUGAUAUUCACUUUUUUCAAUGUCUCAACUUUGUGGAUAGGAAUAUUGAAUUCUUAGCAUUAGUUCCAUUUGUACAUGUCAUUGGAAGUUUACAAUACAUUGUCAAUUUUAUAAGGUAUGAAUUAAUAUUUGUCAAGCAUCAUAUGACAUAAUUCAUACCUAAGCCUAGUCUAAUAUAUUGGAUGGCUUUAAAAUGCAUACUUCAAUAUUUCAAAAGAACUUAAAAUUUUGGAUUAGUUUAUUUGAGCUCUUCUUCGACAUUUCUACUAAAACUUUAUGAUUGGAGUGAUAUAGAUUAUGUAAAAGAUGUAGAUGCUAAAAAAUAUACUUUUGGAUAUUUGUUUUACUUCAAGUCAUUUUUUUUGAGUUGGCAUUCUAAGAAACAAGCCAUGGUAGCACAAUUAAGUAUAUAAGCAAAAUAUAUUGCAAUAAAAAGAUCUUUAAAAAAAUUGAUGUGGUUUCAAAUUCUUUUCAAAGAAAUUAAAAAUCAAGUAAGCUUAUCAAGAAUAAUUUAUUGUGAUAACCAAUCAUGUAUUGUAAUAACAUAAAAUCUACAUUUCUAUGAUUUCAUGAAAUAUAUUGAUAUUAAUUACUAUUACAUUAAAAAAAAAUUAAAAAAAAUAAAGUUAUUUUGUAGUUUAUUCCUACAAAUGGAAUGUUAUUUCUCUCUUUUUUUUAUCUUAUUUGCUCAAUCCUUUUAAUUUGAUGUGCAACAUAGAAUUAUUCCAUACUAUCUUUAUUUAUGGUUCUUAAUACUAAUGGUAAAUUAAUAAGUUUCAUUCAAAAAUAUCAAUCAUCUUCAUUGAAUUAUCUUUGUUAAUCAUAUAAAUUUAAUGAACUUAAUUAUUAGAGAUAGUAACAUAUUCCUAUGUCACGGACACAAAAUACAGACUUGAAAUCUAACAAGAAGUCCAAGAAGAAGUGGCAGAACUAGAUUAAACAGAUGAGUACAAGAACAACACCAGAAAGGUGAGCUAGAACUCCAAGAGAUGUGUUGUCGAGACUGAAGAACUCUUCAGCCUCGAUCCCUAUAUAUACUCUUACUUAGGAAGCUUCUCGAGCUACUUCUAUUAAGUAGGAAGCUUCUAGAAGGUUCCAGAGGCUUCCUUUUUAGAAAGUUUUAGAAACUUCUCGAGCUACUUCUAUUAACUAGGAAGCUUCUAGAAAGUUCCAGGGGAUUCCUUUCUAGAAGCUUCUAGAAACUUCUCUUCUAGAAGGUUCCAGAGACUUUCUUUCUAGAAGCUUUUAGAAACUUCUCUCUAAAAGGUUCCAGAGGCUUCUCUUCUAAAAGGUUCUAGAGGCUUGUUUUCUAGAAGGUUCUAGAAACUUCUCUCUAGAAAGUUCUAAGGAAUAUGUCCCUAACAUCACCCCCUCCUUUAGCUUCGAGGUCUCUGAGAAGCAAUGUUGUUGAUUAGUACCAACGCAAGAAAAUGAAGAUCUGUCGCAUAACUUCUGCUAUGAACUCCAACUGUUGUUCACGAGGCAAGUGGUUCAUUGACCCUUGAAGCCAACGGUAGUGGCCCACGCCUUCAACUUCUGACCAAGCAUGAACUUUCGUGUCUUCAUUGUGAAAUUGUCCUGCAAACAUGCCUUCUGGUUGACCAUCGUAAGCAGGCUCAAUCUCAAAUACGAUCACCAGUGAUCGGUUACUCGGUAUCCUCCGUCGUCGUCGUGGUACAUGUAGUUCUUCAUCUCGGGGUCGCCUUCGUGAGCUACUCGGUUGCGAUACUCUGACUGGCAUAGUAUCUAUCUCUUGGCUAUCCAUAUCAAAAGACCAAACUACGAUCUAUCUUAGAGAAAAUAACUACAUCAACUAUGAAUUUUGCUGGUGCUCUCCCCUUUUCUUAUAUUGUUGGGAGAAUAAGCUUCAGAAAGAAGCUAUCAUCUAAUUGAUUUAGGUUUAUCGGGAUAUCAUUGAUGAAACUCCUGUACCUUUUGUGGCACAUUCGCAAGAUUUUCAGCUGGCUCCCACGUUCGCUCAUUAAUGUCAUAGCCGCACCAAUGAACAAGAUAUUCUAACUUUUUCCACCUUCGCCGUGAAUCCAAUACCUUUUCAACCUCGUAUUCUUCGUGGUUCUCGAUUUCAAUACUAGGUGGCGGACAUUGCACUCUUCCAGGAAAAGAUGACUCUUGAUAAGGUUCCAACAGAGAAACAUGAAAGACUGGAUGUAUCUUCAUAGAAGCCGGUAACUCCAGCCGGUAUGCCACUGGAUUAAUUUGCUUCUGGAUGAUAAAUGAUCCCAAUCUUCGAUAGUCCAACUUAUCACAUGGUCGCUUGGUCUUGAUAUUUUGUCGAAGAAGCCAGGCUUUGUCUCCAACUUUGAAAGUAGGUGCUGGAUUCCGAAAUCUAUCUGCAGACGUCUUAUAGGAUUCUUGAGCGGAUUGUAAUUGAAGCUUCAACAUAGUUUGAAGCUCUCAUAGUUGCUUUACAAAUCCUUUAGCUGCUGGAUUGUUAUUUGUUGACGGACUCAAUAAAUCAAGCUUCGGAUGAUACCCAUAGUUGGAAAAGAAUGGUGUUUGUUGAGUCGACGCAUGGAGGGUGUUGUUAUAUACAAACUCGGCUAGCGGUAGAUAUGCAGUCCAAUCGUCUUGCUGAUAGUUGAUGCUGCAUCGUAAGUACUGCUCCAAGACUUAGUUCACCUGUUCCGUUUGGCCAUCAGUUUGAGGAUGAAAAGCUGAAGAAAGCUUGAUAUCCACCUUCAAUAUCCCAAAGAGAGAUCUCCAAAACUUUGAUACGAACUGGGUACCUCGAUCUGAUAUGAUAUCAUCUGGUAGUCCAUGAUAUCGAUACACAUUAUCGAGAAAGAGUCUUGCUGUGACUUCACUGGACGAUGUCUUCUUACAAGGAACAAAGUGUGCCAUCUUCGUAAGCCGAUCUACCAUGACAAAGAUGCUGUCAAAUGAGUUUGAUGAUGGCAAGUCCGUGAUGAAGUCCAUAGAAAUUGAAGACCAUGGUCGACGUGGAAUUGGCAAUGGCUGUAGAAGUCGAUAAGGGCAAUGCCGAGGAUUCUUAGAUCUUGAACAGAUGUCACAAGAGAGAAUAAAAUCUUUCACAUCCUUCCACAUUUGGCGCCACCAAAAAUCUCGGGAAAUAAGCUCCAAGGUCUUAUUGAAUCCAAAAUGUCCCGCAGCUGGAAAAUCAUGGCGAGAUUGAAGAACUCGAAGUCGUGCUAGUCCUUUUGAAAUGUACAAUCGCUCUUCAAAGUAUAAAAGAUCUCCCUCCACCUUGAACUUGUCGUCAUUGGUACGUUGCUUGAUAUCAAUGGCUACUGAAUCUUUAAUGGUCAAAGCACGUACCUGGUUUAGGAAGUCAACAUCAAAUGAUACAAUAGUAGCACAAAGUUGAAAUCUCUCUGGCUUCAAUAACGUUGUACAUUGUUGAUCAAACGCUGCUUCUCCAGCCUUUGGUGCAAGAUACGAUCUCCUUGAUAAAGCAUCGGAUAGUCCUUGCUGCCUUCCAGAUCGAUAAGUGAUAACAAAAUCGAAUCUAAAUAGUGACAUAUUCCACCGAGCUUGAUGCCGAUUUAAAACUUGAGCCGUCAUAAAAUACUCCAAAUUCUUGUGAUCCGUAUAUACGGUUACUGGAUGUGCAGCUCCUUCAAGAAAGUGACGCCAUUCUUCGAAAGAAUCCACUAUAGCAAGAAGUUCCUUAUCGUGGAUCUCAUAAUUGAUUUCAGCAGCAGAGAACUUCCGAGAAUAGAAUGCAACUGGAUGGAGCUUCUUAUCUUCACUCAUUUGUGAAAGCACAGCUCCCAAAGCAAAAUCUGAAGCAUCAGUUUCUAAAUAGAAGGCCUUUAUAAAGUCUGGAUGUACCAAAAUUGGAGCUGUAGUAAAUGCUGUCUUCAAAUCUUGAAACGCCUUCUCCGCCAAAGUUCCCCAUUCCAACUUAUCUUUGCAUGUUAAUCGAGUGAGAGGAACAACAACUUGAGAAUAAUUCUUGAUGAAGAUCCGAUAGAAGUUAGCAAAACCAAAAAAGCAUUGUACGUCUCUAACCGUCUUCGGAACCUCCCAAGACAUGAUUGCUUCUACUUUCUUGGGGUCCAUCUUCAAACCUUCUAUAGUCGCAAUGAAUCCCAAAAAUUCCAUCUCCGUCUGGUGAAAUAAACACUUUUCUAAUUUGGCAUAUAGUCCUCACUUGCGUAGUUUCUCCAAGACCAAAUGAACAUGCUCUUCAUGCUCUUCCUCGUUUUUAGAGAAUAUUAGAAUAUUGUCUAAGUAGAUGACAACAAAAUCGUCGAGGUGUUCUCGAAAGAUGUCAUUCAUCAUAUGUUAGAAAACCGCUGGAGCAUUGGUAAGACCAAAAGGCAUGACAUUAUAUUCGAAAUGACCAUACCUUGUACGGAAUGCUGUCUUCCACUCAUCUCCUUCCUUGAUUCGUACGAGAUUAUAAGCUCUUCUUAGAUCAAUUUUUGUAAAGAUCUUCGCAUGUCCAAGUUGUUCUAAGAGACUAGAAAUCAAAGGUAAUGGGUAACGAUUUUUCUUUGUUACCUUGUUGAGGCCUCGAUAGUCCACAUACAUCCGUAAUGAUCCAUCUUUCUUCUUCACAAAUAAGAUGGGUGCUCCAGCUGAUGAUUUUGAAUGACGACUGAAGUUCUUGGCUAGAUUCUCGUCGAUGUACUUUCGUAACUCUGCCAACUCCGUUUACGAUAGAUUGUAGAUUGGACCAAAAGAUGGUUGUGCUCCUUCUUGUAAGUCUAUGGCACAAUCAUAUGGUCGGUGUUCUGGUAGUAUGUCGGCGUUCUUCUUUUGAAACACGUCUUCAAAAUCUUUAUAUUGCUCCGGUAUACUUGCUGUUGAGAUCUUCUCCUCGGUAGUUUGAGCCCCAUAAAUGACAAAUGGAGUUCCUUCCUUAGAUGAUCUUAUAAACGCUCUUGCUCCAAUGAAUAAGGAUUUCUUUUUUCGAGGUUUUUUACUAGGUUUUUUCUUGGGUGGUUUUGUGGGAAAAGCCAUCUUCCGCAACCUCUAAUCUAUCAAUGGAUUAUAUUUUUCCAACCAAGAAAGACCAAGAAUAAUAGGAUUUGAUGGGGUUCUAAUAAUAUUAAAAAUAAUAUGACUACUAUAGUCUUUAAACGUUACUUCUAUAGGUUUUGAUUCAUGGGUGAUGCUACCAGACAAUAAAGGUCGCCCAUCUAUGACCUCAACAUGAACACGUUUUGAUUUUUGUACUAAAGGGAUCUUAUGACGCUUUGCAAAUUCUUCAUCUAAAAAACAAGCAGAUGCUCCUGAGUCUAGUAGUGCUAAGGUUCUCAGUUUUUGAGGGCCGAUGAACAGAGGGAUUGUAAAACAAAGGGCAGGUUGGACAGAAAGAAAGGAACCUGAUUGUUGUUGGGAUAUUUCAUUGUCCAGCCGCACGGUUCCUACUGUGGCUGGGCAUCCUUGUUUUCCUAAACAAAUACUCUCUUAGUCUUGACUAUGCCUCGAUUUUGCUUUUUGGGGCAGUUUCCGACUUUGUGGCCUUCUCCACCGCAAUACAAGCAUAAAUUUUCCUCCAUACGUCGCUUUUUUUCUUAUAUAGUAAGAGAUUUGAUAUGUAUCGCAUCAAUUUGCAUGUCUUCCACCUCUGAAUGCGAAUUCAUACCGCUUGCCGACAUAGUUGGAGCAUGGCGAAUUGUAUGUUGUCUUGAGCGUUGGUCUUGGCAAUGUUGGAAUAGGCGAUUAUCGCACUUCACAGCUUUGCUAAUGGCUUCAUUGAGCGUUCGUGGAUCAGGAAGAGUUAACAGCAAAUCCUUCACAUCAUCUCUUAAACCCCAAUAGAAUUGACUCAUCAACGCUUCUUCAUCCCAAUUGAUGUCGCAUACUAAUUGCCUGAAAUCCGAAGCAUAGACUGAUGUAGAACGCAUCCCUUGUCGUAGCGACCGGAUCUUUGUUGUAGCCCAUCGAACCUUAUCGUGUUCACCAAAUGCUUCCGCAAAUGCUUCCAAAAAGGUUUUGAAGUUGUUUAAUAUGGAUGAUCAUUUCUCAAACAAAGGAGCAAACCAUGAUAGAGCUUGUCCCGUAAGUAAGGUUCCAACAAGCCCAACACGUGACUCCUCCAUUGGAUAUCGUUCGGGCUGUAAAACUGUUAUCAACCUGAUUUGAUUGACGAAUCCUCGAAACUUAGAACGUGUUCCAUCAAACUUAUCUGGAAGGCUAACUCGAGGCUCCUUAUGUUGUAGAACUAGUGGUUCUUGUCGAACCUGAGGUAAAGUUGUUUCUCCAAGUACCAAAAUUUGAGGCUGGUGUAGUUUAGAUUGUGCUAUCCCAGAUACUCCAUCAUUAUGAAGCCUUGCCACCACUCCUUCAACCUCUGCAGUUCUUUGUGAUAACGUAGCGAGGGCAUUCAUAAUAACAUCUAACUUAGACUUUGAACUUUCUGUCAUACUAAUGUCUUGACCUCCGGCUAUUCUAAAAGAAGGACAAAAAUGACCCUAUAAGAGGCAAUAUUGGUUUAUAGGAGGGUAAUCCGCAACCUAUAAAAUGCCUUAAGAAUUUUAAGAAGAGGGGUAAUCCACUCUCUCCAAGAAGAAUAAGACUCCAAUAUUGUAACAGAAGAAGUAUCAAUUUAGAAGAGAGUAAUCCGCAACCUCUAAAAAAUGCUAGUAUACCUUCAAGUAGAGGGGUAAUCCACACUCUACUAAGAAAGAACUAGCUCCGAUAUCUCAAGUUAGUGGAGUCUCGACAAACUGUCACGGACACAAAAUACAGACUUGAAAUCUAACAAGAAGUCCAAGAAGAAGUGGCAGAACUAGAUUAAACAGAUGAGUACAAGAACAACACCAGAAAGGUGAGCUAGAACUCCAAGAGAUGUGUUGUCGAGACUGAAGAACUCUUCAGCCUCGAUCCCUAUAUAUACUCUUACUUAGGAAGCUUCUCGAGCUACUUCUAUUAAGUAGGAAGCUUCUAGAAGGUUCUAGAGGCUUCCUUUUUAGAAGGUUUUAGAAACUUCUCGAGCUACUUCUAUUAACUAGGAAGCUUCUAGAAAGUUCCAGGGGAUUCCUUUCUAGAAGCUUCUAGAAACUUCUCUUCUAGAAGGUUCCAGAGACUUUCUUUCUAGAAGCUUCUAGAAACUUCUCUCUAAAAGGUUCCAGAGGCUUCUCUUCUAGAAGGUUCCAAAGGCUUGUUUUCUAGAAGGUUCUAGAAACUUCUCUCUAGAAAGUUCUAAGGAAUAUGUCCCUAAUAUCCUAUCAUAGUCGCCAAAUAAAUACCAAGAUUCUUACACCUUGAAAAUCAUUAGAUAUUUCUUCUAUAUUUUGACAUAGAAACUAUUCUUAUUCUUUUCAUAAGUCCAUAGAGUUCUUAUUUUUGUCAAGAUUGAAGUCAGAUAAUUCAAUCUUUAAUCUAGUUUCAAUAUAUUUGUUAAUUUUAUCUUGUCUUAUUCUACCCAAACUUUAAAGUUCUUAUAUUGUCAUGUUGCAAUACGACUAUAUGGUAAAAAUAUAAAUAUAAAAGAUUUAUUAAUAUUUAGUCAUCUUUGAUGUUAAAAACAAUGGCCAAUUCCAAUGCCAAUAUUCAAGGGCCAGUUAAUGUCACCUCAUUGCAAGCUGUACCACCAAAUGUGACAACAACGUAUGCUCCAUCGACGACAUCGAACCAAAUAUCCUUUGUACCAACGGAACGAUCAGGAUCAUUUUCUAACCUUACGUUGUCGUAUUACGUAAAGUCUUGCUUGAGAAUGCACCGAGCACCUGACUGUAGAAGGUAAAAGAAAAUUACAACAAAAGGUCCUAAUAAUCCAAUAGGAUUAUAAAAAAUUUAUAAUUAAACAUUAACAAUCAUAAUCAAACAUUAAGCAAACUCAAUUAAAUUUUAUUGAAGAAACACAAGGAAAUCCUAAAGAAAUAUAAAAGAAUAUUAAAGAAAACUUAGUCAAAUCCUAACAAAAAUCUAAUAGAACCUUAAAUUCUAACCAAAUCCUAAUCUUAAUCCAACCUUAAUCAAACCCUAGAUAAAUCCUAAAUCCUAAAUCAAACCCUAAUCAAAUCUUAAUCCCUAAACAAAUCCUAAUCCAAAUCCUAAAUCCUAAACCAAAUCCUACUCAAAUCCUAAAUUCUAAAUCAAAUCCUAUCCAAAUCCUAAAUCCUAAAUCAAACCCUAAUCCAAACCCUAAACUCUAAACCAAACCCUAUCCAAAUCCUAAAUCCUAAACCAAACUCUAAUUCAAACCCUAAAUCCUAAACCAAACCCUAAUCCAAAUCCUAAACUCCAAACCAAAUCUUAACCAAAUCUUAAACCAAAUCCUAAUAAUUCCUAUAAUAGAUUUAAACCUCAAUAACUAAUGAAUAAACCAUUGAUCUUAACUAAAAUAUUACACACUUCUAACAAAAUAAGUUGAAAACAAGUAAAAAAAAAUUGAAAAUGAUCGAAGUUAUCAAAUUGAAGAUAUCCUCAAAAAUGUGCUUGGAUAUUGAACGGCCUCCUUCUUCAAUCUUGAUGCCAAUCUUCCAGAGACAAUAUCUCUCCUUUGAACCUUUUGAUUGAUUUCAAAAUUCUCAUACGCAUAGAAAAACAAGUUUAAUAUCCUCUCACAUAAGUUUCAAUCCAAUUCAACUAAUAGAUUACAAAAAAUCUCAAAAAUCCCUACUAGAUUUAAAAUUCUACUUUCUGAGACCUUGACCCACUUAAACCUCAAUAUUCCUCAAUUCAACCAUUAGAUCAAGCUCAAAUUUACAACACAUAUUAAACACAACUAUAAUCAUAAAUCCACAAAAUUUCACUUGUAGAUCUAUUACAGAACUCUUGAAAUCAUCCAAAUCAUAAAUCCUAUUUUAUUUCAUAAAACCCAAGUCAUCCGAAACAAACCUCAACUUUGCAAAGCUCUUACAAAGUCAUAUCAACUCCAAAUCACCCAAAAUCAACUCUUAUAGAAAGCCUAUUCAGUGUGCUAUCAAAUCUCACUCUUUGAUCUCCAAAAAAACCCUAGAGUCGUCGUCAAAACUCGGUUUUGUGCCCUAAGAUCUGAUUUCGACCCUGGUUCAUAACUGGCCCUCUCUGGGUAUCAAUAUCUAGGUUUUCUAAGUAACCUUUUUUUAGAAUUUACUCUUAACUUCCUUUUAAAGAUGCCUAUGUCAUUUAUUUUUCCAAUCUACUUUGAUUUGCCUUACUUAUGGUACUACAAAGUAAGUAGAAGUCACCUUUCUAAAAGGCAGCAUUGGUACCUUUUAAUUUUUCUAUCCCUUUGACUAUUAAAUAUGUUUCUAAGAUAAUUUGUUCUAAUACUUUGAACUAAGAUCUCCUAAAUUAUAAUAAUUUCUACACUCUUUCACCUAUUAAUCAUGUUAUAUCACGACAAUGUGGAAUAAGCCUAGUAGGUAUAUACAGGUGGACACACCCAAUAUGCCUGAUGGAGGUGCAAGAAGACUACUUUGUUGUUUCCGUUGUAGACAUAUUGGUGAUUAUACUAAUGAAUGUCCCAAUCCCAGUGCUAAUGAUAAUUAUGUGCCAGUGUAUGGGAAUAGCAAGCAGUCGGGGCAUACUUAUCAUCAAUGUAAUGCUCUGUUCAAUUUCAAUAAUCGAGAUCAGCAGAUCCAAAGCCAGGGAAAAAUUGAAGGGUUAAAUCAAGGUCCUCAAUAUUCUCCGAUAAAUUAGAUAGAAUGAGUCCGAGCCAUUCUUACAAAGAGUCAGAAAAAGAAAAAAAGACUAAUUCAAUAUUCGAGUGAGUCUGAUGUGAAGGGUCAAUUUGACCAAACUAUGGGAACAUCCAAUCCACGUUCUAGUAUGGGCCUUUUGUCCAGUAUGAGACCUGACUUGGUUGGGCAAUCCAAUGAGGUCCUGAAUACGGUGUCGUGAUGUAAUAUGACUAGUAGGUGAAAGGGUGAAGAAAUAUAUCAUGUUUUGAGGAUCUCACUUCAAAAAUAUUGUAGCAAAUUAUCUUGGAAAAAUAGAUAUUAGUAAAAGGGUAGAAAAAUUAAAAGUGCUAAUGCUGCCUUUUUACAAAUUAUGCUUCUAUUUACUUUGUAAGGCCAUAAAUAAGGCAAAACAAGGUAGGUUAGAAAAAUAAAGGAUAUAGACAUAUGUAGGGAAGAGUUAGGAAUGCAAAUUAAUAAAAAUUACCUCAAGAAGACGAAAAUUGACACCCGGAGAGGGCCGGUUAUGAACCAGGGUCGAAAUCAAACCCUGAGGCACAAAACCGAGUCUCGACGACGACUCCGGGAUUCUUUGGCAGAUCGGAGAGUAGGAUUUGAUAGAAGAUUGAAUAGAGUUUCUAUGGGCAUUGAUUUUGGGUGAUUUGGAGUUGAUAUGACUUUGUAAGAGCUUUGCAAAGUGGAGGUUUGUUUCGGAUGACUUGGUUUUUAUGAAAUAAAAUAGGGUUUAUGUUUUGAGUGAUUUCGAGAGUUUUGUUGCAGAUCUACGGGUGAAUUUUUUUAGGCUCAUGGUUAUAGUUGUGUUAAAUACAUGUUGUGAAUUUGAGCUCGACCUAACAAUUGAAGUGAGAGAUAUUGAGGUUUAAGCGGGUUAAGGUCUCAGAAAGUAGAAUUUUAGGUCCAAUGAGGGUUUUUUAGAAUUCAUGCAAUCAACUAGUUGGAUUGGAGUAAAACUUAUGUGAGAGGAUAUUAGAAUUGUUUUUCUAUGUCCAUGAGAAAUUUGAAAUCAAUCGAACGGCACAAAGAAGAGAAAUUGGCUCUAGAAGGUUGGCAUCAAGAUUGGAGAAGGAGGCCGGCUAACACCCAAACACAUUUUUGAGGUUUUCGUCAAUUUGGUAACUCCGAUCCUUUUCAAUCUUUUUUUUUUUUUUUUUGUUUUAAACUUGAUUUUUAAGAAGUAUGAAAAUUUUGAAUUGAGAUCAACGGUUUAUUCAUUAGAUAUUGAGGUUUAAAUCUGUCAUAGGAAUUAUUAGAAUUUGGAUUAGAGUUUGGCUAGGAUUCGAUUUAGGGUUUAGAUUAGGGUUUGGUUAGGGUUUGAUUUAGGAUUUGGAUUAGGGUUUGAUUCAGGGUUUAGAUUAGGAUUUGGUUAGGGUUUGAUUUAGGGUUUGGAUUAGGGUUUGGAUUAGGGUUUAGGAUUUGGUUAGGAUUUAGGGUUGGAUUAGGGUUUGGAUUAGGAUUUAGGAUUUGAUUAGGGUUUGAUUUAGGAUUUGGAUUAGGAUUUGGAUUAGGGUUCAAGAUUUGAUUAGGAUUUGAUUUAGGAUUGGGAUUAAGGUUUGAUUUAGAGUUUAAGGUUUGAAUUAGGAUUUAGAGUUUGGUUAGGAUUUGAUUUAGAGUUUAGGAUUUGGAUUAGGAUCUAAUUAGGGUUUGAUUUAGGAUUUGGAUUAGGGUUUAGGGCUGGAUUAGAGUUUGGAUUAGGAUUUAGGGUUUAGUUUAGGAUUUAGGGUUUGAAAUAGGAUUUGAUUUAGGAUUUAAUUUAAGGUUUGUUUAGGAUUUGACUUAGAGUUUAGGAUUUAUUAGGGUUUAAGAUUUAAUUAGGUUUGGUCUAAAGUUUGAGUAAAAUUCAAUAGGGUUUUAACUAGAAUUAAAUUAAGGUUGAAUUGACAUAUAUUUGAGUAAUAUUUGUUAUCAUUCUAAUAUUUCUUUAAGAAUUUUAUUGUUUGUUUGAAAUUUCUUUGAGUUUUUUUGAAUUUGAUUAUGUUUAUUUACCAUUAUUAUAGUCUAAUUAAAGUAUUGUUAGUAUUCUGUUAGAAUUAGGAUUUUAUUAUCGUAAUUUCUAUUCUUUCUUCUAUAGCUAGGUGUGCGGAGCAUUCUUAAGCAAGACUUCACACAUUACGACAAUGGAGGCUUUGGUUCCAUUUCAAGCUGUUUCGUUCUCUAUGCCAUUUCGAAGAAACAUCCUUUCCGUGGAAAGAUCCUCUUAGAGGCGGGAAUUCUAUGGAGGCGGGUUUGUUGUUCCAAUUCUUAGUCCAAGGCGGAAGAAUAGGGGACCUCAUGGAGUUAAAAGAGAGGAGAAGAAAAAGAAGUGGGCAUUCAGAGAUCAAGAUUUUGGGAUUGAAGAGCUAGCUUCAAGCUCCUUCGAAAGGUGUAGAAUUGGGUUUCAUAGGGUUGGGAGGACUUUGCAAUCAUUGCUCAAAGUCAGUGUUUGUAUUGGUGAAUUGGAUUUUUGCAAUAAAGUAAAGGCUAGUAUUCUUGACUGUUUUGUAAAAUUGGAGAGACAUCUGUGGUUGAAAUUUCAGAGGUGUCUAGAUGGUUGAAUAUACUAAGUGUAUGCAAAAAUUUGUGAUAAUCUUAUAAUACAGAUAGAAGAUAUUUGAUCAUUAGUAUAAAGAGGUAUCAGAAGUUGGCAUAUUGGAGUUGUUUAGGGUUUUUAUAAUAUUUGAGAUCUACCAGCUGGAAUAAGGUAAAUUUUGAUACAGUAAGUUGAGGACUUAAAGGCGGAUUUGCACACAAAGUUUGAAUGAGAAUUAACAGUCAGAGAAGGAAAAAUUGCAAGUUAAAGUUCGUCAUCAAUCUUCUAGGCAGCAGUCAAGGGACUUCAACAUGGAUUUACGGUGUUCUUGCAAUCUGUAAGUUGGAUUGGAUUAAACUUGAGCAUUUAGAAGACUUGUAAAGACACUAGUGGUAGAAGUUUCACAACAAUUGGAUGGUCAGAAUGAGAAUUACAACUUGCCGAGGCUCGCUAUCUAGGAUUAAGACUUAAAAAAAAAAGUAAUAAAAUAAAUAAAUUAAUAAAAUAGAAAUAAAAAUAAAAAAUAACAAAAAGAUCUGUACUUAUAAUAUCCAAAAGCUAUUAAAAAUAGUAUUCUUAGCACUUUGUAUUGGGAUUAAGCUUUCAUAUUGAAAUCCAAAAUAGUUUGUAUUUAGAUAGUUGGAACCCACUAGACUACUUGGAUACUUGUAAAAGAUCUUUUUAUCUUCUACAGCCAGACGCUUGAUGUGUUUUUAAGCUAGAUAGUAUGUAAUACGAUAUAAGUGGUGAACCCGAUGUGAAAUGCUUGAGGUGGGAGGUAUUGGGAUUCAUUUAUUUUUGUUUUUAUAUUAUGGAGAAUGAGAAUAAAAAUUUUGAAAGAGCUUCAAGUGGAGCUUCUUCUAAAGAAUAAGGUAUGUACAUGGACCCAUCGUUUGCUAGUAUGUUUUAAGUCUCAUCAUUAUCUAUGCAUUUAGUAAAGCAAUGAUUGCAAAGAAGCUUCAGCAACCAAAACAUUACAAGUAAUAGUCAAUAAAAUUGAUCAAUUUGAUGGAAGGGAUAUUUCAAGGUAUUUAAGAUGUUAUGUUCGAGAAAAGAAAUUAAAUUGGAUUUUUAAGAAGAAGAUGGUUGAAUUAUUUGGAUUUACCAUGAUACUAGAAAUAAGAGAGCAUAUUACAUCAAUUAUGGAGCAUUAUGGAAAUUCAUGGGAGAUUUUUCCACAUGCAUUAAAAGAUGAAUGUUUCUUGGAAGACACUGAUCAUGUUACUGAGAAACUAUUUCUAAAAUGGAUUGAGCGGCCUAAUAAGAAUCUGCAAGCAACAGAGCUACUAAAGAAAUUUGAGAGGCAGUAUUCUCAAUUAUCAAAGGUAAAAAAAUUGACAUUAGAGCCGAACAAGGUUGAAUUAUUUCUUCAAGUUGCUGAUGGAGAGUUACAAGGAAAAUUGGAGUUGCUUCUUGAAGACAAAGAAGAAGAUGAAGGAUUGACAACAAAGUGGAAAAAUGUUGAAAAUGUGGUGGGUUUGCUUGCAGAAAGAGAAAGAAGGAAGGAUAGGAGUAAUAUUCCAAAAGCAGUACAAGCACCUAAAAUUCCAGUACAUACAAUACGACCAACAAUGUCUACUAUUCAACCUUCAACAUCUUUAUCGAAGAAAGGAGAGAUGGGGAUUGAAGAAAUUAUACGUGGAAUGCGAGAUCUUCAAAUCAAAUUGUCAAGACUUGAAAAAAAUACUUCUACAAAUAAUUUGAAGAAUGUUUCAAAACAAGAGUAUGUACAAAGAUGUAUCUGGUGUGAUGACGUUUCACAUAUUAGGAAGGAUUGCAUUAAAUUUAAUAAUAUGGUGCAGCAAGGAAUUAUUUACUAGAAAUAUGGAAAGAUUGUAUUAAAAGAUACAAAGAAUCUCUUUCAAACCAAUUUUGGCAAAGGAGGUACGAGAGCAUUGAUUCAAGAUUAUUUAAUAGAAUAUGGAAUAGCAACAUAAGAGAGUGCAAGUUAUGGUGCUAGAGUAGAUGAUGACUUUGGUAGAAGUAUAGAAACUAGUGAAUUUUGGGCUUUUACUAUUUUCACAAUGUAAAAAAGAAAAAUGCCUUGGAAAGCAUUAUUGAAGACUGCAGCUACAAUACGAGGUGCAACAAUUUGGGAAGAUCCUAUUGAGUCUCUUUCAGUUCAUGCAUAUAUUGCUAAGAACCAAUAUGAAGCUUUGAUGGAAGAAAAGAGACCAGGAAAUUUUGAUGAUACCAGAGAAGGAAAUUCUUCUAAGAGGCAAACUUGAGGACACAAGGCUCAUGAGGUGACUUCUCAAGAAUUGCCUAUAAAAGAUACUUUUGCAUCAUUAGAAGAAAAAACAAAUGAGACAAAAGAUAAGGAUAAAUCAAUUGCUUAUGAGCUACUUUCUGAUAUUGAAGUAGCAAAAAAUUUUAAAGGAGUGUUGGAAGAACGUAUAUUAAAUACUAAGAUGGAAUUCACAUUGAAAGAAAUUUUGGAAAUUGCAAAGAAGGAGUUUCAUGAUGUUAUCAUUGACAACAUUAAGAGAAAGAGGCAAUUAAUGGGCAAAGCUAGAAUGAAUCAUGCUAUUGAUGCAGGAUUAUAUCAAGAUAAAGAAGGAGUUGAUAAUGGUUACGAGGAAUCAACAAAUGAAAAGAAUGGAUGUAAUCAACGAGUACGUUUCAAAGAUUAUAGUGAUAAAAAAAUGGAAGCUUUAAGCCCUUAUACUCAUAAACAUUGAGCAAGGGCAAGUACUGAAGUAUUGGUGAAAGUAGGAGAUAUAGAAGAAUCAAUUGUUGCUUUAGUUGACCAUGGUUCUGAAAUAAAUCUUAUGUCUAAAGAUCUUUAUAAGAAGCGGAAAUGGCCAAUUGAUAUGGAACAUGGAUGGAAAAUAUGAGUAGUUAAUAAUACAUAAGAAAAAUUAUAUGGAGCUUGUUCAGAUGUCGAAAUUUGGAUUGAAGAUGUUGCGACAGAAUAACAUUUCUUUGUUCAAGAUACAACAUCUUAUCCAUUGAUUUUAGGACGAUCUUAUAUUAUGGCAAUAUGGAUGGAAACAAAAGUACUUGACAAUGGUUCUGCUUAUGCGAGGGUAUGUAGUGAAGAUGGAAGGAAAGCUGUAUAAUUUCUAAUAGUACCUCCUAAUCAUGAACGGAAUCGAGAUCGGUUGAGGGAAAAACCAUUGCCAAAGGUUGUUGAAGGAUUUAAGGAUUUUGAGGAAGUAUUACUAUAAAGGGGGAUUAUGGAGGUAUAAAAGAGGAGGUACUCUCACGAGAUGAAGGUACCUUUGAUGUGAGUUUUAUUGAUAUUUUUGAGAAUGGAAAUAUUAUGUAUAAGAAAGUUGAUGAUUUUAAAAGAAAAGAAAGAAAAAGAUUAUAUAGUAUUGAAAGAAAAUUAUGCAAGUUAGGAACAUUAAACCCUAAAUUCCUAAACCCUAAACUCCUAAACCCUAAACCUAUUGUCAGACCUUUAUCAGAAGAUUCUAAGGAACAAAUGAAAGAAGCAUCAAAAGAAGAGAGUUUAAGAGAUCCAAAGAAGAUUGGACAUCAAUUUACAAAGGAGAAUUUUAAAGAAUUGAAGAUUGGAUGUGAUGAUUCUUUAUUUCCAAUAGAAAUUGAAUAUUUUAAAAAAAUACUUGCAAAACAAGGUAAAUCAUUUACUUUUGGAUCUUGUGAAAUAGGAUGUGUAGAUCCUAAUGUUGUUGCUCCUAUGGUUAUCUUUACAGUACCUCAUGUGCCUUGGUACUUAAGGCCAAUUCCUGUGCCGAGGGCACAUUUACCUAAAUUAGUAGAAUUAUUGAAAGAAAAGAUGCGAAUAAAAAUUUUGGAGCCUUUCUUUGCUCCAUAUUCUAGUCGUUGGAUUACAGUGCCUAAAAAAAAUGGAUCGUUAUGUUUUAUUCAAGAUAUGUAGCCAAUGAAUGUAGUAACUAUAAGAAAUGUAUGUAUAGGACCUUUAGUAGAUGAGUUUACAAAAUUCUUUGCAGGAAGGAUAAUUUAUUUAAUGGAUGAUUUAUAUUCGGGUUAUGAUCAAUUUCAACUUGCGCAUGGGAGUAGAGAUCUAACAACAAUGAGAACGCCCCUAGGAUUUCUUAAAAUGUGUACUCUCCCACAAGGUGCUACUAAUUCAGUUGCACAUAUGAUGAAUGGGAUGAAUAAGGUACUAAGAGACUUCAUUCCUGAAAAAACUAUGCCUUUUUUAGAGGAUGUUCUUAUCAAAGGAUGUAAAGAAGGAAAAAAAGAUGAAACUUUAGAUAAGAAGGGAUGUUGCAAAUAUGUUGUUGAUUAUAUACAAGAUUAUGAAAAGAUUUUAACUCGACUUGAAGAGGUUCAUCUUACACUUUUAGGACCAAAAUCUACAUUUGGAGUACAGGAAGUUCUUAUUGUUGGAUAUUUGUAUGGGUUUUAUGGAAGAAAGCCAGAUCGAAGCAAAAUUGAUGUAAUUGGAAGGAUGAAGGAUUCAUGUGACUCUUUAAUAGAAGUAUGCAGAUUUUUAGGAGCUUGUGUAUUUUAUUGUAUAUGGAUUCAUCAUUAUGCUCAUGUAAUGGAUCCAUUGUAUGAAUUAUUACGUAAAGAUUAUCGAUUUAAAUGGAAAAAAAAGCAUCAUGAAGCAAUACAAAAGCUGAAGGUGUUAUUGGUGACACCUCUAAUUUUAAGAAAAAUUGAUUAUGAUUGCAAUAGAUAAGUAAUUCUUACUGUGUAUACUAGUCCUAUUGCUAUUGGAUGGGCUGUGGGUCAAAUUGAUUUAAAUGGAAAUAGAUUUACAGUUUAAUUUGGAGCUUAAGUUUUAAGUACUCAUCAACGUGCAUAUUUGCAAGUCAAAAGAGAACUUUAUGGAGUUGUUUCGGCUAUGAAAGUUGAAAGAGAUUGGUGCAGUAAUAGUAAUUGAAACGGAUUACAUAAUAUUACUUGGAAUGAUUACUAAUUGUUCAAUGCUGGAUAUUACAAUGUUAAGAUGGAUUGCUUAUAUUAAGUCAUUAAAUCCAAAAUUUAAGCAUGUUGUUGAAAAAGAUAAUUUAAUAGUAGACAUGCUAUCUAGAGCAAGAUAUGAAAGAGAAGACGAAAUGGUUGAAGACAUUGAUGAUGUUGGAUCAAAAUUCUAUUCAAUAUCAAAUCUUGACAAAGAAGACAAACUAUUUCUUGAAGAAUUUUAUGAAGGAGAAUUAUUGGAUAUUGAUCAUUACUUGAAUACAUUGACUAAGCAAGAAAAUUGGUCUACAGAAAAAUUUAAACAAAUAAAAAAAAAGACAUAUGGGUUUUUGCUUCAAGAAGGAUUUUUAUAGAAGAGCAUUAGCUUGUGAAGAUUUAUCAAAUCAAGUAGAAGGAAGAGCAUUGAGAACAAAAUCUAUGGAAGGAAUUUGUAGAUUUUUGCUUGAAGAUAUUAUUUGUUACUACAGAUGUGUAGGAAAAAUUACUACAGAUCGUAGAGAAUUAAACGCACAAAAAGCUUGUGAAUUCUUUGAAAGAUGUGGAAUUAAACUAUCACUGACUACUGCUUAUAAUGUUGAAGGAAAUACAAAAAGUAAGUGUGGUCACCGACCGAUUGUAAAAGUAUUAGUUAAAGCUUGUAAUGGGGAGGUUAGAGAAUGGCGACAACUUUUGUCAUUUGCAUUAUGGAUUGAUCGAACAAUUCAUAGCUUAGUAAUGGGAUAUAUGCCUAUUGAGCUUAUGACAGGUCAAAAAUCAAUUAUGCCAAUUAAAAAAAAAGUACCUACUUGGAGUGUGCUACCAUGGGAAGAUGGAUUGACAAGAGAAGAACUUCUAGCUAUUAGAAUUCAAUAAUUAGAGCAAAGAUUGGAAGAUGUGCAAAUAGCAUUAGAAUGUCAUAGGAGGUCUUAGAAGAUUCUAAGAGACUUUAGAUAAUUUAGGAAGUUAUCAAAGAAGGAUCUUAGGCUUGCUUUGUUUUCAAGCCUCAUGAAAAGUUUUUAAGAAGCUUCUAAGGACCUAGUAUAUAUAGGAGUUGAUGCUGAGAGGAUCUUUGGUCUUGAAAACUCACUUCUUAUGAUCUAAUUAUAAUCUUCUUAUCUUAUAUUCAGUUAUUGUUCUAAUAUUGAGCUAACUCCAUUUUUUAGUCUUGAAUCCUUAUCUUGUAUACGAUCCCUAAUAGUUUGUCAAGUCUCUCAUAAAACAAUAUUAGAAGCUUGGUCUUUUUUUGAUAGAACGUGGAUUAUUUCUCUUCUUAAAAGUACUAUAGCAUUUUAGAGGUUGCAGAAUAUCCUUUCCUAGAUUAAUAUUAUUCUUUUUUUAAUAUAAUUUUGAUUUUUUUUCUUUAUACCGUAGAUUUUAUUUUUAUUUUUAUUUUUAUUUUUUCUUUGAAUACAUCUAUUUUUUUAAUUUUUUAAUAACAGAAGGUAAAAAAUUUAAUAUAAUAGAUUCUAGAGAGAUCAAGUUAGAUUCUAUUAUUAUUGUUCUUGAAGCAUUGAGGCUUAGGACAGAGACUUUUCUUGAAGCAGAAUAAAAAACUAUAUAUGAUCAUACAUAAUGGUCAAGAAGCUAGAGUGCCUCAACUACCACAUGAAAUGUCAAUAGAGGUUCUAAAUUCUUAAACGAUUAUAUUUGCUUCAACAAACAUGGAAGGUGCAUCUACUUAAGGUAAUGAUCUGAUAACAACAACAGCAAAAGAACCAAAGAUCAGCCUUCUAAAAAAGUUUAAUGGCACUUGUUCAAAAUUUUGUGGCUUUCUAAACCAAGUACGACUAAUCAUCUUACUUCAACUUCAACAAUAUUCCAUUGAAGUAUCUUAUAUUGGUUUAGUUGAAACCUUGCUCUCAAAUCAAGCUUUAUCUUGAUUUGUUCUAUUAUUUAAAAAAAAAAUUCCUAUAUUACAUAAUUUUGAAGCAUUUUUGAUAACAUUUAGUGAACAUAAUAUGGUUCUUUCUUCAACAAUUAAAAUUUGAAGCCUUUGAUAAGGAACGUGUUCUAUAUUAAUGUAUACCUCAGAUUUUUGAUAAUUAGUAUGUGAUAUAAAUUGAAGAGAAGAUGCAUUGAUGAGCUAAUUUCAUUGGAGAUUAAGAGACAAUGUCAAGGACUUAUUGUUGUCUAUGUCAGAUCUUCAAACAUUAAAUGAAGCCAUUAGUCAAGAUGUGAAGUGUGAUAACCAUUUAUUUCAAUGACAACAAGGUAAAUAUUCUUCAAUUACACCACAUGUAUCCACUAAUUAUCUUAUAGCUUCUUCAUCAUACAAUUCUAAUGAGCAUUUGGAAGCAAAAGAUAUGUAAAUUAAUGUAGUUUGUUUCAAACUUCUUUCCAAGUAAGAAAAAAAGUAUCAAAGGAAAUUUGGCCUAUGCUUAUAUUAUGAAAAACUUAGCCAUAAGAUUAAUAAUUAUUUAGAGAAAUACCAGUAUACAUAUCAAAUGAAGAAAGCAAGCAUAUCAUCAAAAGCUUUGUAGAAAAAUGAAGGCAUCCAACCACAAUAAGGACCGUACAAUUGGAUUCUUUACUAUCACAAAUCAAAAAAGAUCUUAUACUCUUUCCUAGCUUUUUUUGUUGUUUUAUUAUACAUGUACAGUUAAGAAUCACAAAACUAGAGUAUCAUGCAUUACUUGACUCAAAAGCCUAUGUAUGUUUUAUUGAUGAAGAAUUUUCUACAUCACACAAAAUUUGUAUAGUCAAAAAAUCCAAAGCCGUACAUAUAGAAGUAAUAGAUUGUCUACUUUUAUUCUUUGGAGAUGUCACUCAUGAGAUGAUUCUAUUAGAAAUAACCUUCAAAGGCAUAUAAGGAUUUUAUAGAUGUAUUUGAAAAAAAAAAUAUUGACAUCCUAUCGAAGCAUCGCUCUUACGAUUCUAUGAUUGACUUUUAAGAAGGUGCUCAACCACCAUUGGGACCUAUCUAUAAUUUAUCGUAGAAUGAGCUUGCAACUUUAAAGGAUUAUAUUGAUGAAAAUCUGGUUAAGAAUUUUAUUUGACAUUCUAAGUCGCCAAUUGGUGCUUUGAUAUUAUUUGUAAAGAAAAUAGAUGGAUCUUUAUGGAUGUGUGUUGAUUAUUGUAAUCUUAAUAAAAUCAUGGUAAAGAAUCAAUAUCUAUUUCCAUUGAUAUCCAAACUUCAUAAUCAACUUAGCCAAGCAAAGAUCUUUAUAGAGAUUGAUCUACGAGGUGCAUAUAACUUGGUAUGUAUUAAGGAGGGAGAUGAUUGGAAGACAUCAUUUUGUACCAGGUAUGGAUAUUUUGAAUAUAAUGUCAUGCUUUUUGGACUUACCAAUAUAUCAGUCAUAUUCCAAUACUUAAUGAAUGACAUGUUUUGUGAGCAUCUUGAUAACUUUGUUGUGAUCUAUUUGGAUGAUAUUCUAAUUUUUUCCAAGAAUCUAGAAGACCACGAAAAAUAUGUCUACUUUAUAUUGAAAAAACUAUGAAAUAUUGGAUAAUAUGUAAAAUUAGAGAAGUAUAUUUCAUACACCUCAAGUUUAAUUUGUUGGAUAUAUUAUUUCCAAUAAAGGUUUUUUUUAUAAAUCUAAAGAAAAUACAAGCAAUCGUCGAUUAUGCAAAGCCAAAAAUUGUACGUGAUCUUCAAUGUUUUUUUAGAUUUACAAACUUCAAUAGGAUUUUUGUUAAGAAUUACUCCAAGAUUUUUGCUUCACUUACAUGGUUGACAUGUAAGGACAAGCUAGACUAGGGUCCAAAAGUAGAAAAAGCUUUCCAAAGCUUAAAAGAUAUUUUUACAACAGCUCUAAUUUUGAUACAUCCAGAUUUCAAUAAGUCCUACUUUAUAGAGACUAAUGCCUCAAACUUUACAUUAGUGUAGUCUUAUUGCAAUUUGGAGAAGAUAGCAAACUUUGUCUAAUUACAUUCUAUUCUAAAAAAUUCUCAACAGCAGAUAUCAACUAUAAAAUCUACAAUAAAAAAUUACUUGCCAUCAUGGAAUCUUUUCAAGAAUGGUACAAUUUGUUUUGAAGGCGCCUCUCAUCAAGUCACAAGAAUCUUAAAUACUUCAUGUCAGCCCAAAUCUUGAACUAUUGCCAAGUGUGUUGGAGUAUAUCUUUAUUACAAUUUGACUUUUGAAUCAUGUAUCAAUCCGAGAGCCAACAAAAAUUAUCACAUGUAUUGUCAAGACGUUUCUACCUUGAAUCAAAAGAAAGCAAGGUAACAUAUGAUUAACAUUAAAUAAUCUUAUUAAAGCCCAAGUAAUUUCAUCUUCGAGCAACUAAUGUAUCAAUACCUAUGGAUUUAUCAUUUCUUCAUCAAGUUUGAAAAGCCUCAAAUACAAACCUUCUUGUCGUUAACAUCAAACAUCUUACUAAAAAUCUUUUUAUAGAAUCUUCUAAAUUCAAGAUUGAAGACAACCUCUUAUUCUUUGAAGAAUACUUUUUAAUUCUUGAAGGAUCAACUCACUUGUACGUUCUUCAAACAUGCCAUAACUUCCUUGCAUUUGGAUAUUUUGGAUUCAACAAGACCUUGGAACUUUUAUCUAAAGACUUUUGGUGGCCUAAAAUAUGAAAGAACAUUAAAGAAUUUGUACUAUCAUGUGAUACUUGUUCAAUAUCAAAGAAUCCUUGACACCGACUAUAUAGACGUAUUCAAACUCUUCUUAUUUUAAGACAACCAUGGUCAUCUAUCUCUAUAGAUUUUAUUACAAAUCUUCUACCAUCAAACUUAUUUGAUAUUAUUUUCAUAGUUGUUGAUCGAUUGACAAAGAUGGCACAUUUUAUACCUUGCAAGAAGUCAAUUACUAGUGAAGAGACAACAAGACACUUUAUUGAGAAUGUCUAUCAUUAUUACAGAUUGUAAGAUGAUAUUGUGUGAGAUCAUGGGCCACAAUUUAUAUUAAGGUUUUGGAAGGCAUCCUUCAAGAUUCUCAAAGUUGGUAUCAACCUUUCUUCUGCCUUUUAUCUUCGAAUUGAUCACCAAAUGGAGCAAGUCAAUCAAAUUCUUGAGUUAUAUUUGAGAUGCACUAAAUUAUCAACAAGAUAAUUGGACUUUCUACUUAUCAUCGAUGGAAUUUACAUAUAACAACACAAUCUAUGUAUCAAUAUAAUAAAUACCAUUCUACUCAAAGUACAGUCAUCAUCCAAAGUUAGAUAUGAUAGAACCUUCAAAAUUGGCAAAUCCAAUAAUAAAGAAGUUUGCUAUGAAGAUGGCCGAACAUCAAGCAACCAUAAAGACUCACUUUGAAUGGGCUCAACAAUAUUAUAAGCUAGUGGUAGAUGAAUUGAAGAAGAAACAUCCUCCAUUCCAAGUUGGUAACAAAGUGUGGCUUCUUUGAUACAAUAUAAAAAUGAUCAGGCCAUGUGAUAAGUUGGACUAUCAAAGGUUGAGACCAUUUAUAAUUCAUAAACAAAACAAUAACGAAAUUCAUUUCUUAGAGUUAUCUUCAUUUAUAAAUAUUUAUCUAAUCUUUCAUGUUUUACUUUUGGAAAAGUAUAAAAAAUCAAACAUGCCUAGUCAAAGACAACUGCUACCUCCUAUGAUUGAAAUCAAUGAUUAUAUUGAAUUUGAGAUAGAAGAGGUAUUAGAUUCAAGGAUAAGAUAUAGAAGGCUUGAAUAUCUGUUCUAUUGGCAAUGGAUAUGAUAUCAACAAUUACUUGUGGAAACUAGUUGACAACCUUGUAAAUAUACAAAUAAAGGUACAAAAGUUCCAUCAACGACAUCCAUCCAGACCAAAAUUCACAAAAUGAGGAACAAUAGCUUUGUAAGAUAACUUCAUCAUGAAUAGAUUCUUAGUUUUUGGCCUCAUAAAAAAGAGAAGAAAGCAACAUGUGAAUAGGUAGUUUUUUUAAAUAUUUAGAAUAGUAUAAUUUAGUAAUUCAAGUUUACGAUUAUAGUCUAUUUAUAUUCUUUUGGUCUUAUUUAUUUUAUGUGAUAUGGAUAGUCAAGAGAUAGACAACAUGCCUGUCAUACCAUUUCAAUCAAGAUGACCUAUUAGGGACUAUAUACAAGACAAGGAUUUAAGACCAAAGAAUAGAGUUAAUUUAAUAUUAAAAUAACAACUAAAUAUAAGACAAGAAGGUCAUAAAUAGACCAUAAGAAGUAAGUUGUUAGGACUGAGGAUCCCCUCAGCCUCGAGUUUUAUAUAUAUUAGGUUCUAAAAAGCUUCUUGAGAAGUUUCUAUGAGAUUUGAGAAUAAAAUAAGUCUAAGAUUCUUCUUCAAUAACUUUAUAAAUCAUCUUAAGCAUCUUAGAAUCUUCUAAGACCUCCUACGACCUUCUAGAACUUUCUUAGAAUCUAUUGAAAUCUUCCAAAAUCUUUUGGAACCUCUUAGAACCUUCAAGAGCCUUCUUAGAAUCUAUUGGUAUCUUUUAGAAUCUUUUGGAACUUUCUAGAAUCUUUUAGAAUCUUCUUCAAUUCUAUGUCCAUGACAUCACUUCUUCUUCUAGCUUUGAGGUCUCCAAGAAGCAAUGUUGCAGUAACCUAAUAUAUGCACAAGAAGUUGAAGAUCUGUCACAUGGUGUCCAUUAUAUAUUUCAAUUAUUUUUUGUAAGAUAAAUGGUUUAUAGGCCUUUGUAGCCAUUGAUAGUAUCACAAGCCUUCUACUUGUGAUUAAGCAUAAACUUCAACAUCUUCAUUAUGGAAUUGUCCUACAAAUACUCUUUCUAGACAUCCUUCAUAAGUAGAUUCUAUUCAAAUACAAUUACCAUGAUCUAUUAUUAUGUAUCCUUCAAUGUCUUCAUGGUUCAGAUGGUUCUUCAUCUCAGGGUUGUCUUUGCGAGCUAUUUGGUUGAGUUGGUAUGACUGGCAAGGCGUCUAUUUCUUGAUUAUCCAUAUCAUAUAAAGUAGACAAGACCAAAAGAAUAUAAACAGGCUAUGGUCGUGAAUUCAAACUAUUGACUUAUACUAUUUUAAAUAUUUGACAAUAAUUGCUUCUUCAGAGGUUGCAUCCUCUCCUUCUUUAUGAAGCUAAGAACUAAGAAUCUUCAUGGUGAAGCUAUCUUACUAAACUACUAUUUUUUAUUUUGCUACUUUUGAUGUAGAUGGAUAUUGUUGAUGGAACCUUCAAACCUUCAUUUGUGUAUUUAUAAGGUUGCUAGCUAGUUUCCAUGUACAAUUAUUGAUAUCAUGUCCAUGCUAAUCGACCAUAUAUUUAAGCCUUCCAUAUCUUAUCCUUGAAUCUAAUACCUCUUUUAUCUCAAAUUCAAUAUGAUCAUUGAUUUCAACCAUAGGAGGUGGUGGUUGUCUUUGACCUAAUAUGUUUAAUUCUUUAUACUUUUUCAAAAAUGAAACAUGAAAGAUUAGAUGAAUUUUCAUAGAUGAAGGUAAUUCCAAGUGAUAAGUUACGUAAUUAAUUUGUUUCUGAAUCACAAAUGGUCUCAACCUGCGGUAGUCCAAUUUAUCACAUGGCAUGAUGGUUUUUAUAUUGUACCGAAGAAGCCAUAUUUUGUUACCAAUUUGAAAUAAAGGAUGUUCCUUCCUCAAUUCAUCUGCCAGUAGCUUAUAAUAUUAUUGAAUCCUUUCUAGGUGAGUCUUCAUGAUUGCUUGAAGUUAGGCCAUCUUCAUAGCAAACUCAUCUACUGCUAGAUUUGUCAACUUUGAAGGCUCUAUCAUAUCCAACUUAAGAUGAUGACUGUAGUUUGAGUAGAAUGGUAUUUGCUACAUAGAUGCAUGGAUUGUAUUAUUAUAUGUAAACUCUAACAACAACAAGUAGGAAGUCCAAUCGUCUUGUAGCUAGUUAAUGGUACACCUCAAAUAUUGCUCAAGAAUUUGGUUGAUCUGCACCAUUUGGCCAUCAAUUUAAAGGUGGAAGGUAGAAGAAAGAUUGAUGUCAAUCUUAAAAAUCAUGAAAAGUGCCUUCAAAAUCUUGAUAUAAAUUAAAGUCCAUGAUCUAACACAAUAUCAUCUAGCAACCUAUGGUAAUAAUAGACAUUCUCAAUAAAGAGUCUUACCAACUCUUCAUUAGUAAUUGACUUCUUGUAAGGUAUAAAAUAUGUCAUCUUGAUCAAGCAAUCAACAACUAUGAAAAUAAUAUCAAGUGAGUUUGAUAGUAGAAGAUUUGUAAUGAAAUCCAUAGAGAUAUGACCAUGGUUGUCUUGAAAUAGGAAGGGAUUGAAGAAGUCCAUAUAAUCAAUGUUGAGGGUUCUUUGACCUUCAACAAGUAUUACAUGAUAGUACAAAAUUUCUUAACAUCCUUCCUCAUUUUAAGCCACUAAAAGUUUUUAGACAAAAGUUCCAAGGUCUUGUUGAAUCCAAAAUAUUCAAAUGCAAGGAAGUCAUGGUGUGUUUGAAGAACGUAUAAGUAAGUUGGUCCUUCAAGAAUGAACAAGCAUUCUUCAAAGAACAAGUAGUUGUCUUAAAUCUUGACUUUAGAAGACUCUUCAAGAAGGUUGUUGAUAAGAUACUUGAUAUUAAGAAUAAGAAGGUUCAUAUUUGAGGCUUUAUGAACUUGAUCAAGAAUCGAUAAAUCCACAAGCAUUGAUACAUUGAUUGCUCUAAUUUAAAAUUAUUCAUAUUUUAACAAAGUUGUCCAUUAUUGAUUAUAUGCUACCUCGCCUUGUUUUGAUUCAAGGUAGGAACAUCUUGAUAAUGCAUUAGAUAAUCUUUGUUGGCUCUAGGAUCAAUAUGUGAUGUAAAAGUCAAAUUAUGAUAAAGAUAUACUCAAAUGUACUUGGCGAUGGUUCAAAUUCAAGUUGACAUGAAAUAUUCAAGAUUCUUGUGAUCUGUGUAUACAAUCAACUCAUGAGAGCAACCUUCAAGAAAGUAGCACCAUUCUUAAAAAGAAUCUAUGGUGGCAAGUAGCUCUUUAUCUUAGAUUUUGUAAUUAGUUUUUGUUGCUAAAUUUUUUUUAGAAUAGAAUGCAAUUAAGUGAAGUUUAUUAACUUCUCCAUAUUGUGACAAAAUUGCUCCUAAUGCAAAGUCGGGCUCCAUAAAAUAGGACUUGUUGAAACAUGGAUGUAUGAAAAUUAGAGCUAUUAUGAAAGCAUCUUUUAAGCUUUGAAAAGCUUUCUCUAUUUUGAAGCCCUAAUCUAGUUUGUCCUUGCAUGUUAACUGUAUAAGUAGAGCAGUAAUUUUGGAGUAAUUUUUAACAAAAAUCUUAUUGAAGUUUACAAAUCCAAGAAAGUAUUGGACAUCAAGUAAAAUUUUUAGGUUUGCCUAAUUAAUGAUUUCUUAUACCUUCUUUGGAUUCAUAAAAAAAUCUUUGUUGGAAAUAAUAUAUCCAAAAAAUUUGACUUAAGAUGCAUGAAAUAUAUACUUCUCUAGUUUUUCAUAUAGCCCAACACUUUAUAGCUUUUUCAACACAAAGUGGACAUGUUUUUUGUGGUCUUUCAGAUUCUUGGAAAAGAUCAAAAUAUCAUCCAAAUACAUCAUAACAAAUUUAUCAAGAUACUUGUAAAAUGUGUCAUUCAUUAAGUAUUGAAAUAUAGCUAGAGCAUUAAUAAGUCCAAAAGGUAUGACAUUAUAUUCAAAAAGUCCAUACCUAAUACAAAAUGCUGUCUUUCAUUCAUUUCCUUCUUGAAUGUAUACCAAGUUAUACAUGCCUUGUAGAUCAAUCUUUGUAAAGAUCUUAGUUUGGCUAAGUUGAUCAAGAAGUUUAGAUAUCAACAACAUUGGAUAUCAAUUCUUUACUAUAAUUUUAUUAAAAUUGCAAUAAUCAACACACAUUUGUAAAUAUCCAUCUUUCUUCUUCAAAAAUAAUAUCAAAUCACGAGUUGAUGACUUAGAAUGUCAAGUAAAAUUCUUAGCCAAAUUUUCUUAAAUAUAAUCUUUUAAAGUCGCAAGUUCAUUCUAGAAUAAAUUGUAGAUGGAUCCAAACGGUGUUGUAUUAUGUAAUGUUUAGCUUGAGAAUGCACUGGAUAUCUAGGUGUAGAAGAUAAAGAAAAAAUUGCAACAAAAAAGAAUUAAUAACAAUAAUUGGCUUUAAUAAUAGUAAUUAGUGACAAUAAUCAAUAAUCAAUAAUCAAUAACAGUGACCAAAAACUAAUAGUAGUAGCCAAUAGCCGAUAGCAAUAACCAAAAAUCAAUAGCAGUAAUCAAAAACCAAUAGCAGUAACGAAUAUCCAAUAGCAGUAGCCAAUAAUCAAUUACAAUAAUAAAUGUCCAAUAGCAAUAACUAAUAUUCAAUAGUAAAAACCAAUAUCCAAUAGCAAUAACCAAUAUCUAGUAGCAAAAAUCAAUAUCCAGUAGCAAUAACGAAUAUUCAAUAGCAAAAACUAAUAUCUAAUAGCAAAAAUCAAUAUCCAAUAACAAUAAUCAAUAUCUAGUAUCAAAAAUCAAUAUCCAAUAGCAAAAACCAAUAUCCAAUAGCAAAAACCAAUAUCCAAUAGCAAUAAUCAAUAUUUAGUAGUAAAAUCCAAUAUUCAAUAGCAAUAACCAGUAUCCUUCAAAUUUACAGAACUUUAGCACUCAAUUUCUUCCAAUCCAACUGUUGGAUUGAGCUCAAAGUUUUUGAGAACCAAGAUAAUAUUCUUAACUUUAAAUGGAUGAUAAUCACAAUAAUAUGCUCGAGUGUGGGUCAAACUUCUUUUCCAAGUUGAAUGCGGAAUUUCUAGUGCUAAUUUCUUCUUAUCGAACCAUUCAAUCAAUUUUAAAAUUCUCAUGUACAAAAGAAAACGAAUUUACUACUCAAAUACAUAAUUUCUACUCCAAUCCAAAUAGUAGGUUGUAAGAAAUCUUAAAAUCCACACUAGACCUAAACUUCUACUUUUUGAAACCUUGAUCUACUUAAAUCUCAAUAAUCCUCAAUUCAAUUAUUAGAUCUAGCUAAAUUUCAUAAUACAUAUUAAACACAACUAUAACCAUUAAUCCACAAAUUUUUACUUAUAGAUCUGUUAUAAAACUCUUGAAAUUAUCCAAAAUGUCAACCUUAUUUUAUUUCAUAAAACUCCAAGUUAACUAAAAAUAAACUUGACUUUGCAAAGCUCUUACAAAGUCAUUACAAAUCUAAAUCAUACAAAAAUAAUGCUCAUAGAAACCUUAUUCAAUAUGCUAUCUAAUUCUAGUCUUUGAAUUGCAAAAAAAACCCCAAAAUCAUCAUCGAGGCUUAGUUUGUGCCUCUGGGUCUGAUUUCAACCCUGGUUCAUAACCGGCCCUCGCUCAAUAUCAAUAUUUAGUUUUUUAGGUUAUUUUUGUUAGAAUUUAUUCUUAACUUCCUCCUAAAGUUACUAAUAUCAUUUAUUUUUCUAAUCUAUCUUAUUUUGUUUUAUUUAUGGCCCAACAAGUAAGUAGAAGGCCAUUUUGUAAAAAGCCAUAUUAAAACCUUUUAGUUUUAUUACCCUUUUGACUAUUAACUAUAUUUUUAAGAGAAUUUUUUCUAAUACUUUGAACUAAGAUCUCCUAUAUUAUAAUAAUUUCUAUACUCUUUCACCUAUUAGUUGUGUUACAUCACAACAAUAAUGGUUGAACACCUUCUUGAACGUCAAUUGCAUAAUCAUAAGGGCUAUGCUUCAACAUGAUAUUUGCAUUUUUUUUUUCAAAUAUAUUUGUAAAAUCCUUAUACACUUCAUGAAUUAUUGUUGUAGCAACGACAUAUUUCAAUUGUGAAUUUGUGUAGACAACAAAUAUAGUAUCUUGUUUGAUCGCCCUCACAAAUGGUCUAGCUGCUAUAAAUAAAUAUUAUUUAAGUUUUGGCUUGUCAGGUAUUAGAAGCUUUUUCAUAGAUCUAGAGGUUCUAUGAUCUAUUAGAAGAAAUUCUAACUUUUGAGAUAUCCAAUCUAUCUGUCAAUUGUAUUUUUCAAGCCAUAAUAAUCCUAAAAUGAUUAGAUUUGAUGGUGAUGUAAUAAUGUUGAAUAUUAUUUGACUGCUAUGGUUGUUAAAGAUUAUUUCUAAUAGAAUUGUUUCAUGAGUGAUGUCUCUAGAGGAUAAAGGUCGACCAUCUAUUACUUCUACAUGUACGACUUUGGAUUUUUUGAUUAUACAAAUUUUAUGUGAUCUAGAAAAUUCUUUGUCAAUAAAAUAAGUAGAAGCUUCCAAGUCAAGUAAUGCAUGAUAAUCUAGUUUUAUGACUCCUAAUCCUUCAUGUAUAAUAAAAAAUGAGAAGGGCCAACAAAGAGUACAUGAUCUUUUUUGAUUUGUAAUAUUAAAAAAUUUAGCCACAAGAUUCUUACUAUCACUAGAUUUCUUUGUUUUCCUACAACACUUUUGAUGAUGUGGUAUCACUCCUCAUUCAAUAUGUAUACUGACAUUUCUCUAAAAAAUUAUUAAUCUUAUGGCCAAGUUUUCUGGAAUAUAAGCAUAGGGCAAGUUCUUUUCAACGCUUUUUUUCUUAUUUGAAGUAAACUCCAUCAAUUUAUAUAUCUUCUGCUUUCAACUAUUUACUAGAAUUUAUUGGUGAAGAAGUUGUAAAAUAAUUUGUAUAUAUAUGUGGCAUAAUUAAAAAAUAUUUAUCUUGUCACUGUUGAAAUAAACAAUUAUUAUACUUUACAGCUUAACUAAUGGCUUCAUUGAGUAUUAUAAGAUCUGACAUAGACAACAAUAAAUCCUUGACAUUGUCUCUUAAUUUCGAAUAAAAUUGGCUCAUCAAUAUAUCUUCUCUCCAUUUUAUAUCACAUGCUAAUUAUUGAAAAUCUGAAGCAUACAUUGAUGUAGAGUGGAUUCUUUAUUAAAAGCUUUGAAUUUUAGUUGUUGAAAAAAAAUCUUAUUAUGUUUACCAAAUGCUUUCAUAAAUACUGCCAAAAAUGCUUCAAAAUUAUGCAAUAUAAGAAAAUUAUUUUCAAAUAAUGGAGCGAAUGAGGAUAAAUCUUGAUCAAAGGGCAAGGUUCAAUCAAACAAAUAUAAGAGGCUUCAAUAGAAUAUCAUUGAAGUUGACGCAAGGUGAUUACUCGUACUUAGUUUACAAAGCCAUGAAAUUUUGAGCAAGUGUCAUCAAACUUUUUUGAAAGGCUGAUUGUUGGUUCUUUGUUGUUAUUGUUAUCAGAUCAUUGCCUUGAGUGGAUGCACCUUCCAUAUUUAAAGUAGGCAUAAUUUUUUGAGAAUUUAAGACCUCUAUUGUAAUUUGAUGUGGUGGUUGAGGCACUCCGGUCCCUUGACCAUUAUAUAUGGUCAUAUAUAGUUCUUUAUUUUGUUUCAAAAAAGUCUCUGUUCUAAUCAUCAAUGCUUCAAGAAGAAUAAUAAUAGAAUCUAAUUUGAUCUCUUUUGAAUUUUUCAUAUUGACUUUUCCACUUUUUGCUAUAGAAAAUCAGAGAAACACAUGCCUUCAAAAGAAAAAAACUUGAUUUAUGAUAUAAAGAAAAAAAAACCAAAAGAAUAUUUAAAAAAGAAUAAAAUUAGUCUACGAGAGAAUAAUCCCCAACAUCUAAAAUGCUAUAGUACUUUCAAGAAGAGAGAUAAUCUACUCUUUAUCAAGGAAGACCAAGCUCCUAAUAUUUUUUUAUGGUAGUCUCAACAAAUUGUUAGAGACCAUAUACAAGACAAGGAUUCAAGACCAAGAAAUGGAAUUAACUUGACAUUAAAAUAACAACUAGAUAUAAGACAAGAAGAUCUUAGAUUGACCAUAAGAAGUGAAUUGUCAAGACUAAGGAUCCUCUUAGCCUCGAUUCUUAUAUAUACUAGGUCCUAUGAAGCUUCUUGAGAAGUUUUUAUGAGUCUUGAAAACAAAGUAAGCCUAAGAUCCUUCUUCAACAACUUCUUAAAUUAUCUUAAGUCUCCUAGAACCUAUUAGGACUUCCUAUGACCUUUUAAAACUUUCUUAAAAUCUAUAGGAACCUUCUGAAACCUUUUAGAAUCUCUUAAAAUCUUUAAGAGCCUUCUUAAAACCUACAAGUACCUUUUGGAACCUCUUCAAUUACAUGUCCAUGAUACGACCUUGUGUCAAGGACAAGAACUCGAUGAAAAAAUAAUUCAAACAAGUGAACCUUCACUCAAAGAGAGGUAACAAAAUAUAUAUAAACAAAUAUGUAUAUUGAAAGAGAAACUGGAAUGGCUAUUGCCAAAAGCCAAGAAAACUAGAGAUCCUUGAAACUAGACUAGAAGCAAGAAAGGAAUUAACAAGAGUGAAGAAGCCUUCAUUCUUGUUUCUAUAUAUACUAUCUAACUAGGGGCUACGUGGCAACGUUCUAUAAGACCUCGAAUAUGUGUUGACUUUGUAGGACACAUGCCUUGACUUACAAGGCAAGUUUUUCUACGUGUGGGCCACAUAGUUAGCUUGAUCUUCAAGCUAACAACAUGUGUGGCACAUGGCCAACUUGUUGACCAUGUUUCUAAUCCAAAAAGUCAAUUAAAGACACCUAUGAAGUCAAAGCAGCGUCUAUAAAGUUUCUAAGAAGCUUCCAUAUUAAAUACUAUAGAAUUAACUUACUUUUACCUACUUUUACUUACUUCUACCUAUUUGUAUAUGUAAUUACUAGCUUACAUGAUUAUGUCUGUGACAUUACCCCCCUUUCUAGGUACGAGUUCUACAAGGAGCGGUCAUCAUAUGUUGAGGAAAUCUAUGAUGCGAUGAAUUAUAUUCACCACAUACUCUGAUCUUUGUUCUCUUCGUAGAUGAUUGAUAGGGCCUCUCAACCAUCGGUAGUGUCCCAUACCAGGGCGGGAAGUCCACCCAUGUAUUUGAUUAUUGUUGAGGCCUUCGUAACUUCCUUCGAAUAGAAUAUUUGGAACACCAUCAGGAGUUGUUCCUACUUCUAGCACAAUCACCAAACAUUGGGAGUCCCUUCCCAAAUCGUGAUACCAAAUGCGUUGUAUCUCGCCAUCUAUUCGAAGAAGAACAUGUCAUUUUUGAAGAUCAUCAUCUCGAUUGCGUCGUCUUGAAGGUUGUGACAAUCAUAAUAUCUCGUUCGGCAGGUCAGCAAAUGAAGGCUCUUGAGUCGAAUCUGCUGGUUGUUGGUUCUCCAUCUCCUGAGCGUCACUACUACAAAGAAGCUAUGAACAAGAAUUGAAAGUAGAAUGUUAUCUUGCCUAGAUGUUGUUUCUUUUAUAAAGAAGGUUUUUAUCUUGAUUUUGAUGGAUGUCGUCCAUGAAAAGCCUCCACCGCCAUUGCUGCAUUUGCAAGAUUUUUUAUUAGCUCCCAUGUGCGUUCACUAAUACCAUAUCCGUGCUAAUGGAUAAGAUAUUCUAAUUUAUUUCAGCGCUGCCUUGAAUCUAAGACUUCUUAUACUUCAAAUUCUUCAUUAUUGUCCACUUCUAUAGGAGGAGGUGGAGCUUGUCGUCUUCUUGGUAUGUCCACUGUCUUGUAUGGUUCAAGAAGAGACACAUGGAAUACUGGAUGGAUUUUCAUUGUCUUCGGUAGAUGUAAACGAUAUGCAACUGGAUUGAUUUGUGCAGAAAUAGAAAAUGGUCCCAACCUUCGAUAGUCCAACUUGUCACAAGGACGAGUGGUCUUGAUAUUGCGACAAAGUAGCCAUACCUUAUCACCCAAGAUGAAUGAUGGUUGUUCCUUUUGAUAGACAUCCGUAUUGACCUUUUGUUGUUCUUGAGCCUCUUUUAAUUGCGCCUUCAUCGUUGCAUGUAGCUCUGAUAAGUGAAUUACCAAAUCUUUCGCAACAUCAUUAUCAACUUUUAAAAAGUCAAAAGUAUCAAGUCGUAGAUGAUAACUAUAAUUAACAAAGAAAGGUGUUUGUUUUGUAGAAGAAUGUAUCAUGUUAUUGUAAAUAAACUCUGCCAAUGGCAAAAGAGUUGUCUAAUCAUCUUGUUGGUAGUUAAUGGUACAUCCUAAAUAUUUCUCCAAAACUUGAUUAACACGCUCCAUUUGUCCAUUAGUUUGAGGAUGGAAUGCCGAAGAUAGUUUUAUAUCCACUUUAAGAAUCUUGAAAAGAAUCCGCCAAAAUCUUGAUACAAAUUGAGUUCCCCUAUCUGAUAUAAUGUCAAGGACAAGAACUCGAUGAAAAAAACAAUUCAAACAAGUGAGCCUUCACUCAAAGAGAGGUAACAAAAUAUAUAUAAACAAGUAUAUAUAUUGAAAGAAAAACUGGAAUGGCUAUUGCCAAAAGACAAGAAAACUAGAGACCCUUGAAAUAGACUAGAAGCAAGAAAGGAGUUGACAAGAGUGAAGAAGCCUUCAUUCUUCUCUCUAUGUAUACUAUCUAACUAAGAGCUAUGUGGCGACAUUCUAUAGGACCUCCAAUAGGUGUUGACUUUGUAGGGCACAUGCCUUGACUUACAAGGCAAGUUUUUCUACGUGUGGGCCACAUAGUUAGGUUGAUCUUCAAGCUAACAACAUGUGUGGCACAUGGCCAACUUAUUGACCACGUUUCUAAUCCAAAAAGUCAAUUAAAGACACCUAUGAAGUCAAAGCAGCAUCUAAGAAAUUUCUAGGAAGCUUCUAUAUUAAAUAUUAUAGAAUUAACUUACUUUUACCUACUUUUAUUUACUUCUAUCUAUUUUUAUAUGUAAUUAUUAGCUUACAUGAUUAUGGCUGUGACAUUAUCCUCUCUUCUAGGGACGAGUUCCACGAGGAGCGGUCAUCAUAUGUUGAAGAAAUCUAUGAUGCGACGAAUUGUAUUCGCCACAUACUCUGAUCUCUAUUCUCUUCGAAGAUGAUUGAUAGGGCCUCUUAACCAUCGGUAGUGUCCCAUACUAGGGCGGGAAGACCACCCAGUUAUUUGGUCAUUGUUGACGCCUUCGUAACUUCCUUCGAAUAGAAUAUUUGGAACACCAUUAGGAGUUGUUCCUACCUCUAGCAAAAUCACCAAACAUCGGGAGUCCCUUCCCAAAUCGUGAUACCAAACGCGUUGUAUCUCACCAUCUAUUCGAGGAAGAACAUGUCAUUCUUGAAGAUCUUCAUUCUCGAUUGCGUCGUCUUGAAGGUUGUGACAAUCGUAAUGUCUCGUCUGACAGGUCAGCAAAUGAAGGCUCUUGAGUUAAAUCCAUUGGUUAUUGGUUCUCCAUCUCCUGAGCGCCACUACUACAACGAAGCUACGAACAAGAAUUGAAAGUUGAAUGUUAUUUUGCCUAGAUGUUGUUUCUUUUAUAAAGAAGGUUUUCAUCUUGAUUUUGAUGGAUGUCGUCGAUGAAAAGCCUCCACCGCCUUUGCUGCAUUUGUAAGAUUCUUCAUUGGCUCCCAUGCGCGUUCACUAAUAUCAUAUCCGUGCCAAUGGACAAGAUAUUCUAUUUUAUUUUGACGCCGCCUUGAAUCUAAGACUUCUUUUAUUUCAAACUCUUCAUUAUUGUCCACUUCUAUAGGAGGAGGUGGAGCUUGUCGUCUUCUUGGUAUGUCCACUGUCUUGUAUGGUUCAAGAAGAGACACGUAGAAUACUGGAUGGAUUUUCAUUGUCUUCGGUAGAUGUAAACGAUAUGCAACUGGAUUGAUUUGUGCAGAAAUAGAAAAUGGUCCCAGCCUUCGAUAGUCCAACUUUUCGCAAGGACGAGUGGUCUUGAUAUUACGACGAAGUAGCCAUACCUUAUCACCCAUGUUGAGUUGUGGUUGCUCCUUACGAUAUACAUCUACGUUUAUCUUUUGUUGUUCUUGAGCUUCCUUCAAUUGCGCCUUCAUUAUUGCAUGUAACUCUGACAACCGAUUUACCAUAUCUUCUGCUGCAGGAUUAUAAACUUUUGAAAAAUCAAAAGCAUCAAGUCGUGGAUGAUAGCCAUAAUUGGCAAAGAAAGGUGUUUGUUGCGUGGAGGAAUGUACCGUAUUUUUAUGAGCAAACUCUGCCAAUGGCAGAAGGGUUGUCCAAUCAUCUUGUUAGUAGUUGAUGGUACACCUUAAAUAUUGCUCCAAGACUUGGUUUACGCGCUCUGUUUGUCCAUCAGUUUGAGGAUGGAAAGCCAAAGAUAGCUUUAUGUCCACUUUUAAAAUCUUGAAAAGGGUCCUCCAAAAUCUCGACACAAAUUGAGUUCCCCUAUCCGAUAUGAUAUCUUUAAGUAAUCCAUGAUAGCGAUAGAUAUUAUCAAUGAAAAGCUUAGCUGUUUCUUCACCUGUGAUAGAUUUUGUACAUAGCACAAAAUGUGCCAUCUUGGUGAAACGAUCUACUAUCACAAAUAUAGAAUCAUAAGAUCUUGAGCUUGGAAGAUCUGUGAUGAAAUCCAUAGAAACAAAAGACCAUGGUUUUUCUGGUAUAGGUAAUGGCUGAAGAAGUCCGUAAGGUCGAUGACGAGGAGUUUUUGAUCUUGAACAAAUAUUACAUGAUUGUACAAAGUCUUUGACUGACUUCCACAUUUGUGGCCACCAAAAAUCUCUUGAUAAGAGUUCCAAAGUCUUAUUAUAUCCAAAGUGUCCUGCUGUUGGAAAGUCAUGACGUGCUUGAAGAACACGUAAACGUGCUUCUCCUUCUGGAACAUAUAGGCGUCCUUCAAAAUAUAAUAGAUUAUUCUUGAACUCAAACUUAGAAGGAUCAUGAGACUUGGAAGAAUUAUUCUCGAUAUCAUAAACAAGAGGGUCUGAGGACACACUAGACUGGAUUUGCUUGAGAAAAGUUGAAUCAACAGUCAAUGUUGAUUUCAUUGCUCAGAGAUGAAAUUGCUCCGGUUUCAAGAGGACCGUUCUUUGUUGCUCAAAAGCUGCAUCUCCUUCUUUUGGUGUAAAAUAAGAACGUCUAGAUAGGGCAUCAGACAAACCUUGUUGUUUUUCUGGCCGAUAAGUGAUAAUGAACUCGAAUCUUGACAAAGACAUACUCCAACGAGCUUGACGACGAUUCAACACGCGUGCUGAUAUGAAAUACUCGAGGUUCUUGUGAUCUGUAUAUACAAUGACUGGACUAGAAGCGCCUUCUAGAUAAUGACGCCAUUCUUGAAAGGAAUCCAUGAUUGCAAGCAGUUCUUUAUCGUGGAUCUCAUAAUUGAUCUCGGCUGCUGAGAAUUUUCUUGAAUAAAAAGCUAUCGGAUGAAGUUUGUCAUCUAUUCCCAUUUGUGACAAAACUGCAUCCAAGGCAAAAUCUGAUGCGUCUAUUUCCAUAAAAAAUGUCUUGGAAAAGUCAACACGAUAUAAGACUGGUGCAGAUACAAACAAUGUCUUCAAGGCUUCAAAUGCUGCUUUCGCUUCUUGAUUCCAUUGGAAUUUGUCUUUAUUGGUCAAGCGUGUAAGUGGAGUUGCAACUCGUGAAAAGUCUUUGAUGAAGAUCCGAUAGUAAUUGGCAAAUUCCAAGAAACAUUGGACAUCUCUUACUGUCCUUGGAAUCUUCCAAUCCAUGAUUGUUUGGACUUUCUUAGAAUCCAUCAUGAGACCAUCAUUUGAAAUGAUGUAUCCUAAAAAGUCAACUUGAGUAGUGUAAAAUACACACUUUUUCAUCUUGGCAUACAAUCCUGCAUCUCUAAGUUUUUGUAAUACUUGACGAACAUGUAUUUCAUGCUCUUCGACGUUCUUAGAAUAGAUCAGGAUAUCGUCUAGGUAGCAGACGACAAAAUUAUCUAAGAAUUCACGAAAUAAAUCAUUCAUGAGAUAUUGAAAAGCAGCUGGUACAUUUGUGAGUCCAAAAGGCAUGACAUUAUAUUCAAAAUGUCCGUACCUGGUUCGAAACGCAGUCUUCCAUUCAUCUCCUUCCUUGAUUCGUACUAGAUUAUAUGCUCCUCUUAGAUCUAUUUUUGUAUAAAUCUUAGCUUGAUUCAACUGGUCAAGGAGUCCUGAUAUCAAAGGUAAUGGAUACCUGUUCUUGAUUGUGAUCUUGUUGAGUCCUCGAUAAUCAACACACAUUCGUAAAGAUCCAUCUUUUUUCUUUACGAAUAGAAUUGGAGCUCCUGCUGGAGAUUUUGAAUGGCGUAUGAAAUUCUUCGCUAAAUUCUCGUCAAUAUAUGUCUUGAUUUCAGCCAACUCAUCUUGCGAUAAACUGUAAAUUGGUCCAAAUGGUGGCUGAGUUCGUUCCUUGAGGUCGAUUGAACAAUCAUAUGGGCGAUGCUCAGGAAGAAUAUCUACAUUCAUUUUUUCAAAAACAUCUUAAUAAUCCUGAUAUUGACUUGGAAUGCCACUUGAAGUCUUUACGCUUUCAAAAAUAGGUGCAGCAUAAAUAGCAAAAGUUGAUCCUUCUUUUGUUGCGUAUAUAAAUGCUUUUGCACCUAUAAGUACGGGUUUUACUCUAUUAGAUUUAUAACUUUUUACUUGCUUGGUAGAACUAUUAAUAAUGCUUUGGGAAAAGUCAAGUUUACGAGAAUUCCAAUCUAUUCGAGGGUUAUAUUUUUCUAGCCAGGAUAAACCUAAAAUAACUGGAUUGAAUGGAGAUUUAAUUAUGUUAAAAGCUAUGUAGCUAACAUGACCGUUUAUUGUUACUUUUAUAGGGCGAGUUUCAUGAGUGACAUCUCUAGAAGACAAAAGACGGCCAUCAAUGACUUCUACAUGUACGGGUUUAGUUUUCUGUACAAAAGGUAUUUUAUGACUUUUAACAAAUUGUUCAUCUAAAAAACAUGCUGAGGCUCCCGAAUCUAAUAAAGCAAAGGCUUUAUAAUUCUUAGGUCCUAAAUAUAAUUCUAUUAUAAAACAAGAAGAGGGUUUUGAGGAGAGGAUAAGACCUUCAUUAGGAAUUGUACAAGGUUCCAGUUGCACGGUCCCUAUUGUAGCUGGACGAAUCCGUUUUCCGACAUGUUAUCUUCUUUGACCGCCGUACCCCUCAUUUUAUAGUUACGUUGUUUCUUUGGACAAUGUUGAGCAGUGUGCUUAGGUUCUCCGCAGUAUAAACAUAAUCCUUCUUGACGAAGACGAAUCUUUUUUUGCUCAGUUAGGGGUUUAAAACAUAUCGCAUCAAUUUGCAUGUCUUCUACUUCCGAAUGUACGUUUGGCGAAGAUGCUGAUGUUGCCAUUGAGUAAUAACGUUGAGGUUCCCGUGUACGACUCUCGAAUUGAAAUUCAAAAAGUCGAUUGUCACAUUUUACCGCAAAAUCGAUUGCUUGAUUCAAAGUUUGAGGAUCAAGUAAGUUGAACAUCAAUUUCUUUACUUCGUAUUGCAAUCCAUAAAGAAAUUGACUGAUGAGUGCAGCAUCAUCCUACUUGAUGUCAAUUGUAAGUUGUCAAAAUUAUGAAGCAUACAUUGUUACUGAGCGAUUUUCUUGUCGCAAAAUUUGGAUCUUGUUUGUUGCGACAUGAGUUGCAUCGUGUUCACCAUACAUAGAUCAAAACUCCGCCAAAAAAGCUUCCAAAUUGUCCAAUAUUGGAUUUUGUUGUUCAAGAAAAGACGAAAACCACGAUAAUGCAGAACCAGAAAGUAGAGUGCCAAUAAACCUGACUUGUGAUCCUGGAGUUGGAUAGCUUUGCGAUUGAAGUUCAAUUGCCAAUUGUACUUGAUUGAUGAACCCUCGAAACUUUGAACUUGUACCAUCAAAUUUCUCGGGUAAAGCAAUUCUUGGUUCUCUAGUGCUUACAGGGUGUUGUACAAUUGGAGAAGGAAUGUGAUUUGGUGCAGAUGUUGAAGCAGCUCCGAUCAUCUCUAUAUCUCCACUUUCUGCUAUUCUUGUUCUUUCUUGUGUUGGUGAAUUGAAUUGAUACAUCGCAAGCAUUAACUCCCUCAAUUGUUCUUGCAUUUGUGCCAUUGCACUCUUCAUUUCAGCAAGCUCUGCCAUAAUGAUACUAAGAAGAAAAAUUUGUCUGAUAUUGCUCAAGAGAGAAGAAAAAAAAAAGACUUGAUAACAAAGAAAAUACUAAGAAUAAUAUCAGUUUAGAAGUGGAUAAUCCGCAAACUUCUAAUAUGCUUAUGUCUUGUCAAGAGAAAGGGGUAAUCCACUCUUACUCAAGAAAAACAAAGCUCUGAUAUUGUAAGUGCACUCUUGUCAAUCUGUCAAGGACAAGAACUCGAUGAAAAAAACAAUUCAAACAAGUGAGCAUUCAUUCAAAGAGAGAUAACAAAAUAUAUAUAAACAAGUAUAUAUAUUGAAAGAAAAACUGGAAUGUCUAUUGCCAAAAGACAAGAAAACUAGAGACCCUUGAAAUAGACUAGAAGCAAGAAAGGAGUUGACAAGAGUGAAGAAGCCUUCACUCUUGUCUCUAUAUAUAUUAUCUAACUAAGAGCUAUGUGGCGUCAUUCUAUAGGACCUCCAAUAGGUGUUGACUUUGUAGGGCACAUGCCUUGACUUACAAGGCAAGUUUUUCUACGUGUGGGCCACAUAGUUAGCUUGAUCUUCAAGCUAACAACAUGUGUGGCACAUGGCCAACUUGUUGACCAUGUUUCUAAUCCAAAAAGUCAAUUAAAGACACCUAUGAAGCCAAAGAAGCGUCUAAGAAAUUUCUAAAAAGUAUCUAUAUUAAAUAUUAUAGAAUUAUCUUACUUUUACCUACUUUUACUUACUUCUACCUAUUUGUAUAUGUAAUUAUUAGCUUACAUGAUUAUGGCUGUGACAUAUAAUAUCCUUGGAUAAUCCAUGAUAGCGAUAGAUAUUGUCAAGAAAGAGCUUAGCUGUUUCUUCACCUGUGAUAGAUUUUGUACAUGGUACAAAAUGUGCCAUCUUGGUAAAACGAUAUACUAUCACGAAUAUAGAGUCAUAAGAACCUGAGAUUGGAAGAUCCGUGAUGAAGUCCAUAGAAACAGAAGACCAUGGUUGUUCUGGAAUGGAUAAUGGCUGAAGAAGUCUAAAAGGUCGAUGACGAGGAGUUUUUGAUCUUGAGCAAACAUCACAUGAUUGUACAAAAUCUUAAACUGCCUUCCAUAUUUGAGGCCACCAAAAAUCCUUAGAUAUCAGUUCUAAAGUCUUAUUAUAUCUAAAAUGUCAUGCUACUGGGAAGUCGUGACGAGCUUGAAGAACAUGUAAACAUGCUUCUCCUUCUGGAACAUAUAUGCAUCCUUCGAAGUAGAGUAGGUUGUUCUUGAAUUCAAAUUUAGAAGGAUCUUGAGAUUUAGAAGAAUUAUUCUUGAUAUCAUGAACAAGAAGGUCUGAAGACAUACUUAACUGGACUUGCUUAAGAAAAGUUAAAUCAACAGUCAAUGUUGAUUUUAUUGCUCGAAGAUGAAAUUGCUCUAGCUUCAAGAGAACCGUUCUUUGUUGCUCAAAAGCUGCAUCUCCUUCUUUUGGUGCAAGAUAAGAACGUUGUCGUGUUGUAACACGAGUAUACCAUGAAAAUAUAAAGAAAGAAGACUUUUAUUAAUAUUCAGUUACCUCGAAUAUUAGGAGCAACAACCAAUUCCAGUGCAAAUACUGAGUCGCCAGGUUCAGUCACCUUGUUACAAUCAGCUGGGGCAUACUGAAAUGCUCCGUUCGAUUCCAAUAACGAGAGUCAGCACGAAAAAAAAGGACCAAUUCAACGACGGGUGAGCCUGGUUCGAAGAGCCAAUUGGAUCCAAUUUCAAGACAUCCAAUCCGGGUCUUUUUACCCAAUAUGAGACCUGACUUGGUCGGGCAACCCAAUUGGGCCCAGUUGUGGGAACAUCUAGGUCUUAUUAUGGGCCUCUUAGCCAAUCUGAUGCAAAGGACCAAUUUAACCCAAUUGCGGGAACAUCCAGGUCUUACUACGGGCCUCUUAGCCAAUAUGAGACCUGAAUUAGUCGGGCGACUCAAUGUGGUCUCGAUUACGGGGCUCCAAUUUUGUUUCAAGCUAUUCCAUCCCUUGUGCCAUUCUAGGAACGUCCCUUCAGUAAAAAGAUCUCUUAAAGAUAAAAAUGGAGGAGAAAGCCCUGAUGACGGAGCCAAUUCUGGAUCUAAGACGGAAGAUUGAAGAAAUUCAGAGAUUAGGGUUUGAGAGAGGGGAGAAUUAGGGUUAAAGGGGAGGAUAAGUUAAGAAAUGAAGAGGGAGAGAAUAGGUUUUGGAAGAAGAGUCGGAGAGCUAGCUUCAUGCUUUGAAGCGCGAAAAAAAAGACAGAGAAUUGGAUUUUUCUUCUUCAUAGGGUUUUGGAAAGUCUGAGGUAAUCAUUGCUGAAGUCAGUGUUGUAUUAGUGAAUCGGGAUUUUAAUGAAGUGGGUGUGAUUACUCUUGACUGUUUUGUGAAAUCGAGUUACGUCUGUGAUGAAGAAUUAAAAGGGUGUCUAUAGGAUUGAGUAUGUAGAGUGAAUGAAAUUUAUUGGGUUAAUCUAAUGACACAGUCAAUUGAUACAAGAUCGUGAGUAUAAAGUGGUAUCGAAGAUUAGCAGAUUGAGUUGUUCGGGGUUCUCUGUAACGUCUAGAGACUUACCGGCUGGGGCAAAAAGGACUUCAGCGAGUAAUCGAAGGGCAUCCGUAUAGUUGCAGUCGUUUAUAUUCCAACAGUCAAAAACCGAUAGACUGCUUGAAUAUUGGCGAAUCUCCAUACUACCUUCUAUAGCCAGACGCCCGACACGUUCUUGAGCAGGAAAGCAAGUAAUACGACAAUGUCUAGACAAGGCAUCGGACAAACCUUAUUAUUUUCCUGGUCGAUAAGUGAUGAUGAACUCGAAUCUUGAUAAAGACAUGCUCCAACGAGCUUGGUGAUGAUUUAAUACGCGUGCUGACAUAAAAUAUUCGAGGUUCUUGUGAUUUGUAUACAUGGUGACUGGACUGGAAGAGCCUUCUAGAUAAUGAUGCCAUUCUUGAAAAGAAUCCACAAUUAUAAGAAGUUCUUUGUCAUGGAUCUCAUAAUUGAUUUUUGCUGCUGAGAAUUUUCUUGAAUGAAAGGCUACUGGAUGAAGUUUGUUAUUUGCUCCCAUUUGUGAUAAAACCACACCCAGAGCAAAGUCCGAUGCAUCUGUUUGCAUAAGGAAUGCUUUGGAAAAAUCAACACGAUACAAGAUUGGUGCAGAAACAAACGUUGUCUUCAAAGAUUCAAAAGCAACUUCCGCUUCUUGAUUCCAUUAGAGUUUGUCUUUACAAGUCAAAUGUGUAAGUUGAGCUGCAACUCGAGAGAAGUCUUUGAUGAAGAUCCGAUAGUAGUUAGCAAAUCCCAAAAAAUAUUGGACAUCUCUUACCAUUUUUGAGAUCUUCCAGUCUAUAAUAGUUUGAACUUUCUUAGGAUCCAUCAUAAGUCCAUCAUUUGAAAUGAUGUAACCUAAGAAAUCGACUUGAGUAGUAUAGAAUACACACUUUUCUAUCUUGGCAUAGAGUCUUGCAUCUCUUAAUUUUUGUAACACAAGACGAAUAUGAAGUUCAUGUUCUUCUGGAUUCUUAAAAUAGAUCAAGAUGUCAUCUAGAUAACAGACCACAAAAUUAUCCAAAAACUCUCGAAAAACAUCAUUCAUUAGAUGUUGAAAAGCUACUGGUGCAUUUGUAAGUCCAAAAGAUAUGAUGUUGUAUUCAAAAUAUCCAUACCUAGUUCGAAACGCAGUCUUCCAUUCAUCUCCUUCUUUGAUGCGUACUAGAUUGUAUGCUCCCCGAAGAUCUAUUUUUGUAUAGAUCUUAGCUUGAUUCAACUGAUCAAGAAGUCCAGAUAUUAAAGAUAUUAGAUACCUGUUCUUGAUGGUAAUCUUGUUGAGUCCUCGAUAAUCAACACACAUCUGUAAUGAUCCAUCUUUUUUCUUCACAAAUAGAAUUGAAGCUCCUGUUGGAGAUUUAGAAUGGCAUAUGAAAUUCUUGGCUAGAUUUUCUUCAAUAUACACCUUGAGUUCAGCCAAUUCAUUUUGUGAUAAACUGUAGAUUGGUCCGAAUGGCGGUUGUGCUCCUUCUUGAAGGUCAAUUGAGCAAUCAUAGAGACGAUGUUCCAGGAGUGUAUCCGCAUUCUUUUUUUGAAAUACAUCUUGAAAUUCUUGAUAUUGGCUUGGAAUGCCACUUGAAGUUUUUUUACCAGUAAAAAUGGGUGUUGCAUAAAUAAUAUAUGGUGAUUCUUUUAUAGCAGCAUGCAAGAAAGCUUUUGCACCUGUAAAUACGGGUUUAAUUGAACUGGACUUAUGACUCUCUACUUAAUUAACUACACUAUUAGUUAUACUUUUAGAGAAAGUAAGAGUUCAAGAAAUCCAAUCUAUUUGAGGAUUGUAUUUUUCUAAUCACGAUAAAUCUAAAAUGACUGGAUUAGAGGGAGAUCUAAUGAUAUUAAAUACUACAAAACUAUUAUGACUAUUGAUUAUUACUUCUAUAAGAAGGAUUUCGUGAGUAAUAUCUCCGGAAGACAAUGGACGACCAUCUAUGACUUCUACAUGAACUGGUUUAGUUUUCUUUAUUAAAGAUAUGCUAUAUUUUUUAGUAAUUUCUUCAUCUAAAAAACACGCUGAGGCUCCUCAAUCUAACAAGACAGAGACUUUGUAAUAUUUAGGUCCUAUAAUAACAUUUAAUGUAAAACAAGGAGAGGGCUCUGAGGAAAGAAUAGGACCUUUACUAGAUGUUAUGCAAGGUUCCAGCCGCACGGUCCCUAUUAUAGCUGGACAAACUCGUUUUCCAACAUAUUGUUUUCUUUCACAGCCAUACUCCUCAUUUUGUGAUUGCAUCAUUUCUUUGGACAAUGUUGAGCAGUGUGCUUUGGUUCUCAACAAUAUAAACCUAAUCCUUCUUAACGAGGACGAGUCUUUUCUUGCUCAGUAAGAGAUUUGAAAUGUACUGCAUCAAUUUGCAUAUCCUCUACUUUCGAAUGUAUGUGUUGAAGAGGUAUUGGUAUUGCCAUUAAAUUAUAGUAACGUUGAGGUUCACUUGUAUGGUUCUCAGAUCGGAAUUCAAAAAAGUGAUUGUCGCACUUCAUAGCAAAGUCAAUUGCUUGAUUCAAUGUUUGAGGAUCAGGUAACUUGAGCAUUAAUUUUUUUACCUCAUAUUGUAAUCCAUAGAAAAAUUCACUAAUAAGUGCAGCAUCAUCCCACUUGAUAUCAGUUGUAAGUUGUCAAAAUUGUGAAGCGUAUAACGUUACUGAUCGAUUGCCUUGUCGUAAAAUACGGAUCUUAUUGGUUGCAACACGAAUUGCAUCAUGUUCUUCAUACAUGGAUCGAAACUCUACCAAAAAAGCCUCUAGAUUAUCCAAUAUUGGAUCUCGUCAUUCAAGAAAAGAUGAAAAUCACGAUAGUGCUGAACCUGAAAAAAGGGUACCAAUGAAUUUAACUUGCGAUCCUAGAGUUGGAUAGCUUUGGGGUUGAAGUUCAAUCUCAAGUUGCACUUGAUUGAUAAAUCCUCGAAACUUGGAUCUGGUGCCAUCAAACUUCUCGGAUAGGAAAAUUCUUGAUUCUCUAACAUUUGAAGGGCGUUCCACCAUAGGAGAAAGAACAUAGUUUGGUACAGAUAUUGAAGCAGAUCCAACCAUUUCUAUAUCUUCACUUCCUGCCAAUUUUGUUGCUCCUUGUGGUGGUAAAUUGAGUUGAUGCAUUGCAAGCAUUAACUCCCUCAAUUGUUCUUGCAUUUGUGCCAUUGUACUCUUCAUUUCAACAAGUUCUGCCAUGAUAACACUUAGAAGAGAAAAGAUGUCUAAUAUCGCUCAAGACAAAUAGAAGAGAGGACUUGAGAACAAAGAAAAUACUAAGGACAAUAUCAGUUUAGAAGAGGGUAAUCCGUAACUUCUAGUAUGCUUAUAUCUUAUCAAAAAAAAGGGGUAAUCCACUCUUAAUCAAGAUUAGACAAAGCUCUGAUAUUGUAGGUAUACUCUUGUCAAUCUGUCAAGGACAAGAACUCGAUAAAAAAACAAUUCAGACAAGUGAGCCUUCAGUCAAAGAAAGAUAACAAAAUAUAAAUAAAUAAAUAUGUAUAUUGAAAGAGAAACCGGAAUGGCUAUUGCCAAAAGACAAGAAAACUAGAGACCCUUGAAACUAGACUAGAAGCAAGAAAGGAGUUGACAAGAGUGAAGAAGCCUUCACUCUUGUCUCUAUAUAUACUAUCUAACUGGGAGCUACGUGGCGACGUUCUAUAGAACCUUCAAUAUGUGUUGACUUUGUAGAACACAUGCCUUGACUUACAAGGCAAGUUUUUCUACAUGUGGGCCACAUAGUUAGCUUGAUCUUCAAGCUAACAACAUGUGUGGCACAUGGCCAACUUGUUGACCACGUUUCUAAUCCAAAAAGUCAAUUAAAGACACCUAUGAAGUCAAAGCAGCAUCUAUGAAGCUUUUAGGAAGCUUCUAUAUUAAAUACUAUAGAAUUAACUUACUUUUACCUACUUUUACUUACUUCUACCUAUUUGUAUAUGUAAUUAUUAGCUUACAUGAUUAUAUCCGUGACACCUUGAUAUGAAGAGCCAUUGUCGUAUGGAGUGAUUUACUAUCUGGGAAUACACUAAGUAUCUAGCUCUAAAAAGUGUAGCUUAAACCUUUAUAUGAAUCUUGUCUUAGCUUCCAAAACUCCUUUAUUUUGCAUAAAACUCAAAAUAUAACAAAAUCCCUUCAGAAUAUAUUUUUUCUUCAAAGAGGUUUCUUUUUUUGAACUUUAGAAAUUCAUAACUCUUGCUCUAAUCAUUCAGCUUGUUUCAAAUUUAUAGAAUAAGUAGAAUUUACUCUUAACUUUUACUACAAAAAAAACCAAUUGUAAAUUCACUCUCGAUCUUUUGAGAUCUAUUAAACUCUAGUAGACACUCUAAACCCUAAUUUACAAGCACCUGAGCACUAUUUCCUUAAUAUCUCAAGAAUCCAAUAUUCAAAUGUUAUCAAACUUAUGUACAAAGUUUAUUAACAUGAAAUUACAUAUUUCUUGAAAUUUUGAGCCAAAACCUUGUUAAUUUGCUCAAGAUAUAGUUCAAGACACACCCACUAGUAAAUCCGGUCACUUACUACCUUUAGAUUGCACGUGCUGACUUAAAAAUCCAAUAACUCCUUCACUUUAGCUUGCAAUCUAGUAAGAAAUAUGCAAAAAGUAUAGCUGCAAAAGUGUUCUCUCUAGCCGCCAUCGCUGAUCCUCAAUUGCUUUUCGUACAUGUGCGUGAUGUCAAAAAGAGUGACAGUAGCUCCCAAAUCAACAAUUUAACUUUGAGUGCCUAUAUCUCCUUCAUAUAAACUCCAAAUCAUACGAAAUUUGUACCAAAACCAUAGCCAACAACCUAAACUUGCUGGCCUUAGCCUUCAAAGCUUGAAUGAUCUGGAGAAACUAACCCUAAUCCCUAAUAUGGCCUCGGUCAGCCUCUUCAAAGUCCAUUGGUCAUUAUUUUUGACCAAUAGGAAUGGAGAUUUUUAUCAUUCAUCUCUAUUUAUCUAUAUUGGUGCCCUAAUUACUCCUUUUGCUACCAAAAUUCUUCUUCAAUCCUUUUUCUUAUAAGAGUUAUAUAAUUUAUGUUCUAAACACCAAAUAAAAGAAUCAAAAUAAGUUUCCAAAGGUCACUAAUGUCUAACAAAGGUGACUCUAAAUGUUUAGAAGUUACUAUCAACCAAAACCAAUCUUAAAAGCUACUAUCAAAAGGAAAUUAAAGUUAUAGAAAUUUUAUAGUAAUCUUUUUAAACAAACUCUUUUCAACAUAAUAAUCAAAUUAUAUUCUACAACCAACUAAAAUCUACUAACAUGGCUUUCAUCAUAUUACUUAGUAAAUUAUAUAUUAAGUACAUAAUUACAUUAUUUUCAUAUAAUAGCCAAAUCACAAUACAACACCACCUGAACCACAAAGAUGUCGAAGGAUAUUUAGUAAUAGGUCACUGGCAAUUAUAUUUGAAGUAGAACUUGCUUAUGAAGGAUGUCUAAAAGAAUUAUUUGCAGAAGAAUUCCAUAACAAAGAUACCAAAGUUCAAGCUUGGUCACAAGUAGAAGGCUUGGGAUACUAUCCAUGGCUACAAGGGCCUAUGAACGAUUUGCCUUGCAAAAAAUAACUUGAAUAUAAAGAAAAAACAUGCAAAAAAUCUUCAACAUCUUGCACAUAUAUUGACUUGCAGAAACAUUGCUUCUUGAUGACUUUGAAGCUAUAGGAAGAAGUGAUGUCACGGACAUAUGUGAGACAUCAAAUUUACUCAUUUAUUAUUUUAGGAUAAAAAUAUACAUUUAAAAUACUUUAAAUCAUAAUAUAUAUUAAAUAGUAUAAAAAUCCUUAGAGAAAUAAAAAAUUAGAAUAUUAGUGGUAGAAAUGGAAUCUUAGUAAGUCUUAGAGGCAAUUAUCUACGUUGGUUUAGUAUUUUUAUUCAUUGUUGAAUAGUAAGAAUUAUUUAUUAAGGCCAAUAUGUAUAUUGGUCUUUUAUUUAUAUAUACUACUUAUAAAAACUAUAAAUAUUAGUAGUUAGAGGAAGCAUGAGAAAGAACCUCAUAUCAUUUUAGUUAUUGGUAUAAAAAAAAUAGGAUUUAUAGUAGAUUUAAAUUAAUUUUUAUUAUUAUCAAAAAUCAAAAAAAUAAGAAAAUAUAGUCUAACAUGGAUGUUAGCAUUAUAAAAAAAUUAUAUGAUUUUUCAGAAUUUAUUUAGAAUUUAUUUAUAAUUUUUUAGAAAUUUUUAGAGCAAUAUUUAAGAUCUUGAUAAAAAUGAAUUUUACCACUUCGGAAGCCAUUAUGAAGAAAGAGAGUAAGAUUUGAAGGCUACAUUAAGAUUCUAAGUUAAUUGGGUAUUUUUAAGCACCAUGAUGAAGUCAAAAAUAUAAAAAAAAUGAUUUUUACUAGUAGAAAAUAGGAGGACCAGUAGUUAGUCUAGUCCUUGUAGGAAGAAAGGUGUACAAGUUCCAUAUGGAUUGUAGCACCUUGGGUCAGGUAGGAAGAUAAGACUAAGGCCUCAAGGCCUCUUUAGACACCUGAUAUAUACUACAUGUGAGCCUUGGUGAGGCUCGAAUCCUUGACCUAUAAGCAAGUUAUCCCUGAGGUAAAAUAUUUUUACUUAACUUUUAUUUAUUUACUUGUUAUUUUUAAACCUUCAUAAUUUACUAGUAGUAACUCGGAUUUACAUAUUUUUUAUAUCAUUGGAAAGCUUAAAAAAUUAAAUUUUUAAAAAUAUAAUUUUUAUUUUUAUUUUUUUAUUUUUUACUAGAUAAAAACUCUAUGAACAGAUUGUGACCGAGUUUUAGAGUGUAUAUUUGCUUGUAUACAUUAUUUUCACUUGUUUGUAUUUUUUCUUCUUUUUUUCUUAUUCAUUGCAUCUUCUACUUCACAUUACCUAUUACAAACAACUCUUAAUUGAGGCCAUCUUAUAAUUUGGGUAGAGGGGUAAAAUUUACACUCACAACAUACAACUGAAGAAGAUUUGAAAAGGUUCUAGGAGAUUCUAGAAGGUUCUAAGAAGAUUCUUGUAGAUUCGAGGAAGUUCUAGAUGGUUCCAAAAGAUUCUUGUAGAUUCGAGGAAGUUCUAGAUGGUUCCAAAAGAUUUUAAUAGAUUCUAAGAAGGUUUUAGAAGGUCAUAGGAGAUCUUGGAAGGUUCUAGGAGACUUUAGAUGAUUUAGGAAGUUAUCGAAGAAGGAUCUUAGGCUUGUUUUGUUUCCAAGUUCGAUAGAAACUUCUCAAGAAGCUUUUUAGGACCUAGUGUAUAUAGGAGUCGAAGCUGAGGAGAUUCUUAGUAUCAACAACUCACUUCUUGUGAUUUAGCCAAGAUCUUCUAGGCUUGUAUCCAAUUAUUAUUCUAAUGUCGAGCUAACUAAAUUUCUUGGUCUUGAAUCUUUGUCUUGUAUACGGUCCCUAAUAAAAAUAUUUAUUUAUAAUAUAAUAGCAAUAAAGUUUUAAAGUAAUAAAAAAAUUAUUUUAUAUAUUUUUUAUUUUAGAAUUGGAGCAUAUUUUUUAAAUGGUAGACAAAGUACAAACUUUAUGUUAAAAUUUUGCUCUAUCUUGAUAAAGAUAUAUUUUGCAAUAUUAUAAAUAUUACAUUAUAUGCGUAUAUAUUAAAAAAGAUAAUUCUUAUCAAUUAAGAUGAAAUACUAAUGCAAUAUUGUCAUUGUGCUAAGAUAAUUAAUAAAAGUCUAUAAAACAUAAAUGACAAUAAUAAGUUAUUUGGUAGAAUUAUUGUUGUGUUCGGUGGAAGUUUUUGAAAAAUUCUUUGUAUUUUUGUUUAAUACUCAAGAGUAUUAGAAGUAAUUAAUCUGAGGAUUUUUAUAAAAUAUGAGGAUUAAUUAUAUUGAAUAAAAAUAUGUGUAUAUUACUUUAUGUUAUGCCACCUUGAUAAAAGUGCAUCUUUUCAAUCACAUUAUUCAUUAUGUUUGAUUACUGUUGUGAUUGUUUUUAAGAUGGCUACUUAAUUAAAGCAUUAUAGAUGUGGAGUUUUUCAUCCAAGCAAGCCAAGCAAGAAUAAGUGUUAGGCAAGCUUUGGUCUAAAGAGUGAUUUUAUGAAAAUGUUAGCAUACAUAUUGUGUAUUGGAUAAUAGUUAAAUACAACUUUGUUUUGAGUCACAAAUUGACAAAUGAAGUGGUAGAAUAUAGAGAUGUAUUUUGUACAAGAAUAAAAACGAGUGGUAUCUAUUAAUGCUAAUAUGGAUUGAUUAUCGUAAUAUACAAGGAUAGGAUUUUUUAGGAUUUUGAUACAAUGAAGAUCAUGAAGGAGUUGUCACAACCACAUAAGCUUGGACGCUACUAUUGCUAUAGUAAUAUACUCAGCUUUGGUGCUGAAUAGUAUUGUAAAUUUUUGUUGCAUGGAGUUCCAACUUAUGGCACCAUAUGAGAAGAGAAAGAUGUACCUAGAGGUUGAAUGGUGAUUAUGGAGUUUGCCUAUCUAGUCAACAUUGCUAGAGCCAUGAAGAGGGCACGUGACAGUAGAGAUUUAUUAAUACUUCAAGUACAAGCCGACAAUUCAUUUAAGAUAAUGAAAAGUAUGCUUACAUGCUUGAACGUGGGUACAACUGAGGUUAUGUAAGUAUUGCACAAGGAUACUGAUUGUGAAUGAGAGAUUGGAGCAAGUACAUAGGUUGGUCUAAUUCAAUGAGCCAACUGCAUUUGCAUAAAAGGUAGCAGUACAAAAUUCUUUUUCGAUAGAUGAGAUUGGACAAUUGGCCUCAAAGAAGUAUGUCUUGAAGGCCAAGGGAGUCGAGACAUAUUUGAAAUUAAGAAAUCUAAAUUUAGCAAUUUUUUAUUAUAUGUAUAAUAUUUGUUUGAUUUUGAUCUAGCCACAAUAUCACAAACAUAUACAUGUAAAUCAAUAAUUAUAUAUAUGAUUAGAUACAUAAGUAAAAUUAGGUUAAUUCUAUAAUAACUUAUAUAGAAGCUUUUUAGAAGCUUUAUAGAUAGUGCUUUAACUUUAUAGAUAUCUAUAAUUAAUUUUUUAGAUUAGAAACAUGAUCAAUAAGUUGGCCAUGUGCUAUACAUGUUGAUAGCUUGAAGAAUAAGCUAACUAUGUGGUCCAUAUAUAGAAAAAUUAUCUUAUAAGCUAAGGCAUGUGUCUUGCAAAGUCAACACAUAUUAGAGGUCCAAUAGAACAUUGUCAUGUAGUUCAUAGUUAGAUAGUAUAUAUAGAAGCAAGAAUAAAGCCUUCUUCACUCUUGUCAACUUCUUUCUUGCUUUUAGUUUAGAUUUAAGAGUCUCUAAUUUUCUUAUCUUUUAGCAAUAGUCAUUCCAAUUUCUUUUUAAUAUACAUACUACUUUAUUGGUAUUUUGUUAUUUUUUUUUAUGCAAAAUUUCCAGAUUUAUGCAUCUUCUGCUAGUUUAUAUCCUUGAUAAAUGGACAAAACUACACUUGUAAUAUUAGAGCUUUGUCUUCUCUUGAUUAAGAGUGGAUUAUUCCUUUUUCUUGAUAAGACAUAAGUAUAUUAGAAGUUAUAAAUUAUCCUCUUCUAAACUAAUAUUAUUUUUAAUAUCUUCUUUGUUCUUUGUCCUUUCUUUUGCUUGACUUGAGCAAUAUUAAACAUUUAAUUUUUAAAUAUUAUCAUUGCGGAGCUUAUUAAAAUGAAGAGUACAGUGGCACAAAUGUAAGAGCAAUUGAGAGUAUUCAUGCAUGUGAUGCAUCAACUUAGUUUAUUGCUAUCUAGAGCAAUAAAAAUGGCAAGAAGUGAAGAUAUAGAGAUGAUUGGAGUUGCUUCAAUAUCUACACCAAAUUACAUCUCUUUUCCUAUGGUGGAAUAUCCUUUUGGUACUAGAGAACCAAGAAUUGUAUUGUUUGAGAAGUUUGAUGGCAAAAGAACUAAGUUUUGAAGAUUUAUUAAUUAAGUAUAAUUUGUAAUUGAACUUCAAUUCCAAAGCUAUCCAAUUCCAAGAUUACAAGUUAGAUUCAUUGAUAUACUUCUUUUAGGUUUAGCAUUAUUAUGAUUUUCAUAUUUUUUGAAUAACAAGAUCCAAUAUUAGAUAAUUUCGAGGCUUUUUUAGCAGAGUUUUGAUCCAUGUAUGGAAAAUAUAAUGCAACUUAUGUUGUAACCAAUAAGAUCCAUAUUUUGUAACAAGACAAUGAAUCUGUAACAUUUUAUACUUCAUAAUUUUGACAACUUGUUACUAAUAUCAAGUGGAAUGUUACUUCACUUAUUAGCUAAUUUUUCUAAGUAUUACAAUAUGAGGUAAAGAAAUUGAUAUUCAACUUAUCUGAUCCUCAAAUAUUGAAUCAAGCAAUUAUCUUUGCUGUGAAGUAUGAUAAUUAAUUUUUUAAAUUUUAAUUUGAGAGUCAUGUAAGUGGGCCUUACUAUUACUAUAAUUCAAUAGCAACACGAAUGCUUCCUCAACACAUACAUUCAAAAGUAGAAGAUAUGCAAAUUGAUGUGAUAUGUUUCAAACAUCUAAUUGAGCAAGAAAAGACUUGUCGCCAUUAGAAAGAUUUUUACUUAUAUUAUAGAGAACCUAAGUACUUUGCUCAAAAUUGACUAAAAAAUAAAUGUAAUUAUAAAAUAAAGAGUAUGAAUGUCAAAAAAGAAAAUAUAUGGAAAAAAAAAUUUAUCCAAUACAAUAAGGACUGUGUGGUUGGAAUCUUGUAAAAUAUUUAAUAAAGGUCUUAUUCUCUCUUCAAAAUCUUCUCCUUAUUUUACCUUAAAUAUUAUUUUAGGACCUAAUCAUUACAAAGCCUUUGCCUAAUUAGAUUCAGUUGCUUCAGUGUGUUUCUUAGAUGAAAAUUUUGUUAAAAGACUUAUAAUAUUUUUAAUAAAGAAAACUAAACAUGUUUAUGUAGAAGUCAUAGCUGAUUGUCUAUUAUCUUUUAGAGAUUUUAUUUAUAAAAUCCUUUCUAUAGAAAUAAUAACCAAUGAUCAUAAUAGCUUUGUGUUAUUCAAUAUCAUUAAAUCUCCCUCUAAUCCAAUCAUUUUAGAUUUAUUGUGGUUAAAAAUAUAUAAUCCUUGAAUAUAUUAGAUUUCUUGUACUCUCAACUUUUCUAAAAGUAUAACUAAGAGUUUAUUUAAUUAAGUAAAAAAUCACAAGUCUAAUAUAAUUAAAUAUGUGUUUGUAGGUGCAAGAGCUUUCUUGCAUGCUGCAAAAGAAGAAUCAUCUUUUGUCAUUUAUACCACUUGUUUCUAAUAGUGCAAAGACUUAAAGUGGUAUUCCAAGCCAAAAUCAAGAAUUUUAAGAUGAAUUAGAAAAAAAGAAUGCAAAUACUCUUUUAGAAAAUUGUUUCUAUUACUACUAAAUUGACCUUUAAGAAGGAACACAAUUGCCAUUUAGACCAAUUAUUAAACACAAGAACUUGAUAAAAAUAAAUAAACAAGUGAAACUUUUCUCAAAGAAAGAUGACAAAAUAGAAAUAAUUAAAUAUGUAUAUUAAGAAAAAAAUUGAAAUGGCUAUUGUUAAAAAACAAGAAAUCUAGAGAUCCUUGAAAUAAGACUAAAAGCAAGAAAAGAAUUGAUAAGAGUGAUGAAGGCUUCACCCUUGCCUCUAUAUAUACUAUCUACUUAAGAGCUACAUGGCGAUGUUCUAUAAGACCUCCAAAAAUGUGUUGACUUUGAACAACACAUAUCUUAACUUACAAGGCAAGUUUUUUAUGUAGGCGCUACAUAGUUAGUUUGUUCUAUAAGAUACCAAUAUGUAUGGCACGUGAUUACCUUGUUGACCAAGUUUCUAACUUAUCAAUCAAGUAUAAACACAUGUGAAGUCAAACAACAUCUUUGAGCUUUUAAGAAGCUUCUCUAGAAGACAUUAUGAAAUUAAUCUAUUUUUACAUACUUCUAUAUAUUCAUAUCACUUAAAUAACAAUUACAAUGAAUAUAUGUCCGUAACAUCAAAUAUUAAAAGAAGUAGAUAUUAUAGCAGAACUUGCUGAAAUGAAGACCGUAAUGGCUCAAAUGCAAGAACAAUUGAGGGAGUUAAUGCUUGCAAUGCAUCAACUCAAUUUACAACUAUAAAAAGUAUUUAGAUUGACAAGAAAUAAAGAUAUAGAAAUUAUUGGAGUUGUUUCAACAUCUGUACCAAAUCAUAUCCCUCCUCCUAUGGUAGAACACCCUUCCAGUAUUAGAGAACCAAGAAUUAUCCUACCCAAGAAGUUUGAUGGCACCAAAUUAAAGUUUAGAGGUUUAUCAAUUAAAUACAACUUAAGAUUGAACUUCAACCUCAAAGCUAUCCAACUCCAAGAUUGCAAAUUAGAUUCAUUGAUAUGCUUCUUUUAAGUUUAAUAUUAUCAUGGUUUUCAUAUUUUUUUGAACAACGAGAUCCAAUAUUGGAUAAUCUAGACGCUUUUUUGGCAGAGUUUUGAUCCAUAUAUCGAGAACAUGAUACAAUUUGUAUUGCAACCAACAAGAUCCAUAUUUUGUGAUAAGGUAGUUGAUCAGUAAUGUUAUAUUCUUCACAAUUUUGAUAACUUGCAACUGAUAUCAAGUGGAAUAAUGUUUCACUUGUUAGCCAAUUUCUCUACGAAUUAUAAUAUGAGGUAAAAAAAUUAAUGCUCAACUUACUUGAUCCUCAAACAUUGAAUUAAGCAAUUGACUUUGCUGUGAUGUGUAACAAUCAUCUUUUUAAAUUUUGAUUGGAGAAUCAUACAAGUGAAUCUCAACGUUGUCGUGUUGUAACACGAGUAUACCGUGAAAAUAUAAAGAAAGGGGGCUUUUAUUAAUGUUUAGUUACCUCGAAUAUUGGGAGGAACGACCAAUUCCAGUACAAAUACUGAGAGGCUAGGUUCAGUCACCCCAUUAUAGUCAACUGGGAGAUACUAUAAUGCUCAAUUCGAUUCCAAUAAUGGGAGUCAGUAGGAAGGAAAAGGACCAAUUCAACGACGGGUGAGCUUGGUUCAAAGAGCCAAUUGGAUCCAAUUUCAAGACAUCCAAUCUAGGUCCUCUUACCCAAUAUGAGACCUGACUUGGUCGGGCAAUCCAAUGCGGUCCAAUUGCGGGAACAUUCAGGUGUUACUAUGGGCAUCUUAUCCAAUAUGAAACCUGAAUUGGUCGGGCGACUCAAUGUCGUCCCGAUUACGGGAUUCUGAUUCCGUUUCAGGCUGUUCUAUCUUUUGUAUCAUUCCGGGAACGUCCUUUCGGUAAAAGGAUUUCUUAAAGGUAAAAAAUGGGAAAGAAAGCUCUGACGGCGGGAGCCAAUUCCAGAUCCAAGAUGGAAGAUUGAAGAAAUUCAGAGGCUAAGGUUUGAGAGAGGAGAGAAUUAGGGUUAAGGGAGAGGAUAGGUUAAGAAAUGGGAGGGGGGGAGAGAAGAAGUUGGGAAGUUUUGAGAAGGAUCAGAGAGCUAGCUUCAUGCUUCGAGAAGGGGAAAAAAUACAGAGAAUUGGAUUUUUUUUCUUCAUAGGAUUUUGAGAAGACUGAGGCAAUCGUUGCUGAAGUCAGUGUUGUAAUGGACUCGGGAUUUUUAAUGAAGUAGGUGUGAUUACUCUUGACUGUUUAGUGAAAUCGAGUUACAUCUAUGAUGAAGAAUUAAAAGGGUGUCUAUAGGAUUGAGUAUGCGGAGUGAAUGAAAUUUAUUGGGUUAAUCUAACGAGACAGUCAGUGGAUACAAGAUUGUGAGUAUAAAGCGGUAUGGAAGAUUAGAAGUUUGAGUUGUUCGGGGUUCUCUAUAACGUCUAGAGACCUACCGGUUGGGAUAAAAAAGAACUUCGGCGAGCAGUCGAAGGGCAUCCGUAUAGAUUUACGGUAUAUUCUUGCAGUCGUUUAUAUUCCAACAGUCAAAAACCGAUAGACUGCUUGAAUAUUGGCGAAUCUCCAUACUACCUUCUACAGCCAGACGCCCAGCGCGUUCUCCAGCAGGAAAGCACGUAAUACACCAAUUUUACUAUAAUUCAAUGGCAACACCAACACCUCUUCAAUACAUACAUUCAGAAGUAGAGGAUAUGUAAAUUGAUGUAAUACAUUUUAAACCUCUUACUAAGCAAGAAAAGACUUGUCAUUGUUAGGAAGGAUUAUGCUUAUAUUGUAGAAAACCUAAGCACACUGCUCAACAUUACCCAAAGAAGCAAUGCAACCAUAAAAUGAGGAAUACGACUAUCAAAAAAGAUAGUAAAUCAGAAAACGAGUUUGUCCAACUAUCGUACGGCUAGAAUCUUAUACAGCACCUAGUCAAGGUUACUAUUCUCUCCUUAGAACCUUCUCCUUAUUUUAUGAUAAAUAUUAUUUUAAGACCUAAACAUUAUAAAGCCUCUACGUUAUUACAUUCAAGAGUCUCAACAUGUUUUUUAGAUGAAGAUUAUGCUAAAAGAUAUAGCAUGCUUUUAAUGAAGAAAACUAAACCUGUUCAUGUAAAAAUCAUAGAUGGUUGUCCGUUGUCUUCAAGAGAUGUUACUCAUGAAAUCCUUCCUAUAGAAGUAGCAACUAAUGGUCAUAAUAGCUUUGUAAUAUUUAGUAUCAUUAGAUCUUCUUUUAAUCUAAUUAUUUUAGGUUUAUCAUGGCUAAAAAUAUAUAACUCUAAAAUAGAUUAAACUUCUUGUAAUCUUAAUUUUUUUGAAAGUAUAACUAAGAGCAUAGUUAAUCAAGUAGAAAGUCAUAAAUCUAGUAUAAUUAAACAUGUAUUUGAAGGUGCAAGCACUUUCUUGCAUACUGCAAAAGAAGGAUCAUCUUGUGUCAUUUAUGUCGCAUCUAUUUCUAUUGGUAGAAAGACUUCAAGUGGCAUUCCAAGGUAAUAUUAAGAUUUUCAAGAUGUAUUUGAAAAGAAGAAUAUGGAUACUCUUUCAGAACAUCGUUCUUAUAACUGCUCAAUUGAAUUUCAAGAAGGAGUACAACCACAAUUUGGAUCAAUCUAUAAUUUAUCACAAAAUGAGUUCGCUGAACUCAAGGAAAAUAUUGAAGAGAAUUUGGCCAAGAACUUCAUACACCAUUCCAAAUCUCCAACAAGAGCUCUAAUUUUAUUUGUAAAGAAAAAAGAUGGAUCAUUGUAGAUGUGUGUCGAUUAUUAAGGACUUAAUAAAAUCACCAUAAAAAACAGGUAUCCGCUGUCGUACUAUAAAUGCUUAUAGUAUAUAAAAAUUAAUUAGAACAUAUUAUAUGUUAAUAAAUUUAGAUGUGUGUUAGAGUGGCUAGUAGAUUAAAUUAAAAGGAGUUGGUAUAAGAAACUUUACUUUGUUUCUUUACUUGUUUUGAUUUUGACAUUAAAAAAAUAUAUAUAUAUAAGACCUAAAUGUUUAGUAUGAAGCCUUGGAAGAAGGUGGAAGCCUAAGGAUGAAAAUCUAAACUAAUAGGAGGCUAAUUGGGAGGGAUAAAAGCAAAGCAUGGUUAGAUGAAGGCAAGGAAUGGAGAACUUCAUCCCUAUUGGUCGAAUACCAUGUCCAAUGGGCUUCAAGGAGGCUGUCCGAGGCCUUAUUAGGGAUUAGGGUUCCUCUUUCGAGGGCAUUCGGAGAUUACAAGCUAGGAUUGUAAAGUUUAGGAUUUGAGGUACAAUUUUUGUACAAAAAUUAGGGGAUUUGGAGUUAGGGUAAAAAAGUUAUAGCCGUUUGAAGUUAAGGUGUUUAUUUAAGACAUAUUGUUACUCUUUUGAGAGUACGAAGAGUUUUACAGCAGCUUUUGAAGAUCAAAAGAUGCGACUAGAAUGGCGAUUUUAAGGCCUAUAUCUUUCACAAAAGAAUUAUUACUUUUAGAGUUCAUAUAAAGGAGUUUUAAGGAGUUGAAGGCGGUGCUUCCAAAUCAAAGGCAGUAAGUAAGCGGUUUUGCUUGUAGUAAUGGUUGGAGCCAUAACUUGAGUAUUCGGAUGAUUUUUUGGCUCAAACUUUUGGAGAAUGUAAAUUUUUGUGUUAAAAAGCUAUACAUACAAAUUUCGUAGUAUUUGAGCUUAUAUUUUGUGAGAUAUGAAGAAAAUUGCACAUGGAUGUAUAAAGAUAAGGAUUUGAAGCGGCUGUUAGGGUUUUCAAGAUAUCUCAAGUUCUACAAUGAAUUUGUAGUUGAAAAUUGUUGUAGAAGUCAAUAAGAAUACAUCAGUGCCUCAUGUAAAAUUUGAGUUUUUUUGGACGGUCGGAUUAGGAGAUAUGAGGUGUUGAAGUUCAGAAAAAUCUCCACACAAGAAUAAACAAGGUUUUAGAAGAUUUUAUCAUAUUUUGAAAGUUGUGGGUUACUUGAGGAUUGUGUAUUUGGUGUAAUUACUCAAAAGGGAAAAAUUAUAUAUAAACUUAGGGCUUCCUUUAUUUUCAAGCUUGAUUGAAUAAUUAGUGACAGUCAGAAGCUUAGUGUUUUCUUGAGGCAAACUCUCUCUACCCCGACAUAUUGGUGCUUCUACUGAGAGAGCCUUAAGGCACUGAUUUUUCAAUAAGUUGAAAUGGGGGAUCAAAAUCCAGGGUUUAGAUUAUUAGGAGGAGUGGAUGCCUAUGAUUUAUUUACGGUAUUUGCUCAAUUUAUGGAAGAAAUGCAAUAGGUACAUGAACAGGAUAGAAACACUACUAAGGCCUUAUAAGUAGUUGUAGACAAAGUUGGGAGGUUUGAUGGAAGGAAUAUCACCAAGUUCUUAAGGAUUUACAUAUGUGAAAUAGAGGUGCAUUAAGUUUUAGAGAUGAAGAUGAUUACCACCUUUGAUUUGGCAGUGGUACCAGAAAUCAGAGAAAAGGUGCAAGAAUUACAUUCUGAGACUAUAUCAUGGAAGAAAUUUGAAGAACUCUUGAAAGAUGAAUUUUUUGAAGAAGAUUUAAAAAGAAUGACAAGACAGAUUUUUUUGGAGUGGAUUGAGCAAAGGCCAGGGAAUCAAUUGGCUCCAAAUAAAUUAAUUAGGAAAUUUGAGACCAAGUUUGGGCAAUUACCAUGGCAAGAGAGGUAGCUCUUGGAAACAAGAAAAACUAGAUUAUUUUUACAAGCAGCUGAUGAAUAUUUGGAAGACAAGCUUCUCUUUUAUCUAGCAGAUAAGACAUCUGAGAGUGGUUUUACAAAUAAUUGGAAGCUAGUAAAAGAGACUGUGGGACUUUUGGCUAAACAACAGAAGAUUAAGACUCGUCGUUUAAUAUUGAGAUUGGAACCAGUGCCUAUAUCUCAGAAUCAAGGACCACCUCAAAGGAUGAUCAAGAUUGUUAAUGAUGGUACUCUUGAAGAAUUGAUCAAGGAUAUACAAGAUUAAGCUGAGUCUUACUCCGUUACAAUUGAACAAAAAGCACUUAAGGCUAUUUUCCUACCAACUACAGAAGUCAUGAUCAGAAGAGCUGAAGCUAUUAGAAAAAUGACUGGGUAAAAUCAUUCAGUUGAUGCUAUUAAUAUUAAAGCAUAUUUAUGUAGAGAUAAAUAUAAUGAUGAUUUACACGAUGCCAUGGUUGAAGAAAAAAGAGGUAGAGCUAUUCAUGAAGAAGAUGUUAUUGAGCCUAAAAGUAAGAGGAGGUCGUCAAGAAACAAAGAAGCUUUUAAGGAGCAAAAAUUGGAGAAAAUGCCUUCUUCUACUCAUCUUGGUGAUGCACCAUUACCAAAAGAGUGGUGGAAGAAGAGCAAAGAAAAAGAGAAAGAUAAUGCAAGCAAACCUAAAGGUAAAAAUCCUGUUAUAAGCUUCAAUCUGACAUUGAAACAUCUACAGAUAUGAAGAGCAUUUUGGAGGAAAAGAUCUUAGAUGCAAAAAUUGAAUUCACUCUGAGAGACGCUCUUGGUAUAGCUAAAAAAGAUUUCCAUUAAUUGAUCAUCAAUGUAAUAAAGAAGAAGAGGGAAAUGACAACUGAAGCUAUUAUGAUAGAGGCAUUGGAUACUCGAGUAACUAUGGAUGAGGAAGAAGAGAUAGGACAAGUAUUUAUAUAAUUUGCAAUACCAGAAGCUAGAAUUAAGGUUGAUAUGAAAAAUGAGGCUUUAAAUAAAUAUGAAGAAGCUAUAGAUGAGCAUCAAAUGAAAUAUGCAUCUAUGAAAAUUACUGGGAUAAAGAAGAAUGCACAAGAAGCAUGUAUGAAUACUUGUUCUAAAUAUAAUAAUGAUGGAAUGGAAAGUAGUAGCUAUUCAGUUCUUUAUUGGACUAGAGCUACUACGGAGACAUAUGUGAGGUUGGGAGAAUCUAAAGAUCCAAUUUUGGCUUUAGUUGAUCAUGGAUCAGAAAUCAAUAUCAUAUCAAGGCAUGAUUCGAUCCUAUGAAAAAAAUAAGUGGCUAGUUGAUACCAAUCAUGGUUGAGUAAUUAGAGCUGUAAACAACCAACAAGGUGUUUUAUACGGAGCUUACCCAGCUGUAAGGACUAGAAUUAGAGAUGUGAAAGUGGAGCAAAAUUUCUUCGUACAAAAUUGUGCUACAUAUCCGGUAAUACUUUGUCAACCUUAUAUUACAGCUGCUAGAAUGGAAACUAGAGUCUUGGAUGAUGUUUCACAUUAUGCCAGGAUUCGUAGUUGGAACAGAAGAAAAGCUGUGCAGUUUAUUACUGUGAAACCUAUUCAUAAAAGGCAUAGAGAACAAUUAAAAGGGAUGCCUUUGGAGCUAGGAAAUAACUUUGUGGAUUUCUAGAAAGUACCCUUGUAGAAUGGAAAUACAUGGGUGCAAAUAAGUCAUCUGCAAAUCCCAUUGUAAAUAAUAUGAAUUUUAGAUUUUUAAACUUGAUUAGUAAUGGAUUUGUGAAUAUUUGAAAGAUUAAAGAUUUAGAUUUUGUACAUAGAAGAAGGGUGAAGAAACAAGAAAAAAAAUUAAAAAGAGUGGAUUUAGUUUCAAGUGAUGAAGCUAUAGUUAGAGUAACAGAAGAAAUAGGUUUGGAAGAUGAUUUAAUAAAGGUUCUUGAAAAUUUAGCUAUAAGCAUAGAUGGAAAUGCUAUAGUAGAAAUAUAUUUAAGAGAGACUUAUGAAGAAUUAGAAAAGAUAGUGGUAAUUGGUGGGCUUGCUACAAGCUAUGGAUUGAAAUAUGAAGCUAGAGUACAAACUAAAUAUAAAGCUGUAGCAAGAAAGGUAAAGCCUAUAGCUACUCAAUUACUAAUUGAUACUAUGGAUCAUAUCAACCAAGCAAUUAAGGAGCUAAGUCUAAGAGAAGGAUGUGGAAUUGGGCAUCAAUUUACUCAAGAAUCAUUAAUUAAAUUGAAGAUUGGAGGGGGUAAUUUCUUGACAUCAACGGAGAAAAUUAUAUUUCAAGAAAUACUUAUUAGGCAUGGUAAGGCAUUUGCCUCAACUCCUGAUGAAAUUGGAUGUGUGGAUCCUAAUGUUGUAGUACCUAUGGUAAUCUUUACUGUGCCGUAUGUUCCAUGGGAUUUAAAGCGUAUACUUGUGCCCAGAGCUUUACUUCCAAAGUUGAUAGAACUACUAAAAGAGAAGGUGAAGAUGGAUAUUUUAGAACCUUCAAUUGCUCCCUAUUCUAAUAGAUAGUUCACAGUACCCAAGAAGUCAGGGGCAUUAAGGUUUAUUUAGGAUAUGCAAGCUACAAAUAGAGUAACUAUUUGAAAUAUGGGAUUUGGUCAUGUAGUAGAUGAAGUGGCUGAACAAUUUGUAAGUCAUGCCAUCUAUUCUAUUGGAGACUUAUAUUUGAGCUAUGACCAAUUUCAAUUGGUUAAAGAGAGUAGGAACUUAACUACCAUUAAGACUCCUUUGGAUUUAAUGAGGAUGUGUACCUUACCUCAAGGUGCAACCAACUCAGUGGCUCAUAUGUAAAAUAUUAUGAACCAAAUAUUGAAAGAAUUUAUUCCUGAAAAAACCAUACCAUUUUUGGAUGAUAUACCUAUGUGAUUGCUCGUUUUACUUAUUCCGGAAGAAACCUCCCAGAAUAAACCCGUAUAGGAGGAUUCGAACACAGGGAAUGACUAGUUACUUAAGCAUUCACGUUAGGAUCACACAAUCAAUUACCUCCUGAAUGUAUCGUCUCUAUUUUUAAUAUUUGAACACACAAGGAAACUAUAAUCUCCUUCUUCAUCUUAUCGGUCUCUUCCUUACAGCAAUUCACUCAUAUCAAUAACUGCUAUUUCUACCAAUAUAUUCACCCUCAUAAUCUCCAACUGUAAUACUAUGCCCUCACAGCUUUCAUCAUACAAUUACCCUCGUUCCAAUCACUGGAAUUCUUCACACAGAACUGUUAUUCACAUUACAGUGUUUCACACAAACACAAACUCAUUCUCUCUACUGAACUAUAAUUAGAUUUCAGCAUUCAAUCUUUCUUCUUCUCAAAUAAUACCAAUCACAUUUCCAUUCCAUAAUUCACUUCACAAUAUUCAGAAACUCUCAAUCCUCUUAUUCAAAGAAAAUAACAAACAAAAGAAAAGAGAUAGCACCAAGCUUACUUCGGCUCACACUAUCAUAGUCUGGCAUUUUCUUUCCCUUUCCCAUCCUCCUUAUACUACCCCGAGAUAUCAACUCCUAUACUACAGAUGAUAACUACUUUUCCUGACUAUUCAUCCAUUCUACCUGCUGAACCACCUUUUCAGCAAUUAUCUAUCUCUGUUUACACUAUACACUAGGUAUCUACAUUCUGAAAAUAACUACUUAUUCUACAUAGCCCCAUUCUUAACUGUACGGCAUCUUCGCAAACACUCAAUUGAUACCUAUCUAAAAAUUAUCUAAUAAAACUCUACAAAAAUUGCGAUCCCUUUGGCCUAUCUAAUUAAUAAAUUGCCACAGUAUCUGUUAUUGGUUCCACUGAUUUCGAUUCCAACUGCAAAUCUUCGUCCUCCUCUAAUCCUUCCAUCGGUUCUUGCUUCAACUGAGCUAAAAGGUCUUUAUUGUACUCGCCCAGUUCACGGACUUGAGCUUCCAAUUUCAAGAUCUGGGCAUCUUUCAAUUCCAACUGGCACUGAAAGUGACUCCUCUCUUCUGGAACUUUGAGAACCAGCAACGUCGAUACUUGAGCUUGACCAAUAUUGACUAAAUCCUCUAUCAAUCUUGUCACCUUAGUGUUCAAGGCCUCAAUUUCAGCCCUUAACUGCUUCGUUUCACAUUUGUAUUGGUCACUUAAUACCAAUUUUUCUUGCUCCAAUAACUCGGCCUUUUCUUAUUCCAUUACUAACUGAUCCUUCGCUCUUUUCAGUUCCAAAAUUGAAUUACUGCGAGCCCGGAAUAGUUCUUGCCUGUGGGUCUCCACCAUGCGUUCUCUUUCUUGUGAUUGGCUCCUCACUGUUAACUUUUAUUUGAAACUACUACUCUCAAAAAUACAAGAAAUACAAGAAAAUGGCACUCCAGCUAAUCCAAAACAACACCACAAAAUGACUUUAACUGGUGCCCCACUCCUAUUCUUUUACCUAGUGGUGAUAAUACCAAUAUGUUACCCAUACUGUCUGUGAAAGGUAAUGAGAAGUAAUCUUUCUUAGUGGGUAAAUAAAACCAAUCGCAAGAAGCUUGUCUAAUUCCUCCUUCACCAUAAGGGAAUAUUUAGGAUUAAAGCAAUGUUGCCUCUGCCUUAUCGGUUUAGCGUUCUCCUCUAAAAUGAUACGACGUUCACAGACUUCAGCGAGAAUACCUUUUAAAUCAUCAUAAGUCCAAGCAAAAGUGGAUUUAUGAUACAAGAAAAAUUCGGUCCAGCAGGUCAACUCUUGUUCCUUAAUACCUUCGUAGACCUUAAUUAUUCGAGAUUUUGCUGUGGUCGCCAAGUUGAUAGUUUGACAUAAAGGUGCAACGGCAAUGUUCUGUUUCAACCCCUGCGCUAGUUUAAAGUCAGUUGGUAAGUUCGACAUGUACGAAGUACUAAAUCUUGUGAUUAGGGUACUAACAUGGUGCACAUCAUACAUGGUCAUCCAAUCAGUACUAACACAAUCUUAGUUUUUCGAGUCCGUCAGGUAUAUCAAGUACUCCUCCGGACCUCCAUAUUGGUACACCACUCCAGGGUGUAGUGCUGCCUCCACGGGCGCCUCCGUAAUUGGUACUACUGCAUCGUUAUCGGAGCUAAGUUCAUCAUCCGACGUUAAUUCAGAUGUUAGCAAUUGAGACUCCCCGUGAUAGUGUACUGGGUACAUUUAUAAUACCAUUUUAUCUCCGCCCUUGCCAAUUGUCAAAGUACCCUGACCCUAAUCGUUCUUGGCCUUUGCUUGAUAAAGCCAAGGUCAUCUCAAUAAAAUUAGAUACAAUAAAGUCGACCAUUGUAACCAAAAGACAAUAUAGUCGAUUUCAUAUGCAAUACCGACAAUCAUAGUUUGAACACUCUGUAAGAUACCCAUUGGUUUAACCCGACUAUGAUCUACCAUCCAUAAUAUCAAUGUCGUGGGUACCAAGUGUUCCAAAUCUAAAGUAUCCAUUGUAUCAGCGUUCAUUAAAUUGACGCUAGAACCACCAUCCACCUGAACACUCGAGAUCAUAACACCAUGAAUCAAAACAUCGAUGGUUGGUGCACCUAGGUCAGGGUUCAAACUGACUUCACAAACUUCUUUAUUACGGUGCCUAUGCCGUGUCAACGAUGAAUUCAAUGUAGAACGGCACUCUGGUGCGACCGCUAGAAGUUGCUUCAUAGAAAUAGAAGGCCGAAUAGUGUCCAGAUCCUUCAAAAUAUCAUAGGAUUUCAUAUUUAGGAUAAUUUCCAAUGCCCUCUUUCUUUUCAUUGGUUUGAGUUUAACUCCAUGAGGUAAGAUAUUCUUCCGCCGUAGACUUGGAAUUAGAACAACAGUCGGGGCUUCCUUGGAAUUCCCGCUCUCGAGAGGAUCUUUCAACGGACAAGACAUUUCUCGAAACUGUGUAGAGAUCGGAACUAUUUGGAACGGAACUGAAGCCUCCGUAAUUGAGACCUCAUUGAGUUGGGCCACCGAGUCAGGUCUCAUACUGGGUAUGAAGCCCGUAACAGGGCCUAGAUUGGAUGGUCCCUUAAUUGGGUCAAAUUGGUCUUUUGCAUUGGGAUUACCCAAAUGUUGAAUUGGUCCUAUUCACUUUUGCUGACUCUGGAUAAGAACGGCUUGGAUACAUUCCAUCUGAUUUACUCAAGAAUCUUGAGGACCUCAAUUUAUCUCCUCAAAUUUUCCUUGGCUUUGGAUCUGCUCAUCCCGAUUAUUGACAUUGAACGGAGCAUUAUAUUGUUGAUACGUAUGCCCCGACUGCUUGUAAUUCCCACAAAUUGACACAUAAUUGUCAUUGGCUCUGGGAUUGGGACAUUCAUUGGCAUAAUGAUCAAUCUGUCUGCAACCGAAAUAACGAAGUGGUCUUCUUGUACCUCCAACAAGCAUAUUGGGUGCUUCCAUUGAUAUAUACUUACUAGGCUUGUUCCAUGUAGGGUUAGAAAAUGAUCAUGGUUGUCCCGUUGGUACUGAGAGAACUUGGUUUGAUGAUGUCGGUGGAGCAUAUUGCUGAUACCUCUACUGCUUCUUACCGUAGUUCUGAGGGUUCGAUGCAGACCCCUGAUUAAAAUUGGAACUUUGAAAGUUAUUCAAUGCUUGAUUUUGUUGAUUAAAUCGAUUUCCAUUCCAUCCAAACGUAUUUCCCAUUUGCACUUAAUUGAUGUCCCAUUGGGUUGGUGGGAUCAUGGUCUCAUUACUAAAUUAUUGUUGUUGUCUUUGCCAAUUCCAACAAUUUGCUGUUAGGUGCUUUCUUCCGCAAAAUGUACAUUGACCUAUUAUUUGUGAAGGUGAAGGGCAUUCUGUUACAGAAUGACCAUGGCCCUUACAAUUAUUGUACCAUACAUUGGUCCUAGUAUUGAUAGGCUUUUGCCUCUUCUUCUUAUCUUUGGCCAUAUUGAAAGCCAUUUCUUCCAUUUUCUUCGUCAAAUUCAAUAAAAAGGUUUCAUUGGAAUCUUUUAAGGCUGGAAUUAUUACUAUCUCUAUCGUAGUUAACGCUUGUUGUUGAUACAAAAAAUAUGGAGCAUACGCUGUCGGGGUAGAGAGAGUUUGCCUCAAGAAAGCGCUGGGCUUCUGGCUGUCACUAAAUACUCAAUCAAGUUUGAAAUAUAAGGGUAACAAUUUUAUAUAUAUAAACUCCUCUCCUUUGGAGCAAUUACAUCAAUAUACAAGCCUUAAAAUCCAAAGAACACCAAAAUACUUGAUAAGGUGUUAUAAAAAACUUAUAUAUCCUUAUGAGGAAUUUUUCCUGAAGUUCAACAGCUCAUAACUUACGAUCUAACCGUCUAAACAACUCCAAAUUUUACAUAGAGUACUGAUAUAUCUUUAGCAACUACCACACCAAAAUUCAACGGUAAAUUCGUCUUAGAUCUUGUGAUAUCUUGAAAACCCUAACUGUAGCUUCAAACCCUAGCUUUUUUACACCCGUGUACAACUUCUUUCAUAUCUCACAAAGUAAUUAUUCAAAUACUAUGAAACUUUCAUCUAAAGCUUCUUAACCCAAUUACACACACUUGUGGAAAUUUUGAGCCAAAAAUUCAUCCAGAAACUCAAGAUAUGGCUUCACCCAUAACUAGCAACAAAACGAUAUACUUACUGCCUUCAAUUACAAGUGCUGUCUUCAAUGCCUCAUAACUCCUUCACCCAAUCUUAGAAUUCACUAUACAGUAAGUAGAAUGUGUAGCCGAGAAAAUGCUCCCUCCAAAUCCAGUCGCCGAUCUUCCGUUGCUCUCCGUAUUCGUAUGUGAUGCCCAAAAGAAGUGACAGUAGGUACGAAAUUGACACCUUAUCUUUGAACAUUCAUAUCUUUUCCAUAAAAACUCGAAAUCACACAAAAUCUUCACCCAAAUUAUACCCAAAACCAUAAACCUUCUGACCCUAGCCUCAAAAGCUCGAAUGGCCUCGAAAGAGGAACCCUAAUUCCUAAUAUGGCCUCGGGCAGCCUCCUCAAAGCCCAUUGGGCAUGGUAUUCGACCAAUAGGGAUGAAGUUCUUCACCCCUUGCCUUCAUCCAACCAUGCCUUACUUUCAUCCUUCCCAAUAAGCCUCCUUCUAGUUAUAUUUUCAUCUUUUAACUCCUCCCUUCCCUUAAUCUUUAUACUAACUAUCUAAAUCCUAUAUAAUAUAAACUCUAUAAUCAAACUAGAUUAACUUCCAAAUAAUUUUUCUUAUUUCAAUUCAUUUUAAAUUAACAUACUAACUAUUCUAACUCACAUUAAGACUUAUAAACAUAUUACAUGUUUUCACUAAUUUUUACAUACUGUAAGUAAUUACAGUACGACAACGCUGUUGUCAUGUUCGAUGGUAUACCUUGCAAUGAGGUGACAUUAACUGGCCCCUGAAUAUUGAUAUUGAAAUUAGCCCCUGUUUCUAACAUCCGUAGAUAACUACCCAUUGAUUUGUUCCAAGUCAAAUUUUGAUAUCUACCUUGAACUAGAAUCAUCGUGGCUCCCGUAGUUAAAAAUUGAUCAUAAUGGCAUUCCUCCCAAACCUUGGCUCUAUUAAGGGAUGCAACCACUGUAACGGAUUGAGCUUUCUUUACAAAAUUUUUUAGCUCUGGUGGGUACAAACCAUUGAUUAAUAUGGAUAAGAUAAAUACCUCUGGCAUUUGGUGAUUCGGCCACUUACUGAGUAUAUCAGCCACUCGGCCAUAGUACGAUUCCAUCGCCUCUCCUAAGUUCAUUAUGCUAUUCAUUAACCUCUCUCGAAGACGGUCCUCAAAACCAAUUGGCCAAAAAUGAGAUAAAAAUGCAUUCUUCAAUGCUUUCCAAUUCGGAAAUUGACCCAUUGGUUGGCGAUUGUGCCAUUCAAAUAUCGUGUCUUUUAAGGUCACUGGCAGCCAUCGCAACCAAAUAUCUUUAGUUCUGCCAUUAUUAACUAUACAUACUGUAAGAAAUUGAGACAAAUGUUGAUCGGGAUCCGCACCCAAAAAUCUCCAAAAAGUAGAUAGUGGCGUGACACUAGUCGUACGAUUGCCUACUGCACCCAUUUGUACUGUAAUCGGAAUGGCUGGUCCUCCUGACGCCAUUGAAUUUCUUGUUUCGCUAAACUCCGUUUUAAAAUAAUUUUUGCUUUCUCUUAUUCCAAUUUCCAAGCUCUCAGUGCUCCUCGAUUUAUUUUUAUUUUCUGUAAUUAGUUUUAUUGAUUGAAUUGCAGGUGAAAACGUCGGAUUUUGAAAUACAAUAUAGUUAUCUUUAUUGACGACCAAUUUGUGCCAAUUUGAAGAGCCAUUAUUGCUCGUUUCAAUAGUACCCCCUGUUGAAAAAAUACCCAAUGGAGUACCAAAUUCUUUUACAUCUCCUUUUCUUUCAAUUAACAGCCUCAAUAUUUCCACUGGAAUGUUAACAAAAUUUCCCGCGAGUAUUCUUGGCAGUUUUUCUAAUGGUACAUAAGACUGCAGAAUUAACAGUUUGUCCGAUUCUUAAUAUGUUCGGAUGUGUCGACAAGCUUGCAACCAUGGUUUAAUCCAAUUCUAUCGAUGCUUCCAUUUAAGAUUAUAUUCUUGCUCCUCUCUAAGAAAGUUCCUUCCUUGUGCUCUGCCCUGUCUUUCUCUCAACUGUUUUAUUUUCCUCGAUGCAAUGCUCUCGUUCUUAUUAACCAUAAUCUUGCUUCAAAUACUACUAAAAUCGUCUUCCAUUGCCAAUUUUCUCACACGUUUAGUAAUUAAUUCCUAAUACUCAAAGCUAUUAUCACUCCCCAGUAGCGGCGCCAAAAUGUGAUUGCUCGUUUUACUUAUUCCAGAAGAAACCUCCCAGAAUAAACUCGUAUAGGGAGAUUCAAAUACGGAGAAUGACUAGUUGCUUAAGCAUUCAUGUUAGGGUCACACAAUCAAUUACCUCCUGAAUGUAUCGUCUCUAUUUCCAAUAUCUAAACACACAAGGAAACUAUAAUCUCCUCCUUCAUCUUAUCGGUCUCUUCCUUACAGCAAUUCACUCAUAUCAAUAACUGCUAUUUCCACCAAUAUAUUCACCCUUAUAAUUUCCAACUGUAAUACUAUGCCUUCAUAGCUUUCAUCACACAAUUACCCUCGUUCCAAUCACUGGAAUUCUUCACACAGAAAUGCUAUUCACAUUACAAUGUUUUACACAAACACAAACUCAUUCUCUCUGCUGAACUACAAUCAGAUUUCAGCAUUCAAUCUUUCUUCUUCUCAAAUAAUACCAAUCACAUUUCCAUUCCAUAAUUCACUUCAUAAUAUUCAAAAACUCUCAAUCUUCUUAUUCAAAGAAAAUAACAAACAAAAGAAAAGAGGUAGCACCAAGCUUACUCUAGCUCAUACUAUCAUAGUCUGGCAUUUUCUUCCGCUCUCUUAUCCUCCUUAUACUACCUCGAGAUACCAACUCCUAUAUUAUAGAUGAUAACUACUUUUCCUGACUAUUCAUCCAUUCUACCUGCUGAACCACCUUUUCAGCAGUUAUCUAUCCUUGUUUACACUAUAUACUAGGUAUCUACAUUCUGAAAAUAACUACUUAUUCUACAAUCUAUAAAGGAAGAUAAAGAAGAAGAUAAGGAUGAGACUAUAGAGGUUGAAGGUUGUAGAAAGUUUGUUAAGAGGCAUAUUGAAGAUGUGGCCCGAAUAUUGGAGAGAUUGGAAUCAGUUAAUCUCAUGUUAUCUUUGGAGAAAUCAAGCUUUGGAGUUGAUGAGAUUCUAGUGGUGGGACACAUGUGUGGCAGAUAUGGUAGGAAACCAAACCCUGAUAAAAUUGAUACUAUAUCUAGAAUGAAGGCUUGUAAAAAUGUUACAGAAGUCAGAAGGUUUUUAGGAGCAUGUGUAUUCUAUUUUUCUUUGGGUGCCUCACUCUGUCCAUAACUCAGAGCCACUAUAUAAAUUAUUAAGGAAGGAUAAAAGAUUUGUUUGAAAAGAAGAACAAAAAAUAGCUAUAGAAAACCUAAAAAAGAUGUUGAGUUCACCACCUGUGCUUAGACAAGUGGAUUAUCAAUGUGGAAGACUAGUGGUUGUGAUAGUAGAUACAAGCCCUAUAGUAAUUGGAUGGACUAUUGAACAAGAUGAUGUAGAAGGGAGAAGAUUUGUUAUAAGGUUUGGAGCUAGGAUUCUUACAAAGAGGCAAAGGCCUUAUCCACAAGUUAAAAGAGAGCUUUUGGAAGCACUCACCGCUUUAAAGGUUGAGAGGAAUUAUUUGAUUAGAGCAAGUAUGGUUUUGAAAACAGAUUGUUUGCCAUUACUUGGAAUGAUAAUUAACUGUACUACUCCAGACAUUGCCAUGUUAAGAUGGUUAGCCUACAUGAGAACAUUGAAUCCUGUUUUAGUACAUAUCACUGGCAAAAAAAAUUUGGUGGCGGAUAUAUUGUCUAGAGCUAGAUAUACCUUCAAAGAGGAAAUGAUGGCACAUGAAGGAGAGGAAGAUCAAGAAGAAAAGAGUUAUGGAAAUUCAUUUGCUACUAGUGGAAUGGAUUUUGGUGAUAAAGUUCAAAAAUUCUAUGAAGGUUUGUAUGAAGACAGCUUGAAGGAUAUUAAAAUUUAUUUAAGUACAAUGAAGAAACAAGAAGGGUGGAUGGAUAUAAUCUUCAAAGAUAUUAGACAUCAAUCCUAUGGUUAUUUGCUUAGAGAUGGAUUCCUAUGGAAGAGGCCAAAAUGAGGAGAUGAAAUUCCAUUGAGGAUAGUAGGAGAUCUUAAAACUAAAUUUAAGAUUUUAAGAGAAUAUCAUGAUACACUUUGGGCAGGGUACAGAGGAGUUUGGCCUACAUAUAUCAAGAUCAAGGAAAGGUAUUGGUAGAAGGAUUUAUACAAGAAUGUAGAAGACUUUGUGAGCUCCUGCACAGAGUAUCAACUACAAUCUAAAAUUAGGUACAGAGAUGGAUUACAUCCUACUUAUCCACCUUCAAUACAUUUUCAAUAGGUGAUUGAUUUGAUAGCUAUGCCAUCAGAACUUUGGGGUAUGAAAUAUUUGGUUUUGGCAAGAGAAGAGCUAUCAAAUUAUGUUGAAGGGAGGACUUUGAGAACCAAGACUACAAAAGCAAUAUGCAGAUUUAUAUUGAAAGACAUCUUUAGUAGAUAUAGUAGCAUUGGAAGGAUGAGAGCUCAUAGAGGAGAAUUGGAUGCUAUUGAAGCAAGAGAAUUUUUCAACAGGUAUAGAGUUCAAUUGAAGUUGACUACUUCUAAUAAUCCUGAAGCCAAUGGAAAGAGUGAGAGGGGUCAUCCUCCUAUCAUUUAUGCAUUGGUUAAGGCAUGUAAAGAUAAGUCAAUUCAAUGGCCUAAACUACUUCCAUUUGUUUUAUUGGCUGAUAGAACUACUCAUAGUACUGUCAUUGAUUAUAUGCCCAUGGAGUUAAUGUUAGGACAAAAACCUAUAAUGCCAACUGAAGAAACCUAUCCUACAUGGAUGUUUUUAUCUUGAGAAGAUGAUAUAAAUAAACAAAGAUUAUUGGAGCUUUGAAUCCAACAAAUGGGUAGGUUACCUGAAGACCUACAAAUUGUAGCUGAGAGGUUCUAGUUUAUGAUAGCAGCCUUGAGCAUCAACAUAGUACUAUAAAAAAAUUUGUAAAAGAAUAGUUUGGACCAUAUGUGGUGGUUAUAGUACAUGAUAAUGCUACAUAUACUUUACGUGAGUUAGAUGGAGUUAUCAUAAGGAAUCCAAUAGUAUGGAAGAGGGUGAAAACUUUCAAGAAAAGAGAUGGAUUAUUUCAAAUACAAGACUUUCAAGAAUUCUUACCUCAAUAUUUAGACCAAGAAGAUGAAGAAAAAGAGCCUAUGAGUAAUUCAAAGAAAUCUCAAGAAGAUGAAGAAGAGUAACAUGUGGCACAUACCGAAGGAUGUGCAGGUUUGGAGGGGAUGGAUGUCAUACUGUAAAUGCUUACAAUAUAUAAAAAUUAAUUAGAACAUAUUAUAUAUUAAUAAAUCUAGAUGUGUGUUAGAGUGGCUAGUAGAUUAAAUUAAAAGGAGUUGGUAUAAGAAACUUUACUUUGUUUCUUUACUUGUUUUGAUUUUGACAUUAAAAAAAAUAUAUAUAUAAGACCUAAAUGUUUAGUAUGAAGCCUUGGAAGAAGGUGGAAGCCUAAGGAUGAAAAUCUAAACUAAUAGGAGGCUAAUUGGGAGGGAUAAAAGCAAAGCAUGGUUAGAUGAGGGCAAGGAAUGGAGAACUUCAUCCCUAUUGGUCGAAUAUCAUAUCCAAUGGGCUUCAAGGAGGCUGUCCGAGGCCUUAUUAGGGAUUAGGGUUCCUCUUUCGAGGGCAUUCGGAGAUUACAAGCUAAGAUUGUAAAUUUUAGGAUUUGAGGUACAAUUUUUGUACAAAAAUUAGAGGAUUUGGAGUUAGGGUGAAAAAGCUAUAGCCGUUUGAAGUUAAGGUGUUUAUUUAAGAUAUACUGUUACUCUUUUGAGAGUACGAGUUUUACAGCAGCUUUUGAAGAUCAGAAGGUGCGACUAGAACGGAAACUUUAAGGCCUAUAUCUUUCACGAAAGAAUUAUUACUUUUAGAGUUCAUAUAAAGGAAUUUUAAGGAGUUGAAGGUGGCGCUUCCAAAUCAAAGGCAGUAAGUAAGCGGUUUUGCUUAUAGUAAUGGUUGGAGCCAUAACUUGAGUAUUCGGAUGAUUUUUUGGCUCAAACUUUUGGAGAAUGUAAAUUUUUGUGUUAAAAAGCUAUACAUAUAAAUUUCGUAGUAUUUGAGCUUAUAUUUUGUGAGAUAUGAAGAAAAUUACACAUGGAUAUAUAAAGAUAAGGGUUUGAAGCGGCUAUUAAGGUUUUUAAGAUAUCUCAAGAUCUGUAAUGAAUUUGUAGUUGAAAAUUAUUAUAGAAGUCAAUAAGAAUACAUCAGUACCUCAUGUAAAAUUUGAGUUUGUUUGGACGGUCGGAUUAGGAGAUAUGAGGUGUUGAAGUUCGGAAAAAUCUCCACAUAAGAAUAAAUAAGGUUUUAGAAGAUUUUAUCAUAUUUUGGAAGUUGUGGGUUACUUGAGGAUUGUAUAUUUGGUGUAAUUACUCAAAAGAAAAAAAAUUAUAUAUAAACUUAUGGCUUUCCUUAUUUUCAAGCUUGAUUGAAUAUUUAGUAACAGCCAGAAGCCCAGCAUUUUCUUGAGGCAAACUCUCUCUACCCCGACACCGCUAUCUUUGAUAUUUGGAUUCCUUGUUUAGUUGAAUCAAGCUAAGAUCUAUACAAAAAUAGAUCUAAAAGGAGCAUAAAAUCUAGUACACAUCAAAGAAGGACAUAAAUGGAAGAUUGUAUUUCAAACAAGGUAUGGACAUUUCGAAUACAACGUCAUGUCUUUUGGACUUACAAAUGUAUCAACAACAUUCUAACAUCUAAUGAAUGAUGUCUUUUGGGAGUUUUUAGAUGAUUUUGUUGUCUGUUAACUGAACAACAUCUUAAUCUAUUCUAAGAAUACAGAAGAAUAUGAACUUCAUGUUCCUCAUGUGUUACAAAAAUUAAGAGAUGCAAGAAUCUAUACCAAAAUAAAAAAGUGUGUAUUUCAUACUACUGAAGUAGACUUCUUAGGAUACAUAAUUUCAAAUGAUGGACUUAUGAUGGAUCCUAAGAAAAUUCAAGCUAUUAUGGAUUGGAAGAUCCCAAAAAUGGUAAGAAAUGUCUAAUGCUUUUUGAGAUUUGUCAACUACUAUCAGAUCUUCAUCAAAGAUUUCUCUUAAGUUGUAGUUCCACUUAUAUGUUUGACUUGUAAAGACAAACUUCAAUAGAAUUAAGAAACAUAAGUAGUAUUUGAAGCUUUGAAGACAACCUUUGUUUCUACACCAAUCUUGUAUCGUGUCUAUUUUUUUAAGCCAUUUUUUAUAGAAACAGAUACAUCAAACUUUGUUUUGGGUGCCGUAUUGUCACAAAUGGAAACAGAUGAUAAACUUUACCCAAUAGCUUUUCAUUCUAGAAAAUUUUCAACAGUCAAGAUCAACAACGAGAUCUACGACAAAGAAUUUCUUAAAAUCAUGGAUUUGUUUUAAGAAUGGUGCCAUUAUCUAGAAGGUGCUCUUAAUCCAGUCAUCGUGUAUACGGAUCACAAUAACCUUUAAUAUUUUAUGUCAAUAUGUACUUUGAAUCGUUGCCAAGCUCAUUGGAAUAUGUCUUUGUCAAGAUUCAAAUUUUAGAUCACUUAUCAACCAAAAAAACAACAAGGUUUGUUAGAUACACUUUCUAGACGAUCUUACCUUGUAUCAAAGGAAGGAGAUGUAACUUUUGAUUAUUAACAGACAAUUCUCUUAAAAAUAGAGCAUCUUCAUCUUUGAGCAAUGAAAUCAACAUUAAUUAUUAAUUCAACUUUCAUUAAGCAAGUUCAAUCAAGUAUGUCUUUUGAUCCUCUUAUUCGUGAUAUUAAGGAAAAUCCUUCAAAGUCUCAUGAUACUUCCAAGUUUGAAUUGAAGAACAAUCUAUUCUAUUUCAAGGAACACCAAUAUGUUCCAGAAAGUGAAGCUCGAUUAUGUGUUCUUUAAGCUCGUCAUGACUUUCCAACAGCAUGACAUUUUGGAUACAAUAAAACUUUGGAACUAAUAUCCAAGGAUUUUUGGUGGCCACAAAUGUAGAAGGGUGUAAAAGUUUUUGUUCAAUCAUGCAAUAUUUGUUUAAGAUCAAAAACUCCUCGUCAUUGAUCUUACGGACUUCUUCAUUUAUUAUCCAUUCCAGAACAACCAUAGUCUUCUAUUUUUAUGGAUUUUAUUGUAGAUCUUCCAAUGUUAGAUUCUUAUAAUUAUAUAUUCGUAAUAGUAGAUUAUAAUACCAAGAUGGCACAUUUUAUACCAUAUACAAAAUCUAUCAUAGGUGAAGAAACAACUAAGUUCUUUCUUAACAACAUCUAUCAUUAUUAUGGAUUAUCCAAGGAUAAUAUAUCAGAUAGAAAAACUUAGUUUGUAUGAAGAUUUUGGCAAAUUCUUUUCAAGAUUCUAAAAGUGGAUAUAAAACUAUCUUUGGCAUACUAUCUUUAAACUGGUGGACAAACAGAGCAUGUUUAUCAAGUUUUAGAAUAGUAUUUAAGGUAUAUCAUCAACUACCAACAAGAUGAUUAGACAACUCUUUUGCCAUUAGCAGAGUUUGCUUAUAAAAAUACAGUACAUUCUUCUAUAAAAUAAACACCUUUCUUUACCAAUUAUGGUUAUCAUCCACAACUUGAUACUUUUGACUUUUCAAAAGCUGAUAAUCCUGUGGCAAAAGAUUUGGCAAAUCAUUUGUCUGAGCUACAUGCAACAAUGAAGGCGCAGUUAAAAGAAGUUCAAGAACAACAAAAGAACAAUGCAGAUGUCUAUCGAAAGGAACAACUAUCAUUCUACAUAGGUGAUAAGAUAUGGUUACUUUAUCACAAUAUCAAGACCACUCAUCCUUGUGAUAAGUUGGACUAUUGAAGGCUUGGACCAUUUUCUAUUUCUGUACAAAUCAAUCUUAUUGCAUAUUAUUUACACCUAUCAAAAUCAAUGAAAGUUUAUCCAGUAUUUCAUGUGUCUCUUUUUAAACCAUAUAAAAAAGUGGACAUACCAAGAAGAAGACAAGCUCUACCUCCUCCAAUAGAAGUAGACAAUAAUGAAGAAUCGAAAUGGAAGAAGUCUUAGAUUCAAGGCAGUGCCAAAAUAAAUUAGAAUAUCUUAUCCAUUGACAUGGUAUUAUAUUGAGGUUUGGCUAUUAGAUGAAAAUAAUAUAAUUUUAUACUUAAUAUAUAAUUUAUUAAGUAACAUGGUGAAAGCCAUGUUAAUAGAUUUUAUUUAGUUGUAAAAUAUAAUUUGAUUAUUAUGUUGAAAAAAAUUUGUUUAAAAAGAUUAUUAUAGAAUUUGUAUAACUUUAAUUUCUUUUUGAUAGUAGCUUUUAAGAUUGGUUUUGAUUAAUAGUAACUGCUAAAUAUUUAGGAUCACCUUUGUUAGACAUUGGUGACCUUUGAAAACUUAUUUUGGUUAUUUUAUUUGAUAUUUAGAGCAUAAAUUAUAUAACUCUUGUAAAAAAAAUGAUUGAAGAAGGGUUUUGGUAGCAAAGGAAAUAAUUAGGGUACCAACAUAGAUGAAUGGAGAUGAAUGAUGAAAAUCUCCAUUCCUAUUGGUCAAAAAUCAUAACCAAUAGGCUUUGAGGAAGCUGCUGAAGGCCAUAUUAGAGAUUAGGGUCAGUUUCUUGGAGCCAUUUGAGCUUUGAAGGCUAGGAUGAAUAAGUUUUGAUUUUUGGCUAUGAUUUUGGUACAAAUUUCGUAUGAUUUGGAGUUUAUAUGUAGGAGAUAUAGGCGCUCAAAGUUAAGUUAUUGAUUUGACAGCUACUGUCACUCUUUUUGACAUCACGCACACGUACGGAAAGCAAUUGAGGAUCAGCAAUGGCGACUAGAAAGAGCACUUUUGCAGCUAUACUUUUUGCAUAUUUUUUACUAGAUUGCAAGGUAAAGUAAAGGAAUUAUUGGAUUUUUAAGUCAGCACAUGCAAUCUAAAGGUAGUAAGUGACAAGAUUUACUAGUGGGUGUGACUUAAACUAUAUCUUGAGCAAUUUGACAAGGUUUUGACUCAAAAUUUCGAGAAAUGUAUAAAUUCAUGUAAAUAAACUUUAUACAUAAGUUUAAUGAUAUUUGAGUAUUUGAUUCUUGAGAUAUUAAGAAAAUAGUGCUUGUGUGCAUGUAAAUUAGGGUUUAGAGCAUCUACUAGAGUUUCUUAGAUGUCAAAAGAUCGAGAGUGAAUUUGUAAUUUUUUUUUGUGAUAAAAUAUAAGAAUAAAUUCUACCUAUCUUAUAAAUUUGACACAAAUUGAACAGCUAGAUCAAGAGUUAUGAAUUUCUAAAGUUCAUGAAGAAAAAAUCCUUCAUGGAAAAAAUAUGUUUUGAAGGGAUUUUGUUAUAUUUUGAAUUUUAUACAAAUCAAAGGAGUUUUGGAAGCUAAGACAAGAUUCAUAUAAAGGUUUAAGCUAAAAUCUCUAUAGCUAAAUAUUCAGUGUAUUUCUAGAUAGCAAAUCAUGCCAUACGACAAUGGAUAUGAUAUUAGUAAAUGUACAUCGAAGCCUAUAAAGAAUCUUGCAAAUGUAGGAAAGGUGGUAGAAACUUUUCAUUGAUGACAUCUAUCAAAAUCAAGAUAAAAUCUUCUUCAUAAAAGAAACAAGAUCUAGGUAAGAUAACAUUCUAUUUUCAAUCCUUGUUUGUAGCUUCUUUCUAGUUGUAAUGCUAAAGAGAUGGAGAACCAACAACCAAUAGGUUUGAUAGAAGAGCCUUUGUUUGGUGACCUGUCGGAUGAGAUAUUAUGAUUAUCACAACCUUCAAGAUGAUGUAAUUGAGAUGAAGAUCCUCAAGAAUGACAUGUUCUUCUUUGAAUAGAUGGGGAGAUAUAAUACAUUUGGUAUCACGACCUUGAAAGGGACUCUUGAUGUUUGGUGAUUUUACUAGAUGUAGGAACAACUGUUGAUUAUAUUCUAAAUUUUUUAUUUGAAAGAAGUUAUAAAGGCCUCAACAACAAUCGAAUAACAGGAUGGUCUUUCUACCCUAGUAUAGGAUACUAUCGAUGGUUGAGAGGCCCUAUCAAUCAUCUUCGAAAAGAACAAAGAUCAAAGUAUGUAGCAAAUAUAAUUUGUCGCAUCUUAAACUUCCUCGAGACGUGAUCAUCACUCCUUAUGGAACUCGUUCCUAGAAGGGGGGAUUAUGUCACAGACAUAUAUUUACUAUAAUUGUUAUUUAGAUAAUAUGAAUAGGUAGAAGUAGAUAAAAAUAGAUUAAUUUUAAAACAUCUUCUAGAAAAGGUUCUUGGAAGCUUCAUAGAUGCUGCUUUGACUUUACAUGUAUUUAUAUUUGAUCGGUAGGUUAGAAACUUGAUCAACAAGUUAAUCACGUGUCAAACAUGUUGAUAGCUUGUGGAAUAAGCUAAUUAUGUGGCACCCACAUAAAAAACUUGCCUUGUAAGUUAAGAUAUGUAUUGUGUAAAGUCAACACAUUUUUGGAGGUCUUAUAGAACAUCGCCACGUAACUCUUAGAUAGAUAGUAUAUACAAACGCAAGAGUGAAGCCUUCUUCACUCUUAUCAAUUCUUUUCUUGCUUUUAGUCUUGUUUCAAGGAUCUCUAGUUUUCUUGUCUUUUGGCAAUAGCCAUUCUAGUUUCUUUCUUAAUAUACAUAUUUAGUUAUUUCUAUUUUUUUAUCUUUUUUUGAAAAAAAUCUCACUUGUUUAUUUAUUUUCAUCAAGUUCUAGUCUUUGAUAUCUAUACUUUUUGAUUAAUUGAAUCAAACUAAGAUCUAUACAAAAAUAGAUCUAAGAGGAGCAUACAAUUUGGUACAUAUCAAAAAAAAAAAUGAAUGGAAGACUAUAUUUCAAACCACAUAUGGACAUUUUGAAUAUAAUGUCAUACCUUUUGGACUUAUAAAUGUGCCAGUACCUUUUUAACAUCUUAUAAAUGAUGUUUGUUGAGAGUUUUUGGACAAUUUUGAUGUUUGUUAUCUAAACAACAUCUUGAUCUAUUCUAAGAACACAAAAUAAUAUAAACUUUAUGUUUGCUAUAUAUUACAAAAAUUAAGUGAUGAAGAAUCUUAUACCAAGAUUAAAAAUAUGUAUUCCAUACUACUUAAGUUAACUUCUUAAAUUACAUCAUUUUAAAUGAUGGACUUAUGAUGGAUCCUAAGAAAGUUUAAACUAUUAUAGAUUGAAAGAUCUCAAAAAUAGUCCAAGAUAUCUAAAUUUUUUUGAAAUUUGCCACCUAUUAUCAGAUCUUUAUCAAGAACUUCUUUCAAAUUAUAGCUCUUCUUACAUGUUUGACUUGUAAAGACAAACUUUAAUAGAAUCAAGAAGCAUAAGCAACAUUUGAAGCUUUAAAGACAAUUUUUGUUUCUGCACCAAUCUUAUAUUGCGUUGACUUCUCUAAGGUAUUUUUUAUGGAAAAAAAUACAUCAGACUUUACUUUAGGUGCUAUAUUAUCACAAAUAGGAAUAGAUGAUAAACUUCACCUAAUAGUUUUUUAUUCCAAAAAAGUUUUAGGAGUUAAGAUUAAUUAUGAAAACUAAGACAAAGAACUUCUUACAAUUAUAGAUUCUUUUUUAGAAUUAUGUUAUUAUAUAAAAGGCACUUCCAAUCCAGUUAUUAGGUAUAUAGAUGAUAAGAACCUUGAAUAUUUCAUGUCAAUUUAUAUUUUGAAUUGUUGCCAAGCUUAUUAGAACAUAUUUUUAUCAAGAUUUGAAUUCAAUAUCACUUAUUAGCUAAAAAAAUAAUAAGGUUUGUUCAAUAUUUUUUUUAUAUGUUCUUAUCUUAUACCUAAAGAAAGAGAUGUAGCUUUUGAUAAACAAAAGAUAAUUUUAUUGAAGCAAGAAUAAUUUCAUUUUUAAGCAAUAAAAUCAAUAUUGGCUGUUGAUUCAAUUUUUCUUAAAUAAAUUCAACCAAGUAUGUCCUCUAAUCUUCUUCUUCAUAAUAUCAAGAAUACUUCUUCUAGGUCUUGUGAUACUUUUGAGUUUGAGUUUCAAAACAACCUACUUUAUUUCAAAGGAUGCCAAUAUGUGCUAAAAAAAAAAGUAUAUUUAUAUGUUUGUCAAGCAUAUCACGACUUUUCAAUAAUAGGAUAUUUUGGAAACAAUAAGACUUUGGAGUUAUUAUCUAGAGAUUUUUAGUCACUCCAAAUGUGAAAGGCUGUAAAAGACUUUGUUCAAUCAUGAGACAUUUAUUCAAGGUUAAAAAUUCCUCGCUGUCGUGAUGUAAUAUGAAUAUAUAAUGAAAUUAUAAUCAAAAUUGAAUUUCUAAUUAAUAUUUAAUUAUCUUAUUUUAAUUAUAAUUUGAGGUAUCUAAAUAUGGCUUUUAUAAAAGUCUCUUAGGUUAUUUUUUUACCUUAAUAAUUAGUAGGUUGAAGGUUAGUUAGUAAUUUUACCUUCUAGGUUAUAGAAACUCUUCUAGUAUCUUAGAAAGACCAUAAAUUGAUGAAAUCAUGUUAGAAGAGGUAGAUAAUUAGUAUAGUUAGUACUAGAAUUAAGUUGAGAAUAGGAUUGGACUAAAAAUCCUUAGGAUAGAAUAAAUUGAUACCCAAGGGUUGACCGUUUGUGAGAUAGGGUCAAAAUCAGACCUCUAGCCACUAAAAUGACGGCCUAGUUCAAAAUAGGAUUUCAUUUGAAGAUCAGAGGUUAGGAUUUGAGAGCUAGCUUGAAGUUCUUUUCAAAGACAUAAGAAUUUUUUUGAGAGGGUUUUGGAUGACUUAGCAAUUAUUGUUCAAAGUCAGGGUUUGUAUCAGUGAUUUGGAUUUUAUAUAAUAUAAUUAGGGCUGGUAAUUUUGGCUAGUUCAUGCAAUUGGCAUGACAUCUACAGUUGAAAAUUUAAUAUUAUUUGGAUCAUUGGGUGUGCUAAGUGUAUACAAAUUUUUGUGAUAAUCUAACAAUGUGGUUUAGAGAUAUCUAGUUUUUAGCACAAGAAGAUUAUAGAAGGUGGCAGUUUGAGGUUGGAUAGGGUUUCUACGAUAUUUAAAGAUCUAUCAGUCGGAUUAAGAUGAAAAUUGGCAUGGUGUUGGAAGACUUAAAGAUCAAGCUACACACCAAUUUUGAGAUAAAAUUAACAAUUGAAGAAGGAGAAAUCAUUUCUAGAAUUUCUGCUUCACUUUUUAAGUUGGCAGCCGAGUGACAUUGGUGUAUUUUUUGGAGGUUUUCUCAAAAUUUGUAAGUUGGAUUGGGCUAAAAAAUUCUUAAGCAUUUAGAAGACUUGCAUUGACAAUUGCAUGCAGAAUUCUACAUCAAGUGGACUGUCAGAUUGAAUGUUACAGCUUGUUAAAGCUCAUUAAUUAGGAUUGGAGUUUACAUGAAAAAUCUAAAUUGCUUAAAUAUGAAAGUAACAAGGUAAUUGGAAUUUAUGUACAGUUAAGACUACUAAGAAGAAUGUUUUAAGCACUUUUGAAUUGAAAUUCAGAUUAUAUUCUUCUCGCAUGGAUGAAACCUAUUAGGAUUUUUUGGCUACUUGUGAAACAUAAUCUCACCUUUCACAGCUAAGUGCCCGUUGCAUUCUUGAACAAAAUAACACGUAAUACGACAUCGCCAUCAACCUUAUGGACUUCUUUAGCUAUUACCUAUUCCAAAAAAAUGAUGGUUUUUUAUUUCUAUGGAUUUUAUUACGGAUCUUUCAGUCUCAAGUUCCUUUAAUUUUAUAUUCAUGAUAGUCAAUUGUUUUAUCAAAAUAGCAUAUUUUGUACCAUGCACAAAAGUUAUCAUAGGUAAAGAAAUUACCAAGCUUUUUCUUGACAAUAUCUAUCAAUAUUAUGGAUUGGCAAAAGAUAUUAUAUCAAAUAGGAAGAUUCAAUUUAUAUGAAGAUUUUGGAGAAUUCUUUUGGAGAUUGUAAAGAUGGACAUAAAGCUUUCUUUAGCCUUUCAUCCUCAAAUUGAUAAACAAAUAGAAUGCAUAUACCAAGUUUUGAAAUAACACUUAAGAUAUACCAUCAAUUAUUAAUAAGACAAUUGGAGAACCUUCUUUGCAUUAGUAAAGUUUACUUAGUACGAUACAAUAUAUUUUUCUAUACAAUAAAUAUUUUUUUUUGCUAAAAAUGGUUAUCAUCCACAACUUGAUAUCUUUGAUUUUUUAAAAGUUGAUAAUUGUGUAGUAGAAGGUUUGGCAAAUUGUUUGUUUGAGCUACAUGCAACAAUGAAAGUGCAAUUAAAAGAAGCUCUAGAAUGACAAAAAAUCAAUGCACAUGCCUAUCAAAAAGAACAACUACUAUUUAAUGUAGGUGAUAAGAUAUGAUUGUUUUGUCGUAACAUGAAGAUUACUUGUCCUUGUGAUAAAUUGGACUAUUGUAGGUGUGAGCCUAAAAUCCACCACUCUAUGAAUUUAGUACUACACAACAAGCUCAAGAGGUAGAAUGGAAGAACUCCCAAUUGUGAAAUUGUUAGGUUAAUUAAAAUGUGGGUGUUUGUAAUUCAAUUAAAAUUAAUGCCUUCUAAGCAAUGGUUAUUGAUAUCAAAUUAAAAUAUCAGAUGAAAUUCACCAUACAAAAAAAAAUGAUAAAAGUAAUUAAUUAAGUUUUUCUUAUUAAUUCAUAAUAAGAAUAAAAACUUAAGUUUAAAUUAAAAGUUAAAAGUUAACAUUAAAAGUUAAAAGUUAAAAGUUAAAAUUAAAGUUAAAUAUUAAAUUCAAAAGUUAAAGUUCAAAGUUUAAAAAUUUAAGUGAGAAUAUUAAAGGUUAAAAAUUAAAAGUUAAAAUUUAUUAGUAAAAAGUUGAAAUUUGGAGGUUAUAAGUUACUGUGAAGAUAAAAGUAAAAAUAAAAUAAGAGGGGUAAAAGCGAAGGUACCUUGACAAUGCCAAGGAUUGAAUGCAUCGACCCCCUUCUAUUCCAAAAUUUGCAAAAAAUUUUAAUUAGUUCCAAAUUGAAUGAUUUGUAGGUUGUUUCUAGGUUAACUUAAAGGCGCUCUUGCCCCAACAAAUCUCAUUGCAAUCUAGUGAUCCAGUCGUGAGAAUUGCUCCUUUAAAGUUGAGUGAUCCAAACUGCCGCGGCGACCAACCCCCAUCACUUAGAAAUUCGCUUAAAAUUCAAAUUGUCUUAAAAUCAAACAAAACUUGUGCCCUUCAAAGCUUAGCUUACAAAUCUUGACGCUCCCAAAAUUUCAAACAAAUCCAGUUAUCAGACACUGAGAAAUGCCUUCCCAAACUCGAUUAAUCCAAACUGCGAAGGCAGUCGACCCCUUCACACUCAAAAUUUCACCAAAAAUUCAGUUCAACUCCAAAUGGAGCAAGCCUUACCUUGUUGAAAAGCCAACAACAAAAGCUACAACUAAAAAAACAAUCACAUUGGAACUAAAACAAUUGAAUGACUGAUGGAGGAAAAUCUGAGGCUCUUAAUACCCUUGGAGUAAUUGGGUGGCCAAGGGAGCUAUUCACCACAAUGAAACGUGCUUUAAGACCCAAUGACUAUCAUUCACAACUCGAAAUCCAUGCACAUCCACCCAAAAAUUCACAAUGAGAUUUAAAAUCUAAAUGAAAUUAAAAUUAGGAUUUUUGGCCAAAUUUUAGCAUGGCUUCACCCUUCACCAAAAGAGGAGAGAGAGAGAGAGGGCUUGGAAAACCAAGCCUCUCUUAUACAAUUGAGUAGAGGCUCGUAGAAGGGUGGCCACAUUUCCACCCUUGAUUUUUCAGAUCCCUAAUCUAGAUCUACAGCCUUUAUUCAUCCAAGAGUCAAUCUCGUUAUCAAGGCUGAUGGCCCUUGUAAGUGGUCAAGAAGGCAUUUUUUUGUAAAUCUAACUUCACUUUAGUGUUCAAAACACCUUUUUAAGCUAAGAUCGAUUACUCACAUGCCCCAAUCCAUGCUCAAUUAUAAUUUCCAUGGAAGUUUUUACUUACAAGGAUCUUGGCAAUUUUUUUGUGAAAUUCUUCAAAAUGAGAAUUUCAUUGUUUUUCUUGUAUUUUGAAGGAGAGGUUGCUGAUCUUGUUUUCUUCACUCCACGAGGUGAAUCCGGUGCCACCAUUGCAUUGAAGAAACUCCCAUUAAGUAGAAGAACCACCAUGCCGCUUAAAUUUGCCGAAUUUGGAGGAAAAAUCCAAAAUUACCAUUGCUAACUUUCCUAAAUCUUUUAGAGAAUUAUAAUUCCAACCCCUAAAUUAUGUGAAUAAUUAUAGAUGUACUCAUUGGCUUUUAUUCAACCCUUAUAAUAAUGACUAACAACCUCUAAAUUAUUAAACUAACUAAUUUGUUAUUCUAAUUUUCUAAUUCUUGUCACUUUAAUCCUAAUUAAUCUAAUUCAAGGAAUUAGGCUAUGAUUUAUACCAUGAGGGUUUGUAAUUUUAAAAAUUCUAUAAAACUGAAUUCUACUGAUAUAAAUCCUAAUCUAACAUGUUUAAUUAUCGUAAAAUAGAAAAAUAACAAAAAUUUAAAUUUUGGAGUAUAAUUGAGAGCUGACAGCAAGCUUGGACCUUUUCUUAUUUAUUGAUUAAUUUAUACACAAAGUAUAAAAAGUUCUAAAUUCAAGGCGUUGCCAAAAUAAAUUCGAAUAUCUUAUCUUUAAGAACAACAUAUACUUCUUUGAAUAGAUGGAAAGAUAUAAUACAUUUGGUAUCACAACCUUGGAAGGAACUCUCAAUGUUAGGUGAUUUUACUAGAGAUAGGAACAAUUCUUGACGGUGUUUCAAAUGUUUUAUUUGAAAGAAGUAAUGAAGGUUUGAAUAACGAUUAAAUAACUAGGUGAACUUCCUACCUUAGUAUAGAAUACUAUUGAUGGUUGAGAGGUCCUAUCAACCAUAUUAAAAAAAAAACAAAGAUUAGAGUAUAUAGCAAAUAUAAUUUGCUACAUCUUGGAUUUCUUCAACAUAUGAUGACCGCUCUUUAAAGAACUUGUGCCUAGAAGGGGAGGAGAGGGGAUAAUGUCACGGACUUAUACAUAUAAAUCAAUAAUUAUCUAUAUGAUUAGAUAAAAGUAGAUAAAUUAAUUUUAUAAUAUCUACUAUAAAAACUUUUUAGAAGCUUAAUAGACAUUAUUUUGACUAUAUAUGUAUCUAUGAUUGACUUUUUAGAUUAGAAACAUGGUCAAUAAAUUAGCCACGUGCUACACAUAUUAGUAGCUUGAAGAAUAAGUUAACUAUGUGGUGCAUACAUAGAAAAAUUACCUUAUAAGCUAAGGCAUGUGUCUUGCAAAGUUAACACAUAUUAGAGGUACUAUAGAACAUUGCCAUGUAGCUCCUUGUUAGAUAGUAUAUAUAGAGACAAGAGUGAAGUCUACUUCACUCUUAUCAAUUUUUUUCUUGUUUUUUUUUAGAUUUAAGAAUCUCUAAUUUUUUUGUCAUUUAGUAAUAGCCAUUUGAGUUUCUUUUAAUUAUAUACAUACUAUUUUAUCAUUAUUUUGUCACUUUUUUUGACACAAAUUUUUGAGGUUUAUGCAUCUUCUUCUUGUUCAUAUCUUUGAUACAUAGUCAAUGUUACAAGUAAUUUGCAAGCCCGACAAGUAAUGUACUUCAUUAAGGUUAGAAAGCACAAGUUGCGAGUGAAGUUUGCGCUUGAUUGAAUGGAAAAUGGAGAAAUUACUUGCUAUAAUGAGAGUAUCAUUGAAAUAGAGGGUGAUAAUCAUGAAAUUGCGGCCUUAUUAUAAGAAGUAUACAUUCCUAUCUACGGUAGAAUUGAUGAAGCCGAGAGUGAAUAAGAACUAAUUGAUUAUUUUAAACUACUCUCGAGGAGACUAUUUCGACUAAUAGAAGGUCUUGAGUAGUUUAUACAUCAUGCCGGGGUAAGAGGGUGAUACAUCCUUUGGCACAUGUUGUCAUACUGUAAAUACUUACAAUAUAUAAAAAAUAGUUAAAAUAUUUUAUAUGUUGACAAAUUUAGAUGUGUGUUGGAAUGGUUAGUAGAUUAAAUUAAAAAGAAUUGGUACAAGAAACCUUAUUGUGUUUUUUUUUACUUGUUUUGAUUUUGGCAUUAUAUAUAUAUAUAUAUAUAUAUAUAUAUAUCUAUAUAUAUAGAACCAAAUUAUUUAAUAUGAAGCCUUGGAAGAAGGUGGAAGCGUAAGAAAGAAAAUCCAAACUAAUGGGAGGCAAAUUAAAAGGGAUGAAAGCAAGGAAUGGAGAACUUCAUCCCUAUUUAUUGAAUACCACGCUCAAUGGGCUUAGAAGAGGCUGCCCACGACCUUAAGAAGGAUUUUGGUGACUUCAAAGAGGAUAUUUGGAAAUUAGAAGCUAAAGUUAUUAGGUUUAGAAUUUGGACUAUAAUUUUUGUGCAAAAAUUAGAGGAUUUGGAGUUAAGGUAAAGAAGUUAUAGACGUUUGAAGUUAAGGUAUUAAUUUAAGAUAUAUUAUUAUUCUUUUGUAAAUACGAGGAGUUGUACGAUAGUUUUUGAAGAUCGAAAGGUGCAACUAAAAUAACGAUUUCAAGGCCUACAUCUUUUACAAAAGAAUAGUUGCUUUUGGAGUUUAUAUAAAGGAGAUAUAAGGAGUUUAAGGCGAUGCUUCCAAAGCAAAGGCAGUACAUAAGUGGUUUUAUUUAUAGUAAUGGUUAGAGCCAUAACUUGAAUUUUUGCACGACUUUUUGGCUCAAACUUUUGGAGAAUGAGAAAUUUUGUGUUAUAAAGCUAUAUGUAUAAAUUUCGUGGCAUUUGAGCUUUUAUUUUUUGAGAUAUAAAGAAAAUUUCACAUAGGUGUAAAAAAAUAAGGGUUUGAAGUGACUAUUAGGAUUUUCAAGAUAUCUCAAUAUCGGCAACGAAUUUGUAGUUGAAAUUUGUUGUGAAAGUUGAUAAAAAUACAUCACUAUUUUAUGUAAAAUUUGAGUAAGUUUGGAUAGUUGGAUCAGGAGUUAUGAGAUAUUCAAGUUCGAGAAAAUUUCCAUAUAAGGGUAUACAAAGAUUUAGAGGAUUUUAUCAUAUUUUGAAUGUUGUGGUUACUUGAGGCUUCUGUAUUUCGUGUAAUUUCUCUAAAAGGGAUAUUUUAUAUAUAAACUUAGGGCUUCUCUUAUUUUGAAGCUUGAUUGAGUAAUUAGUGAUAGCUAGGAGCCUAGUACUUUCUUGAGGCAAACUCUCUCUAUCCUGACACCCUGUGUAAAUUUCUUUGUUUACUAUUCCAUUGAAGAAUGUCAUUUUCACAUCCAUUUGAUAGAUGUGAAGGUUUAGCUAUGUGAAAAAAGCUAGAAUGAAUCAUAUGGAUUAGAUUCUUAUCACAUCGAAGAAUGAUUUGAGAAGAAAGAGUAUAGAGUUGUCAUGGAGGAGAGCAUUACAUGGAAGAUAGGAUAGAAUAAAAUUUUUGAGAGAAAGAGGCUCCUCAUGAAAAACCACAUCUUGAUGUUGUAUUACUUGAAGUUUGGCUUAAGAAUGCAGUGACACCUAAUUCUAGAAGAUAAAAGAAAAAUUACAAUAACAAGUUUUAUCAACUCUAAUAGAUUUUUAAAUAAAUUAUAAUUAAAGAUUAGUAAAUAUAAUAAAACAUCAAUCAAAUUCAAUUAAAAUUUCAAAGGAAUUAUAUAAGAAAUAUGAAGAAUUCUUAAAGACCCUUUAAAGAAAUCAUAAAAAAAUAACAUAGAAAUUUAAAAAAAAUAUAUUAAAAUAAAAAUUUUAAUAAAAUAUUAAAAUAAAAACCUUAAUUAAAUCCUACUCAAAUCUUAGUCAAACUUUAAUCAAACCUUGAUCAAACCUUUAUCAAAUCCUAGUUAAUCCCUAAAUAAGUCUUAACCAAAUUCUAGACAAAUCUUAAUCAAAUUCUAGUCAAAUCCUCAUUGAAUCCUAAUCAAAUUCUAAAAAAAUCCUUAUCAAACCUUAAUCAAAUCUUAAAUAAGCCUAAACCAAAUUCUAGACAAACCUUAAUCAAAUCCUAAAUAAUCCUUAAUCAAAUUCUAAAUAAAAUUUAGUCAAAUCCUAAAUAAGUCCUAAUCAAAUCAUAAAUAAAUUUAGUCAAAUCUUAAAUAAGUUCUAAUCAAAUUUUAAACAAAUCCUAAAUAAGUCCUAACCAAAUUUUAGACAAAUCCUAGAUAAAUUCGAAUCAAAUUCUAAUCAAAUCUUAACCAAAUCUUAACCAAAUCUUAAUCAAAUUCUAAAUAAAUCUAAUCAAAUCUAAAAUCCUAAUCUUAAAUCAAAUCCAAAAUCCUACCUCAAUCAAAUCUUAAAUCAAACUCAAAAUCCUAAUCCUAAUCCUAAACUUUAAAUCAAACCCAAAACCUUAAACCUAAUUCUAAACCAAAUCCUAAGCAAUAUCAAGUAAUUCCUUUAGUAGUUUUAAAUCUUAAUAACUAAUAAAUGAACUAUUUAUUGUAACUCAAAAUUAUCAUAAUUCUUAAUAAUUAAGUUGACAACAAGCAUAAAUUUUUUGAAGAAGAUCGAACUCAUCAAAAAGAAGAUCAAUCCUAAAAUCUGCUCAAGUAUUCGCCAUCUUCUUACUCAAAUCUAAAUGAUAAAAUUCCAGUGCUAAAAUCUCUUUUUCAAAUCAAUUUUUUGUUUUCAAAUUUUUUAUCUGUAGAAAAUCAAAUCUACUACCCUUACAAAUAAAUUUUACUCCAAUACAAAUAGUAGAUUGUUAAAGAUCUUAAAAAUACUAACUGCCUCUCAAAGUUUAAUUUCCAAGACCUCAACCUACUUAAAAUUUAAUAAUUAUCAAUUCAACAAUUUGAUUAACCUCAAACUUAUAAUAUAUAUUGAAUACAUAUGUAUCCACAAAUCUUUAAAAUUUUACUUGAUAUGAGUUCUCAAUUAUAUUCUAAAAUUUAAAUUUUUAUUAUUUUCCUAAUUUAUGAUAAUUAAACAUAUUAGAUUAGGAUUUAUAUAAGUAGAAUUUAGUUUUAUAGAAUUUUUAAAAUUACAAACCCCUCAUGGUAUUAAUCAUAGCCUAAUUCCUUGAAUUAGAUUAAUUAGGACUAAAGUAAUAAAAGUUAAAAAAUUAGAAUAGCAACUUAGUUAGUUUAACAAUUUAGAGGUUGUUAGUCAUUACUAUAAGGGUUGAUUAAAAGCCUAUGAGUGCAUCUAUAAUCAUUCACAUGAUUUAAGAGUUGGAAUUAUAAUUCUCUAAAAGAUUUAGGGAAGUUAGCAAUGGUAAUUUUGGAUUUUCCUCCAAAUUCGAUAAAUUUAAGCACCAUGGUGGUUCUUCUAUUUAAUGGGAGUCUUUUUAAUGCAAUAGUGGCACUGGAUUUACCUCGUGGAGUGAAGAAAAAAAGAUCAGCAACCUCUCCUUCAAAAUACAAGAGAAGCAAUGAAAUUCUCAUUUUGAAGAAUUUCACUAAAAUUGCCAAGAUCCUUGUAAGUAAAAACUUCCAUAAAAAUUAUAAUUGAAUAUGGAUUGAGGCAUGUGAAUAGUCAAUCUUAGCUUAAAAAGGUGUUCUAAACACAAUAGUGAAAUUAGAUUUACAAAAAAAUGCUUUCUUAACCACUUACAAGAGCCAUCAGCCUUAGUAAUGAGAUUGGCUCUUGGAUGAAUGAAGGCUGUAGAUCUAGAUUAGGGAUCUGAAAAAUCAAGGGUGGAGAUAUGGCUACCCUUCUAUGAGCCUCCACUCAAAUGUAUAAGAGAGGCUUGGUUUUCCAAGCCCUCUCUCUCUCUCCUCUUUUGGGUGAAGGAGGGAACCAUGCCAAAAUUUGGCCAAAACCCUAAUCUUAAUUUUAUUUAGAUUUUAAUUCUCAUUAUGAACCUUGUGAUUGCGUAUGUAUGGAUUUUUUUAUUGUGAAGGAUGGUCAUUAAGUUUUAAAAUAUGUUUCAUUGAGAUAGAUAUCUCUUCGGCCUUUCAAAUAUCCCAAAGGGUUCAAGGGCCUCGGAUUUUCUUCAUUCAGUUACUCAAUUUCUAUUGUUUCAAUGUGAAAUUCUGAAUAGUUGUAGCUAUUGUUGUUAGCUUUCCAACAAGAUAAGAAUUGCUUGAUUUGGAGUAAAAAAGAAUUUUUGGUGAAUUUAUGGGUUUGAAGGAGUCGACUACCUUUGCAGUUUGAGUCAAUCGAGUUUGGAAAGGCAUUUCUCAAUGCCUGAUGAUUAGAUUUAUUUGAAAUUUUAGAAGCAUCAAUCUUUAUAAGCUAAGCAUUGAAAGGCAUAAGUUUUGUUGAAUUUGAAGAUAAUCUGAAUUUUUAGUAAAUUUCUAAGUGAAGAGGGUUGGUCACUGUAGCAGUUUGGAUCACUCAACUUCAAAGGAGGAAUUCUCACGAUUGGAUCAUUAGAUUACAUUGAGGGUUGUUGGAUGAAAAUCAUCUUCAAUUCAGCCUCGCAAUAAGCUAAGAAUCAUUCAAAUUGAAGCCAAUUAAAAAUUUUGGCAAAUUUUGGAGUAGAAGGGGGUCACUACCUUCAAUCCUUACGUGUUGUCAAGGUACCUUCACUUUCACCUUUCUCACUUUAUUUUUACUAUCGUCUUCAUAGUAUCUUAUAAGUUCUACAUUUCACUUUUUGGCUAAUAAAUUUUAAGUUUAACUUUUAAUCUUUAAUAUUUUUACUUUAAUUUUUAAUAUUAAUUUUUAACUUUAAUUUUUAAACCUAAUUUUUAAUUUUAAUUUUUUACUUAACCUUUAAUCUUAACUUUUAACUUAAUUUUUUUCACUUAACCUUUUAAUUUUAACUUUUAACUUAACCUUUUCAUCUUAAUUUUUAACUUUAAUUUUUUUUAACUUAAUUUUUAACUUAGAUUUUACUUCAAACUCAAGUUUUUAUUCUUAUGGUCAAUUAAUAAUAAUAACUUAGUUAAUUAUUUUUAUUGUUUUAUAUAGUAAAUUUCAAUUAACAUGUUAAUUUAAUAUUGGAAACCAUUACUUGGAAGGCCUAAAAUUAAUUGAAUUUUUAAUAUAAAGAUUUAAAUUAAUCUAACAAUUAUACCAUUAGGAGCUCUCCAAUUCCAUCUCUUGGAUUUGUUGUGUGGCAUAAGUUUCAUCAAGUGGUGAAAUUUGGCCUCACACUUGUAGAUCUAUUAUUAAAUUUAUAAAAUUCUUUAAAAAAUAUCACCUAUUUUAUUUUAUAAAUUUAGAGUCAUCCAAAACAAACUCCAACUUUGCAAAGUUCUUACAGAGUCAAUACACAUUGAAAUCAUUCUAAAUCAAUGUUCAAAGUAAUCCUAUUAAGUUUGCUUCCAAAGUUCGUUCUUUGAUCUCCAACAAAAUCCCAAAACUACCAUAGGAGCUUAAACUUCUGUCAUGAGAUCCGAAUUCAAUCUAGGUUCACAACCAGUUCUCUUUGGAUAUCAACUCUUAGGUUUUUAAGAUAAUUUUUGCUACAAACUACUCUUAAAUUUUUUUUAAAGGUGCCUACAUUAUUUAUUUUUAUAAUCUAUCUUAUUUUGCCAUAUUUGUGGUCUUACAAAGUAAAUAGAAGCCUAUUUUGCAAAAAAACAGCAUUAAUAUCUUUAAUUUUUUUACCCUUGACUAUUAUCUAUUUUUUUCAAGAUAAGUUGUUAUAAUAUAUUUGAAAUAAGAUCUUCAAAAAUAUGAUAUUUUUUCAUCCUUUCAUCUAUUAGCAAUUUUGCAUCAUAACACCGGGACACAAAGAUAGCUUUGGUGGUGACUAGUUGAAACUUAUAGCCUUUACUGAUAAGACUAAAGCCUAAGAAGAUAUAAGCUUGAGAUUUUGCAUCUACCUUGAUACGUAAUGGAUUCCAAAUCUUUACAUAAUAACAAUUUAUGAAUAUACAAAGGUAUACUAAAUUAGGAUUUUUUUUAUACCAUAAUUCAAAUGAGUUAGUGUGAAAGAAAAUAGCUUUUGUAAAAGAUUGAUUUUGAAGAUAUGCUACACAAAUAUAUGCUACAUAGGUGAUUACUUCUCUCCAAUAAAGUUUAAAGAGUUGGACCUCAUGGAGCAUGCAUUGUAUUGUAUUGGAAAGAGUUUGAUUCUUUUGUUUUACGAUACUAUUUUGGUAUGGUGUACUAGAUAUAGUAAAUUGAUAUUAAAUUUACAUUCUUUCAAAUAUUGAGUAAAUUUUGAAGAUAGAUAUUUUCUUCUUUGAUCAGAAAAGAAAAUAAAAAUUUUAUAGCUGAUUUUAUUUUUAAUCCAUGUGAAAAAUUUUGAACAGGUAGAAGCAUUUAUUUUUUUUGUUACAGGAGUCUUAAUACUAUGUAUCUUAAUAAAUUAUCUAUAAAUAUAAUAUUUGUAGUUAAAAAAUGUUGAAGUAACUAUGUGGCCGCUUAAGUUAGAGUGGAUUAAUUUAAGAAGCCAAGUUAUUCUUGUAGUAGCUUGUUUGAAAAUUUUUGUAGUAACAUAUUUGCCAUAAAGGUAUGUAGAGCAAACUUGAUUAGAGAUGAUUUUGAUAUUGAACCAAGUGAUGGUUGAUGUAUUGAUUAAUUGCUUGAGACAAUCACUAUUGGAAUAAUCUAGUCUUUGAUGCCAUAAAGAUUAUUACAAGCUUAACAGAAGUACAUCAUACUGAAGAACAACUUACAAAAAUGAAGAUGAAAUUAGAUGACUUUGGUGUGGUAUAGUUUAGGCUAAAAAAGCUAAGAUAGCAUUUUGCAUGAUCAACCAUAGAAAUAAUUUAAGGUUAGUUUAUACAAAAUAAAAGUCUAUAAAGACCAUCCAAUUUUCAAGACCGCAUCUAGUGGUGGAAGAUGAUGUUGAAGAAGGUUGCAACAUGAGACCUUUGUUAUUACCACCAAUAGUCAAGUACAUAAAAGAAGUAGUUGACAAUAUUGAUGAUGAUUGAUAUGAGAUGGAUGUCCUUUUAAGAGAGAGUUCAUCACAUCAAGAGAAGAUUAGAGCAUGGAAAAUUGUAGCAACAAGUAAUGAUAUGUUUGUAGCAGAAAUAAUUGAUUCAAAUGAUAUGUUUGUAAUGAAAAUAAUUUUUUUGGAUUUAAGAUCAUAGUUUUUGACUAAAAAUAAAUUCCUACGUAAAUCUAGUAUAUAUAAGAUGUUAAAAAAAUAUAGUGUUUUACUAGUAGCUACUAAAAUUUUGACUUAUCCUUCAUUAUAAAUGAAUAAGGUUGUGUCAUCAUCAAGAUAAACGUUCUUCUUACAAUAUAGGAAUGAUUUGUAAUUGAUGAAUUAUCUUUUAUCAUGAGCUAAAUAGUGGAUGGUAUCAAUAUCAAUGAAUCAUUGUAUAUCUUUGGUGAUUCUAGGUUGAGGCAAUAUCUCCGAACAUAAAACUUAUAUAAUGUACUUAUAGGCAUAGAAGAUAAGAGGUAAUUAUUUUAUUUGUUAUUACUUCCAUAUACGUAUAUUUUUUUUACUGUCAUGAUUUAUUACUGUGUUAGGGACAUAGUUCUUAGACCUUUCUAGAGACAAGUUUCUAGAACCUUCUAGAAAGAAGUCUCUAGAAACUUCUAGAAUAUUCCUUGAAUAUUCUCUUAGAAUAUUCUUCAAAGAUUCUCUAAAGAUUCUUUGAAGAUUCCCUAAAGAUUUCCUUAGAAGUUUCUUGAAGAUUCUUAGAAUAUUCUAGUAGAUUCUAGGAAGUUACUUGAGAAGCUUCCUAGCUCUUGAGUAGUUGCUCGAGAAGCUUCAUAGUUCUUGGGAAGCUUCUUGAUACGCUUCCUUAGAACCAUAGGCCAGUAGUAUAUAUAGGAGUCGAGGCUGAAGAGUUCUUUAGUCUCGACAAUGCAUCUCUUGAAGCUCUAGCUCAAUUCUUCUGGCGUUACUCUAGUACUCAUCUGAUAAUCUAGUUCUUGUCAUUUCUUCUUGAACUUCUUGUUUAGAUUUCUUGUUUGUAUUUUUGGUCCGUGACAGUUUGUCGAGACUACCUUUAUCUUAAUAUCAGAGCUGAAUCCUUCUUGUUUGAGAGCGGAUUACCCCUCUUUUUGAAGGUAUUCUAGCGCUUUAGGGGUUGCGGAUUACCUUCCUCUAAACUGAUAUUUUCACAAUCACUAUAUCAGAGCUUAGUUCUUUGAGGCAGAGAGUGGACUACCCCUUUCCUUGGAGAUACUUGAGCGUUCUAAGGGUUGCGGAUUAUCCUCUCUAGGACUGAUAUUAAUUCCUUCUUUCUGUUUAGCAUAGCUAGUAGAAAAGACUGUUAACAUCGAUUUCAGAGCUUUGCCUUCUUGAUAGAGUGCGGAUUACCCCUCUUCUCGAAAGCAUUGAGGCAUUUUUAGACGUUGCGGAUUACCCUUCUCUAAAACUGAAAUCGUUUAGUGUUUUUUUUCUUUUCUCUUCUCCGAGUAGGUUUUAGUGACAGGUAGUGCUACAAUUUUUUCCAAGAGACUUAGCAAUUUCUUCUUCUCUCAAAAUUUUAAUCCAUCUAUUCUCUAAAUAUGGAAGUAGACCAGGUCAUAGACAGUGCAUCUCCACAAGUAGACAAUAGAGUGGCAACUCUUGCAGAUCUUCAAGCUCUUAUGAAUAGUGUACGGAAGGAGAUUGCAUUUCUUCGCAAUCCAAGUAAAGAACCUCAAAUUGAUCUAGUGACCGAAGAAGCUAGACGCGAAAUUCAUAGCCUACAACAAGAGAUUAUUCGACUAAGAGAAGCAAGACAUGUGUCACAUACGACCCCUAUAGAUACUUCAAGGAUUAGUACGAAAGAAUCAAAAGCGAGUAUGCCAGACAAGUUUGACGGAACAAGAGCCAACUUCCGAGGUUUUGUGCAACAAGUACGGCUUUACCUACGUCUAUACCCUUCUCGUUAUGCGAAUGGAUUUACCCAGGUUGCUUUCAUAGGUACUCUUCUAUCAGGAAAUGCUCGCUCUUGGCUUGCUCCACUAUUGGAGAAGGAUUCUCCAAUAUUGUACGACCUAGAGGCUUUCAUAGAGAGACUUACUGUUGCGUUUGGAGAUAGCGAUCGAGAAAGAGUGGCUGAAAGAAAGAUACAAAAUCUGCGACAAGGAUCACGUUUUGCUGCAAUCUAUGCUGCAGAAUUUCAACAGCUUACAUGUGAUCUUAAUUGAAAUGAUAAGGCAUUCAUGACACGAUUUCGAUAUGAACUGAGAGAUGAUGUCAAGAACUUAUUGAUCACCAUGCCUAAGGCGGAUACUUUAGAAGAACUUAUAUCUCAGGCAAUUAUUUGUGACAACCGCCUCUUUGAAUUACGACAAGAAAGACGAUCAGGCUGGAGAAAUGAUGGAGCAUUUGCUACAUUUUCAAAAGGUCCAGAGAAUCACUCCACAGAUCUUGAACCCAUGCAAAUUGAUGCGGUACGUUUCAAACCCCUCAUAGUUGAGGAAAGAAAGCGACGGUUUGAACAAAACUUGUACUUAUAUUGCGGAGAAGUGGGCCAUAAAGCUGUAGAUUGUCGGAAUAAACAGAAGCCUCAAACAACAAGACUCAAGAGUACAAGCAUGCAGGAAAACAAGGACGCCCAGCCACAAUAGGGACCGUGCGGCUGGACAUCUCAACAUCCAAAAUUAAUCAAGGUCCCUUUUUCUCAGCUCAACCUUCAAAUUGUUUUAUGGUACAUUUACAUCUGGGUAUUCAAGAACUACAAGUCGAUGCUUUAUUAGACUCGGGUGCAUCCGCUUGCUUUAUAGAUGAAGAGUUUGUUAAGCUCCACAAUAUUUUUCUUGUAAAGAAACUUAAGCCUGUUUAUGUAGAAGUCAUAGACGGACGACCAUUGUCUUCGGGCAAUAUUAUCCAUGAAACUAAACCAUUGAAGGUACGUCUUGAAAACCAUGAGAGCAAUAUUGUGUUUAAUGUUAUCAAGUCCCUUUCAUGUCCUAUCAUUUUGGGACUAUCUUGGCUUGAUAGAUAUAAUCCAUUGAUAGAUUGGAAGUUGCGGAAAGUGACAUUUCCAACAAACUCCUUGAAGGUGAAAUCUGCCAAGACAAUGUCUAGAAACAAAUCCUUGUUUAUAGGUGCAAGGGCUUUCAUGAAGGAAGCCAAGCAAAAUACACCUCUUGUUAUCUUCGCAACUCCGACUCGAGAAGAUGCAACUCCGACUUUGAUUAUUCCAAAUUAGUAUGAAGAAUUCAAAGAUGUCUUUGAAAAGAAAAAUGCUGAUAUGCUGCCAAAGCAUCAACUCUAUGACUGUGCCAUUAAAUUGGAAGAAGGAGCACAACCACCUUUUGGACCAAUCUACAAUUUGUCGCAGACGAAAUUGACUGAGUUGGGGAAGUACAUUGACGAGAAUCUAGCCAAGAACUUCAUCCGUCAUUCGAAGUCGCCAGUUGGGGCACCAAUCUUAUUUGUGAAGAAGAAGGAUGGCUCACUACGGAUGUGCGUGGACUAUCGAGGUCUCAAUAAGGUGACAAAAAAGAAUCGCUACCCACUGCCUUUGAUCUCAGGUCUUUUAGAACAACUUGGGCGUGCAAGGAUCUAUACAAAGAUUGACCUAAGGGGACCUUACAACCUUGUGCGAAUCAAGGAAGGAGAUGAAUGGAAGAUAACUUUUCGAACAAGGUAUGGCCAUAUUGAAUACAAUGUCAUACCAUUUGGUCUUACUAAUGCUCCAGCGAUCUUUCAACACAUGAUGAAUGACAUCUUUCGAGAGCAUCUAGACGAUUUUGUUGUCAUCUAUCUAGAUAAUAUUUUGAUAUUUUCUAAGAACGAGGAAGGACAUGAUAAGCACGUUCGUCUGAUACUCAAAAAACUAUGGGAGUGAGGACUCUAUGCCAAAUUGGAGAAGUGCUUAUUUCACCAAACUGAGAUGGAGUUUUUGGGAUUCAUCGCGACUACGGAAGGCUUGAAGAUGGAUCCAAAGAAGGUGGAAGCAAUCAUGUCUUCGGAAGUUCCGAAGACAAUUAGGAACAUACAAUGUUUUCUUGGAUUUGCUAACUACUAUCGGAUCUUCAUCAUGAAUUAUUCUCAAGUUGCUGCCCCCCUCACUCGGUUAAUGUGUAAGCACAAGCUCGAAUGGGGACCUAUCACAGAAAAAGCAUUUCAAGAUUUGAAGAUGGUAUUUACUACAGCUCCAAUCUUGGUACAUCCGGACUUUACAAAGGCCUUUUAUUUGGAGACAGAUGCUUCGGAUUUUGCUUUGGGAGUUGUACUUUCAUAGAUGGGCGUAGAUGAGAAGCUCCAUCUAGUUGCGUUCUAUUCUCAAAAAUUCUUUGCUACCGAGAUCAACUAUGAGAUCCACGAUAAGGAACUCCUUGCUAUAAUAGAUUCUUUCCAAGAGUGGCACCACUUUCUCGAAGGAAUUGCACAUCCAAUGACCGUAUAUACGGAUCACAAGAAUUUGGAGUAUUUUAUGUCGGCUCGGGUUUUGAAUUGGCGUCAAGCUCGGUGGAGUAUGUCGCUAUCCAGGUUCGACUUUGUUAUUACUUAUCGGCCUGAGAAGCAAUAAGAGUUGUCCGAUGCAUUAUCAAGGAGAUCAUAUCUCGCGCCAAAGACUGGACAUGCAGCAUUUGAUCAACAGUGUACGACAUUGUUGAAGCCAAAGAAAUUUCGGCUCAACGCAGCUAUUGUACCAAUUGAUGUGACUUCCUCGACCAGGUACGGGCCGCAACCAUUGAAGAUUCUCUAGCCCUUGAUAUCAAGCAAUAUGCUAGUGAUGAUAAAUUCAAGAUGGAAGGAGUUCUAGUAUAUUUUGAAGAGCGGUUGUAUAUCCCAAAAGGGCCAACACGACUCCGAGUUCUUCAAUCUCGUCAUGACUUUCCAGUUGCGGGACAUUUUGGAUUCAAUAAGACCUUGGAACUUAUUUGCUGCGAUUUCUGGUGGCCUCAAAUGUGGAAGGAUGUGAAAGGUUUUGAUGUAUCUUGUGACAUUUGUUCAAGAUUCAAAAACCCUCGACAUCGACCUUAUGGACUUCUACAACCAUUCCCUAUUCCGCGCCGACCAUGGUCUUCGGUUUCCAUGGACUUUAUUACGGAUCUACCACCAUCAAAUUCAUUUGAGAGCAUUUUUGUUGUCGUAGACUAGCUUACAAAGAUGGCGCAUUUUGUCCCUUGCAAGAAGACAUCGUCAAGCGAAGACACAACAAGACUCUUUCUUGAUAGUGUGUAUCAAUAUCAUGGUCUACCUGAUGAUAUCGUAUCGGAUCGAGGAACCCAGUUUGUGUCAAAGUUUUGGAAAUCUCUUUUUGAAAUAUUGAAGGUGGAUAUCAAGCUUUCUUCGGCAUUUCAUCCUCAAAGGGACGGCCAAACAGAAUGGGUGAAUCAAGUUUUAGAGCAAUAUUUACGUUGCACUAUCAACUAUCAACAAGAUGAUUGGGCCACAUAUCUACCGCUAGCCGAGUUCGCAUAUAACAACACCCUUCAUGCGUCAACUCAACAAACGCCAUUCUUUUUCAAUUAUGAAUACCAUCCGAAGCUUGACUUAUGGAGUUCGUCAACGAUUAACAAUCCGGCAGCUGAAGGAUUGGUGAAGGAGCUUUCGCAGCUUCAAACUACAUCGAAGCUUCAAUUGCAAACUGCCCAAGAAUCUUAUAAGGCGUCCGCGGACAAAUUUUGGAAUCAGGUACCUAAAUUCACGAUUGGAGACAAAGUUUGGCUACUUCGACGAAAUAUUAAGACCAAGCGGCCAUGUGACAAAUUGGACUAUCAGAGAUUGGAACCAUUUGUUAUCCAGAAGCAGAUCAAUCCUGUAGCGUAUCAUUUGGAGUUACCAGCUACUAUGAAGGUACAUCCUGUCUUUCAUGUUUCUUUGUUGGAGCCUUAUCGAGAAUCGUCUUUUUUUGGAAGAGUACAAUGUCCACCACCUAGCAUAGAAAUAGAGAACCACGAAGAAUAUGAGGUGAAAAAGAUCCUGAAUUCACGGCAAAGACGGGGUAAAUUAGAAUACUUUGUGCAUUGGAGCGGUUACGAUAUUAAUGAACAAACAUGGGAGCCGGUCGAAAAUCUUGCGAAUGCGCUGCAAAAGGUACAGGAGUUUCAUCGACGAUAUCCUAAGAAAUCCAAGCCGGUUCGACGAUAGCUUCUUACUGAAGCUUGCUCAUCCAGAAAACAGAAAAGAGGAGAGAGCACCACCAAAAUCCAUAGUUGAUGUAGUCAUUCUCUCCAAGAUAGCGUAGAACUUUGUUAGUAUCCCAAGUUUGUUCUUAUUGUUUUAGCCUUUGAAUAUGGAUAGCCAAGAUACUACACUUGUCAUCUCAUCUCAAGCAACUAGUUCACAAAGACGACCGCAAGAUGAAGAACCGCCUGCACCACGACGACGUCGAAGGAUUCCGAGCAACAGAUCGCUGGUGAUUGUAUUUGAGGUCGAGCCUGCCUACAAUGGUCAGCCAGAAGGAAUGUUUGCAGGACAAUUUCACAAUGAAGACACGGAGGUUCAUGCUUGGUCAGAAGUUGAAGGCGUGGGCCACUAUCGUUGGCUUCAAGGACCAUUGAAUCACUUGCCUCGUGAACAACAAUUGGAGUUCAUAGUAGAGGUUAUGUAACAGAUCUUCAUUUUCUUGCAUUGGUAUUGACUGACGAUAACAUUGCUUCUCGGAGACCUCGAAGCUAAAGGAGGAGGUGAUGUUAGGAACAUAGUCCUUAGACCUUUCUAGAGACAAGUUUCUAGAACCUUCUAGAAAGAAGUCUCUAGAAACUUCUAGAAUAUUCCUUGAAUAUUCUCUUAGAAUAUUCUUCAAAGAUUCUAUAAAGAUUCUUUGAAGAUUCCCUAAAGAUUCCCUUAGAAGGCUCUAGAAGAUUCUUAGAAUAUUCUAAUAGAUUCUAGGAAGUUACUUGAGAAGCUUCCUAGCUCUUGGAUAGUUGCUCGAGAAGCUUCAUAGUUCUUGGGAAGCUUCUUGAUGCGCUUCCUUAGAACCAUAGGCCAAUAGUAUAUAUAGAAGUCGAGGCUGAAGAGUUCUUCAGUCUCGACAACGCAUCUCUUGAAGCUUUAGCUCAAUUCUCCUAGCGUUACUCUUGUACUCAUCUGAUAAUCUAGUUUUUGUCAUUUCUUCUUGAACUUCUUGUUUAGAUUUCUUGUUUGUAUUUUUGGUCCGUGACAUGCUGCUGAAUUUAUAACAAUUCUUAUUUUAUUUUUGAAUCUCUCAAAAUUAUAAUGGCCCAUUUUUUUACAGUAUAGAUAAGAAGUGAUAGAUUUGAUUUGAAAUUUUGAAAGCUUAUGGUCUUUUUGGAUUGAUUUUUGAAGUUAUCAUUUAGUCUUUUAUUUGUGUCUUACAAAGAAGGCAUGUGACUUAGAUGAAGAGCCUUUCAUGAUUGUUUCUUUUUAUGAGAGAAUUAAAAUCAUUGUAAAAAAUGUUACACUUUUCAUAGUGUGAAGAAUUUGGAUCAUGAUAUCAUAUUAAAAUGGCAUAGACUAUAUGAAAGUGAGAAUUUUUAUUUUAGGAGAAAUAAUAACUUCAACAAAAUUGUAUUAUUAAAGCACAUUUCUAAAAUUAAGUAUAUGUUCAGUUAUCAAUUCUCAUGCUUUGGUCUUUUGUAUGAUGAAUUUUUCUUGAAAAUAAACUUAAGUAAUGAUGUCAUUUGUGGAAUAUGUAUUUUCAAGCGCAAGCUAAGUUUCAUUAGUUAUAUUGCACAAUCCUUCACAAGAAAAUAUCAAAUUAUUUAUACAAUUUUAUAUAGUUACUAGGACAACAUCAAUUCUUUUUUUUCCACAUAGUGAUUAUAAUAUGAUUUACAAGUAGUAUUCAUGCUGCUGCAUUAUUUUAUAUAAUAAAUACUAGGAUAACAUCAAUUCUUUUGUUUCCACAUGGUGAUUACAGUAUGAUUUAUAGGUGGUAUUCAUGUUGCUGCAUUAUUUUCUAUAAUAAUUAUUGGUUCUAUUUCUUUGCUAGAAAUCAACUUUCAUAGUUUUUGUAUUUAGAACUUCAAUUAAAUUUUUUGUUUUUAGACUAUAUACUAAGAGCUGUCAAACUUUGGCAAUUUUUUGAAGGUGAGGCUAUUUGAUACCAUGCUUGUGAAGGAAGGUUUUUUAGUAUCCUAAUUUUUACGAGGAAUGUCUUUAAUACAUCUCUUUCUCUUAAGAACUCUUUUUUUAUUUUUUUAUAUUUUUAGAACUUAUUCUAAAUUAUUUUUAGAUAAUCAUUCUAAUACCAUAUUAGAAGUAGUUAAUUUGAGAGUUUUUAUAAAAUAUGAGGAUCAGUUAUAUUGAAUAAAAAUGUGUGUACAUUAGUUUAUUCUAUUUAGAAAGAAGCGAUCGAUUAGAUCUUGCUACUUUGAUAGGGUACAUCUUUUCAGUCAUAUUAUUUGUUAUGUUUGUUUACUAUUGUGAUUGUUUUCAAUAAAGAAAAAAGUUUGUUGACAUUUCUUUACAAUAAUUAAAGAUUUGAUAUAAUAUUAAAAUAUAUAAGUUGACAAAAAAAUAUACAUCAUGUAUCAUAAAAAAUUCUUAAAAAUAAAAAUCUUAUAUAAUAUAUACCUUAAAAAUAAAAAUCUUAUAUAAUAUCAAAUUAAAUAUAUAUAAAUAAAAUAAAAUUAAAAAAUAAAAUCUAUAUAACAGACUAUAAAUACAAAAAAAAUAAUAGAAUUUUUUUUAUUUUCAAUUUCAAAUCUUUAUUUCAUUCAUAAAUUUUAACACAAGCAAAAUCUAGUACCAAUAUAAGAGUUAAUCUUGUGAGUUCGAUCAAUCGACACAAAGAAUUUUGAAGACUAAAAGUAACCCUCAAUUUAGUGUAAAUUAUUGAAAAAAGUUUUAAAGCUUAGGCCAUCUAUAUUGUAUUACAUGUCAUCAUGUUUGAGAAUGCAUUGGAUAUCUGGUUGUGGUAGGAUUGAAGUUUACUAGUAUUCAAAAAUCUUAAUAUGUUUCACCCUUAUCUAAAGAAUUCAAUUUGAAUUAUAAGACAUCUACUUAACUAAUGUUGGAUAAAAAAUCAAAUAAAGUGGAAAUUACAGUAAUAACCAUUGUACAAAAUUUUAUAAUAAAUCAGAUUGAGUAAUUCCUUUACAACCUCUAUUUAAUAACAACAUGUAGUAGUUAUAUAAUAAUUAUAGAAAGUAAGACAACCUCCUUUGAAUAAUAACUUGAGACCUCUAAAUCUAUAUUAUGAUUAUGACAAUAAUAAAUAAAACCAAAUUGUACCUAGUGAGCUUCAAAUAAAUUUUUAAUAUAUUCUAUUUAAUCCUAAUCAAGAUCAAUAUCAAGGUCAACCACCAUCUAAUCAAUCACGACACAAUCAAGGUUCUUAAAAUAUGAGUUUUAUGUCAUAAUUUAUAAGAGAAUCACAAAAAAAUCAAAAUUAAUCAGUCUUUUUUUUUAAUUUUAAUUUUAAUCACCUUCAAAAAAAAUCAACCAAAAAUUCAAAAAUUAUUUGUAGCACUAGUUUUUUUAAUAAUAAUUAGAUCUAAAGUUACAACCAUAUCCAUCCAUUAACAUAUAUAUAUAUAUAUAUAUAUAUAUCUUAGAUAGUCCAUUUCAUUUUUUAGACUUAAAACAAAUUAUUUAUCAUAUUCUCAAAGUAAUUUGUGAUAAUGUUGCUAAAAUUGUAAGUUUUUUUUUUGGUAAAGAUUUAUCCUUUGAAAAAUUUGAUGUUGAACAUGGAUUGAGUAUAAAUUCAAACAAUCAUAGUUGAGAGGCUUCCAAAUUCCUAUAUUUGAAAUUUUUUAACCACACAAAGUUGUAGAUGAAUCAAAUCUACAAAGAUAUGAUAAACCAAAGGCCAAUAUUAUUUUUUCUCAACUAAUAGAAUUUUUUUAAUAUUUAAAAAGAUACUUAAAAUCUAAAUACCAAUUAAAAAUUAAAAGAGGUUCAAAUUAAAAAUAGCAGCAAAAGUAGAUGCUUAUACUAAAAGAAGUAAUAUAAAAGUAAUAGAAAUUGAAUUUUCUAUUUUAGAUUAAAUUAUUCCAUAUACCAUUGUGGAUGGUAGAAGUGGCUUAAGUAUUAUGUCUUUCCAAAUCAUAGAAAAAUUAGAAUUGACUAUUACUAAUUUUUUACUAUUUAUUAUCAAGUUGGUAAAUCAAAGUAUAUCUAUAUCAAUUGGAUAAAUAAAAAAUUAUAAAACAUAGUUUAAUAGAAAAAAAAUAUCUUAAUAUAUCAUAGUAUUUUAUGUAUAUAUUAUUAUUAUUAUUAUUAUUUGCUAUUAAAUUAGUCAUGGUUGAGGGAUUUAAAAGUCAUAGUCAAUUGAAGAAGAAAAAACUUCAUAUUAUUUUAGAUCUUUAGGAGAAUAGAACCAAAAUCUCUAUAUAUUCUAUUAUUAAUAAUGAUAAGGUUACUCCUAUCAUUGAUAAUUACAAGGUUAUUCCUAUUAUUACUUCAAAAGAUAAAAGAUUUUUUCAGAUAUAAAAUAAAUUAACAACUAUAGUCAAUUCAAUUGAGAAAGAAUCUAAGAUGAUAGAAUGUUUAGGCCUUAAUUUUUAUCAUUGGAAGAAUAAUAGAAAAUUUAAACAAUGAUUAAAUAAUCAUUUAAUUUCCAUAAUUGAUUAUAAUAAAUUAGUCAAUUUUUUAGAAAAGAUGAUAGAAAUUGUAGAAGUUAAAGAAAUUCAAGUACUUAAUAUUAUUAGAAAUAAAACCUUAAAAGAAGACAUUGAAGUCAUUAAAAAAAGAUGAUAACUUAGUUCUAUUCUUUUAAUUUUAAAUUAUCUUGUUAGAAAUUAUAAUUGAUAAAAGAAUUAUGAAUUAUUAUCUAAUACCAAGAAAUUGAUAUAGAAAUGUUUUAAAACGAUUCCUUAUACAAGAAUCUAAAUAAAAACUAAUAGAUGUAUUAUAUAAAAGAAAAGAGCCUAAAAAAAUUAAAAUUAGUACUCAAUUAAAUUAAGAUGAAUUUUUUAAAUAUUAAGAUUUGAUUAUGAAAUAUUACAACACAUUAGUCUAGUCAUACAAAGAAUUAAAGGAUAUACUACCUAAAAUUGCUGAAUAUCAUAUUCUCCUAAUUCUUGGUAUCAAGGUAAUUAGACAAGAAGAAAGGUGCAUAAACACUCAACUCCAAUUGAUUGUGAAAAGAAAAUUAGAAAUUUUUAUAUAAAUUAGUUUUAUUAAACUAAUAAAAAUAAUAGAUUAGAUUUCUUCUAUGGUUCUUUUAAAAAAGAAAAAUUACAAAUUAAGAUUGUACAUAGAUUAUAAAAAACUUAGUAAUGACACUCAAAAAAGUCUAUUUUCUUCUUACUUUCAUUAAUAGUAUUUUAGAUGAAGUUGUAGGUCAAAAGACCUAUACAUUUAUAGAUGGUUAUUCAAAAUAUAAUCAAAUUGCCAUAGCACCUAAAGAUUGCUAUAAAAUAACUUUUAUCACUUUUAAAGGUACCUUCAUGUUUUUAAUCAUAUCUUUUGAGCUUUGUAAUGCCUUUUUUGUCUUUCAAAGAGCCAUGACUUUUGUCUUCUUGGAUUUUUUGUAUGAUUUUGAUAAUAUUCAUAGAUGACUUUAGUACCUAAUCAAAUAUUAAAGAAUAUCUAUACUAUGUGAAGAAAGUCCUAAUAAGAUAUAGGAAAAUAAAAAUGUUAACGGAAUAGAAAGGAUCUUGGAACAUCUUGGAUGAUAUCAAGUUUAAUUUUUAAUUAUGCCAUAAAAAUCUUAUUAAUUUCCAACCUUAAAAGAAAGUUGGUUAAGUUUGAAUAAACAAAAGAGUGUCAAUAAAUCUAAUUGAAUUAAGGAGAUAUUGAGUUCCUAUCGCAUAUUAAAACCACUCAAUUAAGAUCUUCUGUCAUAUAUCUAUUAUGAUGUUUUACCUAUGGUAGUAGAUAUUGCAUUAUAUCAAUCAAUGAAAGGUGAAUAUAAAAAUUAUCCUAUAAAUUUUACUAAUAAGAAAUUGAAUGUAUUAAAAUAGAAUUAUACUACCACAAAAAAAAUACAUAAAUAUAGUCUUUUCUAUGAAAUUGUUUUAACAUUAUCUUCUCUUGAAUCUUAUUGUAUUUUUUGUUGACUAAAUUGCCAUCAAAUAUCUAGUUGAGAAGAUAGAUUUAAAUAAUUUUAUAGUACAAUAAAUAUUAUUAUUUGGUGACUUUGAUCAUAAGGUGGAAUAUAAACUUAGAAAAUUAUAUAAUCAAGUCAAUCACCUUUCAAGGUUAGAAGAAAAAUUUGGUUUUAUUCCCAUUGAUGACAACUUGAUAGAUGAAUCUUUUUUUAUUAUCUUCAUCAAUCUUAUUUAGUACAAUUAUAUUUCAAAAAAAUUAAAUUCUCAAUAAUUACUUGAAGAUUUGUCUAAAUACAAAUAUUAGAAGGUUAUAAUUAAUAGCAUUUAUUUUUACUAUUAUCAAAAAAUAAUUAUAUUAUCAAGGAAUAGAUGGCAUAUUUAGAUAAUACAACUAUUCUUUGCCACCAAUAAACUAAUGGUCAUAUGAAACAAGUGAAUCAAAUUUUGAUUAAUAUUUAAAAAAAAAAAAAAAAAAAAAAAAAAAAUACAUAAGUUUCUAAAAGAAACUAAGACACAAAAUUGCUAGUAGCUUUAUAGGCUCAUUAUAUAACUUAUAAGAUCACAACUAAGGCCACACUAUUUUUUUAAUAUAUAGAGUAGAAGUAAUAUUACCAAUAGAAUUUGAAGUCAAUUUUUUAAAAAUAGUAAUAGAUUAAUUAUCCAAGAAUCCUUCCGAGAAAGAUUAGAACAAUUAAAAGACUUUAAUAAAAUUUGAAGGAUUAAGAUUCAAUAUAUAGAAACAAUGCAAAAAAAGAAGAAAAUUUCUUUUGAUAAAAAAUAGAAAAAAAAAAUGUCUUACAAUCCAAAAUGCUAGUAUUGUUGCAAGAUGCUUGGAGAAUGGACUUCUUGGGUAAAUUUAAUGCUCUUUGAUUAAGUUCUUAUUUCAUUUGGGAAGUCUUUGAUAAUAAUUCUUCAUAGUUAGAAACUUUAAAUAAUGAAGUUUUUUCAACUAAACAUCAAGAAAUAGAUAUAAGGAAUAUAGAAUAUGAAAAAAUUACAUAGUAAGAAAAGACUUUACAUCUUUAGUACUCAAAUUGAAUUGCAAUCUAAAAUAUAAUAUAGCCAAAUUUUUAGGUCUAAGAUAUUAGUUCCACUUCAUUACUAUCUCUUCUACUCAUUGAGGAAUAAAUUAAAUCCUAUGUAAAGAAAGAUGAUAUAAUUUUUUUUUAAAUUAAAUGAUUUUUAAAAUUUAAAGGUAACUUGGGAUAAUUAAGUAUUUUUAGAUUUUUUGAUAGUUGGCUAUAAAAAAUGGUUAUGUAUGAAAUAAUUUGAGUUUGAAUCCAACUAAGAAGGUAAGCUAUUCCUUUGAGCUAGUCUUAGAACAAUAAAGUGGCUAACUUAAGCUUCUUAGAGGAUAUAUAGGCCUUAUGGCUUAUUAUCUAAUUCCUUCUCUUUAAAGGAGGAAAUCAUGAUAUUAACUCUUAGAUUUUUUAAGUUUUAUUUUUAUUUUUUUAUUUUUUUAUUUUUCUUCUCUUUUCUAUUUUUCUACCCUUGUUGCUUUUUUCCUUCUUUUUUCUUUAGAAUUAUCUCAUAUUUUUUUUAGUAAAAUAGACUAUUUUCUUAAAUGUCAAGAGUAAUAGAAUUAGCAUGAUAGAAUUAAUACUAACCAUGAUCCUUUAAAUGAGCAUUUAUUUUGGUUCUUUAGUACGAUUCUUUCUAAUCUUAUAUAAAAUAUUAACAACUGGUAGUAACUAAUGUUAGACAAGGGUUUAUCAAAUAAACUAAAGUUUUGGAUUCUUUGCAUCUUCAAGUUGUCCUAGAUAGUUGCAAUAUGUGACUGUGCUACAACUGACACUGUGGGUGGUUGACGAUUGGAACAUUGAAGACUUCGGCAGAUUUUCCUAUCACUGUUUCCUUCUUUAUCCUUGGUCUUGUGAAAUCUUUGAAGUGGUUCAAUACCACAAGAAGUCAACGCCGCUUUUAGGAUUAUUUUGUCGUCAUCGUCGUGGACCUGGUGUAGUUGGUGUAGUUAUUUUUCUUUCCUUCUCAUUUUUUCUUGUGCUGACGGCUGGUGGCUGUCGGUGCUGGCUUCCCCUUUCGAAGUGGCAGAGUGGACCGGUGCAGGAGCGGCGGGUCAAGGUAGCAGUGGCGCGGAAUUCACUAGAGUUGCGCUCAUGGUGGUUUUCAAGGCGACGGUUGUAAUUAGGCAAGGAGGUAGUACAGCGGUGUGGCAGCUCCAUUCUAUCAUCGCCCUAGUUCUUUCUUUUCUGUUAUUUCGAUUACAAGUCCCUGUCGUUGAUUGUGAUCGACACGUAAAGGUUUUUUUUUUUUUUUUUUUUUUUUUCUCUCUCUCUCGUUAGUGGCAUGCGGUGGGUGCAGCGCCCUCGUCAACGUUGGUGGCUCUUAUGUUAUUCAAAAGCCUCGACACACAAGCAAUGGUUACAUUGUUGUUGCCGUCUUCAACGUUAUCUUGUUUCCUUGCUUUUGCUUGGCUUUGUAUUGGAAGCUGAGGUACCGACAGUGUGGAUUGGAUAUCGAUACUCUCUUCAUUAAAGUCGUGGUUCAUAGUGUUUUUCCAGGGAAGAUGCUCUCUUCGCGUUGGAGAUGCUUUGACAUUGCCUGGUCAUCAACGACUUGGUUUUUGCUGGGAUUUCAGUGUAGUGGUGUGCGUUGGAGUGCGGCGGUUGCGUGUUGCAAGAAGCAAUUCAUCACCAACAAACUUCUCGCUAGUGCAUCAACUCUUAUUUGACGGCGUGGCCGUGCUGCGGGGUGCAUGUGUUGCGGCUGGUUGAAGGCGAACGACGGUGUUGACUAGUCUUAACUUCUGAUCAACAUUGAGUUCUUACAACAGAACUGUUGGAAGUGGGGCUUAAGUGAUUUGGACAAGGAGCGGUAGAUGGUGGCCAAACUCGAUUGCAAGUCACCGUUGGUUGGAGAUCCUGGCGCCAACGCUUCCUCGCUUGGAGUUUUUUUUUUUUUUUUUUUUUUUUUUUUCCAACGCCUUGUUCGUCCUGCUGUGGUGGCGAGUUGCGGUUGAAACUAUUUUUUCUACCUAGUGGCAGCUGGACGGUGCUGUUCGAGCAUUGGUGCUGGUUUGUUAUCCCUCGCUGGUUGCGGUAGCACUAUUAAAGUCAGUAAUUUGUUCCUUCUCCAUUAAUUUGUUCCUUCAACAAGUUCAUGGAUUUCGUCGUCGACGGCUCAUCGCGACCCAAUUGCCCCAACUUAUUGCUGACGAUAUUCAGAACAUUUAUGCUCUUAGCGCCCUCUAGUACAAUCACGUAGUGUAGUUACGCAAUUCUAGAAGAAAAAAAAUCAAAAAAAUCAAAAAAAAAUCAAAAAAAAUCAAAGAUAGACACGAUUAGAAGACCUCAUCUCUGAGUUCUACAAGCCCUUGCAAAUUCAGAGUAAUUGUGCCAUAAUUUAUAUUAGUAGCUGUAAUGCCAAUGGAAGAAGUAGAGUGUGAAGACUGCCGUGAUCCAGGCGAUCCGUGCUAGGUCGAAUUUUUGUGCGUUCUCUUGAGACAGCCAAGAUCCACAAUAGCCCAGAUCCAGAAGCAGAGUGCCUGAGUUGUCAUCCUCAAAGUUUUCGAUACUUUUGAGUAUAUGGAGGAUAAGGCCAACUUCAAGAGUUAGACAAAAUUUAUCAAAGGUGAUAUUAUUGAGAUCUCCAUUCGAAUAAAACUAUAUCUGGAUGAAUCAAUUCGGAUGAAGUUAGGUUAAGGUUGGAUGAAAACUUGUUGGAUGAAUAUUAUGUCUGGAAAAAAUCUCAUUCUUGGAUGAAAACUUAUUUGUAGAUGAGAAUUUUUUUGGAUGAAGUUUUAUUAAUAGAUGAAGUAUAUUAAAAAAUAAAUUAAAAAAUAAGAAAUAAAUGAAUUGAUACAAUUCACAAAAUCAUGUAGUUAAUUCAUUUGUUAUGAAUAAAAAUAAACUUCCAAUUAGUAGAGGUUUAUUUUAGCUCAUGAAUAGAUAACAACCAAGAAUUUGAAAUAGAAGAAAUUUUAAAUUCUAGGCGGUGCCAAAACAUAUUAAAAUAGCUUAUAUAUUAGUAAAAAGAUGAUGUUGCUUUAAAAUCUCAAAAUACUCUCUUUAUAAUCAAAAUAGUGACUUCACUUUUAAAUCUCUAUCAACUUCACUUCCAAAACUUCUAUAAUUAUAAAUUACCUCUUCAUACUAUAAAAAUUUGGAUAAGCAACUUUAACUUCUCUAUGACAUGAAAGCUCAAAGUUAGUCCAUCAAAGAUAUUACUUAGCAAAGAAACACAAAACUAAUAUUCUAAAACUUCACUUUAAGUAAUUAAAACAAUCUCAAAAUCAAUAAUGCUUUUAACAACAAGUAAGAGCAAUCAAACAUCAACAACUAGAUGUAAAUAUGAAAGUUAGAAGAUCCAUAUCCUAACAUCAACAAUAAUAACAUCAUCUACUCUAUACAAUAAUAAAGACUUUAUAAAACUUCAAAACUCUCAAAUAAAGAUAAAUGGGCCUAUAACCUAUUGAAGAAAUACAAAUUAGAAGUCUCAAUACUUCGUAUUAAGGUUAUAUAUAAAGAAAAGUAUUAUUAAGUAAGAUAAUUCUUACUUUCAAGCACUUGUUACUUAUAAGUUUUAUUUCUAUCCUAAUAGACAACUUAUAUCUCUUGAUCUUUACAUUCAUCAAAAGAUAUAUCAAGUCUAUCUUUUGGCAUCUCAUCUAUUGUAAUAUUAUUCUAUAGUCUAUAAUUCAUAUUCUUACAUAAUUUUUAGAUAUUCUUUAAUAGAUACUUUAUCCUAUUGACCUUGUCUCUUCGUCCUUCAUAUUUUUACUUAUCCAUUUGUUGGCCCUUUUAUACUCCAAGAUUCAAUACUUCAACCAAUAACUAUUUAUCUAAGAUAAUAUCUUUUAUAAGAUAACAUAUUUUAUUUUUAUUUCAAUAACAAUAAUGUCUUUGAUAUUACUUUAAUGCAUGACAUUGAUAUAUGUGACAUUACAUUGACACUUCUUUUUUUGAUAUAAGCAUUGAAAGUUGAAUUAUAUAUAUAGAGUAGAUAGUAGGCAUUUUUAUUUUAGGUACUUGUAAUAGUCUUUAAAUAUCCACUAUGUUCUUUUCUUUUCUUUUUUUCUUUUUAAAAAUAAUCCAAUUACCUCUUAUACUUCUUUUUAAUUUGUUGUUUUUAUUGAAUUAAUAAAUAAUUAAUUAAAUUAUAAAAAUAUAUUCUUAUAUAAUACAAUCAUAAAUUUGAUAGAAAAAUGAAGCUUUUAUUUGCUUUUUUGGAUCUUUGGAAUAUUAUAAAUAAAAUCAAAGACCUUCCAAGCACCAAUCUUAAUAUAAAAGAGAAAAAAGAACAUAAGUAUUGUGAAAAAAAGGCUUUUGGUUUGAUGAUACCAACUUUCACAUAUUAUCACAUGUAAUAAAUCAACAAAAGUACAGAAGACUCUUAGCAAAAUUUAUGAAAAUAAAAACCUUAUAAACAUUCUAUAGACAAGGAAGAAGUUCUUAACAAUAAGGAUGGAAGAAGAUGAUGAUCUCAUGACUUAUGUCAACAAGAUAAAAACUUUUAUAAAUUAAUUAGUAAUUGAUGACAAUCUAAUUGAUAAUUAUGAUAUUAUCAUAUAAUUACUUUUGAAUCUUUUAAAGUCUUACAACCUCUUUAUUAUUGCAUUGAAUUCCAGUAAGAUAAAAGAAUUUAUAUUGGACUAUAUUACAGUAAGACUUAUCUAAAAAAAAAACCAAGAAGAAGAACAAUAAAUAAAUAAAUAAAUAAAUAAACAUUAAAGUGAAGAUUUGGCUCUCUUUUUAAGACAAAGUAGCUAUUCUAAUCAAUGUGACAAUGUAAGAAGUAAUGUGAGAAAUUCCUUCUCUUGUAAAAAAAUAUAUUCUUUCAUAAGAAAUUUCUAUAAGGCUAAGAAAUGAAAUGGAGAAAAUAUUAACAAUUCACAUGAUGAAAUUAAAGGAGAUAAUUAUGCUUUCAUGGCAAAUAAGGGAGCUUCUAUAGCUACCAUAUUCAAGUAGAUUGUUGAUUUGGAUUCUACUAAACACAUGAUACUAUACAAGUCUUUAUUUGACACUUAUGAAGCAAUUUUAACAACAAAAAUUUGGUUGGGAGACAAUUACAUGAUAUAAGCUAUUGAAAUUGGCUCUAUUGUAGUAGAGAUUGUUGUAAAAAAUCUUAUAUGCUCCAAAAAUAAAUAAAAAAAUAUUUUUUUCAUAAACAAACUUAUAUCAUAUCAUUUUAAGGUUCAAUUUUAAUAUAAAUAAGUAUUUUAUGAAGACAUUGAUUGGAUAAGUUGUUGCAAAAGGCUUCAAAAAUCACAAAUUUUAUUCUUUAAAUUAUAAGAAGUUCAAUAAAAUUAAAGUGGUGGUAUUUAAUGAAUUUCUAUAAUAUCAAUACAAGUUUGGUAUUUGACAUUGAUUCCUUAGUCAUUUAAAUACCAAAAGCAUGAAAGAGCUUUAAUCCAUGGAAAGUAAUAUGGAUCUAAGUCAAUAAAACUAUAAUGCCUUGAGACUUAGUCAUGAAGGUUGUAUUCAAGACAAACAACAAAAGGCUUCAUUUCUAGGAGGAAUUGUAAUAUAUACAAUCAAGUUGUUGAAGAUAAUGCAUUUUGAUAUUUGUAGACCUACAAAAAUACCAUCAAUAGGAUGAGCUUUGUUGCAUUCAUUAAUGAUUUUUCAAAAAAAAAUGUAAAUUUCAUUCUUAAAAUUCAGAGUGAAUAUUUUUUAAGGUUUAAGAAGUUUAAGAUAUUUAUAAAAAAGUAAUAUAAAUGCAAGAUCAAGAUGUUAUAUAUAAAUAAUGGAAAUAAAUAUUUUCUAAAGUAUUUUGAUGAAUUCUUAAAUAUUAAGGUAUUGCAAUUUAAACCUCAACUUUUUGCAUUCCACAAUAAAAUAUAAUUACUACAAAAAAAAUCAAAAUAUUGUAGAGAUUUUAAGGAAUAUACUUUAUGUCCAAAACCAUGAAUAUGAAAUUUAGAUAGAAGCCAUGAUAAAUAAAAUAUAUAUAAGGAAUAAAUGCUCUACAAGUAUAUUCAUAUCAAUAAUUCUACAACAAGCUUAAAGUGAGAAGAAACCUUGUAUUUUGCACAUAAAGACUUUUGAUGCAUUAUUGAUGCAAAGAUAUCAAAUUAUAAGAGGUUAAAAUUUGAUGCAAAAAGUACAAAGUGUAUAUUUUUUGAAUAUUAUGAAGGUACCAAAACAUAUAGAUUAUUAUAUUUAGAUAUCAAAAAGAUCAUUAAAAAUUGUGAUAUUAAAUUUUUAAAGCAUAAAAAUACUUAUAAGUAUUUAAAAAUAUAUAAAAAUAAAAAUAAUAAUAUUUUUGUAGAUACAUCUUUAAUUUAAAUAAUAAUAAUCAUGAUAAUAAUAAUAGUGAUUUUGGUAGUAUUAGUGAUAUUGAUGUUGGUGAUAUUGAAAAAAAAAAACUAUAAAAAGACCAUAGAAUGUAUCAAAAAAAAUUCUUCAAAUAAAAGAAGAUAUCCUCUAAAUGAAAAAAGACCACCUAGUGAAUGAUAGAAGAACCAGAUUUUUUCUUAAAUAAGUGAGAAAUAUGCAAAUGUUACACUUUUUGCUGAUCUUUUGAGUUUGUAUAAUGUAAUAAAGUCCAUAGAUGCUAUGAAGUGGGCAAAAAAUAUUAAAAAAAGAGUAAAAAUCACUCAUGAAUAAUAAAAUAUGAAAAUUAACUCAACUUCUACCAAAUCAAUCUUUCAUUGAUUAUAAGUAGGUGUUUAGAACUAAAAAAGAUAUUUUGAAAAAAAUUGUAAGAUAUAAGGCAAGAUUAAGUGCCAAAGGCUAUUUAUAAGUUGUUGGUGUUGUUUUCAACAAAAAAUAUGCUUCUAUAGCUAAGUUCACCAUGAUUAUAUUAUUGUAGGAAUUUGAGCAGUAAUAUCAAGGACAUGAAUUAAAAGAUGAUGCAUAAAACAAUGAAAUUUGUUGUCAUAUUAUGUAAUGUCUUGUUUAGGAAUGCAUUGGACACCUAGCUGUGGAAGAUGAAGUUGUGUUUCACAAGUAUUUAAGAAACCCUAAUAGGUUUCAUCCAUAUGAGAAGAAUAUAAUCCAAAUUUUAAUUUAAAAUUACUAAAAGGCACUCUUUUUAGUAGCCUUAAUGAUACAUAAAUCCCAAUUACCUUGUUACAUUCAUAUUUAAGCAAUUUAGAUUUUUCUUAUAAGUUCCAAUCCUAAUUAAUGAAAUUUAAUAAGUUGUAACUUCUAAUCUAAUCAUCCACUUAAUGUAAAAUUUUCCAUGCGAUUGUCAAUAUAAGUCUUUUAUAUGCUCAAAAUUUUUCAACCCAAUUCAACUUAUAGAUUGAGAGAUAACCUCUAAAAAGUGCACUGAUGUUACUUGGCAGCCAACUUGAAAAGUGAAGCAAAAAUUCCAAAAGUGAUUUCUCCUUUUCCAACUAUUAACUUUGAUUCAAAAUUGGUGUGUAGCUUGAUCUUUAAGUCCUUCAAUACCAUGCCAAAUUUCACCUUGAUCCAACUAGUACAUCUCUAGAUAUGAUAGAAAUCUUAUCCAAUCCCAAAUUACCAACUUCUGAAAUCUUCUUAUGCUAAAAACUUGAUAUCUCUAAACCACACUAUUAGAUUAUCACGAAAUUUUUUAUAUAAUUAGCACAUCCAAUUAUCCAAAUAUUUUCAAAUUUUGAACUAUAGAUGUUAUACGAAUUGCACGAAUUAGCAAAAAUUGCUAGCUAUAAUUAUAUUAUAUAAAACUCAAAUCACUAAUAUAAACUCUAACUUUGAAUAAUAAUUACAAAGUCUUCAAAAAUCCUACAAAAACAAUUCUUAUGCCAUUACAAAGAACUUUAAGUUAGCUCUUAAAUUCUAACCUUUGAACUUCAAAUGAAAUCCUAAGUUUUUCUAGGCAAUCGUUUUAGUGACUAGAGGUCUGAUUUUGAUCCCAUCUCACAAACGAUCGAUCCCCGGGUAUCAAUCUUAUCUAUCCUAAGGAUUUUUUAAUCCAAUCCUACCCUCAACUUGACCUUAGUAUCAACCAUACUAACUAUUAAUUUCUUCUAUUCUGAUUUUAAUAAUUUAUGGCCUAUCUAAGGUAAUAAAAAAGUUUCUAUAUCUUAGAAAGUAAAAAUACUAACUUUUAUCUACUUGCUAUUAUGACAAGAAAAUAUGCUAAGAGGCUUUUAAAAAAGCUUUAUUAAAAUAUUUUGAACUAUUCUUGAGCUAAUAUAAUAGAGUAUUAAUUAGAAAAUCAUUUUUAGUCAUAUUUUCACCAUAUAAUUGUGUCACAAUAAGACAACAGAAGGUUUUCAUCUUGAUUUUGAUAGAUGUUGUUGAUGAAAAGCCUCCACCGCCUUUGUUGAAUUUACAAGAUUCUUUACUGGCUCCUAUGUGUGUUCAUUAAUAUCAUAUCAGUACCAAUGUAUAAGAUAUUUUAAUUAAUUUUAACCCUGCCUUGAAUCUAGAAUUUCUUUCACUUCGAACUCUUGAUUAUUGUCCACUUCUAUAGGAAGAGGUGGAACUUAUCUUCUUCUUGGUAUGUCAGCUCUCUUGUAUGGUUCAAAAAGAGAUACAUGGAAUACUAGAUGGAUUUUCAUUGACUCCGAUAGGUAUAAACAAUAUGCAAUUAGAUUGAUUUGUACAGAAAUAUGAAAUGGUCUUAGUCUAUAAUAGUCCAAUUUGUCACAAGGAUAAGUGAUCUUAAUAUUAUAAUGAAGUAACCAUACCUUAUCACCUAUGUGGAAUGGUCAUUGUUCCUUUCGAUAGACAUCUGCAUUGCUCUUUUCUUGUUCUUGAGCUUCUUUUAACUAUACCUUCAUUGUUGCAUGUAGCUUUGACAAAUAAUUUGCCAAAUCUUUUGCUGCAGGAUUAUUAGCUUUUGAAAAGUCAAAAGUAUGAAUUUGUGGAUGAUAACCAUAAUUGGAAAAAAUGAUAUUUUUUUAUAGAAGAAUGUAUUAUAUUAUUAUAAGUAAACUCUACUAAUAGUAAAAAAAAUAUCCAAUCAUCUUGUUGGUAGUUGAUGGUACAUCUUAAAUACUGCUCUAAAAAUUGAUUUACAUGCUCCGUUUAUCCAUUAUUUUGAGGAUAGAAUAUCAAAGAUAGUUUUAUAUCUAUUUUUAGAAUCUUAAAAAGACUCUGCUAAAAUCUUGAUACAAACUGAGUUCUUCUAUCAGAUAUAAUAUCCUUGGAUAAUCCAUGAUAAUGAUAGAUAUUGUCAAGAAAAAGUUUAGAUGUUUCUUUACAUGUCAUAGAUUUUGUACAUAGUAAAAAAUAUUUCAUCUUGGUAAAACAAUCUAUUAUCACAAAUAUAGAGUCAUAAGAACUUGAGAUUGGAAGAUCCAUGAUAAAAUCUAUAGAAACAGAAGACCAUGGUUGUUUUAGAAUAGAUAAUGGUUGAAAAAGUCUGUAAAGUCAAUGAUGAGGAGUUUUUGAUCUUAAACAAAGAUCACUUGACUAAAAAAGUCUUUUACAUCUUUUUACAUUUGUUGCCACCAAAAAUCUCUCGAUAUAAGUUUCAAAGUCUUAUUGUAUCCAAAAUAUCCCGCUCUUGGAAAGUCAUGACGUUGUCGUGAUGUAACACGAUUAAUAGGUGAAAGAGUGUGGAGAUUAUUAUAAUUUAGGAAAUCUUAGUUCAAAGUAUUAGAACAAAUUAUCUUAGAAAUAUAGUUAAUAGUCAAAGGAGUAGAAAAAUUAAAAGUUACCAAUGCUACCUUUUAGAAAGGUGACUUCAACUUACUUUGUAGUACCAUAAGUAAGGCAAAACAAAGUAGAUUGGAAAAACAAAUGAUAUAGGCAUCUUUAGAAGGACGUUAAGAGUAAAUUCUAGAAAAAAUUUACUUAAAAAAACUAGAAAUUGAUACCCGAAGAGGGCUAGUUAUGAACCAGGGUCGAAAUCAGACCCUAGGGCACAAAACCGAGUUUCGACGACGACUUUGGAGUUCUUUUGGAGAUCAAAGAAAGAGAUUUGAUAGCAGACUGAAUAAGCUUUCUAUAAGCAUUGAUUUUUGGUGAUUUGGAGUUGAUAUGACUUUGUAAGAGCUUUGCAAAGUCAAGGUUUGUUUUCGGAUGACUUGGGUUAUAUGAAAUAAAAUAGGGUUUAUGUUUUGGGUGAUUUCAAGAGUUUUGUAAAAGAUCUAAAGGUGAAAUUUUUUGGGUUUAUGGUUAUAUUUGUGUUUAAUAUGUUUCUUGAAUUUGAACUUGAUCUAACGGUUAAAUUGAAGGACAUUGAAGUUUAAGUGGGUCAAGGUCUCAGAAAGUAGAAUUUUAGGUCCAGUGGGGGUUUUUGAGAUUUCUUGCAAUCUAUUGGUUGGAUUGGAGUGAAACUUAUGUGAGAGGAUAUUAUACUUGUUUUUCUAUGUGUAUGAGAAUUUUGAGAUCAAUCGAAUAGUGCAAAGGAGAGAUAUUGCCCCUAGAAGAUUGGUAUCAAGAUUGGAGAAGGAGGCCGGCUAAUAUCCGAGCACAUUUUUGAGGUUAUUGUCAAUUUGAUAUGUCCGAUCCUUAUCAUUUUUUUUGUGCUUGUUUUUAACUUUUUUUUUAAGAAGUGUGCAAAAUUUGAGUUAAGAUCAACGGUUUAUUCAUUAGUUAUUGAGGUUUAAAUAUGUUAUAGUAAUUAUUAGGAUUUGGUUUAGGGUUUGGUUUAGAGUUUAGGGUUUGGAUUAGGAUUUGGUUUAGGAUUUAAGAUUUGGAUUAGGGUUUGAUUAGGAUUUGAUUUAGGAUUUAGUUGGGAUUUGGUUUAAGAUUUGUUUAGGAUUUUAUUUAGGAUUUGGAUUAGGAUUUGGUUAGGGUUUAGGGUUUGGAUUAGGAUUUGGUUAGGUUUUGGUUUAGGGUUUAGGAUUUGGAUUAGAAUUUGAUUAGAGUUUGAUUUAGGAUUUAAGGUUUGUAUUAGGGUCUGGUUAGGAUUUAGGGUUUGAUUUAGGAUUUGGUUAGGGUUUGAUUUAGGAUUUGGUUAGGGUUUGGAUUAGGGUUUGGAUUAGGAUUUGGUUCAGAAUUUAGGAUUUGAUUGGGGUUUGAUUUAAGGUUUAUUUAGGGUUUAAUUUAGGGUGUAAGAUUUUAUUAGGAUUUGAGAUUCAAUUAGUUUUGGCCUAAACUUUGAAUGAAGUUUAAUAGGAUCUUAACUAAAAUUAAAUUACGAUUGAAUUGAGAUGUAUUUGAGUGAUAUUUGUGAUCCUUCUAAUAUUUCUUUAAGAAUUCUUAUUAUUUAUUUGAAAUUUCUUUGAGGCUUUUUUGAAUUUGAUUAUGCUUGUUUAACAUUAUUAUAGUCUAAUUAUAGCAUUAUUAGUAUUCUAUUAAAAUUAGGAUUUUGUAAUUGUAAUUUCCAUUCUUCCUUCCAUAGCUAGGUACUCAGUGCAUUCUCAAGCAAGACUUCACGUAUUACGACAUAUUUGGUGAACCCGACAUAAAAAACUUGAGGUACGAGAUAUUUAGAGUUUCUUUGAUCUAUUUGGAUUAUGGAAAAAGAAGGCAAGAAAAUGGAAGGAGGAGCUUUUGGUGGUGCUUCAAGUGGAGUUGGAAGUGGAGCUUCAAUUAAAAGACAAGGUAUGUAUUUUGAUCCCAACUCUUCAAGUAUGUUUGAGGCAUGGGCCUUAUUCAUGCAAUAACAACAUGUUAAGGAUCGCAAAGAGGGUAUGGCAGACAAAGCAUUAUAAGUUGAUGUAGAUAAGAUUGAUCAAUUUGAACGGAAGGAUAUUACAAAAUAUUUAAGGUGUUACAGAAUAGAAAUGGAAUUGAAGUGUGUUUCAGAGAAGAAAAUGGUUCAACUAUUUGAAUUGGCCACUGUACCAGAAAUAAAAAAUCAUGUGAAGUCCAUUAUAGGACAUUCUGGAGGUUCAUGGAAAAAAUUAUCUCAAGAAUUAAAGGAUAAGUAUUUUUUAGACGAUAGUCAGCAAGUUACAAAAAAGUUAUUUUUUGAAUGGAUUGAAAGGCCUAAGAAGGAUCUACUAGCAAUGGAGUUACUAAGGGAGUUUGAAAAGCAAUAUUCUUGUUUAUCAAAGAAAGAGAAGCAAUUAUUAGAUCUAAGUAAAGUGGAACUUUUUCUUCAAGCGACUAAUGGAGAGUUCCAAGAGAAGUUGGAAGUUUUGCUCGAAGAUAAAGAAGAAGUUGAAGGAUUGACAACAAAUUAGAAGAAAGUAGAAGAGACGAUUGGGGUGCUUGCAAAAAGAGAAAGGAGAAAAGAUAGGAUGGAAAUUCAAAGACCAUUGGAAGCAUCUAAAGGAAAAAUGCUUGCUAUCUAUCCUACAUCUAUGAUUCAACCUUCAAUGGCUACAUCAAAGAGAGAAGAAAUGGGCAUUGAUGAAAUCAUAUGAGGGAUGAGAGAUUUACAAAUAAAAUUUGUAAAACUUGAAGAGAUGGAUUAAUCAUCAAGAAUAUCAACAACACAAAAUUUAAGGCCAAUAGAAGGUAUGGUGCAUAGGUGCAUGUAGUGUGAUAGCAUAGAUCAUUGAAGAAGGGAGUGAGAGAAUUUUUCAGAGGCACUACGCAAAGGAGUUUUUUUUUUUUAAAGAUGGUAUGAUACACUUAAAAGAGAGUAGAGAAAAAUUAGAGACAAAUUUUGGUAAAGGAAGAAUGAAGGUAUUUGUAGGAGAUGCUUUCAAGGUACAUCCAACUUCAAGCAAUGAAGCAUCAACAUUUUAGAUGGGGGCAAAUCCAAGCAAAUACUUAAGUAUAAAUCUUGAGUAUCCAGGAGAAUCUAGUUAUUUAUAGUCAAGUGCAAUGAAUUAUGCUGAAAAGAGAAAUUUUACUAGAGAUGAUCUAAAAUAUGUUGGCAAUAACAUUCAAAAAAUUACUAGGUGGGAUGAUCCAGUAGAUAGAUUAUCAAUUCAUGCUCAUAUUCCAAGGAGUCAACAUGAAGCAUUAAUAGAAGAAAAAUGAAGGAGAGACGAAAAUCAUGAAGGGCCAUCAAAAAGAAUCAUAAGAAGAGAUAAAACUUGACAACAGAAGAAUCCUAUGCAUAAAGAGACAAUAGAGAAUAUGUCUACAAAAGAGAGGGAGAUUAUGAAAGAAAAAGCAAAGGUUCCUACUUAUAAAUUACAAUCAAAUAUUAAAGCUGCUACAGAUUUGAAGAAAAUAUUGAAAGAGCAGAUUUUAAGUGGAAAGGUUGAAUUUAAAGUUGGUGAAAUUCUAAGAAUUACAAAACGAGAAUUUCAUGAAGUUAUUAUUGAUACAAUAAAAAGAAAACGGCAAUCUAUUAGUGAUACUAUGACAUCAAAUGCAUAAGGUACAAAGACAAUAGGAAGAAAUGAAGAUGAAGAAAUUAAAAUGCAAAUUAUUGGAGAUGUUUUACGAGUCAAAUUUACAAGAAAAGAAGAUAUGAUUCAAGCUUCUAGUCAUUAUUCUUGGAAUCAUUGGACAAGGGCUACUACAAAAACUUUAGUAAAAUUGGGAGAUUUAGAAGAACCAAUUGUAGCAUUGAUUGGUCAUGGUUCUAAAAUAAAUUUAAUGUCAACAAAAUUAUAUAAAAGGAGAAAUUGGCCUAUUGAUAUUGAGCAUGGGUGGAUGAUAAGAGCAGCAAAUAAUUCAAAGGAGGAUUUGUAUGGAGCUUGUCCAAAUAUCAAGGUGACAAUAAGAAAUAUUAUUCAUGAACAAAAUUUCUUUGUACAAGAUACGUCUACAUAUCCUAUUAUAUUAGGACAAUCAUAUAUUACUGCUACAUGAAUGGAGACAAAGGUUAUGGAUGAUGGAUCAGUUUAUGUAAGAAUAAGAAGUCAAGAUGGAAAGAGGGCGGUGUAAUUUUUAACAGUUUGUGCAAAUCAUGGAAGAAAUAGGGAUAGUUUGAAGGAACAUCCUUUGUCAAAGAUACAUAAAGAAUUUGAAGAUCUUAAAGACUCAAAGGAUUUUUACUAGACACCAUUGUAAAGCGGGAUUGCAAUGGUAAAAAGAGUGAAGGCUUCCUCCCUAAUAGAAAGGAUGAAGAUAUUAUAGGAUUAUCGCUAGAUGGAUAUAUUUUAUUCAAAAAUAUAAAUAAUUUUAGUAGGAUAGAUAAAAAAAAAAUGUUAAAAAUAUAGAACAGGGAUUAAAAAAAUGUGAAGUGAUUGAUGAAGAUGAAUACAUAUCAGGGAUGUUUGAAGAAACUUGUUUUGGUGAUACUAUGAAUGAUUUACAAAUAUUAUUGAAUAGAGAUUUUGAAAGAGGUGAUAAAGUAAUAAAUAUCCAUUCUAAGUAAUUUUAUGAUAGAAUAAAAGAAUAUAUGGAUAGGUAUGAAGUAAAGGUAAACACAAAAUACAAGUCUAUUGUAAGGAAGAUUAAACUAGUGGCAUUGCCACUACCAUUGGAUUUUGAAGAAAGGAUUAAAGGGGCUUCUAUGCAACCUAACUUAAGAGAUCCAAAGAAAAUAGGUCAUGAAUUCAAGGAUAAUUUGAUGUUAGAUGAUUUAAAAAUUUGAUGUGAUAAAUUUUUCACAAGAGAUGAGGAGAGAUGUUUUAAAGAAAUGCUUUCACGACAUGAUAAAGUAUUUGCAUUUGAAUCACAUGAAAUAGGGUGCAUUGAUCCGAGUAUUGUAGCACCUAUGGUUAUUUUUACAAUUCCUCAUGAACCAUCGAAUUUGAAGUCAAUUCCAGUUCCAAAGACUCAUUUGCCAAAGUUAGUUGAAUUACUCAAUGAAAAAAUUAAGAUGUGAAUUUUAGAACCAUCUAUUGCACCAUAUUCUAAUCAAUGAUUCACAAUAUAUAAGAAAAAUGGAACAUUGAGGUUUAUUCAAAAUAUGCAACUGAUAAAUAAAAUAACUAUUAGAAACAUGGGCUCAAGUCCAAUUGUGGAUGAGUUCGCAAAGGCAUUUGCAGGGAGAUCAAUUUAUUCUAUAGGAGAUCUUUACUCAGGAUACGAUCAAUUUCAAUUGGCAAUACAAAGUAGAGAUUUGACAACUAUGAAGACACCAUUGGAAUUGGUCAGAAUGUGUACAUUAUCACAAGGGGCUACAAAUUCUGUGAAAUACAUGAUGAAUGGAAUGCAUAAGGUACUAAGAGAUUUUAUUCUAAGAAUAACAAUAUCUUUUUUAGAUGAUGUGCUAAUUAAAGAAUGUAAAGAAGAAAAAAAAAGAUGAGACAUUGGAAUAAAGAGAUGUAGGAAGUUUGUGACAUAUCAUAUUGAUGAUUGUGAGAAGAUUUUGACAAGGCUAGAAGAAGUUCAUUUAACCUUAUUGAGGACAAAAUCAAUGUUUGGAGUAAAAGAAAUUUUGGUAGUAGAGCACAUAUGUGGUUCAUAUGGAUGCAAACCAAGUAGGAAAAAAGUUGAUAUUAUAAAAAGAAUGAAAGAGUGUGCAAAUACGAUGGAAGUCAGGAGGUUUUUAGGAGCAUGUGUUUUCUAUCAUAUAUGGAUACCUCAUUUUGCACAUAUAGCAGAUCCAUUAUAUGAGUUAUUAAGAAAGAAUCAAAAAUUUCAAUGGAAAGAAGAACAAAGAAAAGCUAUGGCAAAGUUAAAAGAAUUUCUUUCUUUACCUCCAAUUUUGAAGAAAAUAAAUUAUGAAUGUGAAAGGCCACUAAUAUUAACAGUUGAUGCAAGUCUAAUUGGAAUAAGUUGGACAAUUGGACAAGAUGAUGAACAAAGGAAUAGAUAUGUAGUAAGGUUUAGAGCAAAGGAUUUGAAUGUUAGACAAAGGAUAUAGGCACAAAUCAAAAGAGAAUUAUGGGAUGUAGUAAUAGCUAUGAAAAAUGAAAGAAAGUACUUGAUUGGGACAUCAAUAGUUAUAGAACCAGAUUGUCUACCUUUGUUAGGCAUGAUUACAAGUUGUUCAACUCAUGAUAUUGCUAUGUUGAGGUGGAUAGCAUAUAUCAAAUCUAUGAAUCCAGAAUUUAAACAUAUUGCAGGCAAAGAAGAUUUAGUUGCAGAUAUGUUAUCAAGAGCAAGGUAUAAUGAUGAAAAAAAGAUAAUUGAUUUAGAAGAUGAUGUGGGUACAAAUUUUUAUACCAAUGUGUUAUCAAAGUAAAAGGGUGUAUGUUUUAAUAUACCAUUGGAAAUAUUUUUAAGAAAUUUAUAUGAAAAUGAAUGAAAAGAUGUUGGGGAGUAUUUAAACAUAUUAAAGCGACAAAAAGGUUGGACGGAUCAAGAAUUUAAGAAAAUCCAUAAGAAAGCCUAUGGAUAUUUUUUACAUGAUGGAUAUUUAUGGAAGCAUCCAAAAAAGAGAGGAGAAGUACCACAAAGGGUGAUAUGUGGUUUAGAAGCUCAACAAAGGAUUAUUAAAGAAUUUCAUAAAAAUUUAUGGGCAGGGCAUCGAGAUAUUUGGGUAACAUUCACUAAGUUAAGAGAGAAAUAUUGGUAGAAGGGAACAUACAAAGAGAUAGCAAAAUUUGUAGAAUCUUGUGAGACUUGCCAAGUAUAUUCAAAUAUUCGGCAUCGAGAUGGAUUACAUCCAAUAUACCCUUUGGCUUUACAUUACAAGUAGGUGGUAGAUUUAGUGGCAAUGCCUAUGGGACUUAGACAAAUGAAGUAUUUGGUACCUGCACAAGAAGAUUUAUCAAAUAUAGUUGAAGGAUGAGCAUUAAGAACAAAGGAUACUAAAGGUGUAUGUUGAUUUCUAUUAGAAGAAGUUACUUGUCGCUAUGGUUGUAUUAGAAAAAUUAUGGUAGAUAGGGGUGAAUUGAAUUGAAAGAAAGCACGAGAAUUCUUUAGUAGGAUAGGAAUUAAACUUUCUUUACCAACAGCAUGUAAUCCAGAAGGUAAUGGUAAAAGUGAGCAUGGGCAUUCACCUAUUGUUAAGGUAUUAGUAAAGGCAUGCAAUAGCAAAGUACAUGAAUGGCCUAAAUUACUAUCAUUUGUACUAUAGGCAGAUCAUACAACUCAUAGUUCGGUAACAAGUUAUAUGCCUUCUGAAUUAAUAUAUGGUCAAAAACCAGUAAUGCUAAUAGAAGAUGUAGUACCUACAUGGGGUGUAUUACCUUAGAAGAAUGAUCUCAACAGAGAAGAACUUUUAGCAUUAUGGAUUCAACAACUAGAAAGAAGAUCCAACGAUAUUGAAAUAGCAAUAGAAAAAUUGAAAGAAGCAAGGGAAAAGAAUAAGGAAAGAUUUGAUAAAAAAACAUCGACUACGACCUAAGGCUAUUGAAGAUGGUGAUUGGGUAUUAAUUUAUGAUAGUAGCUUAGACAAUCAACAUAGUACUAUGAAGAAGUUUGUAAAGAGAUGGUUUGGACCUUAUAUUGUCAAAAACGUACACAACAAUGGAACAUAUCCAUUACAAGAACUUGAUGGUAUAGAAUUGAAGGUAUUCAUAAUAGGCAAACAAAUCAAGUUAUUUAAACAAAGAGAUGAAGGUAUUUUUUUUGAUGAAGAAUAAACUCCAAUAUAAGAUGUUGAGAUUGGAAUAGAAGAGGAUAUUGAAGAUCAAGAAUUGUACCAAGAUGAAGAACAUUCUACAUCAACAUAUUGAAGAAUUGAUGGCGCAUGCCGGAGGAUGCACAGAUUCAAGGAGGGUGGAUGUCAUGAUGUAACACGAUUAAUAGGUGAAAGAAUGUGGAGAUUAUUAUAAUUUAGGAGAUCUUAGUUUAAAGUAUUAGAAAAAAUUAUCUUAGAAAUAUAGUUAAUAAUCAAAGGGGUAGAAAAAUUAAAAGAUAUCAAUGCUUUUUUUUAGAAUAGUGACUUCUGCUUACUUUGUAGUACUAUAAGUAAGGCAAAUCAAAGUAGAUUGGAAAAAUAAAUAAUAUAGAUAUCUUUAGAAAGACAUUAAGAGUAAAUUCUAGAAAAAAUUUACUUAGAAAAAUACGAAAGUUGAUACCCGGAGAGGGCCGGUUAUGAAUCAGGAUCAAAAUCAGACCCUAGGGCACAAAACCGAGUUUCGACGAUGACUUCAGGGUUGUUUUGAAGAUCAAAGAAAGAGGUUUGAUAGCAGACUAAAUAUUCUUUCUAUAAGCAUUAAUUUUGGGUGAUUUGGAGUUGAUAUGACUUUGUAAGAACUUUGCAAAGGUUUGUUUUAGAUGACUUGGAUUUUAUGAAAUAAAAUAGGGUUUACGUUUUAGAUGAUUUCAAGAGUUUGGAAUAGAUCUACAGGUGAAAUUUUGUGGGUUUAUGGUUAUAGUUGUGUUUAAUAUGUGUCUUAAAUUUGAGGUUGAUCUAACGGUUGAAUUGAAGGAUAUUGAAGUUUAAGUGGGUUAAGGUCUCAGAAAGUAGAAUUUUAGGUCUAAUAGGAGUUUUUGAGAUUUCUUACAAUCUAUUAGUUGGAUUGGAGUGAAAAUUAUGUGAAAGGAUAUUGUACUUGUUUUUCUAUGUGUAUGAGAAUUUUUAGAGCAAUCAAAAGGUGCAAAGAAGAGAUAAUGGCUCUGGAACAUUAGUAUCAAGUUUGGAGAAGGAGGCCGGCUAAAAUCCGAGCACAUUUUUGAAGUUAUCGUCAAUUUGAUAAGUCCGAUCCUUAUCAAUUUUUUGUGCUUGUUUUUAACUUUUUUUUUAAGAAGUGUAAAAAAUUUGAGUUAAGAACAACGGUUUAUUCAUUAGUUAUUGAGGUUUAAAUAUGUUAUAGGAAUUAUUAGAGUUUGGUUUAGGAUUUGAUUAGGAUUUGGUUUGGAGUUUAGGGUUUGGAUUAGGAUUUGGUUUAGGAUUUAGGAUUUGAUUUGGGGUUUGGUUUAAGAUUUAGCAUUUGGAUUAGGGAUUGGUUUAGGGUUCAAGGUUUGGAUUAGGGUUUGAUUAGGAUUUGAUUUAGGAUUUAGGCUUUGGUUUAAGAUUUGGUUGAGAUUUGGUUUAAGAUUUUUUUAGGAUUUUGUUUAGGAUGUGGAUUAGGAUUUGAUUUAGGAUUUAGGAUUUUAUUGGGAUAUAAGAUUCAAUUAGUUUUGGCCUAUAGUUUGAAUGAAGUUCAAUAGGAUUUUAACUAGAAUUAAAUUAAGAUUGAAUUGAGAUGUAUUUGAUUGAUAUUUGUAAUCCUUCUAAUAUUUUUUAAAAAAUUCUUAUUGUUUGUUUGAAAUUUCUUUGAGUUUUUUUUGAAUUUGCUUAAGCUUGUUUAAUAUUAUUAUGAUCUAAUAAAAGCAUUGUUAGUAUUCUAUUAGAAUUAAGAUUUUGUUAUUGUAAUUUCCAUUCUUCCUUCCACAACCAGGUGCCCGAAGCAUUCUCAAGCAAGACUUCACAUAUUACGAUAACGUAAUCGUGCUUCUCUUUUUAAAACAUAUAAUUGACCUUCAAAAUAGAGUAAGUUAUUUUUGAAUUCAAACUUAAAAGUAUCUUUGGACUUAGAAGAAAGAUUCUUAAUAUUAUGAACAAGAGGAUCAAAAGACAUACUUGAUUGGAUUUGUUUCAUAAAGAUGGAAUAAAAAUCAAUGUUGAUUUCAUUACUUAAAGAUGAAAAUACUUUGGCUUCAAGAAAAUUAUUCUUUAUUGAUCAAAAGAUGCAUUUCCUUCUUUUAAUAUAAGAUAAGAAUAUCUAGAAAGGACAUUUGAUAAACCCUAUUAUUUUUUGGGUCGAUAUGUGAUCUUGAAAUCAAAUCUUGAUAAAGACAUACUCCAAUGGGCUUGGCGAACAAUUAAAACAUGUGUUGACAUGAAGUACUUGAGAUUCUUAUGAUUCAUAUAUAUGAUAAUUCAAUUAGAAGUGCCUUGUAGAUGAUGAUGCUAUUCUUAAAAUGAAUCCAUAAUUGCAAGAAGUUCUAUUUUAUGGAUUUCAUAGUUAAUCUCGGUUGCUUAAAAAAAAUUGGAAUAAAAAGGUACUAGGUGAAGUUCAUCAUCUAUUCCCAUUUGUGAUAAUACAGCAUUCAAAGCAAACUUUGAUGCAUCUGUUUCCAUAAAAAAUACCUUAAAAAAAUUGAUGCUAAAAUAAAGGAUGACUUCAAAGUUUCAAAAGAUGUUUCAACUUCUUUGCUCCAUUGAAGUUUGUCUUUGCAAGUCAAAUUUGUAAGUAGAGUUGCAACUUGAAAGAAGUCUUUGAUGAAGAUCCGAUAAUAGUUUGCAAGGCCCAAAAAGCAUGAGAUAUCUCUUAUCAUUUUUGAAAUCUUCUAAUCUAUAAUAGUUUGAACUUUCUCAAGAUCCAUCACAAAUCCAUCAUUUGAAAUAAUGUAUCUUAAAAAGUCAACUUAAGUAGUGUAGAAUACAUACUUUUCUAUCUUGGUAUAAAAUCCCUCAUCUCUUAAUUUUUGUAACACACAAUGAAUAUGAAGUUCAUGUUCAUCUAUUUUUUUAGAAUAAAUCAAGAUGUCACUCAGAUAACAAACAAAAAAAUCAUCCAAAAACUCUCAAAAAAUAUCAUUCAUUAAAUGUUGAAAAGUUACCAAUAUAUUUGUAAGCCCAAAAGACAUGAUAUUGUAUUCAAAAUGUCCAUACCUAGUUUAAAUUAUAAUCUUUCAUUCAUCUCCUUCUUUAAUACAUAUUAGAUUAUAUGCUCCAUAUAGAUCUAUUUUUGUAUAGAUCUUAGCUUGAUUUAGUUGAUUGAGAAGUCCAGAUAUGAAAGGUAGAAGGAAGGUACCUAUUCUUGAUGGAGAUCUUGUUGAGUCUUCAAUAAUCAACACACAUUUACAAUGAUCCAUCUUUUCUUCUUCACAAAUAAGAUUGGAACUCUCGCCUAUGAUUUGGAAUGACGUAUAAAAUUCUUGUCUAGAUUCUCUUCAAUAUAUUCUUUGAAUUUAGCUAAUUCAUUUUGUGAUAAACUAUAGAUUGGUCCAAAUGGCAAUUAUGCUCCUUCUUCAAGGUCAAUUGAAUAGUCAUAGGAACAAUAUUUUGGAAGAGUAUCCACAUUCUUCUUCUCAAAUAUAUCUUGAAACUCUUAAUAUUAGCUUGAAAUGCCACUUAAAGUCUUUGUGUCAUUAAAAAUAUGUGUAACAUAAAUGACAUAAGGUGAUCCUUCUUUUGCUGCAUGCCAAAAAGCUCUUGCAUCUACAAACAUAGAUUUUAUUAUAUUAGACUUAUGACUUUCUACUAGAUUAAUUUCACUCUUAAUUCUUAUUUUAGAGAAGUUAAGGAUAUAAAAAAUCCAAUCUAUGUAAGAAUUAUACUUUUCAAACAAUGAUAAAUAUAAAAUGACUGGAUUAGAGGGAGAUCUAAUUAUAUUAAAGAUCACUCAACUACUAUGACUAUUUAUUGCUACAUCUAUAGAAAGUGUUUCAUGACUAACAUCUCCAGAAGAUAAUGAACGACCAUCUAUGACUUUUAUCUGAACAAAUUUAUUUUUUUGUAUUAAUGGUAUUUCAUGACUUUUAACAAAUUCUACAUCUAAAAAACAAGCUGAGGCUCCUAAAUCUAUCAAAGUAGAGGCUUUAUAAUUAUUAGGUCCUAAAUGCAUAUCUAUUAUAAAAUAAGAAGAGGAUUUUGAGGAGAGGAUAAAAAAAAAUUGUACAAGAUUCUAACCACAUGGUCUCUAUUGUAACUAGACAAAUUUGUUUUCCAACACAUUGUCUUCUUUGAUAGAUGUGCUCUUCAUUUUGUGAUUUUAUUGCUUCUUUGAAUAAUGUUGAGCAAUGUGUUUAGGUUCCCCAUAAUAUAAGCAUAAUCCUUCUUGACAAUGAUAAGUCUUUUCUAGCUCGAUAAAAGAUUUAAAAUGUAUCACAUCAAUUUACAUAUCUUAUACUUUUGAAUGUAUGUGUUGAAGAGAUGUUGAUGUUACCAUCAAAUUGUAGUAACGUUGAGGCCCAUUUGUAUCACUUUCAGAUCAAAAUUCAAAAAGUCGAUUGUUGCAUUUCACAGCAAAGUCAAUUGCUUGACUCAAUGUUUGAGCAUGAAGUAAGUUGAGCAUCAAUUUCUUUACUUCAUAUUGUAAUCCAUAGAAAAAUUGGCUAAUAAGUACAGCAUCAUUUUACUUAAUAUCAAUUACAAGUUGUCGAAACUAAAAAGCAUGCAAUAUUAUAAAUCGAUUGUUUUAUUGUAAAAUAUAGAUCUUGUUGGUUGCAACACAAGUUGCAUCAUGUUUUCUAUACAUGGACCAAAAUUCCACCAAAAAUGCCUCUAGAUUAUCCAAUAUUGAAUCUUGUUGUUCAAGAAAAGAUGAAAAUCAUGACAGUGUUGAACCUGAAAGAAGUGUACUAAUGAAUCUAACUUGUGAUCUUAGAGUUGGAUAGUUUUGAGAUUGAAGUUCAAUCACAAAUUAUACUUGAUUGAUAAAUCUUCAAAAUUUAGAUCUUGUACCAUCAAACUUCUUUAACAAAGCAAUUCUUGGUUCUCUAACACUUGAAGGAUGUUCCAUCAUAAGUAGAGGGGCAUGAUUUUGUGCAAAUGUUGAAGCAGCUCUAAUCAUUUCUAUAUCCUCACUUCCUGCCAUUUUUGUUGAUUCUUGUGGUGGUAAGCUAAAUUGAUGUAUUGCAAGCAUCAACUCCUUCAAUUAUUCUUAUAUUUGUGCCAUUGCACUCUUCAUUUCAACAAGCUCUGCCAUGAUAAUACUCAAAAAAAUAUCUAAUAAUACUCAAGACAAGUAGAAAAAAGGACUUGAGGAUCAAGAAAAUACUAAGAACAAUAUCAAUUUAGAAGAGGGUAAUCCAUAAUUUUUAAUAUACUUAUGUUUUAUUGCAAGAAAGGGGUAAUCUACUCUUAAUUAAGAAAAGACAAAGCUUUGAUAUUAUAAGUGUAUUCUUGUCAAUCUGUCAAGGACAUGAACUAAAAGAUAAUAUAUAAACCAAUAAAAUUUGUGUCAAAGAAAGAGUAAACAAAUAGAAAUAAAGAAGUAAAUAUACUAAAAAGAAACUAGAAUGGCUUAUUGCUAAAAGACAAAGAAGCUUGAGACUCUUGAAACUAGACUUGAAGCAAGAAAAGACUUGAUAAGAGUUUCAUCUUGAUGAACUUUAUAUUAUAAUUCUUAUGACCUAUUAAUAGAUUAAAAGUAUAUAAUAAAAUAACAUAUAAGUAUGUCAAAUGUAAUCUUUUUAUUAUGAUUUUUUUUAUGAUUAUAAUAUAAAUUUUUAAUUAUUUAUAGCUUUUAUAUAAUAAAUUUCUUUUAAUAUGAUUUAAAUUUAGGAAAAUUAAUUUAUUUCUAAUUAUUAUAACUAUCAAAGGUGGUUUCAACCAUCUUGUCUUUUUAAUACAUAGACGGCUAAUUCUUUUGCCUUUUAUACUUUCUUAUCUUUUUCUAAUCUUAUCAAAAAUAAUUUUUUAUAGUUUAUUUUCAUACUAAGUUUUUUUUUAUAAUAAUUUUAUUUCUUUCUUUUUUUAUAUAUAUCUAAAAUUCUUCUAUAAUAUAUCUUUUUAAUAAACUAAGAUCUUUAUUUUAUUAAUUAAUUGAUAAAUUUAUUUUCAAAGAUUAACACAUAUGUACUACAAAUUUGUUGUAGCAAUACAAAAAUUAUAUCGUAGUUAAGAACGACUCCAGAGUGAAUAUUUUUAAAUAUGUAAUUCAAAUUUUAAAAAAUUCUUGUAUUGUAAGCAUCUUAAAGAUAGAAUAUGAGAUAUCUUGAAGGAUAAAAUGUUACUUGUUCAAAAUAACCUUACUUGAUUGCAAUGAUAUUACUUGUCCAAGGAGCAUGUAUCUACUAUAGAUAAUAUCUGCCAAAGUAUCCCAAUAGCAUAAUGUUAAAGGAGUAAUAAGCAAAAAAAAUAAGGUGCCAUUACAAGGCCAUUAAAAUUAAUAAGAACAUAUGAAAGUAAAGGGAUAUUUAACAAUUGAAAAAAAUAUUAAAUAGAUAGUUAAGAAAUAGCAUAAUAUAUAGUAAAUUCUAUAAAGUAGCACUAUUAGUCAAAUUCAUAAUAAGUCAACAAAGUUAAUGAAGUUAGGACCUUUGGCAAUGUUGGCAAAGUGACAACAUUGCUAUAUAGUUCUUAAUUAAAUAUUAUAUAUGAAGGCAAGAAUGAAGCCUUCUUCAUUCUUAUCAAUACUUAUCUAAUCUUUUAUAUUAUUUUAAGACUUUCUAAUUUUUUUAUCUUUAGAAAUAGCUAUUUUAAUUUUAAUACUAAAUUAUUUUUAUAAAAAUAUCUAAACUUUUUGAGUUAAAUAAGAAUUUAUUAAAUUUUUGAUUCUUCAAAUUUUAUAUCUUUGAUAGUUUAAUAAAAUUACUAAUUUAUUAUCUUUAUUUUAUGUUAGAAGUGAAUAGAUUAUCCUACUUCUUUUAUUUCAUUUUAAAGAUUAUAAACCAUCCAUCUUCAAAUUCACUUUUAAUUUUUUUAAUACUAAUUAUUUUUUUUAAAAAAAUGGACUAUUUUUCCUUAUAGAAAUUAUCAUUUAGUAUUAGAAGUUAUAGAUUAUCCUUCUUUAAAUUGACUUUUAGAUUUGUUUGAAUUAUCUGUAGAAGAAAGAAUUAUUGAUGCUAUUCUUGACAAUAGUAAAAAUAGAUUUGUAACUAUUAUAGAUCUUCAUGAGCUUAUCAAUACUCUUAUGAUAGAAAUAUCAUAUAUUUCUAAUGUCAACCAUAGAAGAAGUAUUCCAAUGCCUAUAGUAGAAGUCAAUAUUGAAGUUUAAAGUCUACGAUAAAAAGUUGUGUGAUUGAAAGAAGAAAAUAGAUCAAAUUUACAACUAAAUCUAAGAAAUCUUAUUGCUACAAGUAUAAAAGAAGUAAAAAUAAGUGUGUUAGAGAUGUUUGAUAGAACAAGCUCAAAGUUUUGAAGAUUUUAACAAAUAAAUAAAGCUUUAUCAAAGGUUGCAUCUUUUUCAAUACUUUGAUGGAUUUUCUUAAGUUGAAUUCAUAGGUACACUUCUUUUUAGAAGUACCUUCUCUUGAUUUAUACCUUUGAUAGAAAAAAAUUAAUAUCUUUUCUAUAAUCUAAAUUUAUAUUUAAAAGUAUUUAUAGUGUAGUAUAGUAAUAUGACUAUUUGAUAAAAAAGAAAACAUGGAUGUUCUUAUGGAAGAGCCUAAUAGAUAGAUAUAAUAAAAAAAUAAGGAUAUACGAUAGUAACAUAAUAAAAGAUUUAAUCUUAAUGUUGCCUUUUACAAAAGAGGCUUCUAUUUGCUUUGUAAGGACAUAAAUAUCUCAAAGUAAAAUAAAUGAAAUAAGUAAUUAAUAUAGACAUGUUUAGAAGGGAAUUACAAAUAGGUUUAAGUAAAAAUUACCUCAAAUAUUGAUACUUGAAGAGGACAAGUUUUCAACUUGUAUCAAAAUUAGAUCCUAAGGUACAAAAUCAUAAACUUACAAUGACUCCAAGGUUCUUUAGAAAAUUGGAGAGUGAGAUUUGAAGAAAAACUUAUAAAGAGAUUUUUGAGUAUUGGUUUUAUGUCAAUUGAGUUAAUAUUCAAGGAAAAUUUUCAAAGUUAGUAAUGUUUUUAAUUGGAUUAGAUUUUAAAAAAUAAAGUUAUGUUUAUAAAAUUGAUGAUCUCUUGAAUUUUGUAGUAUGUGGAUAAGUAAAUUUUGAAUAGAAUAUUAGUGUGCUACUUGUAAAUAUGUGUACAAAUUUUGAAGUCAAUCAAAUGGUUAAAUUGAAGUUUGUGAAGGUUUUUGUAGGUUGAGAUCUCAAAAAUUAGAAUUUGAGGAUCAAUGAAUAUUUUUAAGAUCUUUAGCAAUCUAUUAAUUGGAUUGAAGUGAAUUUUUUUUAUAUAAAGACUAUACUUGAUUUUUAACAAUUUAAAUAAAUUCUGAGAGCAAUUCAAUGAUUUAAGAAGGAAAUAUUGAUUUUGGAAGUUCAACAUUCAGAUUGGAGUAGAAAACUAGCCAACAUCCAAGCAGUAUUUAGGAUUGAUCUUCGAUUUGAUAAAUUCUAUCUUCUUCAAUUUUUGUGUACUUAUUGCCAACUUAGUAGUUAAGAGGUAUAUAAAAUCUUAAAUAAGAUCAAUAAUAUAAUCGAUAGAUAUUGAGGUUCUAAACUAUCUUAUAAUUAUGUUUAUUUAUCUAGAGUUUCUUUAGAAUUUAGGAUUUGUUUAGGAUUUGAUUUAGGAUUUAAUUAAGAUUUGACCUAAGCUUUAAUUAAAACUUAUUUUAAAUUUAUUAAAGAAUUUUUUAAUAAUUCUUUAGGAUUUCUUUAGGAUUUUUUUAAGGUCUACUUAUUAUUUAUAAUUUCUUUAAAAUUUCUUUAGAAUUUCUUUAUUUUUUUUUGUAAUCUCUUUAAAAAAAUUAAUUAAAAAUAGAUAAUAGAGACUAAUCAUAUAUCUUUAUGACAAAGAUCAUAUUUAGCUAUAUAUAUAUAUAUAUAUAUAUAUAUAUAUAUAUAUAUAUGUUGUUGAAUUCCAAAGUCUUGCUUGCAAUAUGAAUUGGAAUGACAAAGCCCUUAUCAAUCAAUUUUAAUAUGAGUAAAAAGACAAUGUCAAAGAUUUAUUGUUGAAAAUGCCAAAAGCAAAUUUAUUGAAGCAAUUCAUUACUCAAGCCAUUGCAUGUAACAAUCAACUCUUUAAAAGAUGCCAUGAACAAAGAUUUGAUUGAAAAGAUAAAAAUCAAGUCAUAGUGAUAGCUUUUAAGUUUAUAAAAGUUUAUUUGUCAAAACCAAAAUCUAUGCAAAUUAACAAGGUGUGUUUUAAGCCUUUUACUAAGUAAAAAAGGCUCAAUGCCAUUAAGAAGAAUUAUGCUUAUAUUAUAGAGAAUCUAAGUACAUUACUAAACAUUCUUUAAAGAAGCAAUGCAACUACAAAAUGAGGAGUAUGGUGUCAUGGGCAUACGCAUGUAAGCAAAUAAUUACAUGUAUAAAUAGAUAGAAGUAAGUAAAAGUAGAUAAAAAUAAGUUAAUUCUAUAGUAUUUGAUAUGAAAGCUUCCUAUAAGCCUCAUAGACACUGCUUUGACUUUAUAGAUGUCUUUAAUUGACUUUUUGGGAUUAGAAACAUAGUCAACAAGUUGGCCAUGUACCACACAUGUUGUUAGCUUGAAUAACAAGCUAACUAUGUGGCCCACACAUAAAAAAACUUGUCUUGUAAGUCAAGGCAUGUGUCUUACAAAGUCAACACAUAUUGGAGGUCCUAUAGAAUGUCGCUACGUAGCCCCUAGUAAGAUAGUAUAUAUAGAGAUAAGAGUGAAGCCUUCUUCACUCUUGUCAACUCCUUUCUUGCUUCUAAUCUAGUUUCAAGGGUCUCUAGUUUUCUUGGCUUUUGGCAAUAGCCAUUUCAGUUUUUUUCUUAAUAUACAUAUUAAGUUAUUUCUAUUUUGUCAUCUUUCUUUGAGAGAAGUCUCAUUUAUUUAUUUAUCUUUAUCAUGUUCUUAUCCUUCACAGAUUGAUAAGAGUAUACUUACAAUAUCAGAGCUUUGUCUAAUCUUGAUUAAGAGUGGAUUACCCCUUUUUCUUGAUAAGACAUAAGCAUAUUAGAAGUUGCGGAUUACUCUCUUCUAAACUAAUAUUAUUCUUAAUAUUUUCUUUGUUCUCAAGUCCUCUCUGCUAUUUUUCUUAAACGAUAUUAGACAUCUUCUCUUUUGUAAGUAUUAUCAUGGCAAAACUUACUGAAAUGAAGAAUGCAAUGGCACAAAUGCAAGAGCAAUUGAAGGAGUUAAUGCUUACGAUGCAUCAACUCAAUUUACCACUAUAGGGAGCAACAAGAUUGACAAAAAGUGAAGAUAUAGAAAUGAUUAGAGCUCCUUCAACAUCUGCAUCAAAUCAUGUCCCUUCUCUUACGGUGGAAUACCCUUCCAGUAUUAGAGAACCAAGAAUUGUCCUACUCGAGAAGUUUGAUGGCACCAGAUGAAAGUUUAGAGGAUUUAUCAAUCAAGUAUAACUUGUGAUUGAACUUCAACCCCAAAGCUAUCCAACUUCAAGAUCACAAGUUAGAUUCAUUGGUACGCUUCUUUCAGGUUCAGCCUUAUCAUGAUUUUCAUCUUUAUUUGGAUGACGAGAUCGAAUAUUACAUAAUCUAGAGGCUUUUUUGGCAGAGUUUCGAUCCUUGUAUGGAAAACAUGAUGCAAUUCGUAUUGCAACCAAUAAGAUCCAUAUUUUACGACAAGGCAAUCGAUCAGUAAUAUUUUAUGCUUCACAAUUUUGACAACUUGCAAUUAAUAUCAAGUGAGAUGAUGCUGCACUUAUUAGCCAAUUUUUCUAUAGAUUAUAAUAUGAGGUAAAAAAAUUAAUGCUCAACUUACUUAAUUUUCAAACAUUGAAUCAAGCAAUUAACUUUGCUGUGAAGUGCAACAAUUACCUUUUUGAAUUUUGAUCUGAGAACUGUACAAGUGAACUUCAACGUUACUAUAAUUCAAUAGCAAUACCAUCAUCUCUUCAACAUAUAUAUUCAGAAGUAGAGAAUAUGUAAAUGAUGCAGUAUGUUUCAAAUUUCUUACUGAGCAAGUAAAGACUUGUCGUCGUUAGGAAGAAUUGUGCUUAUAUUAUGGAGAACCUAAGCACACUGCUCAACAUUGUCUAAAAAAGCAACGCAACCAUAAAAUGAGGAGUACGGCAAUCAAAAGAGAUAGCAUGUCGGAAAGUAAAUUUGUCCAACUAUAAUAGGGACCAUGCGCCUAGAAUCUUAUACAAUGCCUAGUGAAGGUCCUAUCCUCUCCUCAGAAUCCUCUUCAUGUUUUACAAUAAAUAUUAUUCUAGGACGUAAACAUCUCAAAGCCUCUACCUUGCUAGAUUCAAGAGCCUCAACAUGUUUUUUAGAUGAAAAAUUUGCUAAAAGAUAUACUAUAUUUUUAAUAAAGAAAACUAAACAUGUUCAUAUAGAAGUCAUAGAUGGUCGUCCGUUGUCUUCAAGAGAUGUUACUCAAAAAAUCCUUCUUAUAAAAAUAGCAACUAAUGGUCAUAGUAGCUUUAUAAUAUUUAAUAUCAUUAGAUCUCCUUCUAAUCUAGUCAUUUUAGAUUUAUCAUGGCUAGUAAAAUAUAACCCUAAAAUAAAUUAGACUUCUUGUAGUCUUAAUUUUUUUGAAAGUAUAUCUAAGAGUGUAGUUAAUCAAGUAAAAAGUCAUAAGUCUAAUAUAAUUAAACCUAUAUUUGUAGGUACAAGUACUUUCUUGCAUGCUGCAAAAGAAGGAUUACCUUUUGUCAUUUAUGCCACACCUAUUUCUACUAGUGGAAAGACUUCAAGUGGCAUUUCAAGCCAAUAUCAAGAUUUCUAAGAUAUAUUUGAGAAAAAGAAUGCGGAUACUCUUCCAAAAAAUCGUUCCUAUGACUACUCAAUUGACCUUCAAGAAGGAGCACAACCGCCAUUUGGACCAAUCUACAAUUUAUCUCAAAAUGAGUUGGCUGAACUCAAGGAGUAUAUUAAAGAGAAUUUGGCUAAGAACUUCAUACGCCAUUCCAAAUCUCCAGCAAGAGCUCUAAUUUUAUUCGUGAAGAAAAAAGAUGGAUCAUUGCAGAUGUAUGUUGAUUAUCGAGGACUCAACAAAAUUGCUAUAAAAAAAUAGAUACCUCCUACCUUUCAUAUCUAGACUUCUUGAUGAAUUGAAUCAAGCUAAGAUCUAUACAAAAAAAGAUCUAUGGGGAGUAUACAAUUUGGUAUGCAUCAAAGAAAGAGAUGAAUGAAAGAUUGCGUUUCAAACAAGGUAUAGACAUUUCGAAUACAACGUCAUGCCUUUUGAACUUACAAAUGCACCAGCAGCAUUUCAACAUCUAAUGAAUGAUGUCUUUUGGAAGUUUUUUGAUGAUUUUAUUGUCUGUUACCUAGAUGACAUCUUAAUCUAUUCUAAGAACUCAGAAGAACAUGAACUUCAUGUUUGCUAAGUAUUACAAAAAUUAAGAGAUGCAAAAUUCUAUGCCAAGAAUAGAAAAGUGUAUAUUUCAUACUAUUCAAGUCGACUUUUUAGGAUACAUCAUUUCAAAAUAAUGGACUUAUAAUGGAUCCUAAGAAAGUUCAAACUAUUAUGGAUUGAAAGAUCCCAAAAACGGUAAGAGAUGUCCAAUGCUUUUUGGGAUUUGUCAAUUACUAUCGAAUAUUCAUGAAAGACUUCUCUCAAGUUGCAGCUCUACUUAUACAUUUGACUUGCAAAGACAAACUACAAUGGAAUCAAGAAGCAGAAGUAGUAUUUGAAGCUUUGGAAAAAACCUUUGUUUUUGCACCAAUCUCGUAUUGCAUCGAUUUUUCUAAGCCAUUUUUUAUGAAAAUAAAUGCAUCAAACAUUGCUUUAAGUACCAUAUUGUCACAAAUGGAAAUAGAUAAUUAACUUCACCCAAUAGCUUUUCAUUCUAGAAAAUUUUCAGCAGCCAAGAUCAACUACGAGAUCCACGACAAAGAACUUCUUGCAAUUGUGGAUUUGUUUCAAGAAUGGUGCCAUUAUCUAGAAGGUGUUUCUAGCCCAGUCACAAUGUAAACAUUCAUAAGAACCUUGAAUAUUUUAUACCAACACAUGUUUUGAAUCAUCGCCAAGCUCGUUAGAGUAUGUCUUUGUCAAGGUUUGAAUUCAAGUUCACUUAUCAACUAAAAAAACAACAAGCUUUAUCAGAUGCACUCUCUAAACGAUCUUACCUUAUACCAAAAGAAAGAGAUGCUGCUUUUGAUCAAUAAUGAAUAAUUUUCAUGAAGCCGGAGCAUCUUCAUCUUUGAGCAAUAAAAUCAAUACUAACUAUUGAUUCAACUUUCAUUAAGAAAGUUCAAUUAAGUAUGUCUUCUGAUCCUCUAAUUUGUGAUAAUAAGGAAAAUCCUUCAAAGUCUCAUGAUACUUCCAAGUUUGAAUUCAAGAAUAAUCUAUUAUAUUUUGAAAGAGGUGGAUGUUGUAUUGUAAUUUAUUCAUAGUGUAAAAAUAAUGGUUAUUAUAUUGAUUUUAUUUAAUAAUGACCUUAGAAAAUAAUAAGUUAUUUUCUAUAGAAUUUCAUAGUUUAUAGAAAACUUAAAUAACUUGUAUAAGUUUUAUAAGUAAAAGUAGAAGUAUGAGGAUAUUUAAUAUAAAAGAUGUAGAAAGAUAUGGAUAUUGAUAUUAUAGUAUUGUGGCCUUAGGCCAUCUACGUAGAUAGAUAAGGCAAGGAUAAGAGGAUCUUCACUCUCAUUGGCUAUAGGUCAUGAUCAAUGAGCUUCAAGGGGCUAUCCAAGAGAAAAUCGAAGGAAAGGCAACUUCUUCGAGGGCAUUCGAGGGUUUAGAAGAGAGAUUCAGAAAGCUUGUAUUUUGGGCUAUAAUUUUGGUGUAUAAAGUUUGUUUUUUGAGUUUUGUAUGAAGAAGUUAAGGUUGUUUGAAGUUAGGAUGUGAAUUGAUUACUGACUGUCACUCUUUUAAGCAUACAAAAAGUUGUAGAAGGUUUUUUAGAAAACGAAAGGUGUCAUUGGAAAGCUGGUUUGAAGGACUAAAAUUUUUGUAAAAAGGUUGUUAACUUUAAGUCUGUAAUGAGAGAGUUAUGGCUGUUUAAAGUCUAGAUGUGAAAUUUGUACCUACUGUUACUCUUUCAAGCAUACAAAGUGUUGUAGAAAGGCACUUAACAAUCUGAAGAUGGAGUUGGAAAGUUGACUUAAAGGACUUCAACUAUUGUGCAAGAUUUGAUGAAAUCAGAUCUAAAGUGAGGAAGAAAUGGCUGAUCAAAGUCAAAACUUGCAAAUUAAGGAAGUAAGUUAAACGAAUUGUUGAUGGUUAUGUUUUGAGCCAUUUUUUUGUUGAGAUUUUUUGAAUGAAUUUUGGCUCAAAAUUUCCAAAGAUAUAGUUAUAAUAUUGAAAAGCUACACAAAAAAAAAUUCAUGUCAUUUGAGUGUUGGGUUUGUAAGAAAUCACAAAAUCAGUACAUAGGUGUUUAUAAGUCAACAUGUAAAGGCCAAGCUAAUGAAAUUGUAUUAUCUAGAGUUUUGUAAAGCAUCAACGGUUGAAAAUUGUAAUAAAAGAGUUAAGGGUAUUGCCUUAUUUUUUAAAAAAUUUGAGCUCAAUCUAACGGUUGGAUUGAGAAUUAUCAAAUUUUAAAGUUCAGUGCAUCAAAGAGAUUCGAUAUUGAAGGAAUUUUGGUAUUACAAGGAUUUUACUACCACAAAAAGGCUUUUGGAAAUUAUGAAAGAUUUAGAAAUUACUAAUUGAUUUUAAUAUUAUUAAAAGUUUAGUAAUUAUUAUUUAUUGCUAUAACUUUUACUAUUAUUGGAGGCUCGAUAAUUAUUACUUACUACUAUAAAUUUUACUAUUAUUAGAGAUCUAGUAAUUAUUAUUUACUCCUAUAACUUUUACAAUUAUUGAAGGUCUAAUAAUUAUUAUUUACUUCUACAACUUUUACUAUUAUUGAAAGUUCAAUAAUUAUUAUUUAUUGCUAUAACUUUUACUAUUACUAGAGGCUUAGCAUUUGAUAUUUAUUGCUAGUAUGAUUAAUAUCAUGGAAUGAAUAAAAACAAAAUUAUAAGUAAUCUUGGAGUAUUUUUCAUCUUAUGAUUAAUUGAGAAUUUAUUAUCAGCCAAAAGUCCAGUGCUUUUUUAAGGCAAACUCUCUUUUCCUCGACAACGCCUAUAUGUUUCCGAACAUGAAGCUUGAUUACGUGUUCUUCAAGCUCAUCAUGACUUUCCAGCAGCAUGACAUUUUCGGUACAAUAAAACUUUGGAUCUAAUAUCUAGAGACUUUUGGUGGCCACAAAUGUGGAAAGUAAUCAAAGAUUUUGUACAAUCUUGUGAUGUUUGUUCAAGAUCGAAAACUCCUUGUCAUCGAUCCUACGGACUUCUUCAUCCAUUACCCAUUCUAGAACAACCACGGUCUUCUAUUUCUAUAGAUUUCAUUACAGAUCUUCCAAUCUCAGGUGCUUAUGACUCUAUAUUCGUGAUAGUAGAUCGUUUUAUCAUGAUGGCACAUUUUGUACCAUAUACAAAAUCUAUCACAUGUGAAAAAAUAACUAAGCUCAUUCUUGACAAUAUCUAUCGCUAUUAUGGAUUACCCAAGGAUAUUACAUCAGAUAGGAGAACUCAAUUUGUAUCAAGAUUUUGGCAAACUCUUUUCAGGAUUUUAAAAGUAGAUAUAAAACUAUCUUCGGCAUUCCAUCCUCAGACUGAUAGACAAAAGGAGUGUGUUAAUCAAGUUUUGGAGCAGUAUUUAAGAUAUACCAUUAACUACCAACAAGAUGAUUGCACAACUCUUUUGCCAUUGGUAGAGUUUUCUUAUAAUAACACGAUACAUUCUUCUACAAAACAAACACCUUUCUUUUCCAAUUAUGGUUAUCAUCCACAACUUGAUACUUUUGACUUUUUAAAAGUUGAUAAUCCUGCUGUGAAAGAUUUGGCAAUUCAUUUAUGAGAGCUACAUGCAAUGAGGAAGGCGUAGUUAAAAGAAGCUCAAAAACAACAAAAGGUCAAUGUCAAUGUCUAUUGAAAAGAAUAACGACCAUUCCACAUGGGUGAUAAGGUAUAAUCACUUCGUCGCAAUAUCAAGACCAUUCAUCUUUGUGACAAGUUGGACUAUCGAAGGCUUUGACUAUUUUUUAUUUCUGCACAAAUCAAUCCAAUUGCAUAUAGUUUACACCUACCGGAGUUAAUAAAAAUCCAUCCAAUAUUCCAUGUAUCUCUUCUUGAACCAUACAAGACAGUGGAAAUACCAAAAAGAAAACAAGCUCUACCUCAUCCUAUAGAAGUAGACAAUAAUGAAGAGUUCAAAGUGGAAGAAGUCUUAGAUUCAAGGCGGCACCAAAAUAAAUUGAAAUAUCUUAUCAAUUGGUACAGAUAUCAUAUUAGUGAACGCACAUGGGAGCCAAUAAAGAAUCUUACAAAUGCAGCAAAGGCGGUGGAGGCUUUUCAUCGACGAUAUCCAUCAAAAUCAAGAUGAAAACCUUCUUUAUAAAAGAAACAAGAUCUACGCAAGAUAACAUUCUACUUUCAAUCUUUGUUUGUAACUUCUUUGUAGUUGUGACGCUCAAGAGAUGGAGAACCAACAACUAGGGGUUUCAACUUAAAAGCCUUUGUUUGCUGACCUGUCGGACGAGACAUUACGAUUGUCACAAGCUUUAAGAUGACGCAAUCGAGGUGAAGAUCUUCAAGAACAACAUAUUCUUCCAUGAAUAGAUGGCGAGAUACAACGCUGUCAUAUGGCGUGAUUUGCUAUCUGGAAAUACAUUGGGUAUCUAGUUGUAGAGAGUUUAGGUUUCACUUGUAUAUUAUGCCUUAGCUCCCAAAAAUCCUCUUUGCUUUGUAUAAAAACUCAAAAUAUAUUAAAAUCCUUCAAAACAUUUUUCUUCCCGCAAAGAUCUUUUUACAUCAGACUUUAGGAUCUCAUAUAUCUUGAUCCAACUAUUCAGUUUGUUUCAAAUUUCUACAUAAGAUAGAUGCUAUUUUUAAUCCUUAUCAUGACAAAAAUGAACCAUACAUCUAUCACCGAACUUUCAACAUCUUGGAAAUCCUAGUAGGUGCACAAAACCCUAAUUUAUAAGCACCCAAAAAUAAUUUUUCUUAUAUUUCAAAAAUCCAAAUUCCAAAUUCCACAAAACUUAUGUAAAAAGUCUUAUAACAAGAUUAUACACAAUCUUAAAAAAUUUGAGUCAAAAUCUCAUCAAAUUGUCUAAGAUAUAGCUCAAAUCAUAAGUGCAAGUAAAUCAGAUUACUUACUAUCUUUAGAUUCCAAGCGCUGACUUCAACUGCCAAUAUUUCCUUCAUCAAAGCUUGGAAUUUGACAAACAGUAGGCAUAAAUUAUAGCCGAAAAAGUGCUCUCUCCAACUCUAACUCUAGUCGCCGAUCUUCAUUUGCUGUCUGUAUGCAUACGCAAUGCCUCAAAGAGUGACAAUAGGUCUAAAAACUAACACCUUAACUUUGAGCGCCCAUAACUUCUUCAUAAAAUUUCCAAAUGAAAAAAAACUUACACCAAAAUCAUAGCCAAAAACCUAAACCUUUUGACCCUAGCCUUCAAAACUCGAAUGGCCUCGAGAAACUAAUCCUAAUCUCUAAUAUGGCCUCGGGCAACCUCCUCAAAGCCCAUUGGUCAUGAUUUUUGACCAUUAAGAAUGGAGAUUUUCAUUAUUCAUCUCCAUUCAUCUAUAUUAGUGCCCUAAUUACUCCCUUUGCUACCAAAAUCCUUCUUCAAUCCUUUUUCUUAUAAGAUUUACAUAAUUUAUAUUCUAAAUACCAAAUAGAAGAACCAAAAGAAGUUUUCAAAGGUCACCAAUGUCUAACAAAGGUGAUUCUAAAUAUUUAGAAGUUACUAUCAACCAAAACCAAUCUUAAAAGCUACUAUCAAAAAGAAAUUAAAGUUAUAUAAAUUCUAUAGUAAUCUUUUUAAAUAACCUCUUCUCAAGAUAAUAAUCAAAUUAUAUUCUACAACCAACUAAAAUCUACUAAUAUGGCUCUCACUAAGUUACUUAAUAAAUUAUAUACUAAGCACAUAAUUACAUUAUUUUUAUAUAGUAGCCGAACCAUAAUAUGACAACGCAUUUGGUAUCAUGACCUUGGAAGGAACUCCUGAUGUUUGGUGAUUUUAUUAGAGGUAGAAACAACUAUUGAUGGUGUUCCAAAUGUUUUAUUCAAAGGAAGUUAUAAAGGCCUCAACAAUGAUGAAAUAAUUGGGUGGUCUUCCCGCACUGAUAUGGGACACUACCAAUAGUCGAGAGGCUCUAUCAAUCAUCUUUGAAGAGAGCAAAGAUCAAAGUAUGUGGUGAAUACGAUUUAUCGCAUCAUAGAUUUCUUCAACAUAUGAUUACCGUUGUCAUCAUGUAACACAAUUAAUAGGUGAAAGAGUAUGGAGAUUAUUAUAAUUUAGGAGAUCUUAGCUCAAAGUAUUAGAACAAAUUAUCUUAGAAAUAUAGUUAAUAGUCAAAGGGUAGAAAAAUUAAAGGUGCCAAUGCUGCCUAUUUACCAAUUAUGCUUCUAUUUACUUUGUAAGGCCAUAAAUAAGGCAAAACAAGGUAGAUUAGAAAAAAAAUAUAUAUAUAUAUAUAUAUAGACAUAUGUAGGAAGGAAUUAAGAGUGCAAAUUAGUAAAAAUUACCUCAAGAAGACGAAAGUUAAUACCUGGAGAGGACCGGUUAUGAACUAGGGUCGAAAUCAGACCCUGAGGCACAAAAUCGAAUCUCGACGACGACUCCAGGACUCUUUUGCAGAUCGGAGAAAAGGAUUUGAUAGAAGAUUGAAUAAGGUUUCUAUGGGCAUUGAUUUUGGGUGAUUUGGAGUUGAAUUGACUUUGUAAGAGCUUUGCAAAGUGGAGGUUUGUUUCGGAUGAAUUGGGUUUUAUGAAAUAAAAUAGGAUUUAUGUUUUGAGUGAUAUCAAGAGUUUUGUUGCAGAUCUAUAGGUGAAAUUUUUUGGGUUCAUGAUUAUAGUUGUGUUAAAUAUAUGUUGUGAAUUUGAACUCGAUCUAAUAUUUGAAGUGAGAGAUAUUGAGGUUUAAGCGGGUCAAGGUCUCAGAAAGUAGAAUUUUAGGUCUAUUAAGAGUUUUUAAGAUUUCAUGCAAACUACUAGUUGGAUUGGAGUAAAGCUUGUGUAAGAGGGUAUUAGACUUGUUUUUCUAUGUCCAUGAGAAAUUUGAAACCAAUCGAAUGGCGCAAAGAAGAGAAAUUGGCUCUGAAAGGUUGGCAUCAAGAUUGGAGAAGGAAGCCAGCUAACACUUGAACACAUUUUUGAGGUUUUCGUCAAUUUUUUAACUCCGAUCCUUUUCAAUUUUUUUUUUUCUUAUUUUAAACUUGAUUUUUAAGAAGUAUGAAAAUUUUGAAUUGAGAUCGACAGUUUAUUCAUUAGAUAUUGAGGUUUAAAUCUGUCAUAGGAAUUACUAGGAUUUGGAUUAGGAUUUGGCUAGGGUUCGAUUUAGGGUUUGAUUUAGAAUUUAGGAUUUGGAUUAGGGUUUGGUUAGGGUUGGAUUUAGGAUUUAUAUUAGGAUUUGGAUUAGAGUUUAGAGUUUGAUAAGGGUUUGAUUUAGGAUUUGGAUUAGGAUUUGGUUAGGGUUUGAUUUAGGGUUUGAAAUAAGAUUUGGAUUAGGAUUUAGGGUUUGGUUAGGAUUUAGGAUUAGAUUAGGAUUUGGAUUAGGGUUUAGGAUUUGAUUAGGAUUUGAUUUAGAGUUUGGAUUAGGAUUUGGAUUAGGAUUUAAGGUUUGAUUUAGGAUUUAGGAUUUGGAUUAGGGUUUAGAGUUGGAUUAGAGUUUGGAUUAGGGUUUAGGGUUUGAUUUAGGUUUUGGUUUAGGGUUUGAUUUAGGAUUUGAUUAGGGUUUAGGAUUUGAUUUAAGGUUUAGGAUUUGAAAUAGGGUUUGAUUUAGGGUUUAAUUUAAGAUUUGUUUAAGAUUUGACUUAGGAUCUAGGAUUUAUUAGGAUUUAAGAUUUAAUUAGGUUUGGUCUAAAGUUUGAGUGAAAUUCAAUAGGGUUUUAACUAGAAUUAAAUUAAGGUUGAAUUGACAUAUAUUUGAGUAAUAUUUGUAAUCAUUCUAAUAUUUCUUUAAGAAUUUUAUUGUUUGUUUGAAAUUUCUUUGAGUUGUUUUGAAUUUGAUUACGUUUAUUUACCAUUAUUAUAGUCUAAUUUGAGCAUUAUUAGUAUUCUAUUAGAAUUAGGAUUUUGUUAUCUCAAUUUUUAUUCUUCCUUUUACAACCAGGUCCUCGGAGCAUUCUCAAGUAAGACUUCACACAUUACGACACCGCUCCUCGUGGAAUUCAUUCCUAGAAGGUAGGAUAAUAUCACAGACAUACGCAUAUAAACUAGUAAUUACAUGUAUAAAUAGGUAGAAGUAAGUAAAAGUAGGUAAAAAUAAGUUAAUUCUAUAGUAUUUGAUAUGAAAGCUUCCUAGAAGCCUCAUAGACGCUGCUUUGACUUUAUAGGUGUCUUUAAUUGAUUUUUUGGGAUAAGAAACGUAGUCAACAAGUUGGCCAUGUGCCACACAUGUUAUUAGCUUGAAGAACAAGCUAACUAUGUGGCCCACACAUAAAAAAACUUGUCUUGUAAGUCAAGGCAUGUAUCCUACAAAGUCAACACAUAUUGGAGGUCCUAUAGAACUUCGCUACAUAUUCCUUAGUAAGAUAGUAUAUAUAGAGACAAGAGUGAAGCCUUCUUCACUCUUAUCAACUCCUUUCUUGCUUCUAGUCUAGUUUCAAGGGUCUCUAGUUUUCUUGGCUUUUGGCAAUAGCCAUUCCAGUUUCUUUCUUAAUACACUUAUUAAAUUAUUUCUAUUUUGUCAUCUUUCUUUGAGAGAAGUCUCACUUGUUUAUUUGUCUUUAUCAUGUACUUGUCCUUAAUACAUGGAUGCCAAAGAAGACAAUGUGUUGAAAAACAAGUUUCUCUAAGUAUGAUAGGAAAUAUAUGUCUAAAAUCUUAUACGUCACUUAAUAAAGGUCUUUUUCUUUUCUUAGAUCCCUUAUCUUAAUGUAUAAUAGAAAUUUGUUUAGGAUCAAAAAUCACAAAAUUUUUGCUUUGUUAGAUUCAAGAGCCUCAAUUUGUUUUUACAAACAAAGUUUUUUUCAAAAAUAAAAAAUAUGUUUAAUCAAGAAAAUCAAAUCCAUCCAUGUAAAAGUAAUAUAUGGUCAUUUGAUUUAUUUUGGAAUUAUUAUCCAUGAAAUUACUUCUUUAGAUAUAACAACUAAUAAUCAUAAUAGCUUAGUAAUAUUUAAUGUGAAUAAAUCUUCUUCCAAUUCAAUCAUUUUAAUAUUAUUAUGGCUAGAAAAAUAUAACUUCUAAAUAGGUUGGAUUUCUUAAAAAGAAGAUAAUUAAAAAAUUAUAUUUAAAAUCAAAUAAGGAUAUUUUGAAUAUAACGUCAUGCUUUUUAGACUCACAAAUAUACUAGUUCCUUUCAACAUCUAAUAAAUAAUAUUUUCAUAAAUUUCUUGAUAAUUUUGUCAUUUUUUAUUUAGAUGACUUUUUAAUGUGAAGGACAAGAACUCGAUAAAAAAAUAAUUCAGACAAGUGAGCCUUCACUCAUAGAAAGGUAACAAAAUAUAAAUAAAUAAAUAUGUAUAUUGAAAGAGAAACCGGAAUGGCUAUUGCCAAAAGACAAGAAAACUAGAGACCCUUGAAACUAGACUAGAAGCAAGAAAGGAGUUGACAAGAGUGAAGAAGCCUUCACUCUUGUCUCUAUAUAAACUAUCUAACUGGGAGCUACGUGGCGACGUUCUAUAGAACCUUCAAUAUGUGUUGACUUUGUAGAACACAUGCCUUGACUUACAAGGCAAGUUUUUCUACAUGUGGGCCACAUAGUUAGCUUGAUCUUCAAGCUAACAACAUGUGUGGCACAUGGCCAACUUGUUGACCACGUUUCUAAUCCAAAAAGUCAAUUAAAGACACCUAUGAAGUCAAAGCAACGUCUAUAAAGUUUCUAGGAAGCUUCCAUAUUAAAUACUAUAGAAUUAGCUUACUUUUAUCUACUUUUACUUACUUCUACCUAUUUGUAUAUGUAAUUACUAGCUUACAUGAUUAUGUCCGUGACAUUACCUCCUUUUCUAGGGACGAGUUCCACGAGGAGCGGUCAUCAUAUGUUGAGGAAAUCUAUGAUGAGACAAAUUGUAUUCGCCACAUACUCUGAUCUUUAUUCUCUUCGAAGAUGAUUGAGAAGGCCUCUCAACCAUCAGUAGUGUCCCAUACCAAGGCGGGAAGACCACCCAUAUAUUUGAUCAUUGUUGAGGCCUUCGUAACUUCCUUCGAAUAGAAUAUUUGGAAGACCAUUAGGAGUUGUUCCUAUCUCUAGCACAAUCACCAAACAUCGGGAGUCCCUUCCCAAAUUGCGAUACCAAACUCGUUGUAUCUCGACAUCUAUUCGAGGAAGAACAUGUCGUUCUUGAAGAUCUUCAUCUCGAUUGCGUCGUCUUGAAGGUUGUGACAAUCGUAAUGUCUGGUCCAGUAGGUCAGCAAAUGAAGGCUCUUGAGUCGAAUCCACUGGUUGUUGGUUCUCCAUGUCCUGAGCGUCACUACUACAAAGAAGCUAUGAACAAGAAUUGAAAGUAGAAUGUUAUCUUGCCUAGAUAUUGUUUCUUUUAUAAAGAAGGUUUUCAUCUUGAUUUUGAUAGAUGUCGUCAAUGAAAAGCCUCCAUUACCUUUGCUGCAUUUGCAAGAUUCUUUAUUAGCUCCCAUGUGCGUUCACUAAUACCAUAUCCACGCCAAUGGACAAGAUAUUCUAAUUUAUUUCGGCGCCGCCUUGAAUCUAAGACUUCUUAUACUUCAAACUCUUCAUUAUUGUCCACUUCUAUAGGAGGAGGUGGAGCUUGUCGUCUUCUUGGUAUGUCCACUGUCUUGUAUGGUUCAAGAAGAAACACAUCGAAUAUUGGAUGGAUUUUCAUUGACUCUGAUAGAUGUAAACGAUAUGCAACUGGAUUGAUUUGUGCAAAAAUAGAAAAUGGUCCUAGCCUUCGAUAGUCCAACUUGUCACAAGGAUGAGUGGUCUUGAUAAUGCAACGAAGUAGCUAUACCUUAUCACCCAAGAUGAAUGAUGAUUGUUCCUUUCGAUAGACAUCUGCAUUGACCUUUUGUUGUUCUUGAGCCUCUUUUAAGUGCGCCUUCAUCGUUGCAUGUAGCUCUCAUAAAUGAAUCACCAAAUCUUUUGUAGCAGGAUUAUCAACUUUUGAAAAGUCAAAAGUAUCAAGUCGUGGAUGAUAACCAUAAUUAGCAAAGAAAGGUAUUUGUUUUGUAGAAGAAUGUACCGUGUUAUUGUAAGCAAACUCUGCCAAUGGCAAAAGAGUUGUCCAAUCAUCUUGUUGGUAAUUAAUGGUACAUCUUAAAUAUUGCUCCAAAACUUGAUUAACACGCUCCGUUUGUCCAUCAGUUUGAGGAUGGAAUGUCGAAGAUAGUUUUAUAUCCACUUUAAAAAUCUUAAAAAGAAUCUGCCAAAAUCUUGAUACAAAUUGAGUUCCCCCAUCUGAUAUAAUAUCCUUGGAUAAUCCAUAAUAGCAAUAGAUAUUGUCAAGAAAGAGUUUAGCUGUUUCUUCACCUAUGAUAGAUUUUGUACAUGGUACAAAAUAUGCCAUCUUGGUAAAACGAUCUAAUAUCACGAAUAUAGAGUCAUAAGAAUCUGAGAUUGGAAGAUCCAUGAUGAAGUCCAUAGAAACAGAAGAUCAUAGUUGUUCUGGAAUAGGUAAUGGCUGAAGAAGUCCAAAAGGUCGAUGACAAGGAGUUUUCGAUCUUGAACAAACAUCACAUGAUUGUACAAAAUCUUUGACUGCCUUCCACAUUUGAGGCCACCAAAAAUCCCUAGAUAUCAGCUCCAAAGUCUUAUUAUAUCUAAAAUGUCAUAUUAUUGAGAAGUUGUGACGAGCUUGAAGAACACAUAAACGUGCUUCUCCUUCUGGAACAUAUAGGUGUCCUUCGAAAUAGAAUAGGUUGUUCUUGAAUUCAAAUUUAGAGGGAUCAUGAGAUUUAGAAGAAUUAUUCUUGAUAUCAUGAACAAGAGGGUCUGAAGACAUACUUAACUAGACUUGCUUAAGAAAAGUUAAAUCAACAGUCAAUGUUAAUUUUAUUGCUCGAAGAUAAAAUUGCUCCGACUUCAAGAAAACCGUUCUUUGUUGCUCAAAAGCUACAUCUCAUUUUUUUGGUGCAAGAUAAGAACGUCUAGACAAGGCAUCAGACAAACCUUGUUGUUUUUCUGGCCGAUAAGUAAUGAUGAACUCGAAUCUUGAUAAAGACAUGCUCCAACGAACUUGGUGACGAUUUAAUACGCGUGUUGACAUAAAAUACUCGAGGUUCUUGUGAUCUGUAUACACAGUGACUGGACUAGAAGCACCUUCUAGAUAAUGAUGCCAUUCUUGAAAAGAAUCCACAAUUGCAAGAAGUUCUUUAUCGUGGAUCUCAUAAUUGAUUUCUGCUGCUGAGAAUUUUCUUGAAUGAAAGGCUACUGGAUGAAGUUUGUUAUUUGUUCCCAUUUGUGAUAAAACUGCACCCAGAGCAAAGUCUGAUGCAUCUGUUUCCAUAAAGAAUGCUUUGGAAAAAUUAACACAAUAUAAGAUUGGUGCAAAAACAAACGCUGUCUUCAAAGAUUCAAAAGCAACUUUCGCUUCUUGAUUCCAUUGGAGUUUGUCUUUACAAGUCAAACGUGUAAGUUGAGCUGCAACUCAAGAGAAGUCUUUGAUGAAGAACCAAUAGUAGUUGGCAAAUCCUAAAAAACAUUGGACAUCUCUUACCGUUUCUGGGAUCUUCUAGUCUAUAAUAGUUUGAACUUUCUUAGGAUCCAUCAUAAGUCCAUCAUUUGAAAUGAUGUAACCUAAAAAAUCGACUUGAGUAGUGUGGAAUACACACUUUUCUAUCUUGGCAUAGAGUCCUACAUCUUCUAAUUUUUGUAACACACGACGAACAUGAAGUUCAUGUUCUUCUAGAUUCUUAGAAUAGAUCAAGAUGUCGUCUAGAUAACAGACCACAAAAUCGUCCAAAAACUCUCAAAAAACAUCAUUCAUUAGAUGUUGAAAAGUUGCUGGUGCAUUUAUAAAUCCAAAAGGCAUGACGUUGUAUUCAAAAUAUCCAUACCUAGUUCAAAACGCAGUCUUCCAUUCAUCUCCUUCUUUGAUGCGUACUAGAUUGUAUACUCCCCGAAGAUCUAUUUUUGUAUAGAUCUUACCUUGAUUCAACUGAUCAAGAAGUCUAGAUAUUAAAGGUAGUAGAUACCUGUUCUUGAUGGUAAUCUUAUUGAGUCCUCGAUAAUCAACACACAUCCGCAAUGAUCCAUCUUUUUUCUUCACAAAUAGAAUUGGAGCUCCUCCUGGAGAUUUAGAAUGGCAUAUGAAAUUCUUGGCUAGAUUUUCUUCAAUAUACACCUUGAGUUCAGCCAACUCAUUUUGUGAUAAACUAUAGAUUGGUCCGAAUGGCGGUUGUGCUCCUUCUUGAAGGUCAAUUGAGCAAUCAUAGGGACGAUGUUCUAGGAAUGUAUCCACAUUUUUUUUUUUAAAUACAUCUUGAAAUUCUUGAUAUUGGCUUGGAAUGCCACUUGAAGUCUUUUCACCAAUAGAAAUGGAUGUGGCAUAAAUAAUAUAUGGUGAUUCUUUCGUAGCAACAUGCAAGAAAGUUUUUACACCUAUAAAUACGGGUUUAAUUAAACUGGACUUAUAACUCUUUAUUUGAUUAACUACACUAUUAGUUAUACUUUUAGAGAAAGUAAGAGUUCGAGAAAUCCAAUCUAUUUGAGGGUUGUAUUUUUUUAACCACAAUAAACCUAAAAUGAUUGGAUUAGAGGGAGAUCUAAUGAUAUUAAAUACUACAAAACUAUUAUGACCAUUGAUUAUUGCUUCUAUAAGAAGGGUUUCAUGAGUAAUAUCUCCAGAAGACAAUGGACGACCAUCUAUGACUUCUACAUGAACUGGUUCAGUUUUCUUUACUAAAGAUAUGCUAUGUCAUUUAGUAAAUUCUUCAUCUAAAAAAUACGCUGAGGCUCCUGAAUCUAACAAGGCAGAGACUUUGUAAUGUUUAGGUCCUAAAAUAACAUUUAAUGUAAAACAAGGAGAGGGCUCUGAGGAAAGAAUAGGACCUUUACUAGAUGUUGUGCAAGGUUCCAACCGCACGGUCCCUAUUGUAGCUGGACAAACUCGUUUUCUGACAUAUUAUCUUCUUUUACAGCCAUACUCCUUAUUUUGUGAUUGCGUCAUUUCUUUGGACAAUGUUGAGCAGUAAGCUUUAGUUCUCCACAAUAUAAACAUAAUCUUUCUUGACGACGACGAGCAUUUUAUUGCUUAGUAAGAGGUUUGAAAUAUAUUACAUCAAUUUGCAUAUCUUCUACUUCCGAAUGUAUGUGUUGAAGAGGUGUUGGUGUUGCCAUUGAAUUAUAGUAACGUUGAGGUCCACUUGUACGAUUCUCAGAUCGAAAUUCAAAAAAGCGAUUGUUGCACUUCACAGCAAAGUCAAUUGCUUGACUCAAUGUUUGAGGAUCAGAUAAGUUGAGCAUUAAUUUUUUUACCUCAUAUUGUAAUCCAUAGAAAAAUUCACUAAUAAGUGUAGCAUCAUCCCACUUGAUAUCAGUUAUAAGUUGUCAAAAUUGUGAAGCGUAUAACGUUACUGAUCGAUUGCCUUGUCGUAAAAUACGGAUCUUAUUGGUUGCAACACGAAUUGCAUCAUGUUCUUCAUACAUGGAUCGAAACUCUACCAAAAAAGCCUCUAGAUUAUCCAAUAUUGGAUCUCGUCAUUCAAGAAAAGAUGAAAAUCACGAUAGUGCUGAACCUGAAAAAAGGGUACCAAUGAAUUUAACUUGCGAUCCUAGAGUUGGAUAGCUUUGGGGUUGAAGUUCAAUCUCAAGUUGCACUUGAUUGAUAAAUCCUCGAAACUUGGAUCUGGUGCCAUCAAACUUCUCGGAUAGGAAAAUUCUUGAUUCUCUAACAUUUGAAGGGCGUUCCACCAUAGGAGAAAGAACAUAGUUUGGUACAGAUAUUGAAGCAGAUCCAACCAUUUCUAUAUCUUCACUUCCUGCCAAUUUUGUUGCUCCUUGUGGUGGUAAAUUGAGUUGAUGCAUUGCAAGCAUUAACUCCCUCAAUUGUUCUUGCAUUUGUGCCAUUGUACUCUUCAUUUCAACAAGUUCUGCCAUGAUAACACUUAGAAGAGAAAAGAUGUCUAAUAUCGCUCAAGACAAAUAGAAGAGAGGACUUGAGAACAAAGAAAAUACUAAGGACAAUAUCAGUUUAGAAGAGGGUAAUCCGUAACUUCUAGUAUGCUUAUAUCUUAUCAAAAAAAAGGGGUAAUCCACUCUUAAUCAAGAUUAGACAAAGCUCUGAUAUUGUAGGUAUACUCUUGUCAAUCUGUCAAGGACAAGAACUCGAUAAAAAAACAAUUCAGACAAGUGAGCCUUCAGUCAAAGAAAGAUAACAAAAUAUAAAUAAAUAAAUAUGUAUAUUGAAAGAGAAACCGGAAUGGCUAUUGCCAAAAGACAAGAAAACUAGAGACCCUUGAAACUAGACUAGAAGCAAGAAAGGAGUUGACAAGAGUGAAGAAGCCUUCACUCUUGUCUCUAUAUAUACUAUCUAACUGGGAGCUACGUGGCGACGUUCUAUAGAACCUUCAAUAUGUGUUGACUUUGUAGAACACAUGCCUUGACUUACAAGGCAAGUUUUUCUACAUGUGGGCCACAUAGUUAGCUUGAUCUUCAAGCUAACAACAUGUGUGGCACAUGGCCAACUUGUUGACCACGUUUCUAAUCCAAAAAGUCAAUUAAAGACACCUAUGAAGUCAAAAUAGUGUCUAUAAAGCUUCUAGGAAGCUUUUAUAUUAAAUACUAUAGAAUUAACUUAUUUUUACCUACUUUUACUUACUUCUACCUAUUUGUAUAUGUAAUUACUAGCUUACAUGAUUAUGUCCAUGACACUUAAUCUAUUCUAAGAAUAUAAAAGAACUUAAACUUCAUAUUUGUAGUGUGUUGUAAAAACCAAGAGAUGCAUGAUUAUAUGCAAAGAUGAAAAAGUAUGUAUUUUAUACUACUCAAGUUAUCUUCUUAGGAUAUAUUAUUUCAAAUGAUAUUUUUAUAAUAGAUCUUAAAAAGAUUUAGACUAUCAUAGAUUAAAAGAUUUCAAAAACAAUUAGACAUAUGCAAUAUUUUUUGAGAUUUACUUAUUAUUAUCAAAUCUUUAUCAAGAAUUUUUUUCAAGUUGCAACUCUUCUUAUAUAUUUGACAUAUAAAGAAUUUAGCAUUUUUAUCUUUGAACAAUAAAAUCAAUAUUAACUAUUGAUUCAACCAUUUUUGAGCAAGUUCAAUUGAAUAUGUCUUCUAAUCUUCUUAUUUAUAAUAUUAAGAAUAAUUCUUUUAAGUCUCAAGAUACUUUUAAGUUUGAAUUCAAGAAUAAUCUACUUUAUUUCAAGGAAUAAUUAUAUAUUCUAAAAAGCAAAGCAUGAUUACAUAUUCUUGAAGCUCAUCAUAACUUUCCAGCAAUUGGACAUUUUGGAUAAAACAAAAUUUUGGAACUAAUAUCUAGAGAUUUUUAGUGGUCUCAAAUGUAGAAGAUAAUUAAAGGCUUUGUACAAUCAUGUGACAUUUGUUCAAGAUCAAAGUCUCUUCAUCAUUGAUCUUAUGGACUUCUUCACCCAUUACAUAUUCUAAAACAAUGAAAGUCUUUAUUAUGGAUCUUUCAAUGUCAAGUUCUUUUGACUCUAUAUUUAUAAUAAUAUAUCAAUUUACCAAAAUUAUAAAAUUUAAUUUAUUAUUAUUUAUUUAAUUAUAAUAUUUAUAAAGUAUAAUAAUAUAAAUAAUAUCUUUGAUAAAAAUUAAUACAACUAAUUGUAUUAAUAAAAUUAAAUCUAAAAGAGUUAUUUUUAAUUAUUUAGUAGAGUAUCUAUAUCUUAAUAUUAAGAACGUUAUAAUAUGUAAAGCAUUAAUGAUAUCAACAAUAAUCUAAAAUUUAUAAAUAAAAAUUUAAUUACUAUAAUUAAUAAUUAUAUUUUAAAAAAUAUUAAUAUCAUAAAAUAUAUAGCUAGCUUGUACUUUAAUCUUUUUACUUCAUUUUUCUAUUAUCAAUGGGUGUUAAUGGACAUAAAUAUUGGAUAGUUUCUCAAAUUUUUCAAGUGACUUGUUAAUAAGCAAUCAAUUGUAGAAAAUUCAUUUUUAAACAAUUAGACAUAAUUAAAGGUUUAGGAUAUUUUUAAAUGUUAUAAUAUAAAAAUCCAUUUAGAUUUUUUUUUUAUUCAAUACCUAUUACUUGUUAGAUAAUUAUUCCAAUACAAUCUAAUUGAUACAUUAAAAGAUAGCUUUGAAAUAAAGGCUAUAUAUAUAUAUAUAUAUAUAUAUAUAUAUAUCAUGCUAAAGAUAUAAGAUAAAUUUGUUAAAUAAAUAAUAAUAAUAAAAAAUAUGGACAUCUUAUUGAUACAUUUUAUGCUUGUUAUUUGUAUUAAUUAUAAUUUUUAAUUAAACUUAUUAACUUAACUAACUUUUUUACUAAAUCAAUCCACUUUUUUACUAGAUUGGAAGAAUGUGUGUCAAGUUUUAUUGUUUUGUAAGUAUUCAUUGGAAGUUUUCAAUAAUAGAAGUAUUUUGUGGGCUCCACUUUUGUCUCUUUGUUUGAUUUAUAAGAUGGUGUUGGAUUUUUUAUCUAUGAUUCUUGUUUAGAUGAGUCAAAAUAGCAAAAAAAUGAAUUGUAUCUUGUAUCUUUUGAGAGAUUUAUCUCUUCUAAUUAUAUUGUAGAAAUUGAUAUUUUGAAGGCACACCCAAUUCCAAGGGGCAUAUUAUCAAUAUUAUCAUUCAAAAAAAUAAGAAAAAAAUAAAUUUUACAUUGGCUAAUUGUCAGCUGUUUUGGUCAUAUCAAUUUUCUCGCCUCAAUUGUUCAGAUGAAUUACAAAACUCAAAAAUAAUUAUGUUUGAUAUUACAAAGUUUCAUUUAGGUUAACCUUUGACAAUUGUCUGGUUUUCAAUAUAUAGAGUCAGGUGAAUUACAAUUCGGUUUUUAAUUUUUGUUUGUUUAUAUUUUUUAAAAAAAUUUGCACACAAAGCAGAGUUCAAAAUUCUCAGAUGUUUUUUUUAGUUUGUUUUAGUUUAUUUGAAUUUUUUAUAUAACUAUAUAUUUUUUCAUCUACAUUGAUAUGUGCACAAGAAAAAAUCAGAUUGAGCAUGGACAGAAGAACAUCUUAAAAGCAGUGUCACAAUGAUUUGCGACGGAUGUUUAGUAAUGUUAUUAUUAUUAUUGCUAUUACUAUGCCUCUUAGUCAUUUUGUAUUGCAUGACUAAGAAUGUUAAAUUAGUAAUUUAUAAUAAUGAUAAAAAUAUUUGAAACUAGGUCUUAUGAGACAUCAAACAAGAACUUAUUCUUGCACAUAGUAAAUCAAUUCUCUACUUAAUAAUUUUAAGAGUAUAAUUUAUAUGAAUUGCUUUUUUCAUAUUGUGGACUUUAUUAGCCAAUAGUAUUAAUAGUGUUUCUGAUAUAUACGACACAGUCAUAUAUAGAUACCAUGAACUUCAUUAUUCGCUUAAUUAUUCCAUUUUAAGGAUAGCCUUCCUUUGUGUUGUUUUAAAUUUUUAGUUUAUUUCAAUAAUAAUCAGAUAUCAAAGUACACAAACUCUCCACACUGCUAUGCUGUUUGUCAAUCUUUUACUACCUUAAAUGUUAAUUUGAUUCCAAAAUAACAGUGUCUUGGUUAACCUCGUGAGACACAUUCACAUCACUGUUAAAGUUUUGAUUUUUGCAGUUCAUGCUCUUAGAUUUGCUUUAUGAAAACCUACCAUGAAGAUAUUUUGCUUAAUGGCAUUUUGCUGUAUGAAAACAAUAUAUUCCAACUCAAUUACGGUUUUCCAUAUUGCACCUCUUCCAUUUUAUAAAGGGCAAAAAAUAGUAUGAUUUAACACAAAUGAGCACUGUUAUCUGUUGUGGGUGUGAAUCCCAGAGGACAUAAGUCGUAUUAUGCUUCGUAUCCGUUUGAAGCCACAAACCAUUAUGCAGACAUUUAUGAUCCUCCAAUCCGAUUAUCAUUUUACAUCAAGAUAUUUAAACCUGGUUCCAUCGUGGUAGGCGAGGCAGAGGGGAAAUUGCCAUUCCAAUUCCAGACCACGAAUCUGCGGAUUUCCCAACAGCCCUUGCCAGCCAUCGCCCUUGCCGACGCCGCGGAGGGGGAGCCGCACUCUCGACGUCUAGCGGCAAAGGGGAGAAAUAGAUAAUAAUAAAAAAACACCCACCCAUGCUGAGUAGAGGCUAAGUUUCCUUUUUCCGGGCGGGGCUACCUGGAUCCCUCUCCGUCAAUCUAAUGCGGCAGGAUCGGUUUAUUCGAUACCAAACUUAGUUGGCCGCCGCAUGCGGGAUUGUUGCGCGGCGACUAGGAGCGUUUUCUAGUUGGCCGUUGAUCCUGGUUUUCGUGGACGUGGAGCGUCUCGACGCUGCUCCUUCCGGUGUUGUUGGGAAUUAGAUUUACCUUGGUGGGUCAUGGGAUUUCCUGGGAAAAAAGAAAAGAAAAGAAUUAUAAAAAAAGGUUGCGGUCUGUAGUAGGAACAAAAUUUAACUGAGGGUGGAAAUAGUUAUGCAUUCCCCUAGAUUGGUCAUUUGUCUGAUUCGACUUUCUUUGAGCGAGAGGAUGAGACAUGGGGGAAGGGGUUUGAUCGGAUGUGUGAUAAGGCUAAUGGAAUGAGAAAUGGAUUUGAGCGGAUAAUUCGCAUUCGUGCUGCGACGUGAUAUAUUUGCACUUUGAAGAGCGUGGACGUAUUAGCCAGGGAAUUGUAAUGCGGAAUCUCCAGCACAUGAUGCAUCCUCCCUCGAGUGCCACGAAUGAGUUAUGGCGAGAGGAGCCUCAAGUGGCUGGGUGCUAUUUAGGCCAUCAAAAUGUUGGUUCAGUGUAGCAGUUUUGUCUACAUCUCAUCUCACUGUUUCUGGUAUCUGCUGCGUGAGCAGUGUGUUUUUGACGCAAAGCAUUGUAAUAUUUCCUUCGGCUGAUCUGUAAACAGAAGCUAGAGCACAACUCUACUUUGCUAUGCUGUUCUGUGACGACUCGAGCUCUUCGGAGCUUCGGAUUGUCCAUCCUGCUCCUCACGCUCUCGAUUUACGGCGCCGGUUUCCGCGGUUUGGGCUUCCAAGGCAGCUAAGGGUGAUCUAGUUUAAAGGGUAUAGGGAGCUUCCAAUUAUUAAGUAUAUAGGAGUUAUGCUUUUUGUCAUCUGCGCACAACAUUUCGGAUACAAAAAACAUUCAUGGAUAUAAAAUCUGAAAACCAGUUCAAAUCCUGGGUUUGCGUUUUGCAGAGCAGAGGCGGUAGGUGUGUUCACGGUAUAUGAUACCAAGGGGGUGACAAUUAGGUAGUGUGUCUCUACACACAAUCGUUGUGAACGGGCUAGUACCCAUCUUCUCAUUCAGAUACUGGAAUCCCUUGUGGCGGGGUUUCUGUGGAUUCGAAGCCCCACGAUCUCUUUGGGUUACAAGUCCUUUCGAUUGCAUUGAGGAUGGAGGCGCCACCUCCUCUACCUCCCGGUGUCACCUCUGCUUACACAAACAGCGGCUAUGGAGUUGAGCCCGAGUGGUUGAACAAGGGAGACGCCGCAUGGCAAUUGGCAGCCGCUACGUUGGUAGGAAUUCAGAGUAUGCCGGGCUUGGUCAUCUUGUAUGGUAGCAUCGUGAAGAAGAAAUGGGCGGUGAACUCAGCGUUCAUGGCAUUGUAUGCCUUUGCAGCUACGGCAAUUUGCUGGGUGUUAUGGGCUUAUAAAAUGUCUUUUGGGGAGCAGCUGGUUCCGAUCUGGGGCAAGGCGGGCUCUGUCCUGGGAUUUGAAUUCUUGCUGUCCCAGGCGGGCCUGCCAUCCUCAGCUCACUAUGAUUCAAACGGAGCUCUAGUGACGCCAGCUCUGAAAGCACAUUUCGGAAUGGCCAGUAUGGUGUUGUUCCAGUUCUUCUUCGCCGCCCUCACGGUUAUCCUGUUGGCGGGCUCUGUCCUGGGGCGUAUGAGUUUUCGAGCCUGGAUGUUGUUUGUGCCGCUUUGGCUCACGUUCUCGUAUACAGUUGGAGCUUUCACCAUGUGGGGAGGCGGGUUUCUGUGGCAAUGGGGUGUCAUUGACUAUGCCGGCGGCUACGUAAUCCAUGUCUCCUCCGGCGCUGCUGGUUUCGUUGCGGCCUACUGGGUACAUUUAUCUCAUCAUCGAUGCUCAGGUUACAUAGGACACAUACUAAUCAUUUAGUGUAUGCCAAGAGUCGGUCGACCUGCGGCUGACAUUGCUGGUGGUUACAUUGCAGGUUGGACCGAGACUACCCAAGGAUCGCGAGAGAUUUCCUCCCAACAACAUGCUGCUUGUGCUUACAGGUGCAGGGCUGUUAUGGCUGGGGUGGUCAGGUUUCAACGGCGGAGCGUCUUUCAGCGCUCACGUCGUCACUGGUUUAGCUGUUCUCAACACCCAUAUAUCUGCCGCUACGAGCAUGUUGACAUGGACUGCCAUGGACGUGUUCUUCUUCGGAAAGCCUUCUGUUAUUGGUGCCGUUCAAGGCGUGAUGACAGGUCUUGUGGUUAUCACACCAGCUGCAGGUACGCCUUCUAUCAUCUUUGAUGCCAUGUAGAAUAAUCCAUGCUGCUUUCUGACGUAUUGAGAACCAUAUUCCUGAGGGUUUGUAGGAGCAGAGCUUAGAUGUAUCUGGACGAUUGAUCAUGUUAGCUACUGUGGGCAGGUUUGGUGCCAGGAUGGUCCGCCUUACUUAUGGGGAUAUUAGCUGGAAGCAUCCCCUGGUGGACCAUGAUGGUUCUUCACAAGAGAUGGUGGGUGCUUCAGAAAGUGGACGAUACAUUAGGCGUAAUUCACACACACGGUGUCGGCGGGGUCUUGGGCGGUAUCUGUGUGGGCCUUUUCGCAGACCCCACACUCUGCAAAUACAUGCAUGUAGCCGGGGACUACACUAAUGGAGCAUUCUACGGUGGUAACGGCGGCAUCCAGCUUCUGAAGCAGAUCGUUGGCGCUCUUUUUAUCGCUGGGUGGAACUUGGUGCUCACAACGCUCAUCCUCUUCGCCAUCGGGCUCGUCACACCGCUCCGCAUGUCGGAAGAGCACUUGUUGGUCGGUGACGACGCGGAGCAUGGGGAGGAGGCAUACGCGCUGUGGGGAGACGGCGAGAAAUUUGACGUCACCCGACACCCCACCGCCACUAUUGCAGCUGAGUUCGAGCAGCGCAGCGCUGUGAAUUACGCUGAUCGCGCUGUCACUUUGCACAUCUGAGCAAAGCACAAUCGCCACAUACCACAACGGAGUCUCGCGACGUGCUUCGUCAUCUACAGCGCGUAUCUCAACAAGUCAGUAUUGGGACGGCCACUUCUGAAUGCCAUACAUUUGCGCGCGUGCACUAGAAUCCUAUUUCUUCUUGUGAUCUCAUCACCAGAGAAAUCGGGUCCACUGCACGAGCCUUCGACAAAUCUUCUAGCAUCUAAAUUCUUUUAAUCUGUUUGGUCUCUCUUGGCGCAUUCUCUCAGGUUCGUACUCUAGACAAAACUUAAUUUUGACCACCGCAUUCGGCCACUUUUAAGCUCGAAUCACAUUCCGAAACACAAAACACAAAUGAAGCAUUGAGAUUGUUAAAGCAAUGGACAUUUUCCUCUGGAUCGAAACCAAAAGACGUUGAAGUGGAGAAGUUACGGCAGUUUUGCAGCAGAGAAACUGUCAUCAGAUAAUCGCAUGCAUGUUUUUUGGAUAGCUUCCCCACAGAUAACAUAUCUGUCAAUCCAGAUUCUACAGCGAACAUAGGGCUAACAACACCCUCUAACCUGAUUGACGGAUUGAGCUAGUGUUGCUAACGGAAUAGUUCAUGAUCCUCAGAUUCUUUGCACAGCAUUGUGCGUCAUUGUACUUUUUUCUGAUAAUGGAACUUUCAAGAUAUGUUUUGCUCCUCACAAUGUAUGAUAUGCUCAUUUUUAGUAUCAUAUUGUUUGAUAGAAUUUAUCACAUUAGUGGAUAUACUGUAACGGGAGUGGAGGAGAAGGUCGUGGAGAAAGUACCAAAGGGGAGACUCUGGUCACUGAGAGUUUAGUGGAGUGGGAAAGAAUUGGUGAUAAAUUGUUAAGUACAUGGGUAUAUUGUUUUGAAGAAUUUUUAAUAUAUAUUUAGGUUGUUUGACAAUUAAAUUGGGUUUAUUUGAUGCAUUAUUAGAGUAGGAGCUUCGAGUACUAAGAGGGUGGAAGAAUUUUCUAAUAUUGACUUUGGUUUAAUACAAAUAUGGAGCAAAGGAGAAAAUACAUUAAGAAUUAAUUUCAUUUAUUUUUCUUUCUUUCAUUCGUUUCAAAGAAAACUCUUUUCUAAUUAUAAUUUAUGUGAUUUUCUUGUCUUAUUUCUCAAAUUUCCUAUAAAAAAAAACACUUUUUAAUGUGUUUUCAUGGUUUGUCAUCUAUUGGUAGUGAAACUAAUUAACUUUAGGAGAUUUUAAUUGUUUUUGAAUAGAAAUACCUGAAUUUGAUAUGUAUGCAAACAGAAUUUGGUUCUAGUGAUAGAAUAGUUAGAGAACAAAGGAUGUUGACAUUGCAAGGACAAUAAAUCACAGUGGUUUAGAAAUGUUACAGAAUUGAUAUGUAAUUUUUUUGUGAAAUUUUAUAUGAUAAAUAUUUUAAGAUUAUUUACAUAUUCAAUUAACUUUUUGUAUCUAAAUAUUUCUUUUAAACAAAUGUCUUUAUUUAGUGGUUGAAGGUCAUAUUAUAUUAAGUCUUAAAGAUAUUGAUUACAGAUGCUUAAUGAUAUAAAGAAUAAAGUAUAAUAAAUGUACAAACAACAUAUGUUUGUCAUAUCAACUACUAACUAUAUGUUGAAAUAUAUUUUAUUAUUAUGAAUAAUUGGUAAAACUGUUAGAAUGCCAUGAUUUGGAAUAGGGAUUAAGGAUAUUCUUGCAAGGACCAAACACUCACAUGAACUGCUUAGCCUGCCCUAGCUCACACCAAAUCUGACAUGUCAACAAUACAUCCUUUGGGCCAUUCUACAUAAAACACUAAAUCAAUUAAUCAUAUAGAUAAAAACGCAAUGUAACAAAGAAUCUGCAUAGAGAGGGUUCUGUCAGCUUAAAUAAUCAUGUAGAAUAGAGUGCACAAGAACCUCCAAAAAUCAAGGAUAUUGCCUUUUAAUUCUUCCUCAAGUUAACCCUAAUCCUUAAUUUAAUCCUAAAUUAAUCCUUUGGAUUUCUUUCCAAGAUUUUUCUCAACUAAAUGACUUGGCCUUUAAGUUGCCGUUGUAUUGGCAACAACCACUCUUGAUAAUUCCAAGAUUUGUCACAUUUUAAUGCCUCUUGAGCUGUUUAUCUUCUUUAAUAGUUGUUGUUUUAUUUUUAUAAAUUUAUAUAACCGUUAAAUUUAAUUAAAUUUCAGGUAACCAAGAUAACUAGGAGUGUCGAUCCAAAAAAAUCAGAAUUUGUAAUACAACAUAUUGAUAAGAUUUGGGACUAUUAAUUUUAUCUUUAUAAUAUAUUUCUUGUAUGUAUUAAUAUUAUUUAUAAUUUAAAAAACUAAAAAUUAAAUUGGAGUAUUUUAAUCUAAUAAAAUUACUAAUAUUUUAAUUAAAUGUAAGAUUUUAUUUAAAAAAAAAAAACAAACAAACAAACAAACUAAAGAAAGACGAUUGAUAAAUGAAUUAGAAAACUUAAAAUAAAGUAGUAGAAUCAUUUUAAAAAAAAAUAUAUUUUAAGAAUGUUUGUAAUAGUAAAUAAAAAUAAAGAAAAUACUUAAUGUCAACUUUUGUUACAAAAAAACAUCAAUAUUAUAAUUUAAUAGUUUUUACAUUUGACAAAAAAUUAAUAAUAUUUAAUUAAAUAUUACUUAUCAAAAUAUUUCAUAAUAAAAUAAUAAUAGUAAUUUAAAAAAUAAUUUUAUACCAAAAAAAAUAAUUUUUGAUAUAUUAAUAGAAUAAAAUUAGAAGAAAUAAUGACUUUCACUCUUUUCAAUAUAUAACUUUAUAGUUUAUUUUAAUUAAAGGUACAAGCCAAAAACCAUAAGUUGAUAGAUAAAUUAGUAUCUAAAUACAAUAAGAUAGUUGGAUUCUUCUAAGAAUACCAAAGGAUAAAGUAUUAUCAAUUCUUUUAAGAAAUUAGAAUAAUUCAAUUAAAAAAUUAGCAACUCAUGUAGAAUAAACUAUUCUAUACAAAAUGAAUUGAUCUAAAUGUAAUAUUAGAAGGAAUCAAAACAUAUUUUUGGUGUCAAAUGGUUUUUGUCUAACAAAAAUAUUUAAUUCUAUAAUCACUUUAACAUAAUAACUCAUAUUUUAAUUAAUUAAAAAUAUUUAUUUUUGUAUUUAAUACAAAUUCUUAAACACAAUACUACUAAGAUAAACAAAUUUUUAUUUUAAACUAUGUGAUCUUAAAAUUAUAAUUAAAUUAUUAUAAAAAAAUAAAAAAAUACAAAAAUAAUAUAAUAUCUUAAGCUAAUAUAAAAAAAAUCAAGUUUAAAAUUCCUUCAUAAUUUGUAUUAUUGUUUUAGAAAUUAUUAGGUAGACACCCUCCUUUUAUCACAUAGAUAUUCCAUGUAACACCCUUUGAUCCAUAUUUUGCUAAUGUGAAUUUAUUGAUGUUCUUUUAUAUUUUCAUCUAUUGAAAUAAUUUGAUGUGUUUGAAAUAGUGUACAAAAGAAAAGAAAAACAACAACAACAACACAGUACUUAUAAAAAUUUGCCACUAACUAUAUAUAUAUAUAUAUAUAUAUACAUACAUAUAUAUAUAAGAGUUUGCUAAUUAUUAAGGGGACCACUAAUUGGACACUAAUAAAUUCACAUGAACAAACAUGAGCCAAAGAGUGGCAUGGAGGGUGUCUAUGGAAUAAAAGAGUGGUGUCCACCUAAGAGUUUCCAUUUUUUUAAAGUUUAAAUAGGAUAUUUAGAUACACAAACAAAACAAACAAAAAUAAAUAAAUAAAAAAGUGAUUUUGACAUUCACAAAUCACAUAUGUGAAAAGACAGACCAAUCAAAUAUCAAAGCAAGAAGCAUGAUGGACACCAAAACCAAUUACCUCCAACAACAACCAAAAACGAAAUAAAAGAAAAGAAAACUAUUUGUCCUAACACACUGCUCCAAAACAUUACUAGAGCAUGAACAAAACCUAAUAUCUACAAAACAAAACAUUCACAAAACAAUGUAUCCCUGAAAUACUUUGGCGCAAUCCCUGCACUAUCUAGUGUGCACAAUGUGCAUGUGUGGUGGUAGCUUUGAGACAAUCCUACCAACUCAGAAAACUGUCAUUUCUUCACAAUUCCUUCAACAAACUGGUCACUCUUGGUUCCUGCUUGUGCAUCGGCAGAUCACAAAACCUACAUUGUGAUCUGCCGACAUUGUACAUCAUUUCCACGGAUUAAUGUCCUUUUCUAGAGCAGAAAGGUUGUUUUGAAACCACAGUGUAUGACUGCUUUUGAUGAUGGAUUGUUUUGUGUUUGAGGUCCUUUCUGUAGAAUAACAUGAUCGGCGAAUUGCUGCAACCCUGGUGAUGUUGUAAAAUGUCGUAAGGUUGGAGUCAGAGAGAUACUCGUGAUAGUCCUGUGGAGUCAGUCAUGGGUUGUGCCAUGCUUUGAGUACAUGCUUUGAACGAACUGCAAGUGGCCAAGUGUAUUUUAUUUCACCUACAAAACCAUUUUUUACUAUCUUUCAUCAAAUCAUUUCGCAGUCGUACAAAGUUUCUUCGGAGUUGGUAAGGAAGCUCCUGAGCUUUGGCUUGUUGCAAAAACAAGUUUUGUAGUGGAACAUUUCUGGUUUCGGCAGUUCGUCGCAAGUGUCAGUUGAGUUGCGCUACCACGAAGUCUAAGUAAUUCCGCCAAGGCGAGCCUUCUCGGGUGAUUUCAGCGUCGCCUGAUUGCAAGUUACAGAUGCAUGCAUACAUCACCGUCACUUUGCUCAUCGAACUCAAUAAUACAUACAGCAGCACAAGCCCCAGGACCAACAACCCAGAACCCUGAGAACAUAACUGUAGGAAUCAGAAGGAAGUGAAAAUGGGUAAUCUGUGACGCUCCUAGGUAGAAAGACUACCCUGGUUCUUUAAGCACCCCAUCUCACCUCACUGUCACCCAUCUCCAAAACCAAUUGUGUGCACUUAGUCAAGGGACCUAGACACACGAGUUCCGCGAUUAUGUUUGGUUUUCUUUGAAUGUAGGCGUAGGGUCGUGAGUUCGACGGGAGAUCUUCGACAGCAAUCGGGUGGAGGUGAUGCAACGAAGGGCAUUCGGGGAACCUCAAGAGAGAAAGUGGCAGCCGGCAUGUAGGGUGCUGGAAGUCGCCACGUCGGAUUCGUCGAAACGGGAGGGCAACGAUAGGGGAGCGGAUAAAGGAUUCCUGGCUCUCAGGCCCGCCGCUGCUUUCCUGAUUGCGCUGCGAGCUGUGCCCCUCGCCCAUCACCAAACAAUUGGGCAACUAAAUUUCUCGCCACUCAUCACCAUCCUAAUUUCUUUCGUGGGGUUCUUUUCAGUGGGGUCAUUACGAGAGCUGAAUUGUGGGUUUGCAGCUGCUCAUUCUGUCUCCAACCAAUCGCUCCAUUGCCGUGAACGUCCUCGCACAGCAGCUGAAAUCUUUGGGAUUUCUCCAGCUGUAGCGCAAUGGAGGUUCUUCCCCGCGCUAUUGCAACUUCCCAUGUCGUGGUUUCGUCGUCAUCGGCGCCCAAGGAGUCGAGCGAGUCUGGCAGCAAAAAUAACUCGCAAGUGAGUUUGUCCUCUGUUCCUUUUCUCCGCCCAGCGUCUGCUCUGGCUGCCUCCAUUGUCUCCUCUGCUACACCUGCUGCCUUGGCUGUGAAUUAUGACGAUUUCGUGAAAAGAACCUCUGUUGCCACGCCUGGUGCCCCCUCUGAAGACUUUUCCUUCCCCGAGUUGCCUUCAAUUUCGUUGCCAUCCAUUGAGUUGCCCUCCGUUGAGUUGCCAUCCGUCGACCUUGGUGGCGCGUCCGAUUUCAUAAGUACGAAUCCCCUGGCGCUCGUUGCUGGGCUUGCGGCUAUCAGUGUGCCUUUCGUCGUUUUUAGGGCGUUUGCGGCUCCUGGUGCUGCAUUUGGUUCUGUAUCGGCUGUCGAAGCGUAUGACAAGCUCUCCAAUCCUGAACUGAAAGCGCAACUUCUGGACAUCCGUGCACCUGAGGACAUAAAAACCGAGGGAAGUCCCAACCUUAAAUCCAUUAAGAAGACUGUCUUGAAAGUACCUUACGCUGCCGACGACGACACUUUUGUGGAUAAGGUCAUCGCGAAGAGCAAAGACGCUGAGAACACCACUCUCUAUAUCUUGGACAGGUGAGUCGCAUGCUCAGAUUUUGAAUGGUGGGUACCUUUGUGUAGAAAGGCAUGUAUGUCCCUCUAGUCAGUGCCAACCCUGGUGUUAACAUGUCUCGAGUAAAUCGGCAAGCCUCUAAGGGACAAUGACACCUUCGACUGUGGACUACUGGAUUGAAAGUACAAAAUUGGUAGAUGUUGUUGUUGUUGUUUGUGAGUGGCGAGCGAAUCUUCCUCCACAAUGACUUAUAAUAUUUUACACACGUCGGUGUGUGAACACACUUCCUGCCGACUAAGAUACUGUCUCUUUUCAGUAUGUCGUAAGAGUGCAACUUAAUGUGCUCUCUGCGCUAUCGUGUGCAUAGAUUUGAUGGAGAUUCCGCUACUGUUGCAAAGCUCCUCGCCAAUAGUGGGUUCAAGAGUGCAUAUGCCAUUAAAGGAGGUGCUGAGGGUCCGAAUGGAUGGAACGUGAGGAUCGCAAAACCACUCUCUCUCCCUGCAUUUCUUCUAGAGACUAACUUGGAGGCAAAUGUUUUUAUUUAAUUUAAUUUUUAUUUUUUGAAAUCUUGAAUUCCUCGAAUGUCGAAGUUUUUGGCUGAUGCUAUGAGUGAAUGUACAGGAAAAGGAAUUGCCAUGGUUGAUGCCUGCCAAGGCUUUUAAAUUCGAUAUCGGCAACCUCAAGAACCUUGUCGGAACUGGUGAAGGAGUCGAUGUGGUACUGCCUUCUGCUCUCAAUUACUUGUAGUAAUUCGAUAGACAUGGAAAACUCGUUUCGAUUGUCUGAUAGAAUCGGUAUGUAUUUUUGGACCAAUUUUCUUCGCUUGAGGAGACACUGCCUCUACACCUGAUAGAAUCCCUCAACCAUUUCUCAAAAAUGUGCCUUGGGUUUCAACAAACGCAGGGCGCAGGUGACUUGUUGCCGAAGACACUUGGAAUAGCGGCAGCCGCCGGUGUUGGUUUCGUCGUGUUAUCUGAGGUUUGUUCAUAUCCUUUGAAAACCUCAUCCGAUACACGACGAUCACGCAAAAUACAAUCAUGAACCGCAAUCAUCUUUAGAUAUUACACCCAUUAUUCACAACUUGAGCCCUUACGCUGUUCUCUGCAUGUAAUCGAACAGGCGGAGACAACCUUGCAGCUGUUGGGAACAGUCGCAGCGCUGCAACUAUUUGCGAAGAAUUUCCUCUUUGCCGAGGUAAGAUCUAUGUUGCCAUUCGUCGACAUAAGUACUUUUGUACGGUACAAUUUUAAAUGGUGUCCCUUCCGUCUUCGUUUCAUUUCUGAUGUGACUGCGGGAUGGGAUUGCAGGACAGGAAGAAGACUAUUCAAGAACUCAAAACAUUUCUGGAUACUAAGAUUGCACCCAAGGAUCUAGUUGAUGAUGUUAAGGUAUCUUCUCUCUUUACUUCAGUCCACACUCUAAUUUGGCACAACUUUUCCUCUAAAUUCCUGCCCUGGAGGAAUGGGACAUCACAGCGGACUCGUUAUCUAAUACCUUGCUUAUGAAUUAGCUGGAGUGGCCGAUCAUUUGCGACAUAGGAGCCAGUAGCUAUUCUGUGAUAACUGAACCUGGAGAUAGUCGUCUAUCAGUGACAAGGUCUAAACUUUUGAUGCGGACCUCGACAAGUUUCACCGUCUAAUCAUCAAAUCUUUAUCCCAUAAAAUGGUGCAGGAAAUUGGAAGAGUUCUUCUACCUGACGAGGGUGAGGUCAAAGCGGCUGUUGCAACUGGGGAACAAGUUUUGGAAAAAGAAUUGGGAGUAGAUUCUGUUACACCAGAAUCACUGGCAAAAAAAGCCCAAGAGAAACUCGAGGAAGAAGUAGAGAAACGCGGAGUGGAACUUCCAGAUCUCGGUGCAGUCACAUCCGACAUUCAGGCGAGUGCUGAGUCAGUCAAAUCUAACAUCGAAUCCGCUGCAAAGGAACUUCAAUCAAAUGCUGACGAGGCCAUCUCUAACCUUGAGUCGGAUGCAAGCAAAGUUCAGGCGGAAGCAGAGGAAUUGGCAUCUGACAUAAAAUCCGAUGCAACGGAAGUGCUGUCAGAUGUCGAGAACACUGCCUCUGAACUUGAGUCCAAAGCAUCUGCAGCUGUUGAGCCAGCCGUAGAGGAGGUAUCUGCAGCUGUUCAGCCGGCCGUCGAGGAGGUGGAGGAAUCUAGCAACGGCUUUUCGACUUCUUCAAUAGGUUCCACGCCUACUGAACCCAUUAGUUCAACAUCAGAGGCAGAGGUAGAAGUCCCAGCUGAGACUUCUGCAGCGAAAUCCGUUUGAGAUGCAACCACUUCUCGCACUGCAGAUCCAUCUAGGUCCGUUCCAUGUCCCUCAACAAUUUCUGUAUGUCUUCAAUCACUACAAAAAUAAUUUCUUGACCCAAUAAAAUCUCGCAGAGUUAUUCAAACCCGAUAUCUUAGAAAGAUACAAGCGUUUUUCUGAUGUGUGCUGAUGUGUUCACUGUUAUGCUGAAGGUGUAGUAUUUGUUUGCAGGUAGAAGGAUUCUAUCCCGUCGCCCCAUCGUCAUUUCAAGGCAAUGAUGUGGCACAAGAAUUUCACAGACUACCUGGAGUUUCUUCACUUGGAGUGCUUGGUCACUCUUGGGUGGUGAAGGUACUAGUCGACAAUGAGACAAGGUAUGCAGUGGUUUAAUUGGGUAGUAGUGCUGAGGUUAAGAAAUUCACUAACUUUGCCUUACUAUGUAAGAGCAGUGUUUACGAUUCUCGACUUAGGCGGGUGGUUAUUACAGUUUUGAGCCGAGCUGAAGAGUUCAGUUGGUCAGAUGAAGUAGGAAUCUAGAGUUACUGUGUAUUUGUACCUGAUUUCCACUCUUGAAUGUUUCGGCAGCCUUGUGAGUGGAAGUUGCAUGCCUGUAAAGCAUGUAUGUACAGUCAAUAUUUUUUGUGCUGGAAUAUACUGUACCCCUCAUCUUGAAUAGUCCAGGUGUUCUCAUAUCGGUUUGUUAUUGCACCAUUCGUAAUCUUCAAAGAAAUUUGAUUGUAAUGAGGUCAUUCUGAGGCCUUGGACUGAGUAAAGUGCAUUUCGCAUAAUUAUUUUCGGACAUCAAUCUUUCCUGUCUACUGAGUAAUGUGCAUUUCGCAUAAUUAUUUUCGGACAUCAAUCUUUCCUGUCUACUGAGAAUGUUGAGUGAAAAAAGAACAUGUUUUUUUGCAAAGUCCAGUUCUAAUACGUCCUAGACUGCUAGAAUGUACAAAUCUCACUCAAAUGUCAAUCUAAUUCCAGUGCCUCGCGUGAGUGAAGAUCAUAAAAGCAAUAAUAUUUAAUAGGUUUAUUGCAUAUGGUACAUUGCUUUAUCACCAAGUAUGACGUUGAUUUAUGAAACAUCUGUUCAGCGCUCUCACAAAUGAUACCUUUCACAAAGGAGAUUCUUCAUUGAAUCCCACCACUCAACCACAAUCUCACAUGUAAUACCGAUGUUAAGAUGAUGUCAGGAGUCCCGAAAUAACCAUUAUCUGAGUGACACUAUUAUUGCAUGUAAAACUAGCCCUUGGGCAUAGUUCCUAAUACACUAGACAAUGAAGUUCCAAAACUUUCAAAGAUUAGGAAGAGUACAUGCCAAAUGUUGAGUAGGUUUAACUUUGUUAUGAUUCAUCAAAAUCUAGUACUAUCUAGUGAUUAAUUGAUGCUGUUUGUGUGAUUUUUUUAUUUUUUGUUCUUUGUUUUUUAUGUAGGCAAUUGUGAUUCAUAAUCUUAUCAGAUGUGAGUUUUUAAUCAAAUUUGUUGGAUUUGAUUAAAAUGAAAAUACAUAUUUUGUAUUGUAAGGGACUAAGCUGAAGUUGGUAAGUAGUUUUAAAACAUUUAAAAAACUAAAAGAAAUAUAACUUAUUCAAAUAAAAUUGCUAAAAAUACAAUCUAUGUAUUAAUAUACUAAAAUAAUCAAUAAUUUUAAUAUAUUUUUUUUUGGCUAGAUGUUGUAAAAUUUCUAAGCUGGGCAUAGUAAUCUUUUUAUUAGGAGAAAGAACGUUAGGCAAAGAAGUCUAUUCAAAACUUAAAGAAAGUUUUAGUAAAUUAAAUAUUAUUACACUCUCAAUUUUAUCUUUUUCCCCUGCAUGACACCACAUUUUGAUGCAUAAUUAAAUUUGGCCACAGUCUUCUUCUAGAUUUCAUAGAUAAAUCUUUAAAUAAAUUUGAUAAUAUGAGAAUUAAUUUAUUUUAGAAAAAUAUAGAGUUAGAAAAGUAUAGAGUUAACUUUUUAUUUUAUCCUAAAAACUGAAUAACUUAAAUCCAUCUGAAAACAAAAAUAGAGAAAUCUUUAAAUAAGCCAAUAGAUUAAGUAUUCCAAUUGCACAUAAGAAUAAAUAUAUAAAUAAAUAAAACCAACUGCUACAUGUGCAUCUUUGACAAAACCUCACAUAAGAACUUCACUGGAAUCUUCUAAAAUUGUAAAAAAAAAAAAAAAAAAAAAAAAAAAAAUUAAGUUAAGUAUUCCAAAUAUACCUUAAAUCUUGCAUAUAUGAUAAAAUCUUACAAUAUGUUUAUUUUUUAUUUUUAUUUUGAACAGAUGUGUAAAUUUUUAACCAUGUCAUGCAUCAAAUAAUGCUUAAUGGAAAAUUUAAUUAUAUUCUGAAUAUAUAUAUAUAUAUAUAUAUAUAUAUACAAUAUAAUAUAAAAAAUAUUAAAAUUAUUGCUAUAGUUUAAUUAUCAAUAAAUUUAGUUAAGAGAUAUAUAUUUCUAUUAUCAAAGAUGAUGUACAUUUCUAGGAUAGUAUUUGCAUUAGCUAUAGCUUGGAUUUAUUUGGAAAUAAUUUUAAAAUUAUAUAUUUUUAUUACUAAGAAUCGAUAUUUAAAAAAAAAAAAAAAAAAAAAAAAAAACAUUGAAAUUGGAACUUAAUUUUAUUGUCAAAUAUAAUAAAAUACUUUCUUAAUAAAACUAUUAAUUUUAUUAAUUAAAAAACUUACGAAAAAAUAUUUAAAUUACUAAAAUAUCCAUUAAAUAUUUUGUAGACUAUAUACAAUGUAAUAGUGGCUAUAUUUGUCACUUCAAAAAAGCUAAAUUUAUUUAGUAUAAAAUCUUCUAUGUAUUUUUAUCUGUAUUUUAUAUUUAUGUAUGUAUAUAUAUAUAUAUACAUACAUACAUACAUUAUUUAUGUUUAUAUAUAAUAAUUAUAAUUUUUUGAUUUAAAAAUAAAAUAUCAAUUAUGGCUUAUGAUUACUAUAUUGGGUUUUCUCAUGAGUAAUUAUCGCAAUUCAACAUAAUUAAAUAAUGCAAAAUCAAGAACACAUAAAUGCAUAAAUUUUGAACUUAUAUUUUUGCUAGUAACAUUCCAUAUUAAUACAUGUAUUAAAAAAAAAGUCCUAAAUAAAAUUUUGAACUUAUGUUUAUAGAAUUCUAUAAAUUCAUUCAAAUAAAAAUAAAAAUAAGAUAUUUCGGGUUAUGGGUAAAAUUGGUGGUAUGAUAUGAAAACAUAACACCAUAUUUUCUUUAUUUUAGAAAAUAUAAUGUAUUUUUUUUUUACCAUUGAACAUAGUAACAAGUAAAGGAGCUACUACAAUCCUUGUAUUAAACCUAUUAAGUAUAUAUUUUUAAAUUUGUAAUUAAAUAAUUUCGCCAAGUAUACACUAAUGUAUAAUAAACUCAAAAAAAAUAAAAAUAAAUUUGUGACACAAAGUCAAAUUGUAAAAAUAAUAUAUAAAUAUCAACAACCUUACUUAAGAGCUAAGUAGUGAACUCUCUCUUUGCUUGGUCACCAUUUAUAUACAAUGGUCUUCUCAUUAAUUCAUCUCUUAAAAACUAAUAACCUUUGCAAAUUAUUUAAAAUUUUAGAAACUAACUUUAUUUUAUGGUGCAUACUCAAUGAUCCCUGAUUUCUAAUAAAUAAUUGAUUUUUUUUUUAAUAAUUAGUAUAUAUAAUUCACAAAGGUCACAUGAUUGAACAUAAUUGGACAAAACAAAGACACAUGGUUGGCAAAGCCAUGUGGCUAUAUAUAAUUGGAAAAGGCAAAACCAUGUGGCCAAUAGGAUCAAGAUAGGAUCAAAGAUGAUUUUCAUCCUACCUUCAACACACCAACUAUAAUAAUUAGUAAUCUCUAAUAAUUAAUACUUUUUUUUUGCAAUGGAUGAUAUUAAUUAACAAGAGAAUAUUGACUAUGAACUCAAUGUUCCAUCAUUGAACCAAUUGUGUCUACAAUUUACAAUAAAACUAAUUUUGGAUGUUUUUGCAAAGCCACCCAAGCAAUUGAUUACUUAGUUAUAUCUCCCAAUAAAAUAUUAAAAACAAAUCUUUAGAGUAGUACACAAGAAAAAAUAUCUCUAGAUUUAUUAUUUUAAAAAUAGACAAAGAAGGUUCCUCGCCAGAUGAAGUCUGAAAUGUUAGUAAGCACUAAACAGGGUCUUAGUGACCACUAAUGUAUCGCCGCAUAAUAUGUCACAAAGAUUCAAAAGGCUUAAGCACGGCAUAGCAGAUCUACUCUGACAACAAUUGUAAUUUGAAUGACUCUGUCGUUGCAAAAGUGGGCUUAAUUGAUUCAUUGAUUAAAAAUGAGUAGAGAAAAAGUAAAUUAGAUAGUAGGACGAAAACUGCGAGAACCUGCCACAACGUCAUGGAAAUAACCCUGAUAACUCCAUCUCAACAGCCAAACGCAGCGAGUGGCCGCUCUACAUCCCCCUCAUGUGGCAGAAACACCACACUGCAACAGAACAGUUGAAGUAUAUUAUAAGAUCUCAGUAUCUGGAGGACCUGAUUUCGAUUCAGUUUCUGCAAUUAGCCAACAAAACCCAAAUGAAAAACAUGGACACAUUAUUAUCAUUUUGCUACUCUCAUUACUCAUAUGUCUUAGAACUCCACAACUUGAAAUAAACUCUUGUUCAACAUCAGAAGACAAUGUCACCUAAAUAGCAAUUAUACCAAACCUUCCACUUGUUCCUAAAAAUAUACACGAGGCGAACAGCUACGAGGAGAAGGAAGAAGUAGCACAAGCUUCUGGAGCUCCACACCAACCAAACGACGUUCAUCGACACCCUUCACAUUCACCUCGUACACCACCUGCAUUUAUAUCAACUCUAAGCACAUUAACCAGAGCAAGCUUUGUCAAAACGUCUAACAGUUGUUGCACGAACACUCACUAAAGGUGAAUGCUAAAGCACAGGUCCAAGCAUUACAGAUUGCUGACUAUUCAUUUUCUGAGAAGAUUUGACAUCCAAAUGCUUCAACGUUUACAGGAUUGAACAUGCGACCACAGCAAGAACCAAAUCUCUACAAAGGAAAUCCGGUUGGAUGGCAAGAAAUCCACUCUUAAAUGCAAAAUCCAGAAACGAUUGGAUCAGCCAAGAGAUGCUACUGCGUAACCAUAUCGUUGCCUACAGCUAAAGAAUCCGUUUAGGGGAACCAAAACUCAAAAUUGGGUAUAUAAUUAUCAUAACUCGGACUGUUUCUACAUCCUGUGCAUUAAUUCUGAAGUUUAAGGACCAGGUCUCAACUUAAAAUACACUUCAAGAGGGAUGCAUUUUCGGAUUCUUCCACUGCCAAGCUGCUAACAAAUGGGAAGAGAGACUUGCAAUCGCCAAUUACUGCAUGCGAAAAGAAGGCUUACGUUACGCCUCUCUUACCACAUUAUUGCAUUAAUCCACCAGCAUUUCAAGCUUAGUUUCAACUCCACCCAGAAAUGAACCAAUGCCAUUAUUUUUUUCGGUAUUGUCCCCCCUCAAUUCAUCGCGAAGAUACAUCGUAAAUUUAGAGCCACAAGUGAUUGCAAGGGACGAAACCGGCGAUGCUCCCAGUCCCAUGUCACAACAUUGUCACAGGUGCAGCAAUUAUUUCAUCAAUUUAUCCUUUGUCGAGCGAAACGCUCGUAGACUCAACAUUACGGCCUCCUCUCAUACUCACAGACCUACCCCAAAAACGCCAUCAUCCACGUUUCAGAACCCUGACAUAUACUCCUCAAAAUACUUCCCACCAGGCUUACACAAUGCAGAGAAAUUUUGUGAGCAGCAAAGUCUGCAAGAAGUCAGAGAGAUACCGGAAUACCCACUUUAUCGUGAAGAUCAGAGCCCCAAACGCGAUGCGGCUAACUCUGCACACCCUUGGGUGCCCUCAGACAACCAACCUCCAGCUUCAAGCAAUAAUAUGUGAAGUCUUCAAUCCAAAAAUCAUCUCCAAAUGUAGGUAUAAGUCUCUACGAUCGAACCCUAACUCCUUGAGAUCCAACACUCAUUCUCUGCAUUGAUUAUGGUGAUCACCAUUAAACUUCCAUACGAUCAAUAUUUCGCUCGGUUCUGAACGAGACCCGACUUGAAAGAGGCCCUUCUAAAUUGCUGAGCCAAAUUUUACCCUGUCGUGGUCUUCGUCUCCUCUUAACACCGCCAUCUAACGGUGCAGUGCACUCCAGGGAUGAGAUCGACGGCACUAGAAUAAGUGAAUAUGUCUUUCCUGCUGAAAUAGCUUCAACGCCAUAGUGUCUUCACUUCGUAAAUGGAGUCCUGGUGCGUUCAAGCUGACUGUGUUUGUGGGGUCACCUCCUUUCGAUCUUCUGCUCUGCACUGCCAUAAUGUCCCUUGCGCAAACUUACGCAGCGACAAAUCAGCCGUAGAGAGUGUUAUGUGUGUGCAUCAUGAUGCAAUUCAAUCGUUCUUCGUGACGAGCACUGGGAAAACCUACAGAACCGUUGUCUUAGUGUUGAGAUUUAGAGGGUUCGGAGUGUAGGUUUUGAGGGUAUGUCGAGAGUGACUACAACUCUUUGUUCCGGGCAAACAGUGUCUUGAUUAUCCCUCUUGUGUGUUCCUGCUCUGGGAUGCUGUGAGUUCGACCUCGCCGAUGGAGAGAAAGGAGACGAUGGUCUUCUGAUUAACAUCUAUGUAACAAGUACUCAAUUGGCUGAGGUCUGUUGACGCACAAAACGACCGUUUCCCUCUAAUUCUUUGCUUAUCGCGUGUGCAUGUGGCAGGUUUAGAGCGUUUGGCAUUGUUGCUUGUGCCAUAAAGAAUUUAAGAAACGGAGUUUGAUGGCUCAAUGAACGUCAGUCGUAGGUUUAGGGAUAAUAGACGCCGCAGCAUGCGAACACUAAUGUUGUUGGUUUUUUUUUUUUAAAUAAAAAUGUGAUGGGUUCCUGAAGUUCAAGAUGUGAGAGCCGUCCUUGAGCAUUCAUUGUGACCCGACUGUAAUGCUCAUGUCUUUUGUAAACUCCUUGCAGCUACAUGUCCAGAAGCAAUGGCAGGCAAGGUGACCUUCGUGAACAGUCUCAACGAAUCACAGAGUUUUAAGGUGAACUUGUUUGGGACUGAUAAGAAUCGAGUUAGGGUAAGCAAUGUGCUGGCAGUUUUCAAGUCGCCUACAGUGAUCAUGGGAGAUGGGAGCAUUUUGGAAGCUGAUGACAGUGGAUUGAGCAUGGACUAUUUCUCACCUGGAUCGGUGAACUUUGUCACUGUCAUUCCUGCAGCUUAUCAAGGUUAGAGUCUGUCUUCAAUCUCCAAAAAAAUUGCAGGCAGAGAGAAUACAACCAGAUAGAUUGGAUCAUAGACGGUCUUGAGCACAUUGUAUUUCCCCUUUUCUCAAAAAAAAUCGUUCAUGGCGUAGGCUUAGGAAAUCGAAGAAUUGAAAAUUGAAUUAUGUGACCUCUUUAACUUAGAGGACAAAACGCCAGUAGAUAUGCAGAUAGACCAUGGUGGAGACUGAAGUCUUUGAAAUACGUACAACAGAGAAAAUGCAGGAACCGUUGCAUCCAGUGAAUGAGCAACCACAGCCAAUUCAAAAUUGGGUCCCAACUGAUGGAGGUAUUUGCAAUGCUUCAACCAACUCUAAUUGACAGUGAAUGUAAUGCAACACAAUCCGGUUACUGAAUUGCAACUGAACAAAAACGCAGAGAACUGUGCUUGUUCAGAACAUCUGGAAGUAGCACUCAAGAGAGGUAGUAUGCAAGCCAUGUACUGUUGUAGUAUGCUGUUCACUUCGUUGCUCUAAGUUAAUCAUAAUUGCCGUGCACCUUUUCACAUCACAAAGAAUAUUCGCGUCAGAAGAUUGUAGAUAUUGAGAAGCCUGCAUCUUAUAUGCAAUUUUAUGUUAGAAGUAGCCCAUCCCACCAACUCCAGUAAUGUUAUUGCAGAGGUGGGAACAAUCGUGGAUUGGCAACACCUGCCUUUGAAGAAACCCAGAGUGAGCAGUCUACCGCCCGUAAUCGUUCCCGAUACUGGUGGAUUGGAGACAGUAUCUCGAUCUUUGGAGAUUGGUAAGAGCUUGCUGUAUUUCUUACUGCACCUGAUCCUGCUUUUUGUGGCCUUUAGGCUGCCAUAAUUGUGGCCCAAAACCAUUGCAAGUCUCAAACGAAUGUUCAUAGGGAUAGGUGAUGGACUUGCACGCUACUUUGUAACCGUUAGUCUGAUUCCUUAGAUAUUUAUCUUUGCAGCUCAAGUUUUCAUUCUAGAAUAAUACUGGAAGUGUCAAAAGUUAGAGCCAUCAUUAGGGUGGACCCCUGGUUCAACUUUAUGAUUAAGGGAACGUGUGAAUUUACUCUCUUCGUGCGUGUCACAGGUGCAGAGACGUUGCAACAACACAACAACGAAGACCAGCAUCCGGCAGAAGUGGGUGAAAUGGUUGCUUUACUUGAGGGACCUUCAGAACAGGGUAAGGAUCACCCUUGUACUGAGAAAUGUGUUGUUGCCGUUGCUGUCACAUUUUGCAAUUCCGUGUGAUGGAUGAUUUCAUUCAAGUAGGUGCAUCAAGAUCGUUAUUUCUUCUAAUAUUGAUGCAAUACAAACACCUAUCCUUAUGCCUUCAGUUGAAAACUCUUGGUUCUUAGGGUAUGCCCAUUCUCGUUGGCAGCACAACCCUGAGAGAUAUCUUGUCAACUGCAGGAUCUGGUUUAUCAAGAGAUGAUAGCCCUCUACAUGAGGAGAGCGAGGAUGACUCCGAGGGAAAUACUCCCUAUCUCGACCAAGAAAAGGCGUCAAGAGGACACAUAAAAUGUAUCAAAUGUGGUCACAGCAAGAACCCAGCAGCCAAACUUCUGUGCGCUAAUUGUGGAGCCCAAUUGAGGGAGCAGAUUAGAGCUCGAGUAGCACAACGAUGGGCCAUGCUAAGGGAGAAGGCAAGACGAGACGGCAGGCUGGGGGACAAGGUAAUUGAACUGCACUCAUCAUCAAAGAGCUGAAAAUCACGACAGAAUCUUGCAGAUAUUGUAGUCUUUUAGAGGUAUACGUUGAUUUCAUCUUUUUAUGUUGACGUUGCGUUCUUUUGGCUUCGAAGUUAUGACCUGGGAGCAUAGGUAUAGCUUAUGAAUGAAAGUGUGGCAUCGUGAGUACCAAAAAUUGCUUCGACUCCCUUGUCAAGAAGUUUGCGAGCUGACAUUUAUUUUAAUGUUUAUCUGCGCGUUUUUGCAACAUUAUUGUUGAAGGCAUGGCAAAGGAGAAAGAAAGGCGCAUUUGACAAGCUCACAGAUCUCACUAUGCUAGACUUAGAAAACACUUACUUCGCGUUGUUCAUGGCUCGCCGCAAUCGUGAAGGAGAUAAGUUUUCCUUUGAUGGCUGGUACUCGGAAGGAGCAGGCCGUGAGUUCGUCACAACUGGAGAUAUCGAAGCAAUCUGGAAAAGUUUUGUGAAAAAACACCACAGAAAGGACUCCAUGCUCCAAAUCUGUCAUGGAGUUGGAGAUCAUGAACCUCAAGAAUCUUGAAGUCCAUUUUAGUCUUAUCUCAUCUCAGCUCAUCUUAGCUAGUCGUAGCUGGUCUUAGCUCACCUUAACUCAUAUUCAAUGGCAGGAACAAGUUUUUUACGGGGUUAAAUAAAUAAAUAAAUAAAUAAAAUGUUAUCAAGGUGGUUGAUAACAUAGUUGCUUUCACGGAAUUGUCAGGGCCACUUGGAGCAAUAUGUGCAGCAUAGUAGUUACUGAACGUCACUGAAGCCAAUUCCAGAUGAAGGGAUUCAAAGAGGGAAUGUAUGUAUCUCACCCUGUCAAUUUCGUCUCUUUUCCUCUUCUGCUUCCUGAAUGUUGGAGAAUCAAAUGGCUAAUCCAGUCCAGUUGAAUGGCUACAGUUGUACACUCUACCACUACGUGCUCUUGGGGUGCUUUUUAUGGCAUCUAAAAGUUGUUGGCAUAUGCUAGUAUUGACCAGUCACUCAUUUGCAAUAUGCUAAUGAUGUAUGUCGCAACUGUCAACUUACUUAAUUUACCUGGAUGCAGGUUAAUGCACUCAGUCAAGGUUCUCAAGUGUUCUUCGCUGACCUGGGUUGAAGCCGAAGGAUUAUCACACACCCUUCAUUCCAUGAACCUUAGUUAUUCUACAAUAAGUUUUUAGUGCUUUUGAAGCCCAGAUGACCUUGACCUUUAUUUUCAUAUUUGUAAAGGUAUUUGUUUCAACCGCUUGCAGGUUGACUAGCACUUCGGCAUUGUACUCUCCACUUACAACAGAAUGUUCUGGCCAGCACACAAAAUCAGGCACUUGGCCCAAAACCACCCGAGGUCACAAACCAGAGAGCACCUAACCACGAUCUCUGGGUCUUCCGUAGAAUAUACACACUGUACGCUAUGUUCCAUUCCAUUGUGUGCUAAUUCCAACAACAAGAAAGACUGUACAGCACAGGUGAAUGCCUCCUCUAAAAUAUGCACUGAAAGAAUAAAACACAAAUGCAUUAAUAUCACAUGCACGACUCAUGUGGGGCAUGUAAAAUUUCUUACGAACUUGGAUAUACCAACUCAAAGUAACUUCGUGGUCUUUGCUCUUUUUGAAGUAGAUUUCAUUUCUCCAGUAGUUCUGCGAAUUACAAGCAACUUCGGUAGUUAUUGAGGAUCAGUAAUGGUAAGCAAAAAUAUGAGCCUCCAGUUGUUAGAUCGAUUGACUCUCACAGAGACUCUUUCACCCUUGAGCUCGUGGACACUGGUACCACAUGCUGCCACUUCCAAUAUAUACCCACCCUCUGGGGUCGUCUCACCAUCAAGGUUUGAGUCAGACAGGGGCCCAAUUCGUGCCUUGAACCGUUAGGGCUCUACAGCAAAAUAAUAGGUAAACAAAGAACAGUGACAAAGUUUCAGAGGAGCACGGCAACGCCAAAGGAUUCUCUCGUGGUGGCACACCCCCUCGAUUUGACUGAGCUCCUGGUGGGGUUUGUAACAGAAACUACAACUGGCACACAUGAUUCGAGGCGUAGAAAAUCCAACGACGACUGACUCAAGUGAAUCUAGCAAGGGGGUUUAGGCAGGGAGGGGGCUCGCGUCAGGUUCUGCUUUCUGCAGAUGUGAAGAGGGCCUUGCCACCAACCUAAGGCAGAUUGCUGCAAAUUUUUGUGAGGGCACAGCAGCACAGACAGACACAGGACUCUCAUUCUCCUCGGCGGAUCCAUCCCUCCUCCCAUCCUUCCUUCAGCUUUGUUGACUCGCUACAUGCAUCGUCUCCCCCACAUUGCAAACAAUCUUGUGGUAGCAGCACGAUGAAGCUGUUGUGACGACGCUGUAGCAAACGGUGAGAAGGAACAAAAAAACAGUUUUUCAUGGAAACCAAGGAAAGGACUCUUGCCCUUGUGCUUGGAAUUGCUUUCGUCUUAUGCUGCUCUUGUUGGGGUGCUGAGCCCAUAUUAGUUUACCUACAACAUGCAUAACUUUACCGAUAUUUGGAUUACAAUUAUUGUCAUUACAAAUAGAAUUUUUAAGUAAUCUCUCCAUUUAUCUUCCAUCGCUUUGUUCCACGGAUUCAAGCUACUGAGAAAAUAUUAAAUUCGAAAUAAUUUUGAAAAAUAAAAACAUAUAUAUAUUUUUGAAUAGUUAGUACCCCACUUCAACCAAUCACAAGUAUGGACUUUCUUGUCCAUGCAUUUCUUGGUGGACAAGCAAUAAAAGACAGGGCGCUCGAUAGGAAACUAUAAACCCCACAGAAUCAGCAAAAGAAUGCUUUUAGUCCCAAUAGACUAUGUCAAAACUCCCACUUAACCAGGACCCCCCUUUAUUAAGGCCGUAUAAUUUUUGCUUCCAAAUCAGCAUCAAAUCCUGUAAUGCAAAUUUUGGGUCUUUCAAUAAACCAAAGACAACUUCCACCAUUCCUUUGUAAGGCCUUACAAGGCUCAAGAGUAAUUAAGCAUUUAGAGAGGUAGGAUGGAUGGAUAUAUCAACGGAUGAAUGAAACAAUGAGCAUGUGGAUGAACGAGUUACAUGCUUGGUUGUAAUAUGGAUGAAGUAUGUGGACGGAAUCUGGGGUUCGAUGGAUGGAUGGAGUGCCUGGGAGUGGAUUGGCCCCAGCGUGAUCUAAGAAACGAAUGUUGUGUGUGUGUCUGGUCCGUACAUCCGAAACAAGGGACAUUCUCAAGGCACGGACAGUAGCCCUCGUGGCACACUUGCCAAAUCAUGAAUAGAGGGCCUUUACUGAAAUACAAAUUUAUGCCCCAAUAUAGACUACUACUGCUAAAACAUGUGGUUUGAAUUCGUUUUUGCAAUUUAAAUAUCAAAAAUAGGGUUUGUUAUGCGGAUAGGGCCAUAUUCAGUUUGCCAUUCCAAGAAAACUUUCGAAUGAUUCACUUCUGAACCCCGCAAAACAAAAAUAUGCCCCCCUUGCUAAAAUAACCAUGCCAUCUCCACCAUUUUUAUUUUUUAUUUUAUUUUAUUUUUUUAUUUAAUGAAACGGAAAUUAUUCCUCGUGGCACAUUUUAUAGAGUGUAAACCUUCUUUUUUUUAUAAAAACACGCAAUCCGUAUCAGUGCAGAUGUACUGGGAUUCAAUAAUUCAAUGUUUGAAUAUAAUGGUAUAAAUAGUUAACAUGUUCAAAAUGGGAAAAUGGGGAAUAAUAGUAUAUACUUGCAAUGGGGAUGGCUUUGACUGGCCAACUUCCCAUUCAUCUUUGACCACAAAAGGAACCUCUGCACCAGCAUAGUGGUCAAUUUCCAUACAUCCACAUAUAUAUAUAUAUAUAUAUAUAUAUGCGUAUUUAAAUGCUAAUUGUUGAAUAUGUUCAUUCUGAGUUUCAAUGACCACUCUUUAGUUCAUCUUUGCCUCUGUGAUUGUUAGCCAAAUGAAUGUGGACAUGGGUAAAAAUAAACAAACAAACAAAUAUUUUGGAUAUCCACUUAAUGAUAAAAUGUUGACAGGGUCAAGAACUCAAACAAUUUUUUAGGACUGUUUUCUAUAUUUCCUUCCUUUGUAAACACACUGGCAACCUAAAUCUACAAAUUGCCAUGGUCACAUUGAUAUUUCAACAGCCCCUCUUUUGUAUUUGGAUUUCAAAAUAUCAUGUGCUAUUUUGAAAUGUCAUCACAAGUGAAAUAUCACCCAAAAGCCUCGAGUCUAAAUCCCCUUGCUGUGUUAACUUUGUUUCUGACAUUCAUUAAACUACUUCAAAGGGAGAUAGUAUUUUCAUGAUGGAGGCUGAUAUGAAAAAACCAAUUAUAGAAUUGCCACUGGGUUGGUUGUUAACCCAUAAACCCUAAUUUUGCAUAGACACCACAAAGCAAAAGCUUGUCAAAGACCCUAUUUGUCAUCUAUCCAUGUCAACCUGUAGAAACUUGGAAAUGGGCUGUAGUUGAAUGGCAAGCCUCUACACAUCUGCUGAAAGACAGCAACAUUUAUUAUAAAACUGUCAGGCACGCACCUUUACUUGCCAAUUAUGCCUGUCCAGCACAAGGAAGGAACACCAAUGCAUGAUGUGGAGUUUUAUUAUUCCAUUUUCCGAAUUUGGAAAUGUAUACAAAACUUGAGUUAUGGAGUUGUCACGGUGUUUUCAUCAAGGGAUGAUGUGUAUACAAUGACUUUUUUUUAUAAAUUGGCAUUCUUAUUGUUCAUUCUCUCUGAGUCUCUUCAUAGAAUGACUAGAGCUGAAUAAUGUUGUACUAAUUAUCUAUCUAACUGAUCCCCAUCUUGUGCAUGAACAAUUAAGCCACUAUGUAGGACUUUAUUGUAUCAUCUAAUUUUACUUUUGUAUCUUUUACUUAUUAAAUUCUAUUCCAUCUAAAAACAAUCCUACUAACAAAUAAUAACAACUUCAUUCUUUGAUAUGUUUUAUAAUAUAUUUUUCUCCUACUAUAUCUUACCAUGUUCAUUAAAAUUUGAGCAUAUGAACACAUAUGAUAUGUUUGUAAAUUUAAGGUUCUCCUAUAAAAAAAAACAUGAUUUUUGAAAAAACCAAAAUUAUUCAUAAACAUAUGGCUCUCAAAAGUGACCAUGAAACCUUAUAUCUUUUAUGAUGAAUUGACAAAAAAAAUAUUUUGGUGGGAUUGUGUUCUAGGUCCUGGUAGGCAUUUAAGUCUUACCAAAUCUUAGGGUUGUUAUAUUUAUUAUGUUAAAUCUCUAUUGAGUAUAGUCCUACAUCUAUUGAUUCUAUUACACAGGCAAUUUUAACUCUAAUUAGACUUGCAUAAAUUAUUUUUCAUACUUAAAGAUCCUAAAUAAAUGCUAAUACAUUUUUUUUCUCUUGUUUUUAAUUUUCCUCUUGCUUCACCAACCCUGUAUGUAAGUGUUUAAUACAUUUCUAUUUUAAUCAUGCUCAAAACAUCAACUACUAAUUCUUGCAUUCUACAUUGUUUAUAAUACAGUUGUAGCUACACUUGAUUUGCACUUACAAAUGACAUUGUUCAAAAUAUGGUUUGAUGUAAACAGAUAUUAAGUGCAAAUAGACACUUAUUGUGUUUUACCAAUAACCUAGUAAAUGCUUACACAAGAAUCACUUGACAAUAUGAUGGUUGCAAUUUAAUAAAUGGGGCCAAUCAUAUGGAUGAGCUCUUCCAUGAUAGCUAAAAUGCAUAUGAAAGUAAACAUUCCCAUGGUAUCCCUUCCAAUAGUUGAAAACAACACUGAAACUUAUUCAGUAGUAGUAAGGCUUGAUCACUUCAAAAGGACAGAUGAGUACACAUAAGCACAUAUACACACACAUGUUAAAAUCACAAAACAAGGUCACAGAACCACAGUCAGCAAAUGCACAUCCAUUUUACAACUGGGCUAUACACGAACCCUACUUUCAACUUGCAUUUGUUCUGUUGUGUUCUAUAAUGGAAUAAUCUUAGCAGCAGGCACCAGCUUUCAAGUGGCAUCAGGCCCUGUCUAUGCCUUCUAAAACAAGCUUAGAGAGAGUAAGUUAAUGACCCCCCCUUUGUGGAUGGGAGUGGGAAUGAUAGAGUGGAUGACAUAGAACUCUGCACCACCAGAUGAUGGUGCUGAGUCAGCAUGGUGGGGAGGGAGACUGCUGUGACCCAAUCAUUGGGUGGGGCACAACAACACACACACUCACACACAGACCUGCAAGUAAAGCAAAGCAAGCCACCCACCCACCAUAUGGGAUGGGAUGGGAUGGGGCAUAUGAAUAAUAUUAUCAUUAUCCACAUGUGAUUUGGCCUUGUUGAUGUUAAAGUGGUGGUGAAGAGAUGGGGGGUGUGGUGCUCGUACUACUUAUCACCUCACUAACAAGGAGGAGGAGGAAAAAACAAAUAAAAACUGAGGAUAGCAAAAAGUGAAAGUCGAAAGGGAAAAAGAGGAAGCACGGAAUCAAUCACCUCUGGAAUGUCUGUGUUGCCCAUGUGGCAGAGGAGGGUCUUAUCCACUGCGCUGAGCUGGCCUGCAGGGGGGGGGGGCGGAUUUGGGUUCUAUCCCUCUACCAACUGUCCUGUGGUGUGUCCUUCAUGCACAGCUGAGGAAUCUUCUCUGUUGUGCUUGAUAUCAAAAUAUUUGCACACACACAUUUAAGUUUAUGGGUGUGUGAACAUGUAUAUAAUAUAUAUGGAAAAUAUGUUCUAUUUUUAAUUUCACCAAACUUACUAAACGUGUUUUCAUUUUUAUGGAACUGUGAUAAUUCAAGAUUUUAUUAUUAUUAUUAUUUUUAAAUAAAAAAAUUACCUCCUUAUUCUUAAGCGUGUAUUGAGGUUUAAUUAAUUGCUGUGUGAUUUAUGUGAUCCUUGUAUGAAUCUUUCAAACUCAUAAACUAUAAACCUUUUGUACUUCUUUACUUUGUUAUAGUCUUUUUUUUUCUUUUUCUUUUUUUUCUUCUUUUUUGUCCAUAGUAUAAGAUAUAUAAUUAUAAAAAUUCCAAGUAUAAGAUAUAUAAUUUUUAGGAGUUAAAAAUUAGAAAAUAUAUUAUGUUUAAUUUUAAUAUUUUGAAAAGAUAACAUAAGCUUGAAUGGAUGUAACUUAGACAUUUAAAUGAUUAGUUACAAUUAAAAUUUUGACAACAUGUCACAUGAAACUACUCCUAGCCAUACAUACAAAUAUGAAUAUAUUAAUUAUAUUUAAAUGCAUAAAACAUUAUUUUAAAAUAAAAAAUAAAUUCUAAUACAUACAUUUUUGAAUUUCGUUUAGAGGAAAAACUUCUCAAAAAACAAUUCCAAAGAAUUUCAACUGAUAAUUUACACGUUAAAAAAUUUGCCUUCUUAACUCAAAACAUUGUUAUAAUUAUUAUUCUUUUUUUAUCACUUGCAUUUCUCUUGUAUUAUUUUUAACUUUAACAAGAAGUUGGUUAUAGAAUAUCAAAUUAAGAUCUUAUGACGAUUAAAUCUAAAUGACUAAUCAAUUAUUAUCUACUUUUUUAUGUUUUUUUUAACUUUACCAAAUAUAAUUUAAAUGUCAUGGAAUCCUAAUUUUUUUGGAUUUUCAACACAAGUACAAGCUUAUAAAUUUAGAAUUUAGAACCUCAAAUAAUUUCUACCUAUACUCUCUCUCUCUCUCUCUCUCUAUAUAUAUAUAUAUAUAUAUAUAAUUAUGAUGUUUCUAAUUAUUGUGCUGAAUCUUACAAGUCUUUUUAUAUGUCAACAUACAUACAUAUCAUUUUUUUACAUUAUUCUGUGUGUGUUGGCUUAAUGUAUUGAUUGCAUUGUCUAAUGAUCUUAUACUUCUUUAGAGUUGCACAAAAAAAAAAUUUUGCACAAAAAAAAUUAGUUGCACAACUAAUUAUUUUUCAGAAAAAAAUAAUAAUAAAUUGUUUAUAAUGCAGUAAUUCAAUUUUCUUUUAUGAAUUUCUUAUUAUGACUCUAAAGCAUAAUCAAAUUAGUAAUAAAAAGUGCACGCAAAUAUUUCAUUUUUCAUUAGGAAAAUACAGAUAUGAGGCCUUGAGAUCCACUCCAACACCACUUUGGAAUUUUCUGCUAAGCUAGAACUUGCCAAGUUACUUUUUGAAAUAUACAAUGAUUUUAAAACUAAUAGUAUAGUAUUUACACUAACUUAUUUUAAGAUUGAGUGUAUUGAGUGUAUUUUCUUCUUAUAGCUAAAUAAUAAAUAACUUUUUUAGGUCAUAUUUAACUAAAUAUCAUUUCAAACUACUAAAGAGAGGUAUUUGUACACAUUGAUGCUUUUGUACUAAUCUUGCUAAACAAUUUAUUUAAUUUGUUUAAUAAAUUAUGAAAAAUAUAAAUUUAUAUAAAGACAUCAUAUGUAAAAGUAUUAGUGCCUUUUUUCAAAUGUGAUUUUUCUAAGUAUUUCAGGGUUACAGAAUUUUAAGCUACUCAUCUUUGCACCCAUUUGCUUCAAAUUCACUGCUAAGGUAGUUUUCUGCACCAUUGAGAAUCAUAUGUAAAACAAAUUUUGUAGAAAAAACAUUAAAAAAUAUAUUUUUUUAACAUAUAUAUAUAUAUAUAUAUAUAUAUACAGAUAUAUUUGUUAUUUUUUAAGUACAUAACUAUAAAGUUUUUAAUAUACUCUAUUUAAAAUGAAAUGAAGAAAGAUAAACAUUUAUUUAAUAAUCUCACACAAUAUUUUUCUAAAAUUUCUUACUUAUAAUAAUUAUGAAUAAGUCUAUUCACGUUGAAUUAUAUUUAUUUUGAAUUAAAAAAAAUCAAAGAGAUUGCUGAGAAUAUGUCAAAGAUAUGAUUUGACGAAGAUAGGAGAGCUUUCUUGCAUGAGAGGUUUCUUAGACCUUUUUGAAGAGUGUGUACAUAGGUAGUAUUUUAUUAAUCUUACACAAAAUUAAAUAUGAUUUAUGUCACAAUUAUAUAUAUUUAGAUGAAAAAACUAAAAUAUGUUAUUUUGAUCAAGUACUUGGUUUUAAUAAAUGAUAUUUCUUAUAAAACCAAUAGCACUUUGAGAAUAUUACAAGUGGCAUUCUACAACACAAUAAAAUAAUAAUAAUAAUAAUAAUAAUGAUAAUCUCUCUCUCGAUUGAUAUAUAUAUAUAUAUGUAUAUUUAUAUUAUAAUAAUGAUAAGUUAAAUGUUUCUAAAUACAAGAUUUUUAAAUGCAAGAUUUGAAACUUAAAAUGGUUGCAUCUUUUAUGUGCUUAUCACAUAUAUUUAUAUAUUUGAACUUUCAAUUGUAUUUCUAGGAUGGCCAUUUUUUAAAUUAGCACAAAAAAAUUGUGAACUGUGAUUUGUGUUUUCCAAUAGGAUAUUAAAUUCUCAUUGGCAUCCAUAUUUUUUUAAAUUGAAAUGAAAUUAAUGUUUUGUCAUGAGCCAACAUGUUGCAUCAAUCUACAAGUUUUUUUUGGUCAGGCUACAAUGUCAAAAUUUCUUUGUCACACAGAUAUUUUAACAUUGUUCCCACCUUCUGGAUAUAUAUAUAUAAAUAUAUAUAUAUAUAUAUAUAUAUAUUCACACACACAGUGUCUAUAAUUUAGCAAAGAUAAUUAAUCCUAAACUUUCAGAUUAGCAAAGUAACUUUUUUCAAUUUGUUUAUUUACCUUGUUCAUGAUUUAUAAUUUGGAGUAUUAUUUUGGAACUCCUUUCUCACUAUUUUAAUUCUUACAUAUGAAACUCAUUAUAUAUAUGUAAUUUAAAACUGAGUUUUUGUCUAAUGUUUAACAAGAUGAGGCAAUUAACUCUUAAUGUUUUAAAAUAGUAACAAAUGUAAACCUUGAUGAUGAUACAAGCUGUUUCAAUUCAUGUAAUAAGGUCAACUAGUGUUUUUUUUCCUGUAUCUUCUUUAUUUAUUAUUUAUUAUUUAUUUGUUUUAUCAAUUGUUAUGCUAAUGCUCAAAUUUCCAACAAUAAUUUUUAUUUGGUACUAAGUGCAUGAUGAUGAAAAAUAAAUAAAUAAAUAAAUAAUCAUUGUAUGAAUGCAUUUGGUGUUUACUUCCACUGUUUUGAAUGUAAAAAAGAAGAUACAGUUUAACCAAGUAGGUAUUCAAUAACACGGAUAGGAUAUUUCCCUUGUGCAUUAAGCACUACUAGGGUAUGUUUUUGCCCUAAUUGUUAGAGAUAUUUUAAAGGGUGGCAUUCAUGGCAUAGAGGACUCCAACACAACACCCAAGGCAUGCAUGUAUGCUUGCAUGCACACAAGUCUACAAGGGGUGCUUGUCCAGUUGGCACACUAGAGGCCAAGGGCCACACCACAUUAAGAAGCAGUAGAUGAAGUAGUAGUAGAAGAAAAAGAAGGUUCCAGAUAAGGCCCAUGCACAGCAUCACUGCCCUAGUGCCAUGAAUCUAUGGAAGUGCCCAACCCUCCUUUUUGUAUUAUUGGGUUUAUUUCAACCCUUUCCAACUUUUCAUUCAUUCAUUCAUUCACUUGCUCUAAUUCAUAUAAAUUUAUGGAUAGUGACAGGGAGAAAGUUAAUGGGAAUGAAUGUGGGUGGAAGAAAAUAAAUAAAUAAACAAAUAAAACCCUUUUGAAUAAUAGCUUUGCAUGCAAAGAUACAAUUUACUAUACACUUAUGGCAUGCAAUGUACAAUUCCAAUGUUGGAAUAGUAGUGAGGUACUAUGUGUCCUCCCAAGUGGCUUAAACUUGCACAUUGUGAAAGUCAUAUACUUGAUGCACAGUGGUGUGAUGUCUAUUAAAGAAGUUGUCAACCUAGAGUUAGAACAAGAUUGGAGAUAAAAGGAAAUCAUUUAUGCCAACAAUAUGAGGAGAAAAGACCAUUUAAAAAGAACAAAGAAGAAUUGGUUUCACUUCUCAAUGAGAAGGAAUUGGCCUUACGAUUAUCAUGUCUUAAAAUAGGUAACAAAUAACCCCUUUUCGGUUGAGUUUUGGGCUUGCCUUGGCCCAUAUGUGUCCAAUGUCACUUAGAAGUUCACAAGUUCCCACAUUGAGGAAUCAUGUGUUAUUUUGGAAGUGGCUUGGUAUUGGAGAGUCUCUACAUGUCACUUGCCCAUUGAUGGACAUGUUGUGUUCACCAAACCCAAGCUCCAAUGCUUCAAAUGUGGGACUCAUCAAUCAAGAAAGCAAAAGGAGCAUGAAAAGAGCUUUAGUCACAUGGUGCGGUGGUUCAUGCAUGGAAUUGGAAGAGACUAAGAAGCCAUGCAUAUUGACCCACUUCGCACUUUCAAUCCCUUUGUAGCCCACAAAGAAUAUGGCAUAUUCUCCAAUCUCUCACUUUCCCUUUCACCAAGCAAAGUAUUUCAUCAUCUAUUAUCAUUGGGUAGCACUCUUGCUUCAUUCAACUACUCUUCUUGCCACUUUGUUCCUAGAUUUUGUUUGUCACAAAGUUGUGGGAAACUUAAUUUGAUUGUAACAUCUUAUGACUUUAUAUUUUCCUUUUCAUUAAAGUUUUGCAUUCAUAAGUGUCAUUCUAUUGUACAAUUGUAAUUGCUAAAUUUUUAACUUUUUUGGUUAAGAGUAAAUUUUUUUAAUGACAUUUUAUUAUGAAGUACUAAUGUCAUAUCCAUGUUGAAUUUUUGUUGCUAUAUUGUCUGUAAGAAUACAAUUAAAAUACAUUAAAUAUAUUAAUCAAUAAAUAAGUCAAUCUAUUUAGUGUAUGUGCAUUAAUCUUAUCUUACCUUUUUCUAAUAUAAAAUUAACGUCAUGUAUAAAAUAAUAAUUAUUUAAAUAAAAAUAUGUAAUAUUACUAAAUUUUGCAAUUCAAUUUUUUUGAUAUUUUAAGAAUUUUAUUUAAACAGACAUAAGUUAGUAUUCACAUGACUAUUUCUAAUUUAAUUUUCAAAUAGCUGAGAUGACCAAAAAUUAAAUGUCAAUUAAAAUAAAUGUAACUUGAUUGAAUUGAAUUGAAUUAGAAAAUCAAUUUACAUCAAUUGUAUUAAGCUAUAUUAAGUACAAAAGUGUCGUAAAUGUAAAGAUUUUUUAUAUUAUAUUAUUAAAAAACUACAAAUAUUUUAUUUGAUAAUUUUAAUAAAAUAAUUACAAGAAAGUAUAUAUACUUUAUAUUAUAUCAUAACAUGUUUUUAAAAUAUUUAUUUGUUUCGUGUAAUACAUAUAUUUUUUAUUCUAUGCCUUCAAUAAGGAAAUAAAUUCAAUGAUUUCUUUUCUUUAAUUCAAUAUAAUAAUUUACUAAUUUAAAAAUUAAUAAAGAUGUUAGUUACAUUGAAAAUAGGAUAAAUUUAUAGUAAUAAUAUUAUUAUAAAAAAACGUAUUUGAUCUCAUUACAAAAUACACUAUUCUUCUUCAUAAAUAAAAAUAAUGCUCCAUUUAAAAUCAAACCUAAUUUUCUUGAUUUUUUUUUCACUAAGUUACUGAAUUGAAUAUCUAUUUGUAACUUAGGCGCUUUUAAGGGAAAUUUUAGAAAGUGGUUUUUUUUUUUUUUUUUUUUUUUUUUUUUUCCAUGGAUUGCUUCAUUCAAAUGACUUUUAUUUUUUUGAAGUGCAAUGUCUUCCAAUUGCUUAGUUGUGAGGAGAUCAUUAUAAUGUAAAUAAUAUAUUUUUUAAAUUUGUAUUAAGAUAAUGUUAUAAAAAUUUCAGAUUAUUUGUGAACAAGAGCAAGAAUAUUUAAGUCAUUUUGAAAUAACAUUACAAUUUAAAUUAAAAAAUAAAAUAAAUUCAUACUCAAUAUUUAUUCGGCAGUAAAAUGUUAAAUUUUAAAUUUAUGAAUCUAAAAAACAACCUUGAAUCAUAUAACCUUGACUAUUCCAUCUUUUCAAAUCAUGAUUUUAUAGUAUUUUCCUUGGCCACAAUAAAAAGUUGUGAAGCAUAAAUUCUCUUUUUUCUUUAACUAUAUAUAUAUAUAUAUAUAUAUACACAUACAAUUAUUCUAAUAAAAUUUAAUAACUCUCUGUAUAAAAAAUGUGAAAACAAAAUUACAGAUUUAUUCUAGUUCACUUUUUUGUUCUUUUAGAUUUAUAUGGUCUUUACAUCAAAGUUUUACAAAUAUUUAAAACUAAAAAUAUGCUAUUAUUCAAUAGAUGAUUUCUAAGACUAUCCUUCUCUUAAAUUUUUUUUGCAUUGAUUUCAAAACAAUGAUUUUUUGAGAUCUGAAUGGUAAUUUUUAUCUGGUUAAAAAAAAAUACAUACUACUAUAUAUUACCAUAUAUACUUAUUCAUGCUAUCAAAGUCUUGUAUGAUUUUUGCUAUAUAGUAAUUGAAAAUAUGGUUUUUGGUAGUAAUCUAAAAUUAAUUUAAAUUUAAAAUAUUAUAUAUAUAUAUAUAUAUAUAUAUAUAUAUAUAUAUAUGAUUGUAAAAAACAUGUUAUUUGCAAAUAAAAGUUCAAGAUUAAAUCCAUAAGAUAUUAAUCAGUGAAUAACUUGGAUGGCCUUAAAAAAAAUUGGUUAAAGAAUGUUUUUUUUAAAUAUUUAAGGCCAUGAACGUGAUUUUAAAUAUAUUAGAUAUAAUUUCUUUUAAAUUUUAUAAAUUUUAUUUCAAUAUAAAUAUUAGCAAAGUAAAAGUUAAUUUUUUCUUCUAGUUGUAAUUAUAGUAAAUUUAUGGUCCAGUGUAUAUAUAGAGGUCACUAGAAAAUUAAUAAAUUUUAUUAUAUAAUAUACUUUUUGAUGCUCUUUGAAUGCUUCAAAAAGUAGGCACAGAAAUAUUUUGUACUUUAAAGAGUCACUAGGUUUCGAAAAGAAAAUCAAGUUUAAUAUUACUAUUAAACAUUGUGUCUUUGAUAAAACUAAAAAGAAUGUUAGAGCUCACUUUAAUAUUAUAUUUUUGUGAAAAAUGAUUUAUUCUUCAUGUGGUUACACUAAUUAAAGAAUUUAAUACACUGUAAUAAAAUUUGAAAUUUUGGUUACAGUCUACUUAUUCAAUUUAAGUGGUUUUAAUAUAUCCAAAUUGAUUUGUAGAAGGAAUAUUUAAACCAGACUGUAGUUUAAGGAAAAAAUACCUAAUAUAUAAAUAUACAUAUAUCAAUACAUAUUUUACACUUUAAAAAUAAAUAGAAAAUGAAGUGUUAAAUUUCAUUUUUCUAAUCAUAAUUCGAAAUUUUUUAUAUUUUUAUUAAAAGUAAUCCUGCACCAAAUUUUGAUAUAUCUUAAAUAAUCAAAUAAACUAACGGUGUUGUUCAGACCACUUGCUUAACCUUUACCAUAAUGCCAAACUUCUCAUUCAUAAAUUAGAUAAAAGAAAUCAUGUGUAAAUACAUAUGGUUUUAUAAUAAAUUUAUAAUUUACAUUGUGAAUUUAAAAAUAUAUUUUUUUUAUUAUAAAUACUUUUUAACAUUGUAGCUGUUAAAGAUAUUUCUUCACCUUCAUGUUAAUUUUCUAUGAAUGCCGGGACAAUUCAAUAUAAUGUGAAAUUUAGCAUCACAACAUCACAAAAUGCAACAAACAUGUUCCAAUUCACUUGAGAAACACAAAAACAGUGAAAAAAAUCAGGUUAAUAUCAACAACAAUAAUGAUCAAAUCAAAAACUUUUGGAAUACACCAUGGUUUGGUUACAAUGGCAACAACAUCUCAUCAUUCAUACUCACAAUAACAUAUAUUUAUACAAAAACACACACACACACACACACAAAGAACAAAGCAUAAGUAGGAAUUCAUCUGAGAAACUUGAUUUUAUACGUCAUAUAUUCGCGCAUUGGUAGCGGGCAAAUUAGCGGUGUUGCAAUGAGAAUGCAGGAGAAUCCACAUUUAGAGGCACGGCUACAUUUAGAGGUGCCGCCACAACUGCCACUGCAACUACCUUUAAAGGGACGUGAACGGGGGGGGGAUUCUGAGGCGGCGUCGAUACAAUCACCGAUUCCACUGAUAACCACUACCCAACCGCACCUAUGAAUCUUCUUCUUCAACUGCCCCCAAGUACUAGGAGGCAGAAUUUAGCACUUGGGGGGGGGGGGGGGGGAGGGGAGGAAAUCUCUCAUCGAACGAACGAUCCGGCUGUUAAUGAGUGUGGGAAUCCAGAUACGACGGACCAGACUCAGACCUGACAGACCUGGGCUGCUAAGGCCAGACUGACCCGAUCGGACAGGCGCAGCAGGGAGUGUGCGCGCUGCCGCAUCAGCAGGUGGGAGAUGGAAGAGGUUGGGCGGCCGACGCUGACGAAUCGGGACGGAUCGUCACCGCCGCAGGGGGCUCGCCAUUCACUCUCCAACGCCCCAAGCGGUUGGGGAGGAGCUGCUGCGAAUUUGAGAUUAGAAAAGCGCCGCCGAUAGAACCCAUGAAUCGUCUGAAUCCUGUGCAAUUUGUAGAUGGGUGCAGCCGAGAUCGGCGACUCUGGACUCGCGCUUUAUCACUAUUCUCGCUCUCUCUUGUGCGUGGGUGCUGCACCUGUUGCGUUGUUUCGCGGUUCGUCACCCGAAUGAAUGAUGAAAAGCUUCAGCAUGGGUUUGUUCAUCGUGAUUUUGGGUGAACUAGCCUUGACGGAAAAAGGUUAACUACCCUGUCAGCUUUAUGAAUUGAUUACCAUAUUAUGAAAGAUUCGAGUUAUGAGUAAACCCUGCUUUUGGUGCACUAUAUUUAACGUUGGUAAGGUGGAUGGUUUUUCUUGUCUUCGUUAUGUGCUGGAAUAUGUUAAUACUAAUACUAAUGUAAAUAACUUUGACGUUGGAUAUUAGAGACAAGUUUUGAAGUUUCAUCUUUGAACAAUAUCCAAAGGGCGAUUUUUCUUUAAAAAAGGAUUGUAAAAUAUGAUUUUAUGAAUGGGUAUAAGCUGUUUAAUGUUUUCAUUUUGAUUACUACUACUAUUAUUAACCCAAUCAAAUAAAAUACGACAGUGUGUUUAAGGUUUGAAGCAACCAUUUACAUGUUCAACAACUUCCAGCAUUUAGUGGCGUUGGAAAAAAUCGACAACCCAGUUUCUGUGUUAUAUGAAUUUUACUUUACUUUUUAUGUUAAUUACUAAAACUUUGUGAAAUUUACAUAACCUGUGAUGCGUGUAAAUACCAUAAAAUAAACUUCAAGUUUAAUUGCAUUUGAAUUCCGCUAAAGUGUGCACGUGUGUGAAUAUUCAUACACGUACAGGAGAUUAGUUUAAAUGACACAAAAUCUUUGUGAACGAUGGGUAUUUAAAGAGCAAGAGGUUUACAACACAAUACAAUCAUUGAGUUCAAUCUUAUAAUAAUUACAAAUGUACACAUUUUUAUUCGAUUUAUUAAAUAUUUCAAACUGCUUAACAACCAUAGUGCACAUCAGAGCAUUUUGAGUUUUAGAACGUAAAAGAAAUAUGAGAAAGGAGAUACAGAGCAGGACAAGACAAAGUUUGUUGGAGUAACCUUUUAAAAGAAGUAGAAUCAACUACGAAUAGUUCCAUUCAGUCAGAUACAUCAAGCAAUGAAACUCAGCCAAAGGGAACUAACACGCCUGCAAAAUUCUCUACAGUGACUCGUUCGGAAACAGGGCAAAAGCAAACUCCUCUUCCAGAAACGAAAAGCAAUUGGGAUUAAACUGGGUUUCAUCCAUGUAACGUGAUUAUGGAGGAUGCAGAUAACCGACAAAUUCUGGAAAUUCUAUCCGCUGUGACUGUGCUUGCACGAAUACGGAAAAGGCUCUCCCUCUCUGCGGCCCUGUUGCUGUGCUUCACCGGAGUCUAGGAGUGAUUGUGCACAUUCUAAUAUUAACUGUUGUUGUGAUGGUGAAGAGUUGUUAGUUGCAGUGGGUGGAAAGCUUCGAGGAGGGGGGGGGGGGGAUUCACCACAUUAACUGCACACGGAGAUCCAGCUCAAAGCUAAAGACCCACCUCCAGCAACUCCAGCUCAGGAUGCACAGCGCCGUGUGGGUCAUGGAAACGCAUCCAGUGUGUAGGAUUUGGAUCACAUGCUAGUGAAAGGGGCUUGAGUGAGCUGUGCCACCACGCCAGUGAUCCGAUGGAUAGAUUUGCAACCUAGUGAAUAGGCUCACGGUCUAGAAUCAGGUGGAUUUUGUCCUUCAGGGAGAGAAGGGGCGCUUGUGGAACAGUGUCGAUUCUCCGGAUUCAUCGACUAGGAAGGAUGAAGGAGAGGCAGGCGCCACUGGUGGUAUUUAUACACUGCGGCGGCUUUCUGUGAGACUCGGGGUCAACUUUACGUGAGGAAUUUGGGCUCUUGCUUCUCGCAGACAGUCAGACCUACCUCGUUUGCUAAUCUCGUUAGACCGGAUGAUCGAUCGAUCGGAAGGACCGACUGGAAUCGUCACAGUGGGGCCCUGGUUCGCGAUCGUGCUGCCUCCAGUCCACCUGUGGCGGCGCUAUGUGGCAUCAACGAACUACUUUCUUAUUGAUUGUGCGAUCAACUGAUGUCCACUUGUAUGCAAGUUACGUUGGCCCGCGAGCUUUGGAUUCAGUCCCUGCUUGCUCCCUACUGGUCACAUAUUCAAUUUCCCUUUUGUUGCGUUCGAAGUGGGUGUAGGAGUUUAUUUGCGGUGGGUGGAGGUUGCGGAGGACUGUGGGAAGCGAGCUUGUCGUCGUGAGGUUUAGUACUUUAGAGCAUCCCUGCGGUGCUGCAGAAGCGGGGCACAGUUUGUUAGUUUUCAGCUCGUGACGCGUAUACUGGAGCCCUCUUCUAGGCCUGCCUUUGAGCUUCUUCAGUGAGCGGGCUUCCCCUUCACCGCAACGGGACUGUUCAGUAUGAUUGUUGUUGCUCGGCGUCGGUCCCACAGCGGAGGGUGCACUCGCGUGCUCCCGCCUCCAGUUCCGUGUUUAAAUUGCCAGUUGCCGUAUAACACAAAUAGCGUGUGAGUGGGUUCAUUCUUCUGGUGGCCGCUUGCAAUCGUGGAUUGAAUCAACACUGGCUUCACUGCAAGCUGAGCCUGAAUUAUCAGUCUCAAAGAAUCCACCUCGAAGUUGAUUGCUCGGAUCAAUAAGUGUGCGGGGAGAGUUUCCUAAGAGCACCAUGUGUGUCGCCAACACAAUCUUGCAGGUGCACCCAGCGUCGAAUUCAGGCGAUGAGUCGAAUCUCGACAUGCAGGAGUGUUCGCUCCAGUCGUGGCCUGCUCCACAGCAGGUAGGCUCCUCACAAUAUCUCAGUUGGCGUCUGACAUAGAGGACAUUCAAGCUGCUCUAAUCGUGAAAUUAUGAAUUGAGGAUGCAGUGAUCAAUACCGUAACAUUUCUUGUGCUUGCAGGUUGUGGAGGAAUUGAAAGAGUCGAUGAGAAUUGCCGGCCCGCUCGCAGUGGCAAAUGGGAUCGCUUACGCAAGGUUAAUGGUAUCUGUGCUCUGUCUGGGUCGAUUGGGCGGGUUGGAGCUCGCGGGCGGCGCGCUGUCAAUCGGCUUCACCAACAUCACGGGUUACUCUGUUCUCUAUGGACUCGCGUCUGGAAUGGACCCGAUUUGCAGUCAAGCGGUGGGCUCGAAGAACUGGCACGUUGUGGGGCUAACCCUCCAGCGCACGGUGCUCAUCCUGCUCGCAGCCUGUCUCCCUAUUGGUAUGUUGUGGACGAACCUGGGGCCUAUCAUGCUCUUCCUCGGCCAAGACCCCGCCAUCACUGCGGUCGCCAGCGUCUACUGCUGGUACUCGCUACCGGACCUCGUGGCGAAUUGCUUGCUGCAGCCGCUGCGGAAUUACUACCGGUGCCAGGGAUUUCAGUCUCCGAUGAUGUACUGCGCCGCGCUCGGAGUGGUGCUCCACAUCCCCCUCAGCAUUGUCUUCACGUUCGUCUUCCGUCUUGGCGUGCCGGGAGUGGCGAUUGCAGCUUCCAUGACGAAUAUCAAUGUGGUCAUCCUCAUGCUCCUUUACGUGAAAUUUUCGGGAGCGUUUAAGAAGACCUGGGGAGGGGUCUCGCCCGCUUGUGUGCGCGAGUGGUGGCCUGUUCUGUCCCUCGCCCUACCGAGCUGCCUGCAGAUUUGCUUAGAAUGGUGGUGGUACGAGAUCAUGACCAUCUUAGCUGGGUAUCUUCCGAAUCCACAAGUGGCAGUUGCAGCGACUGCGAUACUGAUUCAAACUACCGCACUCAUGUACACCAUUCCCAUGUCAUUAGGGUCGGCGGUCUCUACCCGAGUGGGCAACGAGCUCGGGGCCAACCGACCAGAGAGAGCAAGAAAUGCGAGCCUUGUUUCCCUGGGAGUUGCGUUUCUUGUUGCGAUAGUGAGUGUGAUUUGGACAACGGUUUUCCGAAAGCAAUGGGGCACUCUCUACACCGUCGACGCAAGUGUGCUCGCCCUGACCGCCGCUGCCUUGCCCUUAAUCGGUCUCUGUGAGCUCGGAAAUUGCCCGCAAACGGCAGGGUGCGGGAUUCUCCGCGGCAGCGCUCGCCCGACCAUCACCGCCUCAAUCAUGUUCGGUUCGUUCUACCUAGUUGGCACGCCUGUGGCUGUGAUUUCUGCUUUUUGGCUAAGGAUCGGAUUCCAGGGGCUUUGGUAUGGCCUUCUCGCAGCACAGAUCUGUUGCGCAUGUGCCAUAUUGUUCAUCACCCUGCGCAUCAACUGGAUUGAGGAAUGCGCCAGAGCGAACAAGCUCACACGCUCAGAAGUUGAUUCUGCGAGUGAGAUGAGCAAACUCGUGAACCACAAGAUUGGCCCAAUCCUCGGCGCCGACAGCGACGAACUCUCAGCAUUCAAGUUGGAGCUCAGCUCUAUUGUUUCCAUUGCCGAAGAGCAGGCCGGGCUGCUGGUCGACGGGAAUCCAAAUGACAAAUUCUACCCACUGCAAAUCACGUGAGCUUCACCUUUUGCAGCUACUCAGAGUCGUCAAUGUGUAUAGGAGCCUUUAGCCGUCGAAUUUCGAAUGCUUCAGCAAGUGGUGCUGGUGAUCAAUUACUGUUGUGGUUCACCCGGCCCAACAAUCUGUACAAUAUUUGCUUCCCCACAGCAAUAGUCUUGAAGUUUCCUUCUUUUUAAGGAAGCCUCCUAGUAGAGUGGAGAUUAGGUAAUGAGGGCCGGUGGCACAUUGCCGCAAGUUAAGAAGCUUUUGGUUGCUCUCCAACGAUUUCAAAUGUAGACCUUGAUGCAGUUUUUUUUAAUUUAUUUUUAUUUUUUAUUUUCUCCUUGUGGAAUAAAGAUAUCAACUUUGUUGCAACUGAUCUGCUGAUUAUUGGUUCAUACUUGAUUCCUCUGUGUUAUCAAGCUCAUAGAUUGGCGUACAAUGAGGACAUGAUAUGGAGACUAAUUACUUUGACACAUUCCUCUCUCCUUUCCCGAAACGAUCAUUGCGUGCUGGAGUGAAUGUACGACUGGUUUCACGUGACACUUUCAAGUUGCGGUGGUCAGUAUCCUUCACGUGCUGCCGGUAACUUCCUGGUAGUGAGAAGGGAAAGGUGAAGAGGCACAAGCUAGAUUAUCUGGUGGAUUGUUGAAAGCGGUUGAUGCACGAACUGCAGUGAAGCGAUCUAUAUGGUGAAGCUACAGGCUUGCUGAGAUAUUAGAUUCGAAUCCAUAUCACGUUGUACAGAAAUGAGAAAUGUCUUGACUCUCCUAAAUCGUGAACUUGUAUAAGACUCUUUUGUAAUCCGACAGUGUUCAAGAGAAUCCUUCAACUCAAUGCUCUGGAGUUCAUAAGAAAGUAGCCCAAGAGACACCUACUAAACCCAAGGCAUCUGAACAUUGCCCAAUGAAAUUUCACUACAGGAGGAUUCCGAAGUACAUGAACGCAAAUAUGAGACCUACCAAAGAAUUGAGCAUGUGCAUCCGAACUGUUUGAAAAAAAUUAUUUAACAGAAAUGCAUUCACCAAAUAACCUUCAAAGCUAUACACAAUUCCCGCUUCUAAUUUGCAAAAAUAUCUACACUAAAUAUUACUGCUUCCCUGCGAGAAUUUGACAUUACCGAGGUCGCUAGCAAUUUUUACAGUGUUAGCUAAUGAAGAAGACGCCCGCCUCACCAACCCCGCAACAGCAGAAGAGGACCGUCUCACAUUGGGAGAGCUCGAUCCGCUGCUCAUAAAUUGGUGUGAUAAAUUUCUUGCAAGAGAUGGUGGAGGAGCCGCAAGUUGGGGUGCCAUGUCUGUUUGACAACCUUCUGCACUACGCAAAAGACUCGUUGAAUCCACAGAUAAUUCUUCAUCUUUUUCUUGUUCUAAAAUCACGAUGCGGCGCGUUUUCUUCUGUUUCCGCUUGCGAAAAACAUUUCCAGGAUUUCCCUCCGCACCAUACUUCUUUGACGGGGAGGGUUCUGCUGAAGAUGAUUCCUCAGUCACACCGACAGUACCUCGAAUCCCCUUGUCGUUUCUUCCUGUUUCAAGCACGCUAGUGUCUGAGUGCAAAGGAGAGCUGGUUCCAGCGCCUCCACCACUGCCCUUUACGGCAUUUUCCACAUCAAUUCCGACAUCUUCAGGAGAUUUGCUCUUCAGCUCUUGAAAAAUAACUUGCUUAUCAACUACCGACAAUGAGUCAUUUGAGUCAUUAUUAGUCAUGUCUGAUACGGAAUCUGGUAGAUGUUCAUCGAAGGAAUCACUGUCACUAUCACUUGUGGCAGACAAAUCUGGUGGCAACCGAAGCAUCUCAUUCACUAAGCUUUGGCGUCUAUGCAUAAGGUCACUGUCAUAAUGCGGAGGUGAUGCUGGCAGUCCAUUGUUCCCAUCCUCCCUAGAUUCCCACGAACUCAUAAUUCCCUCACUGCUGAGGGGCUUGUCCUCAAUACUAAACUUUGCCACAGACUCAAGAACAUGUUCAGCUUCUCGAAGGCCUGUAGGAACAGUUAAAUCCUCUAACCUUCUUCUAGUCUUUUCCUUGCCUUGCUUCCUUCGUUGCGACCAUCUUCCACUGUCACUGUUACCCAUGAUUUUAUUGCCAUUACUUGGACUUUGAGCUUCGUUCUCCCAGAAUCCAAUCAGAUCAUUCAGCCAGGUACUCGAGCCGUCCCUUUUCAUGUUUUCAAUCUGUUCUAUAAGUUGGGCUACCUCAGGAUCAACCUCCUUCGCUUCUGACCGUAGCGGAGCAGUUUCGGUUUCAGGUACAUCCUGUUGAACACUGUCAACUGCUCCAGCUAGCUUAGAGUCAACUGUGCGAUCAUCAAUUGAUGCCACUCGUAUGGCCUUUUUCUGUCAUUCAACACACAGCAAUGACCUAAAGAUUAUUUAAGGUGCAUAAAACAAAAAAAAGAACACAUCCGACGCAAUGUAUAUAUAGGGUUGAUACGAAGACUUUUUGUCCAGGAAAAUAUUACUUAAUACAGCUAUAAUUGCUUAAGCUAAUGUGCAAUACAACCAAAUUUCACAACUAAUGUCAAGAGUAAAGAGUUGAAUUCAUCUGCUGUAUGUGCAAAAUAAACGAAGGGUGUAUCAAACAAAAGCGUACCUUGUGUGGUUGUCGAGGUUGAGAAAGCAGAGGGUCUGAAGAGUCUCUUGUAUUGUGAAGAGGCACAUCGGAAGCCUUCGCAGGUGCGUAGACACCGUAACUGGCUCGGCGCUUAGCCCGCUGAGAGACCAUUCUGCUCCUUAACCAACACUCCAGCUUCGUCAUCAAUUUUCCAUCCACUUCCAGCUGCCAGAAAUAAGAAAUACGGAGCGAGGUUAGGUCGCAAAAUCCUCGAUAAGCUAGAAUCAGAAUGACAUUGGUGUCUUUGAAAACAAAGAACUAGUGAGUUCUAGCCAAGCUGCACAGAAACAAGGAAAUGCAGGUCACACAACUGCAGAUUAAUUUCUUUCGUUAAAUAGAACAGAAAAAUGAAAAAGUAAAAUUUGACAAAGAAAAAGAAAAAGAAAAAGAAAAUGAUCUAAUUCUAUCCGUGUAGAAAGCAAUAAACCAGAUUAAGCACUUAAAUAAGCUGCUACAUCAGAGCUGCAAUGACGCAAACGUAUUCAUACUGUAGAGAGAGGAACAACAGAAAAAUGACAUACCUUACUUGCAUCUUCAAAGUAGCUGAAAACCUCUUCACGAUAGUGUGAGCUGACACUAAUAGGGUUGCCAUUCAACCACAAGGUCUGAAGACUUGGCAGAAAGCCAAGAGUCUCCACUUCAUGAAAAUUGGAAAUUAUAUUAUAAGAAAGGUCGAGAGCUUCAAGAGAAUGAAGCGUCUCUAUUCCUUGUGUUGAGACUAGCGCAUUGUUCCUCAAGACUAGCUUAGUAAUGGGACCCACUACCUGCAUGAAUUACAAUCCCCAACUUAGGAACAAAGACGUCGGUAGGUGAAAUCCACUUCAAACAAUCCGUCAGAUAAACAGCAUAGCUUUUACUGUCGGACACGUGAUGCGAUAUAUGAACUGAUACAUAAGUUUUAGAUGCCAUACGUUGUGCGGGGCAAGGUGAGGCGAACAAGAGGAACAACAUCCUUUGUGAAAUCUCCAGGGGAUAUUAACAGAACAUUAUAGAAAAUGAAGUGAUUAUUUUAGAGGACAAAAAAUCGAGAACGAAGUCCAACACACCUGACUUAAAGAAGCCACAGAUGAAAUGUGGUUGAAUCCAAGGUCAAGGAACUUAAGCCUGGUGCACUUUUGAAGAUUGGCUACUUUCGCAAAGUUGUUUCUACUAAGAUCCAUAGUAUCCACAACAGGAAGAAGCUGGAGGGACUCAUCCAUCAGAGCCAAUCCAUUGCAAGGACAUGCUACAGCUGUUAGUCUGCUCCAUUUCAUCGCGACAUUUACCUCCACAGUUGGCUCCGCAAAAAUGUGUCUCAACGCAUUCUGCAUGCCACGGUGUCCACAGCCCUUCAGAGAUCGACCAAUUAAGACAGGAUGGAGAGGUAGAAUAAGGUCAUGUCCCAUCUAAUAUUCCAUUCUCAUAUACUCUCAUCAUUCUUAGACUGACAGAUACAAGAAUUGACAAGGUAAGGCACUCUACUCAAAAAAAAAUUAAGCAAUUUCCUCAACCUAGAGCACUCAAAGUCACUGGUCUAAACCUAAUCUACACUAAGAGUUGCAGAGAAUGCUGAGAGCAGCAUUCUAUUUACUCGUGAUACAGCUGCUUCAAAUAUCAAACCUCUAGAUCACAAAACCCCAACCAUACUGUAGCCCAAACACUCGAACCAGUGAAAGAAUCCAGCUGCUCACGGGAAUGGUAUAGUUAAAAAAAUCCUGUUCCAGAGGAACAAAAGCUAGCAGCAAGUAUUUCUCUCCAACAUAUGAAGUUUCACCAACCAAUAAACCGACAUGAUGUUCUAGGAACUACUCGAGCAAAUCCAAUCUCAGAAGCUAAAGCAACAGGAGGUACUAAUUAUCUUACACUCAGUUCUCAUGAGCCCAUCAACCAAGAAUUACCCUGGAAGAAGGAGAGAAUUAAAAAUGUAAAAGAACAAAAACAAAUAUUUUAAAAAGCAAACGAAACCCCACUGUUCAAGAAUCCCGUGUGCAGAUUCAUUGGCGGCAAUAACUGGCUUCAGCACGACACUCAUGAAACCUCCUAAUAGCACACAAGAAAUCCAUAGGUUAUCAAUUUGACAAUAGAAAAUUCAACUUACGGCAGAAUUGUAGCAAACGAGCUUCUCCAGAAUAGGUCGCAAUUGGAGCAACCCUCGCGCGGCCGAGGUGGACAAGUCACACCCCCGAAGCUCCAGGCUCUUCAGCCUCGUGAACGGGAGCAAAGUAAUCGGGGUAGGGUCGCGAGCGGGCGACCGCAGGACCGCCACCACUUGCAAGGCUCCUAGCAGACGCAGCACGCGCCUGAGCUUCUCUAGCGCGCGAUGGUCGCCCAAAUCGGCCACAUAAGCGCGCAGGUAAUCGACGGGCGCGCCGCUGCGCAGCUGCUCCAGCUCUUGCAGUGCCUCCAGGCGCGUCUGCAGGUAGUGCAAUCCCACGGGGUUGAGCUUGAGCACCAAAGUCCCAUCGAGGAGAUUCCCGGCCUCCUGCUCGAUGAAACGAGCCAGUAGCUCCAGGUAUCGGUCUCCCGUCACUAUCGCCAUUCAUGCUGCCCUUUUCCUUCGGCAGGGUUCGCAAUUCCGCUCCGUCAACCUCCGGCGAUAGCCAUCCUCAUCGUCAACCUUGCUACGCUCCCUCAAACUCCCACCACCCUUGCUGCUGCUGCUGCUCGCGUUGCAUCAUCGACGUCGUCAGGUUCCGCCAUAGCCAAGCCAUUCAUUCACUCUCUCUAAGCCUCUUUGGCAAGCUCGCCUCGCGUAAUUCAGGGUAUCAUCCGGAUAUCUACCAAUAGCGAUAUAUCCCGAAUUUUUUUUGCCACCUGGAUAACCUCGAUGCCGUUGAUCUCCAGCUGCUGACGCAUCCUCGUCUAUCCAUCUGCCCUCCCCCGCCCAACUCACAAUCCCUACAAUGUCCACUUUUCUGCAACGGAUCCUAUAAUUUAUGGGCAAUUUUUGUGUAUCAGCCCAACACAUGCAAGAAACUUUCCCAUGAGUGUUGUGAGUGUUUUCUUGAGUUAAACUGUGUUCUCCCUUAAGAAUAUCUGAGAAGAUGAGAUAGUGGUGAGAGUAAAAAAGUGGGCAAUGUUUGAGAUUCGUGGUUGUCCUUUGUAUUUUUCUCAGCCAAAGUUCAAUUGCUUGCAAAGAGACAACAUUGACAACAAUACAUGCUGUGUUGCGAGUAAGUGCAACUCAACCUUGUCUGCGCUUGCUUCCACUUUUUUGGUAAUAACUAAUGCUGCUCGCAAACCCCUUGCAUUUCGUUGCAACAGUCACUGUGUUGACACCCAGUAUACAACCUUGCUUACUCUGGAAGUUUUCCAGAUCUUAGAUUGUAGACUUGUAGAUGAAGAUGAUAAACCAGUUUCUGAGUUGAAGUGUAUGCAAAGUUGCUCUCUUAGGACGUAGAGAUGUAGACGACUCUUUUUAAGGUGAGAUAUGAUGUUAAAUUGUGAAAAUGUGUUGCAAUACGAUCCAAGACAUUUAGUUACGAAAGAUUUGUAAAAUAUAAUAAUUGUGAGAACAUGAUUGAAUAGAUAAUAAAUCAAUGUUGCCCAACUAAAAAUAUAUAUACUACCGACCACUCAUUUGAGAAGCACCCUUUGUUCUGUCGACACCAUUAAUACGAACGAGUUGCAUGGAGACUCUUUGGGCUCUGGAAUCACUUCACAUCCAGCGAGCAGCUGUAAAGCCAACCUUACUCCACAACCACGCAAUAAUUAUCUAUUAUUUUUCAUAAAAUUGUAAAUUAACUUAUUUAGCAAGAGAGAAAUGUCACGUUCAGAAGCGCGAGCUACAGUCGAGACUGACCCAGGCAGACGGAAGAAUUUAAGUUUGGAAGCCCUCAACUAGCAGAAUCUGCAACACAAAAGCUUAGUAAUACUUCUAGUCCCGUCAGAACACUCUACACCGCCUGUCUACAGUAAAUCCAUAAUCAAUAUCUUCACUGUCUUAUUGAAACUGCUACAGGCAGCUCAACGUUUAGGUUAUUACUCUGAUGGCAUUCGGGAAAAGGGUGCAAUAACAAUGAGCUGCUAGUGUGCGCAAUCGUUUUGGAGAAAUAAUCACUGACUAUCUGCAGCAUGCGACAAAGAAUGUGGUACGGAACAGAUAAUCACAUUCAGUCCCUAAACUCAUCCAUGAAUUUCUUAUGGAAAGUUGUCAGACGGUCAAUAAUCGCUCCAAAAUUCUCUUCAGAUGGCAAAAUCGUGCAACGAACGUGCCAUGUACCAGGUACCUGAAAAUACACCAACCUCGCAUUGUGAGACAUGAAGAUUUAUCAAUCAUGACGACAACAGAACCUUUACGAUGAAAGCCAAAUAACUCUAUGGUUGUGUAGAGCAUGAUUACUGUCUGAGAAUAUGAAUGUAACAUUGACUUAGGAAGAGUGUCCCAAUCCAGAGGCUGUACCAAUACUGUAUUUCAGGUGUGUCUCGCUUCUCCCUGGGACUUUCCAGCGUAGCAACUGACAUAAUGGGACCUAGAUGAGCUCUUCAUACAGCGUGUGAGAUAUUGCCAUUUUUUUAAGCGAAGUGGCGCAUACCUGACCAAAGCCUGAGCCAGGCACCAUGACGAUGCCAGUAGAAUCGAGUAACCUUCGUGUAUAGAAAACAUCAGCUUUCAUACCAGCUUCUCCUGCCGCUAUUUGGGCCUUCUUUGGCAAAUAUAAACGAGGGAACACAUACAUUGCACCCUCUGCGGCAUUACAGGAUACACCUUCCAACUUAUUCAUUGCCUCUGUCAAAACCUGAACAUUGCCGACAGAUUAGAGUAAAACAAAUAUGCAUCAUUCGAGAGAAAAUGUGCAUCACUAAAGACAAAAGAAGUCUGAAAUAUUUGAACUGGUGUUUGCGGCAGCAAGCCAACUGUACCUUUGCACGUCUAGCCAGUGACGACAAAAUCGAAUCCCGCUCACGAGCAAAUUGUUCGUAAGACGAAUCUCCAGGCUGCCAGUGCAUCAUUACAUUAACACGUUACAAAUCAAAUGAGCAGGGAACUCUAAAGGAAAGGUUCAUGCCCAUAACACCGUUAUUACACCUCAUGCUGCACUACUUCAGUCCACACUGCAAGGUGCACCGGAUGUCCUUAGACUAGUGACACUAGUAUAUUACGAAUAACUAGCAUUAACUUCGAUAAAAUUACAAACCUUAGGCGGAUUCAUAACCAAGCUCACGAGAAUUUGACCGGAGACAUUGGAACACAAGUUUACUGACGCUAGCUUGUACAGCUGAUCCUUCACAUCUUUGGGCAAACCUGUCACCUCCAUGUAGCCCCCCCGUCGCCCACAUUCACCGUAGUAACCUGCACACAGUGCACCCAAUAUUUAACAAAUGAUACUAUAGUCUCAAAAUCCUUCUUUCGUAACCGCUUGAAUGAAAAAUUUGCAUCGAUUGAGAGAGCCACAAACCUUUCUUCUCGUCACUCGAAAACAGUUAUCGACAAAAGAUCCCUUACCUUUAGAAACCGAUUGAAAGGAAACAAUAACAAUGUCCUUGUCUUCCAAGCCCAUACUCCGUGCAACUUUCUUGAAUGAAUUGAAAGUUUUGCCCUCAGCAUAUAUAUUUUCUUGAUAAACCUGUUAUUGGAGGCAUACCAGUUAUGUAUUGGACAAGAAUGAACUUUUAAAUCGCAAAAUGAACGCAUGCAAACUCGGUCUCCGCAUAAUCAUCUUACAAGGCUUAUCAACAACAAAUAUAAACAAAACUUUACAAUACCUCAUCUGCCAGAAGAACAAGACCUUCGUCCUUACAAAAGUUCACAAUAUCCUGCUGGUUCUCCUCAGAAAGAACCUGAUUAUGUCAAAUGAAUAUUCAUGUUAAAACUUGAGCACUACAGAGAGGCACAAUUUCAGAGUAGCGAAUGAUCAAAAGCAUAUGAGCAAAACCACAGCAGCCGAUAUGAAAGAGCGCAAUAGAGCUCGUGACUGAAAACUCUAGCAGCUAUGAAACUUCCAUUUCAUCCUGUUAAGUGAAUACAGUAACGUAAUUAGUUUGUAAUACGCUCUGAAAAACCUGCUGGAACUAACCUGACCGGUUGGAUUUCCAGGGUUAAUAACAACAAGAGCCCGCACAGUAGUGCCUGCAUCAUGGGCCUCUUGAAGCCGUUUCUUCAGCUCAUUUAAUUCCAGACCCCAUCCAGAAUUCUCAUUCAAAUAAUAUGGCACCUGUUAGUAAUCAGAAAUAUCUCAAUUUUCAGAAACCACAAUGCUGUGAGUCCGAACAUUUACAAAUAAUGAUAAUAACAAACAUUAUAUUAAUAACAUUAAUAAGAAUCAUAGAUUAUUUUCUGGUUACAAAAUUGAUAAAUCUAAAUAUACUAGUUUUGCCAUUGUGGGAGCUCACGGGAGUGGUUGACUGGUAAUGAAAGAGUUUGGAAGAAGAAACAUUACCAAGGUACCCCCAUGCAACGCAAUGGAUGCAGAGUACAAAGGAUACUGUGGAAUAGGACACAAAAUUCCAUCUUUUUCUGAGCUCAAAAGCAACUGCAUCAUCAUGUGAACCUGUCGUAUAUCUUAUGUCGUUAGACUGAUGAAGCGACAGGAGAAUUUAAAAUUACGACCAUUCGAAGCAAUUUUUGAAACAUAUGGUCAGAAACUUACUCCAGGACUAGCUCCAUCUGUAACAAAGAUAUCUUCAGGAUUUGCGGGAUACCCAUCACGGGCUGCAAUACCAGCUGCAAUGUCAUCUCGGCAAACCGUGACACCCUGCAAAGAACAUGCAUAUCUCAGACAAUUGAAUUUCCCCUUGGAAGCUUUGAAAAGAAAUUACACAACCAAGAUAAGGUUGCAAGAAGUGGGACGUAAAUGAAGCCAAUUUAAUGUUAGUGACAAAACAAUCUGCUUGAAAAUUGGUUGAUCCGAUCCAGGAACACGUAUGGCAUGAUGCAACUUUAACACGCAAUAAUACUCCGCAUAAAUUCCUCUCAAGAAAAACCAUAACUUCUACAUUCAACCUCCUCACUGGUUUCGUAUGGAAAGGCUUAUAAUGAAAAAAGAAAACAAGCAAACAACAAAACAAAAUUUCCAAUUUUUAUGUCAUUCCUAGACUAAUGAAGAGAUAAAGGCCACUCUCAAGGAAUGUUAAUAUAGGCAAGGAUAAAUAACUAUACCUGACUAUGGCUAUAUGCCCCUGUAGUCUGCCCAGGAAUUUUAUUAAUUAUCCUGGAUGCUCUUGAGAUUGCAUCCGAACUAACAAGCAAAAAAGAUAAACUUCUCAGCGCACAUGAGCCAUUCAUAUGAGCCAUAACGUAUGUAUCAUGAAAACCGUCGUUAUUGGAAUAAAGGCAACAAUCACACAAAUGUCUCUAAAGGCAUCAGAAUCCACAAGUGCAAAAAUUCAGGUUUCAUCCAACUACGUCCCACACAACACUUUGCAUACACUGCUCAGGAGAAAGGACCUGGAAUGAAGGAAAACAGUACCUGAACAGAGCGUGCGUCUCUGGCUUAUCAAGCAGGCUCGGAUGAUCACAAAGUGCAACAACCUGAAUAAUAAUAAGACUUGAUUACAAAUUGAGUCAACUAAUAUCAACAGAAAACCUUCAAAAUGAGCGAACUAAACCAACAAAGGUCAUGAAAUCUAAGAGAAGAUUUACUAGAGAAUCAAACUGCACCCUCUUCAACAAAAUAUAAUAUUAACCACGUAAGAAUGUACGUGUCGAUUUUCCAUAAAUGUCUUACCUCUCUGAAAAAGGUGAUCGGUUUUUGACCGAGGGAUUGAGGAUUGCCAAUGUUGCAGUAAAUAAUCUGCAAAGACAGUCAGAUGUAGCUGUCUCAAAUAUACUUUCGACCAUUAAUCACACGCCUCCAAUCACGUCCAUAGAAAAAUUAUACAAUAUUCGUGCACAAGUGAUGUACGUAAAUUCGACCACAAGAAAAACGGCUCACAUACCUCGUCAAACGGAUGAGAUCCUGGGUUUGAUUUCAACUCUUCAGCAAGGGCCUGAAAAUAGCAAACAAGACGAUAUUGCAGAAAUCCCACAUGAAAAACACUAAUUUAGAAUUUAAAUAGAGCUUACAACAUCAAGACAAAACAAAUGUCAAAUUUCACUGAUCUUUUUAUCUCUAAAGUAUUUGUCAAGACCCACAGAAACUUCUAAAGUACACAGAGAUAGUAGAAAAAAGCACCUGAGCACGAAUUACAAUCUCUCCACGCACGGCAUACUCUGCAUUAAGGACCUGCAAUUACAUGUACAAAGUCGCAAAGGUGAUGAACAUUCUUGUUUCGUUGAAAUAGAGGCGGAAAAAUAAUUAAGCUUAAAGUUGGCUUCUCUGAAGAUACGAAGGUAGCCUAACAAACAUGCAGCUUCCAGCUAUUCUCCAUCGGUAAUUUACACGGUUUGUCUUCUUGAGUUCAACACUCUCAAAGAAAAUCUUCCAGGAAGAUACUGACAAGGUCUGAGGCCUUGUUGAAACUAUGGAUCGAAGGGCAGAAGUCGGUUGACACUGCAGCCCUACUUUUUCUCUUUCAUCUUGAAGUCAGCGAUCCCACCGCUAAUUCAGAUGCGUCGUGCACAGACGAUCGCCAAUUCAACAGACUCGUAACAAAGGUAAAAAAAAUUGCAGAAUACUAAAACAGAUGUCGAGCGCUAUGAGAAAUAAUUGAAAGAAUCACACCUUUGGAUUGAUGCUUUGAAUGGAAACUGGAUUUUUCUUUGGCAUUGAAGACCCUUUGCUCUGAUUCAGUCCAGAGCUUACGGUCUGUUCCCUUACUGCUGCUCCAUUCUUCGAGUAAACUGGCGCCGACGUAUCCACUCCACUCUGCAUUUCUUCCACCGUUCACCGCACCAGCAGUUGCUCUUGUCUCUGCCUCCCUCUCCUGCCGAUGGCUUUGUUCUUCUCCUACACACCGCUAUUCCCUACUCAAAAACCAAAAAAGCUGUAGGAAAGAUCUAUCUCAUAAAGAGCCCUCGCCUGUCGGACAUGCUCUAUCGCCGAUUCACGAAGCAGAAACGUCGAUCUCCUCUAUUGCCUUGACAACUCAUCAAACAAUGUAAGACCCAAAUGCUUCUCCUGCAUCCACUCCCCUCUCGUUCAUUUAUAAGUACCACCUAUCUCCUGGGAAUAACACAUUUCGGAGCUUCACCGAUAUUAUCCAAAUUUUAACUGCAUCCAAUCGCCGAUUGCAAUGAAAAGACGAAAAUUCAGGAACGACACAUCCAGACUUAGAAAGUGCUAACACAUUGGCCAUUAACACAAACCAAAGGCAGAGGACAACAAAGUUGCCUGUUGUCUCCCCGUCAUCUACCCCCAGCCUACUUGUCAGAACCACAUCGAUACGCGGCGCCACACAUGGCCACCUCACAAUCCCGUUCCUGAACAGCAACGCACCUCCGCACUGCAUACAAACGACAAAACACAGCUGUAGCAGCAUCGGGAUAAAUAUCACAUCGUCUCUCUCCCUCUCUCGCUCGCUUUACCUCGCCAUCACCAACCAUUCCUCCAGGUCUCAUCUCUUACCUCCGACUACGCUUUCUCCCACUGCAGUAAUUCAACUCGACGGCCGAAUUUAGAGAGCACAAACUAUUAUAAGAACGUGCCUACGCCGUCUCCUUCCUCCUUCUUCUUCUUCUUCGUCAUCAGCUUCAAAUUUUGCUCCCUACCAGUGGUCGCCGUCUCGCGGGGCAUGCGCAUUUCGGUACGGCAUUUCCACGUUCCAUACAUUUCUGAGUCACUUCCAGGGCGAGAUGUGUUUUUCAACGUGGCCGGGUGAUGCACAAGAAACUCCCUUCCCUCACGAGGUCCCCCCCCCCCCCAACCCCAAAGAUAAGGUCCGCGCCGGGGGGUGAUGCUGCUGCAGCGGCUGCCGGAGUCCAGUCAGUGGCGACGAGGUUUUGUCCACCGUGGCUCACUCGGAAUCAUUUUUCCCCUGUAGUAGGCGCAGUCUUGGGAGUCGUGACUCUUGGUACACGUAAGCCUCGGACAACGUAUGACGUGGCACGCAUGAACCCCAUGGUGGACUUAUGGGAACUCGUGCAAUUGGGCAUUGCGAUCUGUGGCAUAUCCAUCCAUUUCUUGGCUCAUGCUUCCUUGUUUCCAUAUUCCUUAGUUCCAAUGUUGCUAUGUUCUCUUGUUCCCAUGUCCCCUGGUUUCUUAGUUUUUAUAUUCCUAUGUUUGUUUGUUCCCCCACGUACCUUGAGUUCUCUUCUUCAUUGUGAAUUAGAAUACUUCUUUGUUUCUUUGUAUUACACCCAAGUUGUCUUAUGUAAUAGAUAUGAAAGAUGUUGUUGUAACUAACUUAUUUGGAAAAUAAAUUAUAGUGUUUGUACAUGAUAUCAAGAAGGAGAAGAAUAAAGGUGUUUACUAAAAAUGUUAGAGCUUUCACUAAUUGUAGUUGCCCACGAGUAAAGGGUUAUUGUAAUAUUGCAAUUUUUUAUUAUUUUAAUUUGAGGAGUUUUUAUGAGUAAAAAAAUCUUUCUUUUUUAAAAUUACUGGAAUGAUUGCAUAUUUUAUAUACAUUAUUUUUUUUAAAUUUAGGAUCCAAUGCAGUUUUAAUUUUUUUGGAUAAUUUUGAUUCAUGAGUUUUAUUUUAUGAUUUUAGUAGAAAACAACUAUAUCUUUUAAGGGCAUUUUUAAAACUUUUGUUGCCUUUAUAAUGAAUCAUUUGCUUGUCAUAAAUAAAAAGUUAUAGAGUUUAAUAAUUAUUAUACUAAUGAAAAAGUUUCACUGAUUUUUAAUAGUUUUUAUAUUUAAAAUUGAUUUUUUUCUAAAUGAUAACAAUGGGAUACUAAGCAUUAGUUUAUGAUAUUAAUAUUGAUAAAAAUUAUACUAAAAGUCAUUUUCAUCUUCAAGUGAGAUAUGUGUAUAUUUCAUAUUUUAAUAUAUAUAUAUAUAUAUAUAUAUAUAUAUAUAUAUGCACAUAUAUAAUUGAUUAAAGUAACUUCAAAAUAGUUGUUUGAAUGUAUGUGUGUAUAUAUAUAUAUAUAUAUAUAGUUAUAUGUAUGUAUAUACAUAUAUAUAACUAUAUAAAUAUAUAUAUAUAUAUAGCAACUUUGAUAUAAGAUAAAGAGACAAAAAUGCAUUUUGAUUGGUUGUUUAAGGAAACUUUGGGAAAGUGGGAGCACCAAGUUGACAGAACUAUCAAGAUUUCCAAUAACAAAGUUAUUGAGAUCUAAUCACAGCUUCUGCAUUGACAUUACUGAUGGAGGUUUUGGUGCAUACAUUUAAUCAGGAUUUCUGAUGGCCACUACAUACAUUUUCUAUGCCCAAUUGAAGUGAGUAAGUGCAAUUAGAUGAUAUCAAUGUACAAUUUCGGAUAUUUAUUUUUGAAGUUAUAUAUUAUUUGAGAUGCAUUUAGAUUGAUGAAAUUUUUUAGAAAAUUUUAGAAGCUUAUUGUCAAAACUUAAAUAAAAUAUCUUAUUACUUUCUUCUUGUACCAUGUGCAAAAAGAUACUAGGAAUUUAUUGCCUUAACUUCUUGUUUUAUACACAAUACAAAUGAAUAGAAAAGUAUGGUGUUGCUAAUAUCACCACACUAUUUUUAAUUUUUUUUAAUUGAGGGAACAACUUAUUUUUAUUAACUUUUCAUAUAUAUUCUUUUGCAUAGUUUGAAAAAAAGAAUACAUAUUGAUAUAGAAAAAAUUAAAGAAAUAUGUUGAGUUGAUGAUGGGUGAUGGUAAUAAUAACAAAAAUUGUUGUGGUAUUAGCAAUAUCCUAAAAGUAAAGUCAUUUUUAGACUAACCAACUUUUUUGUCUAACUUGUCUAUUUUCUUACAAGUUGUUAUUUGUUUUGGGAUAUUUAUUUAAUUGAGUAAUUUAUUCAAAAUCUUAUUAAUUUUUUGUCCAUAUUCAAAUCAUAGAAUUUCAUAUAGUGAUUUGACAAAGAUUACCAUAAAAAUAGUUAUUCUAGAUUUUUUUUUUGUACUAGUUUGAUUGUUUGUUUGUUUUUCUUUCUUCUUUUUAUUUUUUUAAUUUUUUUUAAUUUUUUAAAUUUCUUUUGAUUAAAAUAUAUCCUUAGAAAUAGAAAUUUUAAUUAUUUUAAUUCUUUUAGUCAUGGCUAAUUUUUUCACAUUUUAUUUAAAUCAUUUUAAUUUUUAAGAUACAUCUUAACUAGUGUAUCCAAAACAAAAAAGUAAAAAGUAACGAAAUUUAAAAAAUAUAUAAAAAUAUAGAAGUUAGAAAAGCAACAUCAAUGCUUAAUUUUAUGUUAGUAUGUUUUAUAAAAUUUUCCUUAAAUAAACUUUUCAUUGCUAAAGGUAAGCAAAUUGUCAACAUCCACUUUGUAAAAUAAAAUUACAUAAAAUCAGAGUAUUAGGGAUUAUUGUGAAUGUUUAAAAAUAAUAAUGACAAUAAUGAAUUAUUGUGUUUGAGAUAGACAAAAAUGCCUUCACUUUUAAAACACCUCUGAAAACAAUUUAGAACAAUCUUUUAUUCAUACAUAUAUGGCUUGAAGAGCACCAUGACAAUAUAGAAAAUAAUCACAUUACUUGUUAGAAACCUCCUAAGAAUUAAGACAAAAAUAAAUUUACUUUAAUAUAGUAAAUAAGAAAAAGAAUUAUUUUUAGACGUCAUUAAUGCUUUUUAGAAAUUAAAGCAAGAUAUUUUUUAAUAAAAAAAUCAACUUAAUAUCUUAUAGUCAUACCCCUAAACAAAUAAUCUAGUGCACAUAUAAAGAAAUACAAAUGAGAAAAUAUUUUAACAUAAACAUAAAAUAAAGAGACUAGAUAAAAAUAUGAUUUUUUUAUUUAAUUUUUUUUUUGACAAACCUUGGAUAUAAAGAUUCUAAGAUCAAUUUAAGAUAAUUUGAACAGAAUUAUGUAUUUUGAAAUUUCUUAGUUAUUGUUAAUAUCUGUUUUAAAAUUGAUUUAUUAUUUUGGAUAUGUAGAAUUUCAAGUUUAAAUAAAUAAUAAAAAGAUUAGAUAUACAUGCACAUGCACAUACCUAUUUGAAAAUUCUAAAAUCAGAAUAUAUAAAUAAGUGUUGAUAAAUUGAAAAUCACUGUGAUGUUCAUAUCCAACUUGAAAAUUACAUCCAAAGGAUAUCACUGUUAAAAAGUAUGUACAUCUAAAAGCACCUUUUGUUUUUAUGAUUCACAUUAUACAUAACAGUGAGUAUCAUUUUAAAAAAUCGAUUUUUGGAAUUAACAUGUCGUUAAGUUCCUUGGUCACUAACUGCUCAGGAUAAUUUGAUGAUCAUCUUGAUUUACAAUUGCUAUUAGUGAGUCAAAUCAUACAAUCAAUAUUUGUAUCUGAUUACAUGGCGAGGGCUGCACAAAAUGGGUGGGACAAAGUGAAAUAAAAAUAUCAGCAUACAUGAAGUGAUGUAAAUUUUAAGACCACAAAUUAACUUGCAAGACUUUUGCUCGUCUGGUGCAUGUCAAAGAGUAUUGUGUUAUAAAUGCAAAAAUUUGUAAACAUUUGCUUUGUGUUCUACAACUGCGUGAACAUUUGUGUUCUACUAUAUCCAAGAUAUCAGUUCUACUGUGAAUAUGAUAAGAACACGAAUUUAUAGAGGUUUGAAAGAAUGUAAUCAGGAUUGCUCACUGCUGUCCCUAGCACGGUCUACAAUUCAGAUGGGAGUUGGUUGCAUCAAAUAAUAUCUAGCUACGAUAACUCCAAGGUGGGCAGUGAUAGAAGCCGUCCCAGUGUAAUCCAUUGUUGUUUCCUCUGAUACUCAAUGUGGGAGCCACCUUAUUCAACUGCGAUAUCGCUGAUUUACUGGCACUCUGGCCCUUAACUGAAUUCGGAAUAGUCAGCACGCGCAAGCUUGUCCCAUGAGCCUGUAUUUGGCAAACCACACAGAUGAGGAUGAGGCAUGUGAAACUACCAGAUAACUACCAGAUACUGAUAAGACUUCUGACUUCCAACCAACCAUCGGUGCCUGAUACGCAAUCACUAUUCAUAGAGCAAUAAUCAUGUAGGUUCGAUCUCUCUCUUGAUACACACACACAUAUAUAUAUAUAUAUAUAUAUAUAUAUAUAUAUAUGUGUGUGUGUGUGUGUGUGUGUGUGAAGUUUGCAUCUGGGAUAAAAAUGUAGAACCAACCUGGACAUGUUGAAGGACCGACUGCAUUACACCAGAAGUCAAUUUCGAGCAGGCAAGUAGGUCUAAAAAUAACAGUGACGAACCAAGUCGCUGAAAUAAUAAUACAAUUGCAUUAUCUGUCAAGGCUGUGCAUCCAUUAAGCUCCAGCACCUCAAUCUUUGUACAAUGGAAUACGAGUGCCCUGCCAAAAAACGAGGCAUCUUCUUCAACAUCUACAUUCCCGGUUUACACAAAUGUCAACGGAGCCAGCCUAAUCAGGGUUCGAGUACCACUGCACUCACCCUACAGCAGAGUAAAUUAAGAUUUCAGAGCGAACCGUAUUGAUAAGACGUACCUGAUGGAGGAAAUUGUGAUUUUGCAGCAACCUCCAAGACUUAAUACACGGAGUUCCGGACAACCUUCUGCUAAAGCUAUAACACCCCAGUCAGUCACGCCCAACUGCUUCGACAAUGGUCCUGCUCUUCGCAUCCUCCAGCCCUAGUCCACAGUGGAUAUUAUACGAAAUACAGAAUUGAUCAGUUUCAGUACCCUUCUACGCAUACACUGUCAUUGUAAAUCAUGAUUGGAAAUGAUUACUACUAUCUGAUAGCAUAUAAGUUACACAAACUUGAUAUGAUCCUGAAAAAUCUCCAUCUCACAUAGAUAAGAUUAGUUUGCAAUUGUAACAAACUCUAGUAGCUAUUUAGGUAUUAAAAAAUCCAUGCACGUUCCUUGCACUGUUCAAUCUGUUUAGCAGACUUGAACUCACAUUACUGUUACUAUAAUUCAGAUUUUCUGAGAUGCCAAGAUUACAUUUCAUCGAAGACAUGUGGAAACGUGUGAAUAAUACUCGAUGUCUUGAAUCAUUGAGAACAUCAGUACCUGGAAAAACAACCUCACAAGCUUAGAGCAGUGACGGCCGAUUUCUGUAAGAAUGCGAUCGUUUGCUGCAGGCAGCGCAAGCUGUUCAAGCUGCUCCAAAUGCUUCACUAAUCGGCAGAGAACUAUUUCUUCCCUCUGCCAAACAUCAUUAAAGAGUAGGUUAAAUGCCUACAAUUGAUACAGAUGCUAAACCAAGUGAAUCCAUCAAAACGAGUGCACCGAUGAACGGCAUGAUUUUAAAAUAACUACAUGCUUACCUCAGAGAGCUUGUAAUUGUGCUGGUGCCCAUGUGACAAGUCCAGCGAUUUGAGAUUGAUGCACCACUCAGAAAUAUAAUACCAGCUGCCUUGGAAAGAAGUUUGAGCGUGCAGAUGCCGGAUUUGGUGUCCCUUAUACUUCAUCAGAUCUUGGGCGGGCAAUAGAUCCCAGUGCACUGAGGCAUGCAGACUUAAGUAGAGCCGAAUAGAAACCAAGGACGGGGGCAUCAAAGCUGAUAGGGUUUGUUUUGAAUACAUCUCAGCCACCUCUACCCCAAUACUGUAACCCGCUUUGUCUGCUGCAAUUUUUGGAGGGACUGCGAGAUUGGAGGAGCACAAAGAUAGGUCUUGCAAACAUUGACAUGACUGGAACAAAUGGAGAACUGAACUCCAACCCAGCGCAGGACUACUGAUAUGCAACAAGGUAAGAGAUGACCAAGUGUGCAGCAGUUUAUCAAAACAGGUUUCACUGAUAAGGGAAUCUGCAUCUAGAAUCAAUCGCUCAAGUUUGGGACAGCGUUGACACACAGUACCCACAAAAUCAUCUGUGAUGGACGGUGGUAAGGUCCGGCUACUGGGAGUGGAGUGUACAGCAGUGCUGCAGCCAGUCGUAUGUAAGUCCAAAGUUACCAAGUUACCGGGCAGGUGAUGCACAAGGUUCUGUAAAUUGCUACUGAUUAGAGGAGGAUCUGAUGCGAUUGUCAAAUGUUGCAACCGUGUCAAUUUGGAAAACAUGCCUUGAAUGUCAUCACCAGUUAGCUGCUUCAAACUGACCACACAAGCUUACAUCAAUUUAAGACAGAAGGACGUAAUUAAAACACAACUGAAACCUCAUUUGCAUGUAAAUAAUAAUACCAACCCAUAUUUACAAGUGCCUUCAAAUUUAACACACCAUGGGUUCCUGCUUAGCAUUAUGCAAGACUACCUGGGCCAGCCAUCAGGUGCAAAAAUCAGUAAAAUGAAAGCUCACCCCCGUAAUUCAAUCGACUCAAUAGUGGACGCAUGCUUCUUCGCCAACUCCAUAAGCUGCAAAUCUGUCUACAAAGAAAGAACAAUUUUGAGAUGAUUUGUCAACUUCCGGAGUAAGACUGUUCAUGAUCGCCUCCAUUUUAAACAGAGAUAAACACCAUUCACAUAUAACAGCAAGGAUGCGAGAAUGACUUCUAAUGAGAGUAAUAAAAUAAUAGUCCACAAUCCACACUUUUAUGCACAUUAACAUAUUACACCUACAAAUACCACAAGUUAGUGAAUCUGAGGCAGGAGAACAUACAGAGAAAAAGCUCUUUGACUCACCACGGAACCCCAGGGCUUGUCACGGACGCUGAAGAGUGGAGGCGUCAAGUCAUGCACCUGCAACUCCAAGAUUCAGUUAUUUUCAGAAUAACAACACAAUCCUGAAAAUUGUCAUCCUACUAUAACCCAGAUAAAAACGAGCAGAAUGAUUCUGAUUCCAACCCGUGGAAGGUAAGAAGAUUAAUUACUCACAUCACAGUCAUAACUAUGCAAAGAUUGUAACGAGCCAUAUGCAGCAACCACUUGCCUCCUCGAAGAAAUGGAAACCUAACCCGAAGGAUGCUCAAAAUUUGCAAAUCCUUGUCUGAGAAAGGGGAGGUGAAUUCAAAUGCACGUACCAAAUUUUCCUGACAAAGACGUCUCCAACGUCGGCAAACGAGCGACACCACGCUGAGAAGCACCCGAGACUGAAUUCGUUGCAGAAUAUUUAGCAGCGUGUCAUCGCCCAGAGAAUUGGUUAUGGCCGUGUCCUCUCCAAUUUCCUCCCCCUUGGGUCCAGCCAUAACUCCCAACUCAUUCCGCCCUUUCCGUCUUUUCUUCGGACGCAAUGUGCUCAUUUCCCGCUAGUGGAAUCAAUACGACCGAAACUGCUAACAAACUGCCGCCUAUGUCACAAACCUCGGAGGUUCAUCACCAAUAGCUCUGACACCGUCUCGACAACAUAACAUGCACAGAACUAUGCUUCAACGCCCACUUCCUCAAUCACACCCACACCACUCUCCCUCACAAUAAAACACAAUCAUACUACCAAAAUCAGCUUUGAUUCUUUCCCACAAACUCAAACCACAAGUCAAUUGCACUACUCGUCACCAUCCAUACAAAUUUAUUUAUUUUCCUAAAAACCUCCAUAACGUCAACGUCACCCACAAAUUGCCAAAACAUGAACUUGUCAGCCCUCACUCGAGCACAUCACACAACAUGAAGCCGAAUUCAGAUCCAGCACCCCCAUCCUGGGGAUUCGACACACACACAAGCUCUAAGUCACUUACCAAAGGCCAACUCGGCAGAACCUGAAGAUCUAGGGGACGUCACAACACUGUUACCAAUUCCCUGAAAACGGCCAUACACCUCUCAACUCAAAGCUCCAAGCCAUCGACCCACGAGUUGGGUUGCGGUGAAUCUACUCGCAAGUCCCGCACAACCCUCCGACUGCAAAAAAAAAAGAAAAAGAAAAAGAAAAGAAAGAAAACGAAAACGAAAAAACAAAAACAAAAAAAAAGGGGGAAGAGAAAGAGAAGGCAAAAAAGGCAGAAUGACGUGCCGGAAUGCAUUCGCGUGGGAUGAGUGGCGCGGCGCGUAAGCAAAGGAAGUGGAUGCAACCGCAGGCCACCUCACAAGACCCUGUCCGCCCUGCUCAGCUGCUCCUUUUGGUCCUUCUCACUUGUCAAUUCAAUUGUGGUUUUCUCCAUGUCCAUGUUUAUGUCCGCGUCGUCCACGAUUUUACCGCGAGGGUAUCAGCAGCAGCGCAGCAUCCAUGACUCCAGCACUCUUUGGCUUGGCUUUGGCUUGGCUGGAUUAGAAUGACGAUUAGAAAGAAGGAAAUGGGAAUCGGCGAGAAUCAAGGGAUGGAUCAGUGAGGAAGAAGAAGGAUGUGAAGAAAUAGGAGAUGAAGCUGGGCCAUGAAACUGUUGAGAAUGUUUAGAAAAAACACAAGAGUAAUAGUAAGUCAUACACACACACAAGUAGUAGUAAGUCAUACACACAAGGGUUUCUAAGGAGAGAGAGCUUCAGACAUACAAAAAUCUAUUGAUCUCGUUGUGUCUAGUAUACAAGAAGAGAGAAGAUAAGAGGAUGAAGGAAAAAUUGUAGCCAUAGUAAUUAUUGUAGUCUACAGUAAAUAUUAUGGAGAGCGUCGGCUACAUUUAAUGAUCUCAACACUCCUCCUCGCUCAUCAUAAUAUUUAUAUAAUAUAAAAUUUAUAUAGAUUUAUGAUCUAUACUUUUCUGUGAUCUUGUAAGAUCAAGAAUUGUUGCCUCAUUAAAACCUUAUCUAGGAAAAUCUUAUUUUAUUUAAGGAUAAAACCAUAGAUGAAGGAAAAAGAGUACAACAUCAUUUUCUUUAAUUAUUUAAAGAGCUUAUUAACUUUCUUAUUCAAGAAAAGCAAGUCGCCGCAUACUAAUGCCAUAAGUAAGUCGACGAUGAUUGCUUAAUGGGAGAGCUUUGGUGAAGAGAUCAGCAAGGUUAUUUGUAGAUUCAAUUUUCUUAAUUAUAAGUGCUUGAUAAGUAAUCAAGUCAUGAGUAUAACUAAAAUACUUUGGAUCAAUAUGCUUUGUCUUGUCACCUUUAAUGAAACCAACUUGCAUCUGUGCAAUAUAAGCACUAUUAUCUUCAUGCAAGAUAGUUGAAGAAUCAUCAUAUGAAAAUCCAUAGGUUGUUUGAAUGAAUUUAUUAAUUGAUCGCAACCAAAUACAUUCUCGGGAUGCUUCAUAGUUAUAGUUAGACACUAAGCAAAGGUAGCAAAAAGCAACAGAUGAGUUGUAGCGAAAUGAGAGAGAAGAGAGGAGAUGAGAGGUGAAGCUUUGGGCAAUGCUUUGAGGGAGCGAGAGAGAGAGUGAGGGGCUUCAUGGUUUCUGUUGAGAUCAUUAAAUGUAGCCGACACUCUCCAUAAUAUUUACUGUACACUACAAUAAUUACUAUAGCUACAAUAUUUAGAGUCUAGUGGAGAAGUACUGUUCAUCAUCUUGUCUUCUCUCUUCUUGUAUACAAGACACAACCAGAUCAAUAGAUUUUUGUGUGUGUAAAGCUCUCUCUCUUUAGAAACCCUUGUGUGUGUAUGACUUACUACUACUCGUGUGUGUGUGUAUGACUUACUAUUACUCUUGUGUUUUUUCUAAACAUUCUCAACACGUUAUAUGAUUCCCUUUUACAUACUAUCACAAUUUUUUUUGCUCUAGUCUUUGACUCUUCAAACAUGUUGCUACCUUUGCUUAGUGUCUGGGUCAUGAUCUUGUUCUUCUUGCUGGCUCCUCACACAUUAGCUGCUUGCUUAGAGCACUUUUUCCACUCUCUGCCUUGCUUGCUCUGAAUACUUGAUCCAGCCCUACUCCACCCUCUGCUUGCUCCCUGCUCCCUGCUGCGCCCCGAACUGCCGUCGAACAGACGCCGAACUGCCGUCGAAUCCGCCGCUGCCACCCUGUCGCCGCUGUCCGCUGCCGCCCGCCGCCGUCGUCGCCCUAACGCCGCUGCCGCCGCCGUCGCCGCUGUCCGCUGCUGCCCGCCGCUGCCGCCCACCAUUGCCAGCCACUGUUGUCCGCCGUUGCCCGCCGCCGCCCGCCGCUGCUGUCCGCCGCUGCCACCCUGCCGCCCUACCGCUACCUGCUGCCGCCAUUUUAUUGCUGCCUUAAUCUACAACUCUUUCUCUUUAAAAUAUAUAUAUAUUUUAGUUUUUUUCAAGUUCAAGUUUAUCAUUUUAUUUGACUUUAUAUUUUAAGAUACGUUUUACUCAACUUUUCUACUUGAUCUUGUAUUUUCUUUAUAGAUUUAUUUAUAAUGAAUGCUUCAACAUCUUCAACUGCUUCUACUAUGGUUCCUACUAUUAUCAGUGCAUCCCAACAUUUUCAAGCUCUUUUAUUUCCACCAUUGACUGUGGAUGGAAACAAUUAUCUAUUAUGGGCAAAAAUGGCAAAAGCAAAUUUAUUUGUAGAACAACUCUCGGAUGUCAUUAUGUUUGAAGAAUCUCCUACAACAAGUAUUUCUAUAUCUCCUGCUAUUCAUUGGAAAGCACUUCUUCUCCUUCGUCGUCAUCUUGUACCUGCAUUACAACAUCAAUAUUUGGAAAUGGAAGACCCUACAAAACUUUGGAAGAAUCUUAAAUCUAGAUUUGAUCAUCAAAAGACCAUUUUUCUUCCACGUGCACGUCAUAAUUGGACACAUUUACGUGUCUUGGAUUUUCCACAUUUAAAUGCUUUUAAUAGUGAAAUGUAUAGUAUUGUCUCAUAAUUACGAUUAUGUACACAAAGCAUUUCUGAAGAGGAAAUGAUUGAGAAAACUCUCUCUACAUUUCCUCAUACAUCUAUUGUGCUUGCACAACAAUACAGGAACAUGAAAUUUCAGAGUCAUUCUGAUCUCAUGUCCUAUCUACUUCUUGCGGAGAAGCAAAAUGAACUACUUUUGCACAAUGCAGAAGCUCGUCCUAUUGGAACUACAGUUCCUGAAUCUCAUGCACUUAAUAUUUCAAAGUCUAAGAAGAAAUUAUAUAAACAUGGAAAACAUGCUCAUAAGUAUCAAGGUAGUCAUAGUCAAGACCAUUUCUAUCCAUAUGGAAAGAAUAAACGUUCUACUAUUAAUUAUAGUAGAAAACAAAAAUCAGAGAUGCGUUCUUACCAUAAGUGUGGAAUGAUUGGACAUUUAGCACAUGCGUGCCGUACUUCAGAAUAUUUUAUUAAAAUGUUUCAAGAAAAUAAGAAAUUACGAGCUAAGGCUCGUGAAGUUCAUACCAUGGAUGCGUCCAUGGAUUCAAUUGGUGUUGAUGACUUAGAGGCUUACAUGACUGAUAGAACCUCUAAUGAUGAAUCAAAUGAUGCGCUCAUUGAUUCUGCAAUAAUACAUACUAUCUUGGAAGAUAGAUAAUUUUUUAUUGAAAAAUCUUCAACUUGGCAAACUAAAAAUAUGAUGACCAUGACUGGAGCAAAUGCGUUUUGUUUCCAAGAGGGCACAGCGAUGGUAAAAUUACCUACAGGUUCCAUCAUAAAAUGUAAUCGACCACGACCACGACAACGACUCGCAAAUCCGACCCAAUUCGCAAAUAUCACUCUCCUCGCAGGGAAAUCCCCACAAAAUUAGAAAGCAGAAACCCACCACACCACACCCAAUUCCCUCCUCCUCCUCCUCCUCAGAUGAGCAAACAAAUUGAUGGACUGGUGGGUGGAUCUGGUCUUAAUCAAUCAAGCUAGCCCUGGCACAGACGCAGAAUCAGAAGCAGAGUAGUCCUCAAUAAUAAAGCCAACCAACAUUGAAGGAGGAAGGAGGAAGAGGAAGUGGUCUCCGUCGUCGACAUCGCUGCUGCUGCUGCUGCAGCUGCCUAAAGUUUGUCGCCCAAGACGAAGUAUAAAUAUAUUUCAUGCAUGCACGCACGCUGUCUGGUUUUUUCCUUCUCUUUCUCAUCAGUGCUUUUUUAAGGUUUUAUUUGUUAAAACUUUUCUUACAUAUUGGAGUGUGUUUUGUGGGGUUGUUUUUUUCGUAAUUUCUUCGAGGAUCGCUUUUUGCUGGCGACAAUGAGUGAGUCUUGCUGUGAUGACAGCAUUGACUGCUUCUCAUAAAGACGUAGGCCGAUAUAGACGGGAUCGUUGUAAUUGCGUUCAUCGUCCUGGUGCGGUGACGUCCGAAGGUCUCCGUUGGGUUGCAUGCUUCACUUGCACACCCCCCCCCCCCCACUCCCCACACGCGUGAGAGCAGCAGCGCCACGGCCCCACUUUCUGAGCUUCCUUCGGGUUUGUGGAGCUUGCUGAUGCUGUUGCUGGUGGUGUCCUCGAGCAAGUAUAGUGAACGAUAAGGUAAUGGGCUUUGCGGGUGCUUCUGUUAUCUGUACUCGGGUACGGAUUUAGAGGUUUUCUAUGCUACGUUUUCGAGGCGGGUUAAUCGAAAUUGGGUUUGGGCAGCGAGUUUGUGCUGCAACAGGAGCCUUCGGUUUCGUUUUCCGUCUCUUGGAGUAGGUGGAUUGGUUUUACCAUGGGAGAGUGUGCGCUUGUCAUGAAGUUGUGAGCGAGAAACGCGUGUUUGAAUUGAUCAACGGGGUACGGUAGGGGUCCAUUCCUGUGGCUCCUAGCUCCUUCCAGUGUUUUGUGGAAGCAGAGUAGGAAAGCAAUCGCAGCUUAUCAAGUUUCUAUGAAGCGAGGGUUAGUGUUCGUGGGACAGUGUUUCGAUCAUCCCUUGUACAAAUGUGAGGAUCCUUGUCCUGCAGUAAUAAUACGCGGACAGACGCAGUCUUAUGGUUACAGCACAGGUCAUUUGUAAUUUUUGUUUUGACUUCGAGCGUAUGUCUUUGAAGAGCUCUUGCGAUCUGUGAAUUUAAACCCUCAGUAUUGUGACGCAGUAUUUAAGACACAAACAGGUUAAUAUUUUCCUCUUCAUCCUUUAGUCUUAGCAGUGUGUACUCAAGUUGGUAACGUAGCGAUUGGACCUGCGAAAGGAUUCUUCUGAAGGUUGUAAAGACAGUUACAUGUUAGAAUUAUGAUUAUCUUCUAUCUUGGAGGCACUUUUGAUGUCGAUUAUAUAAUCACCAAUUGCUUCCUGGAAUUCGGCCACACGGUGUGUGCGCUCGUUGGGAAGAGUGUGGAAUUGUGAGGUGAUUUCACAGUUUUCGAGAGCACAUUUUGUAGUAGGCAUGAGUGAAGUCGAGGAUGGCCGGGACGGUCGCUGAUUUCUGUCUCCCAUAUUGAUGAAGAGAUUUGACUUAGUCGUGAUCGGGUUUCCUUACGAAUUCGAACACUUGAAGUUAUUAUAUGGCAUAGUCGAAUCUCGAAUUUGUAGUCCUUGGGUGCUCGGAUUGCGCUUAGUCGUGCUCCGGGUAGCAAAUUUGUUGGAAGUUUGAUAAACGUCCGGUACUUCUGGGGGCUUGAAGAAGGCAGCGUGGGAGUGUAAAGCUAUAGAUGUAUCUGCAGUCUAAUUCUUUAAUCUGCCGUUUUCAUUCGAGCCUACGAUUGCCGUAAUCAUCAUGCUCGUAUGCAUUUGUAGAGCUUUUUCCUAAAUUUUUAUUGAUUCAAGUUUGAUGUGCAGCUAUUAGCUAUUAGCUAUUAGUGUUGAGAACAAGUAUUACACAAAAUGGGUAGUCGGAGAGAAGAUGAGAAAAAUGAAGCCACCAUCCGACGUUUGCUCAAGAUCCCGGAGAACAAAAGGUGUAUCAAUUGCAACAGUUUGGUCAGUUGCUCUUCCUCAACGUUUUGUUGGCUGAAUCGUCAAAUUUGAAUAUUUUUAUUAAUUAUCUUCUUUUUUUUGGGGGGGGGGGUUGAUAUCACAUGUUUAGCUCCUGUUAAUUUGAAGAGCUGAUUAAGAUGAGAAUGUCAGUUGGUGCAGCCAAAAAUAAAACCUAAUUUUAUUUCUGUUUACCAUAAUUUUUUCAGAAAGUAUUUUUUUGGCAAACAGUUUAAACGCAGUUAGUAAUGCUACUCAUUUAAGUUUAUAACCAUGUACCAUCUUCUUGAAUUUAGUCAAAAAAAUUCUGUUCAUUUUUUUCCUUCACUAAUUUUGCAGGGUCCUCAAUAUGUAUGCACAACUUUUGCUACCUUCGUCUGCACACAAUGUAGUGGUAUCCAGUAAGUUUUUAAUUCCAGACUAUUGUUUCGUGCAUCUAAUCUCUGAUAGAGUGCAAAGUCAGAGCACCUUGCUUUAGUUCAAGUUUUCAAACAGGGUUCUGUGUCCUCUCUACAUUCUCCAUGUUGGUUGCAUCAAAUCACUUCAUCGUAGUGUGCACUUGUUCAAUAGGGUUGAAUUCAGGAAUGAAACAUUGAUGGCUUAAAGUGUACAGCAGUGUUGGCCAUAGCUACCUGUUGAAAUAGGAAGACGUUUGUGCCUUUUUUGUUCAAGACUAGUCUAUUCACACAUGGAUCUUUAGAGUCACUGAUCUGGUGUGGUAGUUGAGCAUUUGUUUGAUGUUAAACGAUAUGACACUUGAGGAAGCAGCAGAUGACUAACAUUUGGAAGUGAGUCAUUGCCAAAAUGAUUCGACUGAGAAUGCUCUGGUAUGUACAGUCGAGAAUUUUCACAUCGUAUAAAGUCAAUUUCUAUGGCAAAGUUUACUGCAGCAGAAGUUGCCGCUCUGCAAGCUGGUGGUAAUGAGGUAAAAUCCAAGAGGAGAAUUGUAGCAGUUCAAGUAUUUUUACUAUUUCAUGUUGAAUUGUCAUUGAGUUCAAUGGGGAAGUAGGAGUUUGUAUGUAGAAGUUCUAAACUUGCUUGCUCUAAGUGUACUGGUUCUUACCUUCAAAUGAUACUUGAUUAUUUAUUUAUUUAUUUAUAUUUUUAUGAAAAGAAUUCCGCAUUCAAUGAGUGCUUCAUUAAUACUCUUUUUGAUAUUUCUUUUGGAUCCCUUGACAGCGAGCUAAGAAAACUUUCUUUCGGAGUAUGGAUCCAGAUCGGAUGUAUCAUUCUGAUAGUGGGCAAGUCUUACCAGUCUUGGUUUCGUUUUCGUUUUCGUUUUCGAUUUAAUUUAUUAUUAUUAUUAUUAUUAUUAUUUUGCAGCAUAAGCGAUGCACAGCCAUGUAUUGUAUUAUGGCAAUCUUGUCAGAAGAUUUCUUAGCUGAUCAAAUUUUGUUAUUUCAGGAGCCUAGAUAAGCUGCGGGAUUUCAUCAAUCGAGUAUACGAGAAGAGGCUUUACACAGGGGAUAGGCCUCGUACUGUUCAGCAGGUUACUUUUUUAAACAUGCAAUUUCAGUCGUGACACACAAAUCUUAUGUGGCUAGAAGUCAAACCUGUCCUAAAAUGCAGAAACUGAAUAUAGACAGGAUUUUAGUGUGUUCCAAUUUGCUCAGUUGGUAGAAAGCAAUUUAAAAUUUUAUUGAGUGUUACAUCGAUUAAUCACCGUGUUGAAAAGUGAAAGUUUCUGCGACAUUAAAUUUAGCUACGUCUUGAUAGGAGGUAACUGCUGUGGAACUGCGCCGGCCUGAUAUAAAGGUGGAACGGCAACCUGAUUUUCGAAGCCUUUCUUUGGAUGACCAUGUGGCUUCCAAGGAGUCAGUCAAUAGACUGAAACCAGACACCAUUCGAAAUUCUGUUGAUAAUAGGAUCAGUCCCAAGUAUGUAGGUAGUCCUCAAGCAGUUCCACGGCCAACUCGUCUCAGUUAUGAUGAGAAUGAAGAAAAGUCUCCCAAAAGUAACGGUAGUCGAGACAGGCGCAACUCGUCUCGACCAUUCAGCUUAAGAGAUUUUGACAUAACACCUCCUCCUGCUCAGUCUAUUACAGACAUUCUUGGAGACAUUCCAGGAUUACGAAUUGAAGUUUAUAAAGUUCCCAAAGGGGAGCACCCACCCGAUCAUUCCAAGGGAGCUGCAGUAAGUAUUCUGCCUAGGUUAGAAACAGUGAUCGAUAAUAUUACUUUCAUAUUUUGAUGUCAUGAAGAACCGUAAUCAGCCCUCAGAUGCCUUGUGGAUAAAUCAAAUUCCUACUUUGUCAAUAUUGAGAAUUCACUUUCCUUACGUGUUUCUUAUAGAUCAAGUGUGCGCCAAUAUUUCAAACCACUGGUAUGAGGAAGUGUGCUGGUUGUGCUGCGAGUAAUAACAAUCGAUUGUUUCUUUCGCGUUUCAGGUUGAUGCGCGCAACGCAAUGCAGUCUCAGAGUUUUAGAGCUGUAGGAAAUGAUACGGUGACUCCAGCUCCGGAUCAAAAAAGAGUAAUCUCAGCUAGCUUAAUAGACAUGAAUGGAGAAACUGAAGCAACACCAGUUUCACGUGGAAUAGAUGACCCGUUUGUAGAAACCUCUCAGGUUUCACCGUCGACCAGUGACAGUUGGGCCAUGUUCAACACAUCCUCCUCCUCGCCAGCACGACCUGGUUAUCCCGCCUCUAAAAGUGAGAUUAGUCAAUCAGUUGACCCUGGAUGGGGUCAACAGUCGAGCAGCUUGGAUUCUUGGUCUAGCUUCGGAACACCAAGUCCACAGGUAAGAAACUCUAACAAGAUACCUGUGUAGGGAACUAUUGCACGGUUUGACCGGCUCGCUGUUGCUUUGUACUUGAGAGGGAUUGUACCAAAGAUCGCCCGACACUUCGAAUUGUUAAAUGCGGUUCUGAAGGUUCCACUUAUGUCUUUCAUUUUGGUCUUACUGGCAGGCGGCCUCUAAUCAGGAACAUUUUACCGCGACACCCUUAAGUGUAUCUCAAAACAUAUCAGGUGUUGUGCAACCUCAAAGGCAGAGACGCGAGCUUCCUAAAGUACUGCUUCGUUUAUGCACUCCCUGCACAAUUCAACAGUUUUUCUACAUUUGCUUUGGCUGCCCCUGGAAUGUCUUCACUCUUUUCUUUCUUUGCAGCAUGUUUUGCGAAUGAAAGAAAUACUUCUGUCAAGACGCUUUUGUUACUUCUAUAUCCUAUCCUGAUCGUCUAACAGACGGCUCCUAUUGCUUUUUAACAGGAUUGUGUUUUCUAUAAGGCAUUAUUUCAGGAGAAUUGUAUGUCAAUGUUGUCGACAUUUACUUUGUUCGGUGUAAUCAGUUUUGUACGUAAGAUGUACAUAAAGGUUUCAGGAGCUAAUAAAGAGAUUGUUUUUAUGUCAAGCAGGAUUUUUUUGCGCCUUCGUUUGAAGAUGUUCGUCAGAUCAACUUGGAUAUGCAUAGACCCCAUCAGAUGCAGCCUGCAUUCCGUCCCCCGCAAUUAGAUGCUCCCUUCGAGUCUUUUUACAAUAUGGUAUAUUCUUCUAAUGCACGUGUUUUUUCUUUGGUGUUCUUUUUACAAACUCGACGGCGCUGAUGGUAUCCUUGAGUUCAUGUAGUGCGUUGAUUUUUUUUCAAUCUCAAUUUUAUUCUUGGUCAGUCGGUUGCAGAAAAACACACCGAAUUUGUGAAAUACUGAUGACAACUCCUUUGUGCUAUUCGUAGUAGCAUAGAAUGUUGCUUCUUUUUGCUUGCUGAUGUAUGCUUGACAAAUUUUUCGUUUCAAUAGGUGCUUAUGUGAAUUUAUAGGAUAGCACUUAGUUUUGUGUGCUUUUUCUUCCUGAAAAUCUUAACUUAAAUACCAGACCGGCUAGUCGGUUUCCUAGCUUUAACAUAUUUGCUCUAUGUUUAACAGCCUCCUUCAACAUCAUUUCAAACCCAAGAUCUGACUCAAUUUCAGUUUUCACCCCAAAUGCAACCGCAACCAGUAGAGUCAUCUCAGCAGAUGCAAUCGCAGCUACCAACUUUCACACAAAGGUCUCGAAAUCCAUUUGAUGACGAUUUUGAGGACAACUCUUCAAGUGUGAUCUCGAGUGCCACUACUGGUUUUAGCAUGCAGGUACGACCGACACACGCGCAGACACACCCACACAUAUAGAUAUAGAUGUUAUCUUUUUGUUGUUGUAGGGUUAAUCUUUUAGUGUCAGCAACACUCUCAAUGUAAUCAAUGUACUUGAGGAUUAUAUGGCAGCUCGAAGGUCGAAGCUGAUGAAGAGCAACCUCAUGUCUUGGCACUGGAAAAAGGUGUGUCAUUGACCUCUAUGUCUUUACUAAGAGGUUGGGUGUUGCAUUCACCUGUUAUAACAGUUUCCAAACAUGGAUUCACUGCGAGAAGCGCUAUCCCCAGCAAUGUCUAUGAGUAGUGGGGUUUCUACUACGGGUGCUGUUCCACAGAACUUACCUACCAAUGUGGCUUCAAAUGAAUUUGGACAUUCCUUCACACAGCUUCAUAAUAAUUUUUCCCCUUCAGGGGCUUUCAACUUCAGCCCAAAUCAGUCCAUAUCAUCUUUCCAGAUAUCUCCCGAGUAAGUCAUGCCACUUGAUUGAUAUUUUCUCUACUCUUUAUUAUGUAUUCUCUUUAUCAAUUGUGUUGAGCGCCAUGGAGGUUGCACGUUUGAAGCUUGAGGGUAAUUGUUCGAACUCGAUCAUUCUGAUCUAUUUCUGCAACUCAUGUUUUGCAGGCAGCCUAAUGUUUCUGGAGGGUACGCGUCCACGCACAUCUCUGGUCAGGAGGGUCCCUAUUCCAGCAACCAAUUUUACUCGCAAAACAUCGUUCGUCCGGCUGGUGGCGGUAAUCCCUUUGGUUAAUAUACCAGCCUUUCGUUGUGGGUGUCAAUGAUCCCUCGGCAUUCGACUCCUCGUCAAAGCGAAGGAGCAUAGUCAAACACUUUGUGCUCCUUUUUCACGCAUCUUAGAAUUAAAAGUACUGGAGCUGUAUUCGAUCAGCAGUAGAUGAAGGCUUGUAUUUUUCUGGAGACUGUUUUCUCUUUUUAUUGUUAAAGCUGGACAGUUCUCAACGUCGAUGAAAGGUUUAAAUAUAGAUAUGACAGGGAUGACCCAUCUGAAGAUGGUAUGCGUUGUAGGCGACACUUGAUUGCUUAUUCUCUAAGAUGACACGUGUCUCUGUGAGAUAUAAUGUAUUUGAGGAUGAGCUGCCUCGUCAGCCUGAUGAUUGUUUAUAAUUUAGAAAAAAAAUCAAACAUCCGCUGCAAAUAUGGUACGCAAAUUUCAUCAUUACUAGAAUACAAGUUGUCUUUCUAUCCACAUGAUUAUAUCAAGGUUUUACAAGUUUGAGAAUUCUUGAUUUUUGGUGUUACAAGCAUUUCUUUAUAAAUAUAUGAAUAUCUAUGCACAACAUCCUCAUGAUAUUUUGGCCACUAAAUGUUGUUACAUUUUGUAUUAUGUCCUAUUAAUCAUAGAUACAAUACAAUUUUAUGGGAGUUCUAAAUUUAGAACUCCCAUAAAAUUGCAAAAAAGAAGAUAUCUUUUUAGUUUCUUCUUGACUAGGACAAGGCUCUUAUAGCAAAGUGUAUGUCUUAUUUGGUGCAUGUUUGGAGCAUUUUAUAUUUAGUAUAUUCUACAACUUGAAAGAAUAACAAAUUUAUUUACAUUUUUAAAUUUUUUAGAAAAGCAAACUAAUUGUGGGUUUAGAUGUAGAUGCAUAUGUGUUUCCAUUUCUCUACAUCUUUACAAGUUCAUGCUUAUUUUAUCAAUAUUAAAUUCUUCUAUUAUAUUAGUUUUUAUUUCUAAUAAAUUUAUUUAUUUUAUUUUAUUAUAUUAAAACAUUAACUUUUAUCAAGAAAUAGAAUCAAUAAUUGUACUAACAAAUCAAAUAUUAUUCUUAUACACAAAGUAUCAAAAGAAUACAAGUCUUUCAAAUAUAAUAAUUUCUUAUGAAUCCUAACUCCUAAAAGUGUCUCUCUAUAUAUAUACACACAUAUAGCAAUAAAACUUGUAUUUUUUAAUUGUACUUGUUAGAUAAAAUUUUAAUUGACAAAAGAAUGUUAAUAUUUUAUUGUUUGGUCAAACAAAACAUUUUAAUUUGCUUAUAAUUAAUAGAUACUUAAAUUCUUUAAUAAAAAGUGGCAUAUCUAUUUAAUAAAAUAUAUCAUAUUAUUGGUGAUCCAAGCACCUCUUUAAAAAAUUACUUGUAAAAAGAUAAAAUGAUGUAAAAAAAAAACACACCAAAGACAUUACCAAGUUUUUGAAUGUUUGUCAUUGAUCAUACUAUUAGAAAAAAAAUCACUCAUUUAUUAUUAAAUUAUUUUUUAAGGACAUAAAUAUUAUCACAUUUAAAUUAAAAUUUAAUAAGAAUGUAAUUUUAAUAACAAUAAACUUUCCAACCACUUGUUACAAUUGUUUUUAAAAUUAUGUUUUGUGUUGGAAUAAACACUAUUUAUAUCAAUAUGUGUCAAAACUACACAAAUAAAAGAUAUACAAAACAGUAAUACUAUAUUUAGAAGUAUUGGUACAAAUGUAAAAUGCAGAAAAUGUUCAUGAUUAUCUUUCCAGUAUUCAAAAAUUUUAAAAAACAUAUUUAUUAUGUAGUAUUUCUGUUUACAAUUUUAAAGUUGCACCAAUUUUUAAUUACUUGCAGUCAUAAUUUUUUUUUAAAUCCGUUGUUGUAUUAACAUAUUUUUAAUCAUAUACUAUACUAUACUACACAUACAUACAUACACACAAAAAUAAAUAAAUACAGUUUUUUUUGUAUUGAGAUCAUAAUAUUAAUAAGCAAUUAAACGCUAUAAAAGCACCACAUGUCUAACAACUGUUCAUCACGACUACAAAACCUGACAAAACAAACGAAUGUGACAAAAAAGGACAAAAUGCAAAGCCACCAUAAAGACAACCCCGGACUUCACCCAAUCAUGUAGUUGUAUUUUCAAUCCACAGAUGUGCUUCUCUAAAGAGUCAAGCUCAAGAGACCGAACAAAAAUUCCCUUAACAGUACAGGUGGCCCAAUUCCCUUCCAAUGCAUUGAUCAUUUGACACUUUCGAAUUUCCUAAAUUGAGGAUCUAAAAACAAAUUCCUUCACACACCUUUGGCAAUAAUCAUUUCUAAAAUAAUGAAAUAUGAAAAUUCUUCACAGAAUAUACUUUAGUACUCCAAUUAUUUUGAACAAUGAUCCUCUCUUACCAGUAGCUUUUUUCGGCAUUUUCUUGUAUCCAGUUUCCUCCUUGGACACUUUCUCAAAACAAAAUAAUGGACAGAUUAGAGAUAACCAGAAAAUUGUGCUUAAUCUGCACAGACACGGCUUUGAAGCAGUGAUGUAGGCGGUCUGUCAAAGCCAAUGGACACUCCAGUUAAACAAUAUUCUCGCAAUCUAGGCACUUCUGGAUGUUUGCCGAUCUGCAAAUUGACCGCUUCCCGUGUUUGAGGUACAGACGAGCACGACAGUAAUCAGAAAUGUAUGAGGUACAAUUUGACACUGCAGACAAGGUGAACUGGAAUGCAGUAUAUUCCAACCAAACUGGAUUCAUGGAUAGAAAAUCACGAGGACAGCAUUACAAUUCAAUCGACAGCAGACGGGCACCUGGUGAAAAUUAUUUAUGUCACAUUUUUACUGCUAAAUGGACAUGCUUUAGGAAUCUAAACUAUGCAAAGAUGUAUGCUAAUAGAAGCCCACUCGUCGGAACCCAGGAUGGGUCUGCUUCCAAGUGGGUGAGGAGGCCGUGUCCACUACGAAAAAUCAUGUUUAUGUUGUCACUCCAUAGCCACUGUGGCGAUAGCUACCAAGUGAACUCAUCUGUUCCUCUGUCAAGACUAGUCAGAGAGAAGGAAGUCGCCUACAUGUUGCAAGCUCAAACCGCAUAACGCAACAAAAGCUGUCGGUUGUUGCAAUGUAACACGCUUGGUUGCUCCAGAAAAAUAGGAAUCCCCCUCUGCAUACAAACGUCGACUGCUAGGUUAGACUACACUGAAACUCUCGACACUUAGCGACUCUAUCAACGGGCGAGGACCACUGCUCUCGUUCAUCAUUUAGGCCAUCACUUCCUUCGCCUUCGCCACCACGUUGUCGACGGUAAUUCCGAACUCCUUGUACAGAAUGUUGGCUGGGGCACUGGCACCAAAGUGGUCCACUCCGAUCGCCCUGCCCUCCAGGCCGACGAACCUCUCCCAACCGAACGUGGCGCCGGCCUCCACCGACACACGGGCCGUCACAUCAGAGGGCAACAAAGAUUCCUUGUAUUCCGCGCUCUGCUCCUCGAACAACUCCCAGCAAACGAACGAGAUCACCCUCACGGUCUUGCCCUCGCCCCUGAUCACGUCCGCGGCCUUCGCGGCGAUCUCCAGCUCCGAACCCGAAGCCAUCAGGAUCAGGUCGGGUUUGUUGUCCUUGGAAUCAUCCGAGAUCGCGUAUGCGCCGAGCUGGACAUUGUCGAUGGAGGUUCCGGGCAAGUUGGGCAGUUUCUGUCGCGACAAAGCCAAGGUCGAUGGUCUCUUCCUGUUCAGCACUGCCACCUUGUAAGCUCCCGAGGUCUCGUUUCCGUCCGCAGGCCUCAGCAUCAACAUGUUGGGCAUGGCCCUAAAGCUGGCCAAAUGCUCAAUGGGCUGAUGGGUGGGACCAUCCUCUCCCAAACCAAUCGAGUCGUGGGUCAUCACGUAGAUCAC
rnacentral:lncRNA from 1 species